rnacentral:lncRNA from 1 species
UUAUGAGCUGAAUUUUUUUUUAGGUUGAACAUCAAACAUUGAUGUAUGUCUACAAAAGGUUUGAGAAUGUUUAAACAUGUAUCUUUUAAAAUCGAUCUCAUUGAUCUCAGCUAAAGUGAGAUCUCACAAGUCUUCCCCUGAAAAACUUUUCCAAAAAGAAAAAAAAUCAUUUGUCUUUCAUCUUUUCUUGUUCACUCGGUCUCAUCGGCGUCAGCAUUCAGGUCAAUCCUGGGCUUCUUCCCACUGCUGUGGGCAGCGGGCUUACUAGGCAGCGGCGGCACCUUCGAUGCGCACCGCGGGCACCAGGGGUCGGCCUCGGCGAUGAGCACGUACGUGAAGCAGGACGGGCACGCACACGCACGCAUGGUUGGGUUCGCGGCGGGCGACGCCAUGCUUGAAGGCGGCGAGCGGCUGCGCUUUCCCAGCGACGAGGACGAGGAUGAGGCGGACGCCAACGAGGAGGACGACGUGUCCGGCGAGGUGGCGGACCGCGCGGCGGAGGCGCGCUCUAGGGCGUAGCGGACCAUGUCGAGGGUGCAGAACGGAGAGGAGGUGGUGGUGACGGCGGCCGCGGUGGAUGCCGUGGGAGGGAGGUUGAGGUCCUGGCGGCCGUCUUGGGCGGUCUGGUGGCGAUGAGGAGUCAAGAACGUCUUGCCGGACUGCACAAAAACAAUAUUUUUUUUUUCACCUUGUUAAGUAAUCUGUAUGAUGAACAAGGAACUCUGUAAUCCCAGUGCAACAGAAACAAAAUUUUAUGGCUGCAUGCAUCGACUGAUGCAGAGGCCGGAGGUAAUCCUCCUUUUUUAAAAAAAAAGAAACAAAAUUUUGAUCAUCAUGCUGUUAGACCGAUCAAAGAACAUGAAUUUGAUCUGCGGAUAUAGUCUAACCUAAGUAGCAAAUUAUAUAGUUCUCCGGAAUUUCAUCUCGGACAGGAACCACACAAGAGCGAAUUAAUUAAACACCAAACAUGCACGCACGCAGGUGUAACUACCCACACGAAGAAACAAACAAACCAUCUAGUGGUCGGAAGAACAGAGGAGCAGAUCGAAACAGUAAUGCUAGGAGGGAGACUCACCAGUAGGUCGAGCCGUCUCUCCCGGCCGGCGGGCACCUUGACCUCCAGGUCGACGACCUCGUCCUCCCCGCCGGCGUGGCCGCCCCACCCGCCGAGCAGAUCCAUGGUCACCAUCUCCGGUGCCUUCCCCGCGCCGGCCCUACCCUUCCCCGCUGGCAUUCUCCUCUUCCCUUUCUCGGCUGUCCUCUGCUUCCUCUUUUCUGUGUUUGUUUGUCGUUCUGCCGAGAGAAGACGAGAUGACAGAUCGGUGGGGUGUUUGGCAGUGCGUGGUGGGGCGUCCCUAUAUAUACCGUGAAGCCGCCGGCGCUACCGACACGUAGGGCCCACGUGCCAGCGAGCGUGGCCAUUAAGGAUCAUAUAUUAAUUGCCAUCGUUGGGAAAUGGUUGGAAGAUUAUUAAUGCCAAUUAACUGCUGGAAACAAAUUUGGGGUCGCUGACGUGUUUAAUCCACUCGAAUCGAAGAGCCGGGAUUUGAAUUCGUUUCCAUUUAAAAAGUAGUCAUUUACUCACUCCUCCCAUUAGUACAUGAAUGGGCUGAAUUUAAAUCGUGGAAGAACCCUUGGGCUGCCGCUGCAAUAUCAUGCUGGAUUUUUUAUUUUAAUUUUGCAAAAUAUCAUGCUGGAUUUAUGUGCAUUGAUCCACAUUCCAUUUAUUUGUUUGCCAUUUUAUUGUUCAUCUAGAAAACAGAUGCAAAGUAUCCACCCAUCCAUAUUUUAGUUCGCAAUUGAACAUUGCCGUGUGAUAUAAUUCGUAUAUAAUUAAUAAAAGAGAUUUUUAUGGAGGAAAAUUGAUUGAUAUAUUUAUAUUGGAUUAUAUCGCAACGAUUAAUGUCUAAACGAUUCUGGAGUACUAUAUGACGCGGUGCAGAAAAGAGUACUAUAUAUUUAUAUUGGAUUAAAUCGUAACGAUUAAUGUCUAAUCGAUUCUAGGGUACUAUAUUACGUGGUGCAAAAAAAAGCCAAACUCGAGGAUACUGCAUCUGGAGUACUAUAUAUUUAUAUUGGAUUAAAUAGCAACGAUUAAUGUCUAAUUGAUUUUGGAGUACUAUAUGAUGCGGGGCAGAAAUAAAAACAAACUCGGGGAUACAAUCAUCCCCGAGUCGACAUUUAAAAUAGUUGAGAGACACUGCCGAGCCUCAUGCUUCGAACUCAGGCGGGCUAGGGGUAGACAGGCUCUGCUAGCCGCUCGAUCUUUGCUCUGUUCUCGUUGUGAUGCAAAAUAUCGAGAGUUUUUUGUCCCCCCCAGGAGAUGGUGAGAUGGUUCUCGCCAUGAAAAUUGUAAGCUGGAAUUGCCAUGGUCUUGGCACGGAUGUGGAAAUUCCUUUGCUCAUGGAUGUUCAAUAGCAAUUGAAGUCUGAACUAACCUUCAUGACUAAGAUGUGACUCGAUUAAGACUGGGCUUCUAUAAUCCAUCUGAAUUAGGAUUUAAUUUCAUUUUUCAAGGGUAGUGAUGGUUGUAGCGCCAAUCUUGUGUUAAUGUGGAACACGAAUGAUAGUUAUUUUGUAGUAUAUUGGCAAAAUUUAAGGAUGUUAUUAUUUUGAUGAUAAUGUUCAACUUGGCGAUUCACUAGGUUCUAGCAUGAGAAGGGAGGCAAUAUUGGGCUAGCAGUUAUAAUGCAAGCAUUCAGAGAUUGCUUGUGAUUGUGGUCUUGAUCACAUGGGUUACAUUGGGACUCAUUUAUGUGGAGAACAUGAGCGAUCCCAGAAAGGCUAGACAUUGAGCGUUUGGGCCUCAUCUAUUCUAGUCAAUUCUAGAAAGUGCGAGUGCCAUGUCGUUUCUUCUCUUGAUAUUCACCUCGGUAUGGAACUUAGUCGGACUUGACACAUAGGACUAACAACCUGUCCUCUACAUUUGUUCAUGGGCACCCUCUUCUCUGGCUCCUGCCAAAUCUGGAAUAUGUGAGAUGGUUCUCGCCAUAAAAACUAUAAGCUGAAGUGUCAUGGUUAUGGCAUGGAUGUGGAAAUUACUUGAUCUUGGAUGUUUGAUAUCAUUUGAGGCAUCAUAAAACAUAUGAAGGAUUAACCACUCCUCCAUUUCAUGAUUGGGGCAGUUUCUUUUAGCUCCUUUCAUUCUAUCCCAUGCAAGCGCUAGUUGCUCACGUUCCUCUUACUUGAAACCUGUAAGCCGAGAACAUAAUUGCAUAUUUUUUGCAGGUGGACAAUACUUCGAUAAAAAUUUACUACAAUAAGUAUCCCAAGAAGUAAUAAAGCCAUUCCUUAGCUUUUCCUCUCAAAGAGAAAAGAAAUAAGCGAAGUUUCAGAGCAUUUUGAUUAUAAUCCUUUAUGUGUGUCAUGUUGCACAAUUCAGUAAAAUUAUGUAAAUGCAUACCUGCAUCUUCAAAAGCAUAGCCUCCAAAUUGGUCCUCUUGAACCAUGGAAACUAGGUUCGGUUUAAUCUCGUAUUUCUGCAGUUGCAACAUCAGGUUGUGCUAUUGGUUCACGCAUGAAAUUGUUGAUAGGAGUAGCAAAACUUCCAAGAUUACGAACCAUAGUAACUUUUUGGAUUUUUCAACUAACAAGAUUUGCAACAAAAUAAAACUUAAAAUAAAACUGAAAAUGUAUAAAUAAAAACAGAAAAUUAACUUUAAAAAAACUCUAAACACAAAGACUAAGAAUACUAAACUCCUCCCCGGCAACGGCGCCAGAAAAAGGGCUUGAUAUCUCUUUUUUAUUGAUCCAGUAUUGGAACAAGAAAGGGUAUCACGCACCUAUUUUCCCAGAGGUGACCCUGGGUAUCGAACCCACGAGAGGAAGACUCCAUUGAAGCGAUGGUCUCUAGCAAGCUUUUGCUAAAGUGUUACAGUUUUUGACCAGAUUAGAAAGCAAAUAGUGAUUCAAACACUUAUAACAAAAAGAAGGUACGGGGAUGAGGUCUUAAUGCUUACAGCCAUGUAUUGGUGUUGGGCUAAAAAUGAUAUUAAUUUGUGCUCGGGAAGUCACCCAUCAAGAGGUGCUUGCUUCGUAUCGAAGUGGGGGAUGUGUCCAAAUUACAUCUUGACCAGCUCGAGUCCUGCAUCAAGAAUCAGUUGUCCUACUGAAGGCCCUAUCCGUCUCGCGGGGUUGCCCCAAUAAUUAAGAUAAUAACAUAAGACAAAAGCUUUGGGCGUUUAAUAACCACAUCUCAUGAAUCCCCAAGGAUAUGAUCCAUGUUACCCUACUAAACCUUGCUGUCACCAGUGUCCGGUAUAACACUUCAUGGUCCCCUUGCUCCUAGCUUCACCGGUGCUUGAUCUCCAUGAUCCUUGGUACCCGCAGGGAUGAAGAUCUCGGACAAGACAAGAGAUACUUCACGAAAAAAAUUUAUUUCGCACAUAAGAGAUGUUGUGUCAAAGACUUCCAUUGAUCCCUUCACCAAAACCCGAGGUUGGAAGGCUCAUGCCCCACCCCAUACCUUACCGAACUACUCACACAUGGAUAAUAGACCGCGAGAAGAAAUCAUUGAAAAACACAUCUUGAGAUUGAUUGAUUGCAAUAUGUCUUACAAUGGAUGCCUUGUGUGAUGCACGAUUAUAAGUAUGAACUAGAUAAGAGAGGGCUAUGCUGGUGGAGAUAGCAAUGAAGGUGAAAAUGGCGGCGGCUAGGGUUUGUGCAUGAAGAUGAUGAUGAACAUGUUGUGGUUGUGCUCGACGCUCCCUUUCUCCUCGUUCUGCUGACAUUUCGAUGGGGUCCCCUUAAUAAAAGUUGUUCAGGUGGACAACCUGCCUCGAUUUCCAUGCUAAACGACCGCUCAAGCGAGUGGGUGCAGUCGCAUGUAACGCCGUCUUUUGGUCUAGCGGCCUUCUAACGCCUCCUAGUGACUUAUUUCUUCUUCAUUUUCCUUCCUUUCCUUUCUCCCACAUGAUUUCUUCACCUUUUAGCCCAUUUCCCGUGGAAAAAUAUUAAAGAGAGGAGUUUUGAAAUCGUUUGCAUUCAUUAGUCAUUAGUGGCAAUAUCGGAGCAAAUAUCUCUCUUUCGAUGAAAUACCUUGGUUUAAACAAUGUUGAAAUGAGUGUAAAAAUAUCACUUAUCAUCCGGCUAUAGAUGCUCUAACAUGCUUCCACACCCCGUAAACAAUGAUGCACUCCCACCUUUCCAGUUCAUGUGCAAACUACUCCCCCACUCGGCAUGUGCCUUAGUUGUUGAGAUUAUUGAGAAACGCCAAACAAAUUGGAAAGGAGGGAGUAGAUGAUUAGGUUGUUCGGAAUAUAAUGUGAACUCGAGAACAAGAAUAAAUAAAUAAAUAAAUAAAUAUUUGGCCAGAUAGUUUUAGUGAGGAGCUUAUCUUGUUUUCACAAUGACACGUGGAUCAUACAAAAGAAGGAAACUGAAUGGCCAGUGAUAGGCGCCGGUCAGCCAGCCCAAACAUUCGGCUGGUCGCCUGCGGGCCAUUAAGUCUGGCCCACGCAGAACCCCCAGACCAUAGGAUCACCCUUGCAUGAAAAACGGAUUGUGGAUUUGGUCGUCCUUUUCCUCACGCCCGAGAACUCUCCACACCUUUCCGUGGUCAACUCACUUCCUGCACGCAUCUCUAGCGCAUCCCCACACCUCCUCACCUCUUCGCCCGCUGCCGUUGUCGCCACUGUCAUCGCUCGGCCCCUCGUCGUCGCUGUCACCGCCGCACCGGUCGCAUUGCGUCGUCUCCCCCUCCCCGGGUACGUAGCACCUGCAACCAUGGUUCCAGCAAAAGAUCGAUACGGCCCCAGCAAAUCUUAUGGAGGUUGUAGCAUUUGGAGCCUUCGGUUCCAUGGUUCCAUCUCAACGUGUGUUGCUUGUGUCAUCUGGCGCCUUUGGUUGCAACUAGUUGUUGUGGUCACCAUGGUCACAACAUCUAGCGGUUGUGGUCACCGUGAUUCCAACAUCUGCGAAACACGGUUCCAGCAUCUAGCAAGUGUGGCUGCAGCACACCGGCAGGCCAGUCGUCACGGUUCCAACGUCUGGAAAACAGCAUUCCAGCAUUUUGUAAAUACGGUUCCAGCAUCCCUGUCAUUAGGGGGUUGCGUUGCAGCUCCACCUGUCCACGGUUGCAGCUCCCCCAUCCAGGUUGCAGCAUGUCACGCCGGUGGCCAUGUCUCUCCUUGCCAUAGCUUUGCAGCACGGCCGCUCGUUCAUUGUAGAAGAAAUGGGUGGCAAUUGUAGCACGGUCCACCGGAGCACGCGACGAGCAUUGUGGUGCACAUAGGAGGACGUCGGUGGUGGGUGCCACACCGCCAUGGCAUCACCGUGUGGAGAUGGUUGUCCACUUGCCGGUGUUUGAAAACCCCAAUUUAAACAAUAACCUCCAAUGGUCGUCGUCGUACGAUACGUCCAUUUUGCAUCAUGAUUUCCUACUAUUAUUAAUAAUGUUUUUAUACAUAAUAAUGCUUUUGGGAGUGAUGCGGCUUGAAUUGCGUCGGCAUUUCCCCAAAGAGGAAGGGAUGAUGCAGCACAGCUACGGAGGUAUUACCCUCGAUGAUGAGACCAAGGUUAUUGAUCCAGUAGGAGAACCACGCAACACUACGUGAACGGUACCUGCACAGAAAGAACAAAUACUUGCAACCCGACGAAAAAGUGGGGUUGUCGAUCCCUCCCGGGUAAAAAGAUAGAUAAAAUUGUAGUAUAUUGGAUAAAUAGAUCUCGCGGGAACGCGAGAUAAAAUAAAUAACACAAAAAUUGCAGCAAGGUAUUUUUGGGUUUUUGGAUUAAUAGAUCUGAAAAUAAAUCAAAUAAAAAUAAAUCUCGAAGGCAAAUAUGAUAAAUAAGAGACCUGGGGGCCGUAGAUUUCACUAGUGGCUUCUCUCUAGAAAAAUAGCAUACGGCGGGUAAACAAAUUACUGUUGGGCAAUUGAUAGAACUUCAAAUAAUUAUGACAAUAUCCAGGCAAUGAUCAUUAUAUAGGCAUCACGUCCAAGAUUAGUAGACCGACUCCUAACUGCAUCUACUACUAUUAGUCCACACAUCGACUGCUAUCCAUCAUGCAUCUAGUGUAUUAAGUUCAUGGAGAAACGAAGUAAUGUAAUAAGAACGAUGACAUGAUGUAGACAACAUAUAUUCAUGUAGGAAUAGACCCCAUCUUGUUAUCCUUAAUAGCAACGAUACAUACGUGUCAUUUCCCCUUCUGUCACUGGGAUUGAGGACCGUAAGAUCGAACCCAUCACAAAGCACCUCUUCCCAUGGCAAGAAAAAUCGAUCUAGUUGGCCUAACUAAACCAAAGAUUCGAAGAAGAAAUACGAGGCUAUAAGUAAUCAUGCAUAUAAGAGAUCAAAACUCAAAUAACUUUCAUGGAUAAAAAUAGAUCUGAUCAUAAACUCAAAGUUCAUCGGAUCCCGACAAACACACCGCAAAAAGAGUUACAUCAAGUAGAUCUCCAAGAGACCAUUGUAUUGAGAAUCAAAAGAGAGAGAGAGAGAGAGAGAGAGAGAGAGAGAGAGAGAGAGAGAGAGAGAGGAAGCCAUCUAGCUACUAACUACGGACCCGUAGGUCUACAAUGAACUACUCACGCAUCAUCAGAGAGGCACCAAUGAGGAUGAUGAACCCCUCCAUGAUGGUGUCUAGAUUGGAUCUAUGGUUUCUGGAACUUGCGGCAGCUGGAACUGUGUUUCAUCGACUCCCCUAGGGUUUUUGGAAUAUUGGGGUAUUUAUAAAGCAAAGAGGCGGUGCGGGAGGUCACCGAGGUGCGCCCAGGUGGGUUGUGCCCACCUCGGGGCAACCCUCUGGUACUUCUUUGGCCCAUCAUGUGUCUUCUGGCCCAGAAAAAUUCUCCAAAAAGUUUUUGCUGCGUUUGGACUCCGUUUGGUAUUGAUUUUCUGCGAAGUAAAAAACAAGCAAAAAACAACAACUGGCACUGUUCACUAUGUCAAUAGGUUAGUCCCAAAAAAUAAUAUAAAGUUGCUAUAAAAUGAUUGUAAAGCAUCCAAGGUUGAUAAUAUAACAGCAUGGAACAAUAAAAACUAUAGAUACGUUGGGGACGUAUCAGCAUCCCCAUGCUUAAUUCUUGCUCGUCCUUGAGUAGGUAAAUGAUAAAAACAGAAUUUUUGAUGUGAAAUGCUACCUAACAUGUUUAUCACAUAUUCUUUUCUUUGUAGCAUGGACAUUUGGACUUUUAUAUGAUUCAAAGCAAUAGUCUAGUUUUGACAUGAAGAUUCCAAUACUCAAGCAUAUCAACAAGCAACCAUGUCCUUCAAAAUAUCAACACUAAAGCAAGUUAUCCCUAGCCCAUUAUGCUCACUCAUUGAUCCAUUCAUGAAACACACUCACAUAUUAGCUACACCCAAUGUUCAAGUACGAUCAUAGUGCCCCUUAGUUGGUGCUUUAUAAGAGAAUAUGAAGACUCAAGUAAUUUUUUUUCAUAAAGUAAAAUAGAAAGGCCCUUCGAAGAGGGAAGUAGGGAUUUGUAGAGGUGCCAGAGCUCAAAUCGAAUAAGAUAGACAUAAAAACAUUUUGGGUGACAUGCUUUUACUGUCAACGAAAACGAUCGAGUAGUUCCCAAUACUUUCCAUGCUAGAUAUAUUAUAGGCGGUUCCCAAAUAGAAAAUAAAGUUUAUUCCUUUUUCCACCAUACUUUCACAUUCCACGGCUAACCGAAUCCACGGGUGCCGUCCAUACCAACACUUACUAAGGAAUUUAUUAUUUGACAACAUAAAGUAAAUUCAUUUUUCAUUUCGGGACAGGGCAUCCCUAAUACCAUUGUCGUACUCUCGUGCAAUGACAAGUGAAUAAACACUCAUCUUGAAAAUAACGCAUCUAGCAUGGAAAAAUAUCAGCCAUCCCCUACCAUUUCAUCAGCGGUACGAGCACACAAAAAGGAAAUUUAUUUUAAAGAUUAGAUAUGGCACAUACAAAUUUUCUUAGAACGGCAAAAGAAUACUGCAUAUAGGUAGGUAUAGUGGACUCAUAUGGUAAAACUGGUUUAAGGAUUUUGGAUGCACGAGUAGUAAUCAUAAUUAGUGCAAGUGAAGGCUAGCAAAAGAUUGAGAAGCAUCCAAACAAGAAACAAAAAAUCUCAUAAGCGAGCAUUAAGCAUAACUAACACCGAAUAAUGCACCAUAAGUAGGAUGUAAUUUCAUUGCAUAACUACUGACUUUCGUACUUGCAUAGGGAAUCACAAACCUUAACAUCAAUAUUCAUACUAAAGCAUAACUACUCAUCAACAUGACUUACAUAUUAUAUCAUUAUAUCGCAAAACUAUUACAAAGAAUCAAGUUUAUUUUGUCCAAUGAUCUUCAUGAAAGUUUUUAUUAUAUCCUUCUUGAAUAUCUAUCACUUUGGGACUAAUUUCAUAUGUUGCUUUUGAUAGCUCAAACAAAUCUAAGUGAAGAACAUGAGCAUAAAAAAAUCUUCUCUCAAAAUAAUUUAAGUGAAGCAUGAGAGAAUUUCUUAAAAUAUUUACUAACUCUCAAAUAAAUCUAAGUGAAGCAUGAGAGAAUUUCUUCAAAAAUACUAAAGUACACCAUGCUCAAAAAGAUAUAAGUGAAGCACUAUAGCAAUUCCAUAGCUGAAAAGAUUUAAGUGAAGCACAGAGAGCAAUUCUAACAAAUCAUAGAAUAAUUUUGGCUCUCUCAAAUAGAUGUGUCCAGCAAGGGUAGAUGACACAAAAUAAAAAGCAAAACAAGCAAAGACUCAUAUCGUACAAGAUGCUCCAAGCAAAACUCAUGAUAUGUGAUGAAUAAAAAUAUAGCUCCAAGUGAAAUACCGGUGGUCGUUAGAAGAAAGAGCGGAUGCCACUCGGGCAUCCCCAAGCUUAGUUGCUUUCUUCUCUUAUAGAUAAUUGCUUGGCAUGACAUGUAAAUCCCCAAGCUUAGGCUCUUCUUACUCCUUAUUCGUUCAUCUAUCGCGAUCUCACCCAAAACUUGUAAACUUCAAUCACACAAAACUCAAUAAAACCUUUGUGAAAUCCGUUAGUAUAGCAAAGCAAAUCACUACUCUUAGUACUGUUACAAACCCAUUCAUAUUUUAUUUUUGCAUUAUAUCUACUGUAUUGCAACUUUACUAUAGCUUAUACCCUCCAAUACAAACCAUAGAUUCCUCGAAAUAAGCACACAACGCAAAGAAAACAGAAUCUGUCAGAAACAGAACAGUCUGUAGUAAUCUGAAAACUCCGAAUACUUCCGUAAUCCAAAAAUUCUAGGAAAUUAGCACAAUGUAAGCAAUUUGUAUACCAAUCUCAUGCAAGAAUUCAGAAUUUUAUAACUCUUCUGUGAAUUUCAAAAAUUGUUUUACUGGACAAAAAAGUUUCUGUUUUUCAACAAGAUCAAAUCAACUAUCACCCAACGUGAUCCCAAAGGCUUUACUUGGCACAAACACUAAUUAAAACAUAAAAAACACAAUCAUAACAGUGGCAUAAUUUUGCAAACACUCAAGAACAGAAAUAAAAAGAUAAAAAUAAAUUUAUUCAUUGGGUUGGCUCCCAACAAGCGCUAUCGUUUUACGCCCCUAGCUAGGCAUAAUGCAAAGAUCUAAGUAUUGUCAUCUUUAGUUCUAGUCCAUAAGAUGCCCUCAUGAUCGAUUAAUAUGAUGGCUUAAUUCUUAUUCUAGGGAAGUGUUCCAUACCCUUCCUUAAUGGAAAUUGAAAUUUAAUAUUACCUUCUUUCAUAUCAAUCACGGCACCAAUAGUACGUACACUACUAGGGAAAACCUUAUACACAGAAUCUUCGCGGCAGCGUGGUUUAAAAGCAAAUGCUACUGCUAAUUAGCAGUAGCGAGCUUCAGGAAACCGCGCUACUAAUAGCCCAGUAGCAGUAGCGCUCUAGAUGAAACAAGCGCUACUACUAUAAUUUCCACGGCAUUGCCUCCAGGCUAGAUAUAGUAGUAGCGUCCUUCUCCUGGACGCGCUACUGCUAAAGUACUUAGUAGCAGCGUUUUUCUUCAAAACUCACUGCUGCUAAGUAUCACCCCCUUGCAACUAAUUAAGUUUAGUCCCAUACUGUUAAGCGAACAAGGUGUUUACCACCUUAAAUAUGUUACUUCUCAAACUAUGUCGAGCACUUGGUCUUCAUUGAACUAUAUGUGUAGGAUUUGUGGCUGCAAUAUGAAUCUUCACCUGUGCCUAUACAGGUACGGUGAGGAUUCAUGUUGACUAUUUAGAUUCUACACAAAAAGAUCAAUGAUGACCAAUGUAUAUUUUUGAUGUUUUUACAUGCUUAGACUUAGCAGUAGUGUUUUUUCAGGACAAAGCGCUACUGAUAUUGGGCUUAGCAGUAGCGCGCUCCCUGUACCCGCGCUACUGCUAAAGCAAAACAAAACACGCGGCCCGGCCCCCCGCACGCUCAUCUCUCAAUCGUCCCCCUCCGCCCGACGCCGACAGCUGUGGUUAGGGUUUCGCCGCGCGCUACUGCUAAAGCAAAACAAAACACGCGGCCCGGCCCCCCGCACGCUCAUCUCUCAAUCGUCCCCCUCCGCCCGACGCCGACAACUGCGGUUAGGGUUUCUCCUCUGCCACCGCCGCCGCAGGUAAUGCUCCUCCCCCCUCUCGCCGCCCCUCCGCUGCUCCUCCACCCUCUCGCCACCCACUCUGUCGCUGCCCGCGAGCUCUGGCCGGGCGCCUUUGGCCGACCGCCCUCGAUCCCCUCGCCGGCCACUGUCGUCGCCCCUCUCGUAGGAAAGUCACCGGCCUUUCCCUCGUUAGCACCCCCGACCAAGGUCACCAUGCCAUCCCCCCUCCUCGACAACACCCCCGAGGGCUGCCCUACCUAGAUGCAGCGAGGGCUUACGAAUUUCAUAUGGAUAAUUAGAUGCUUUUGUUUUUCUGUAGUAAGUUAUUUUUUGCAAAAUGUAGGUGCCAAUUUAGUUGAAAUGCUUUGGUAGGUGGUACCGUGAUCUACUAGAUAUUGGUUUUGAUACAAGUACUUAGUUUGCAAGUGCUAAGUUAAUCCCAAUUAAAUUUGCCACUUGUUUUUUUAAUCAGUUAUCUUAGGCAAUAGGGGACAAAUUAGAUGAAAUGUGUCUUGGUAGGUGGUACCUUGAUUUGGUAGAUAACUUAUUACAAAUCUUAGGAUUAUACCUUUGGUAGGGGCCAAAUAGUUUUUUCAGCAAUAGGUGCCACUGAAAUGCUUUCGUAGGUGAUACCUUGUCAUCUUGUAUGUUACUAGAUCUUAGGAUUAUAAUUGUCCAUCAAAUUGCUUCUCGCGGAAGAAUCUCUUCUAGAGAUAUUCUAGAAGGUGUUAGUAAGCUAAUUGAGAACUUGUUGGCUGAUUUCGCAUUUGCCUGCUAGCUGUUGGUUCUAUUAUAGAAGGUGUUAGUAAGUUAAUUGAGAGCUUGUUGUUUACUUUUUGGGAUCGGGUUCCACUAUGAAAAUAUAGCUGAAGAAGAACCAAAAAUAUCACAUGCUACUGUUUUUCUUUCCUGUGAAGUGGAUCAUUAAUCCUUUGCUCAUAUUGCUUUAGGAAAAUGGCGCCACCACCACCACCACCAUGUUGACUGUGCAAGUCAAGGUGCGCCAGCAGCCUUGCAACUGGCAAGCUGUUCGGCAUCUACUUCCAGCCGAGUUUUCUUCAUGCGGCGGUAAGAAAUUAGAUGAAAUGUAACAACUAUUUUAUUUUUAGUGUUGGCAUUACUGCAUUGUGUCAUUUUGCUUUUUUUACACAGAUCGUCCCAUGCAAUGUGAGGUUGAAAUUCAACAAGCUGACAGGAGACACUGUGGCAUUUGAGGCUCCUGGGGGCCGUACACUAUGGAGGUCGAGAAAGGACGCAAUAUGUCACAUUUGAUUAUGAUAUAUAUAUAUAUAUAUAUAUAUAUAUAUAUAUAUAUAUAUAUAUAUAUGCUUUAUUGUUAUACUUACAAAUGCAAAUUAUCCAAUGAUAUGCUUAGUGAAUCCGAUGAUAUGCUCAGUAUAGAGUCCAAUGAUAUGUUGUGUGGAAUCUAGUCGAUGAUAUGCUUUAGUGUAGAGUCUGAUCACAUGCUUAUUAGUGUAGAAUCCAAGGAACUAUUAAUAGUGUAGAUAAUCCAUAUAUACUUAUUAGUAGAAUUAAUGCUUAAUUAGUACAAAUGUGUAGUACUGUGUCUUUUGAUAGUGUAGAAAUCUAUACUUAAUAGAAAUAUAUUUACAAGAGUAUGUGCAAGGCUAUUUAUUAAUUGAUAUGUUUUUCUUGUUCAGAAAUUGCCAAAAAACCUAUCUGUGAGUUGUGGUAUCGAGCCUGAUGAAGAAGGCUCAGCUGGACUACGCCUUACCGCAAGGGGCUCCGUCACCACCUGUACUUACCGCAUGGACACAGACAGUCACACACACUUAAACUCGGUUGGGUGGAAGAGAUUCCUCGUUGGCAAGAAUCUUCAUAUUGGACAGGUCAUCCUAAUUACUAUCAGGAACACCCACCGCCCAGGCUUGAGGACGAUGAUCGUCAUCGAUAUCAUCUAGAACUACAUAUAUAUGUGUGGCUAUAUCAUCUAGAACUACAUAUGAUGAUCGUCGUCGAUAUCAUGUAGAACUACAUAUGAUGAUUGUCUUCGAUAUCAUCUAGAACUACAUAUGAUGAUCGUCGUCGAUAUCACCUAGUACUGCUUGAGGCUGCAUGUUGAGUAUAUAUGAAAUUGUUAUCUAGUACUCCCUCCGUUCCAAAUUACUCAUCGUGGUUUUAGUUCAAAUUUGAAUUAAAACCACGACGAGUAAUUUGGAACCGAGGGAGUACUACCUAGUACCUAUAAUGCUUUAUGAAAUUGAUAUUUAGUAGUACCUAGUAUCUGGAAAUUGCAAUUUAUUGAAGCUGAAACGGGGUAGGAAGCCAGGGGGGAAUGAUGAAAGAUAUAGCAGUAAUGUGGGGCUAGGAAAUUGCUACAGCUAAUUAAUAGUAGCGCAUUCUGGAAAAGCGCUGCUGAUAUAGUCAAUAGUAGUCGCAGGUACGGACCGCGCUACUACUAACAGUUAGCUGUAGCGUCGUAGUAGUAGCGUAGCUGCCCGCACAUAAAAUCUAUGGGCACAUAAUUCCUAUUUUCAAGAAUAAUAACAUCAUUAAUUCUUUCCAUAGGCUUUUUAAUAGUAGAAUCCGCCAAAUGAAAAUUUAAAGAACAUUCUUCAAUAUCGGUAAGACCAAGCACAUCACGUAAAGAUUUCGGAAUUGUAGAAACGCUAGCACCCAAGUCACAUAAAGCAAAACACUCAUAAUUUUUAAUCUUGACUUUAAUGGUGGGUUCCCAUUCAUCAUGUAAUUUUGUAGGUAUGUAGUAGAGUUUCCUUAACUAAUAUAUUAUGCUAGUGUAAUGAGAUGGAUGCAAACUCAAAAUCUUUCUUAGCUUAAAUAAAAGAAGAUGAAAAACAAAGCAUAGUCGAAGCAGGGGUGGAUUGGAAGAAGUAUCGCUUUGUUGAAGCGAUGCGAGGCUUGGCUUGGGUGACUAGCAGGUCCAAUGCUGAAACGUUAUUGAACAUGAGGAGCGACAAAGACAGCCCCACUGAAGAAACCACAUAUAGUCCUUUGUUGCGGCAUCAGAAAACAUGUGAGUAGCAAGCGCAACAUCCUGUAAGUAUGAGGAAAACGAAAUUGUUACAAAAUUUAGUAAAUACGAAAGAGAUAUGCAUCCUUGAGAGGCCAGACGAACAGACACAGAAAUAGCUUGGCGUAUGUAUGCAUCUAUGUAAUGUAUAACAAGAAAAUAGCAGGGGCGGAUGUAUCUGUACUUGUGCAAUGCAGAUGCAGAUGUGUAGACUGAAUUUUGUUCAGAGUAAAUACAUACAGACUGAUAGACGGUAAAUAAUACUAGAUGGGAUGGGAUAGACCAUGAGAGUAGUUGAUUCAUUCUGUUGUAACAUAUUAGCUAGUGUAAUGAGAUGGAUGCAAGGGAUUUCAAGUACAUAAUUCCGUUCUACAAGUGAUGUCACUAUAAUAAUUAGAGGCAGAUAUCAAUUGAGUAGUGUAGAGGAAUUAUAAAAAGGGAUACACAUCCUAAGUUACUUUCUCAAACUAAAUUAUAUAGAUAUGGAAAUAUAAUGUAGAACAUACAGUGUACUAUCAAAGCAACCAGAACCUUGUAAUUUUUUUUGUUCAAAAGCUAAAUCACUUACACCACUCUGAAUAUGUUUCAAGGAAAGCCCUUGAUUUGGAGGUUUCAAAUCGAAGAAAGGUACCAUUCCAUUUGGAAACUAUUGAUUACAUCUUAUGGAAUGAUAUAUUGGUGGCUAAGAGAUCAAUGCAUUGUUUAAACCCAAGAAAAUAAACAGGUAACAACAAAGUUCAGGACCAUAAAAUAGAAAUUAUGGCCACUAACUACAAUGAUUCUUCCUACUGCUGGCAUCCUUAGAAGGGAAAGCUUCUGCUAGCCAUUCUAUUGCAUCAUAGUGUCAUGCCAUGUCAAUAUAUUCAGUACAAACAUAUGGUAGUAGGUAUGUAGGAGAACCUCAUGCUUGACAGGGAUUUCUCUGAAUUUAAUGGCUGAUAGCCCCUAGCUAACUGAACCUAAAUGAAUGAACGAAAAGGGUAGGGCAUACGCACAUGAGGAUGUUGAGUGGGAGGCCCCUGUGGGCGCGGCGAAGUUGCGGACGGAGGCCAGGGAGGUGGAGUCCAGGGAGGUCCAGCUCCAUCAGGUCGAGGUUGGCGGCGGGGUUCUCGGCAAGGACGGCAUGGCGCGCUGCCUCUGCCGCAGCGAGGUUGCGGACGGUCAUGACGACAUGGGCCCCGCGUGCCUCCAGCACGCAAGCCGUCUCAGAGGCGAUGAUGACGGCCGGGUCAGGCCUGACGAAGAGAGGGAGGAAGGAGCGCAUCCCGGAUCACGGCUCCAGAUCGAGGUCGCAUCCCGGAUCCAGAUCGGUGUGGGCAAGGCUGCGGCCGUCGCGGGUAUGGGAGCAUCGCCUCGCACUGCUCGACCUGGGGCCAGGGUGAGGGGAGGGCGCGGUGGUGUGCGGAGGGUGACCGCCGUCGUGGCUUUAGCGUCUGCGCCGUGAUGCGGACGGGAUCCCGAUGGGAUCUACACGAGGCCGUCGCCGCCCCUCCCCUGCUGCGGGGCCGGGUGCGGGUCACCUCCCAUGAAAGGAGACGGAGCCGGCGCAGACACGGAUGGGACUCGGACGCGCGACGGAGGUGGUUGUCGAGGCGGGCGUGGAGACAGGGGUGGGUCACCGGGAUUCAUGGCAUGGUGGAGAUGCACGUGAGGAGGGGAGGAGGAGAGGGCGAGGGAAGGAGGGCGCCGCCGCCGGCGACGGGAAGGUAGGGUUAGAGAGGGGUGGCGGCGUCGAUCUGGAUCGGGGAGAGAGAGAGGGAGGCGGCGGGAGGAAGGAAGGGAGGAGAGGUGAGUGAUCUGGGUAGGGUUUGGUGCGGUGGGUUUCUUCAGAUGGAUGGAUUGUUGGAUUGGUAGCAAUGGAUGGAUAGAUGUAUGCCAUGUCAUCGAUCCGUGUGACAGAUGGUUCCACCAAUCAGAAUCUAGCAUAUGUGAUUGUGUUUUUCUCUUUUGUUUCUUUUAUAUUUUUUACCCUCUUAUUUCGGGUAAACACACAACAUAUUAGCCUCAUGUUGUAUGUUUAAAUGACCCAAUAUUGCGCACAUAUGUGUAUCUUAGGAUUUCAAACAAUGAUGAUUUUGUGGUCUUCAUUUGCAUUGCACACAAAAAUCAUUUUCCAUUUUUGAGUGCUCAAAAUGGUUUUUUUAUGAAGGACCUACCAUAUAUUUGUUGAUAAAGUAGACCGCGACAUUUUUAGAAAAUACUAGGACAUAUUUAAUGCACAAUAGACAAAAUGGUUGGGUGUCCAAAACUUUUGUCCACCUCUCGUGAAAAAGACAAAUUUCUGCCGAUUCAGCUGGAACCGGGUCAUAUUUGAACUGCAGCUGCCCCAUAGUUUGCUCUUUAUUUUUUGCAAAAAUCAUUUUUAGGUACUUAAGUAUCUAUUUAAUCAGAGAAACACCAAAAAAAUUCCAAGAUUUAACAACUAGCUAGAAACGGUCAUUCCCGCCGUUUUGACCGUAGUUUGAAACAUGCAUAAAAAAUACAAAAAAAAUCAAAAAAUUGGAAAACCUUCGCAUUGUUUCAUUGUAUAUGACCAAGUUACCGGGAAAAAUAAUAAACUUGUAAUAUGACAAUUAUUUUAGAAAAGUGUUCUCAGAAAUGAGCUAUCAUGUGAGAAGAUUCAUGGCUAUCAGCCCAAAUGCUCAAUCUUAUGGCCACAUUCAUGGCAUAGUUUGUUUAAAUGAUCUAAUAUUGUGCACAAUGGUGCGUAUUGGAAUGGCAAACAAUGUUGCCUAAGGAAGUUUUCAUUUUCUUUGGACGAAAAAUACAUUUUCCAUUUUUCGAGUGUCCAAAAUGAUUUUUUUGUGUGAAGGACCUACCAUAUAUUUGUUGAAAAAUUGUCCCAUAUCAAUUUUCUAAAAUAUUAGGACAUAUUUAAUGCACAAUUGACCAAAUGGUUGGGUAUCAAAAGCUUUGAUCCACCUCUCGUGAAAAAGACAAAUUUCUGUCGAUUCAGGUGGAACCGGGUCAAAUUUGAACUGCAGCUACCUCAUAGUUUUCUCUUUAUUUUUUGCAAAAUUCAUUUUUAGGUACUUAAGUAUCUAUUUAAUCAGAGAAACACCAAAAAAAUUCCAACAUUUUACAACUAGCUAGGAACGGUCAUUCCCGCCGUUUUGACCGCAGUUUGAAACGUCCAUACAAAAUUAAAAAAAUUAAAAAAAUGGAAAACCUUCGCAUUGUGUCAUUAUAUGUGACCAAGUUACCAGGAAAAAAUAAUAAACUUUUAAUAUGACAAUUAUUUUGGAAAAGCUUUCUCAGAAAUGAGCUAUCAUGUGUGAAGAUUCAUGGCUUUCAACCCAAAUGCUCAAUCUUAUGGCCACAUUCAUGGCAUAGUUUGUUUAAAUGAUCUAAUAUUGUGCACAAGGGUGCAUAUUGGAAUGACAAACAAUGUUGCCUAAGGAAGUUUUCAUUUUCUUUAAAUGGAAAAUUUAUUUUCCAUUUUCCGAGUGCCCAAAAUGAGUUUUUUUUUGUGAAAGACCUACCAUAUAUUUGUUGUAAAAUUGUACCAAAUCAAUUUUCUAAAUUACUAGGACAUAUUCAAUGCACAAUUGACAAAGUGGUUGGGUAUCCAAAGCUUUUAUCCACCUCUCAUGAAAAAGACAAAUUUCCGUCGAUUAAGUUGGAAACGGGUAAAAUUUGAAUUGCAGGUGCGUUAUAUUUGCCCUUUAUUUUUUCCAAAAAUCAUUUAUAGUUACAUAAGUAUCUAUUUAAUCAGAGAAACACCAAAUUUUUUUCAAGAUUUAACCACUAGCUAGGAACGGUCAUUCCCGCCGUUUUGUCCGCAGUUUGAAACGUCCAUAAAAAAUUAAAAAAAUUAAAAAAUUGGAAAACCUUCGCAUUGUGUCAUUAUAUGUGACCAAGUUACCGGGAAAAUGAAUAAACUUGUAAUAUGACAAUUAUUUUAGAAAAGUGUUCUCAGAAAUGAGCUAUCAUGUGUGAAGAUUCAUGGCUUUCAACCCAAAUGCUCAAUCUUAUGGCCACAUUCAUGGUAUAGUUUGUUUCAAUGAUCUAAUAUUGUGCACAAGGGUGCAUAUUGGAAUGACAAACAAUGUUGCCUAAGGAAGUUUUCAUUUUCUUUGGAUGGAAAAUUCAUUUUCCAUUUUUCGAGUGCCCAAAAUGAGUUUUUUUGUGAAGGACCUACCAUAUAUUUGUUGCAAAAUUGUACCAAAUCAAUUUUCUAAAUUACUAGGACAUAUUUAAUGCAUAAUUGACAAAAUGGUUGGGUGUCCAAAGCUUUUAUCCACCUCUCAUGAAAAAGACAAAUUUCCGCCGAUUCAGUUAGAAACGGGUCAAAUUUGAACUGCAGGUGCCUUAUAGUUUGCCCUUUAUUUUUUCCAAAAAUAAUUUAUAGUUACAUAAGUAUCUAUUUAAGCAUAAAUACAUGGUUUGGUGGCGAUAUGUCGACGUUUGGACGGUGGCCCAGGGCCCCAACUCCAAAGCGCGUAAACUCGCAUGCCCACCGCGUGGUCACCGUGUGACCGUGGCGUUGCCAUGCUUUCUGGCGGCCUAGGCAUGUCUAGUGGGUUGGUCACUCCUCAGGUAGGUGCUAGGAAGAAAAAUACAACAUAAGAUUCUCAUGAGGAGACCAAACUAUGCUCAAACAUGAAUUAACAGCCAAGUGUUUGAUUAGCGGUACGGGAAAUGCACAUGGCCAAUGGGCGUGAGUUUUGGCUGAGGAUGAUCAUCUACUAGGGAGACUGGCUUGGCAAAAUUUCAGCUAAAAUGGAGGAGCGUAGAUGGCACUUGCUUUGCAAAGUACCACAUCGGGAAUAAAUAUGAAUGUUCAAGCUGGGCUCAAAAUAAGGAAUGGAUUGAGCUGAAAUUUGGCGGAGGAUGGUUAUUUGGGCAUAGGAAAGCAUUGUAGAAAAUUGAUACCAUUUGGACAUGCCAAAGUUGGUACUUCCUUCAAAAUGCUCUUCUCUGGACAAAAACUUGGGAAAAUUAGCGAGAGAAAUUGGAUAAAUGAAAUGAGCUCAAAUUUGGUGUAGGUAAGAUACAUAGGUAUGGUCAUGCCCUGGUAAAUUUUCAGAUCAUUUGUGUAAGCCUAGACAGUACUUACUUCACAAAGCUUCUCUCGAGAUAGAAACUUUGGAAAUUUUCUGAGAAAAAUUUACCAGGAAAAUGGAGCUGAAUAUCAUCAUGUGGCAAUGAUUUGGGUAUGGAAGAGUGCCCAAAAAGUUUGAGGGUAAUAGGAGGGGUCUAGGUAACACUUGCUUUGCAGUGUGCCAAUCUGGCCAUAAAAUAUAAAUUGAACCUGGGCUCACAUAGAUGAUUUGACUGAGCUGCAAUUUGGAGGAGGGUGAUAAUUUGGGCAUAUGAAGGAACUGUAUAAAUUUCAUGUCAUUUGGAUAUAUAAAAAUGGUACUUCCUUCACAAUGCUUCUAGGUGGACAAAAACUUUGGAAAUUUGCCGAGGAAAAUUUACUGGGCAAAUGCAGCUGAAUUUUGUCAUGAGGCAAUGAUUUGGAUAGGAAAGAGUGCCCAAAAAUGUUGAGGGCAAUCAAGAAUAUAUAAAUAGCACUUCCUUCACAAAGCGUUGUUGUGAACAGAAUAGGAAAAUGAAUAUUGUUGAAUUAUUUUUGAACUAGGCAAGGAAAGAUUUUUACAUAUUUGACGAAGAUAUGACCCAAAGAAUUUAUGAGAUUUUUUUGGGAAUUUUGGGUUGAUAGAAAUAUAGGUUGCUUCACAACCUAGGGCAAAAAUUGACACAUGGACAUGACACAUAGGCAAAACUGAUGAGGUGGUGCCUAGUCAUAGCAACCCACCACAAUUUACAAGGUUAUAACCAUCUAUAUUGGUCGUGAUCAGCUAGAAAUAAGGCAGCGGACCAGUGCUGUAUGCUUUAUGACCAUUUCGUGUAAGAAAAUUACGACCUUUCUGAACAAAAUGGUCGAUAUAGUUUAGGGUUUGGAGCCCCCCGAACAGCUUUUGACCAAUUAUUCUCAAAUGGUCGUAGAUUUAUGACCAAUUCUUCUAGGGUCACUGACAGAAGGUCACAAGUUGACAUAUUUCUUGUAGUGCCAAAAAAUACACAGGCGAACACUAUACUGGGCCGCGAAAGGGGUUCAUUUCUUCCUUGAUAUCUCUAUUUGCUUCUUCAUUAACUUGGGAUUGAAUUAGUUCCUGGUUUUCCCGCGAGUCGUGCUGAGCAACGUGAGGUUACCCAUGUAAUGGCCCGUGGGCCGCCUAUAUUCACAGGGAGGUAACUGCCAUUUUACUCACCCCACUAUCCCUGCCGUUGCCGCCACGUACACCGCAUGCAUUGUGCAGGGUUGGUGGAGGAUGAGUAGGGCGCAUGAAUGCGUGCCAUAGCAGAAAGCUCGGCACUAUGCAUAGGCGUAUGGGGGGACGGUGGGCAAUCCCGUAUGCUGCCAAUGACACAGACGGCCUAGAUUGGUGGAGCAUGGUGGUUGCCAUGGGGUAAUGGGGAGCUAGCCCCCAGCCACGAUCCACUAUAAAAGGGGAGUGCUGAGGUGGGCGAAAGGACUCACCCGCGCACAUCUCUCUUCUUCUUCUAGUGCUCCUCCUCCACUAUGGUGAGAGGAAGAGGGCGUGGUCGACCCCCAGCGGCGGCGACAAGGGUUUCCUCCAGGCACCAUGUCCCUUCCCCUGUUGGUGAUGCGGGGGCAGAGUCUAGUGCGCAGAGCGGAGCUGUAGGAUGCGGUCGUGGCCGACGGGUUGCUCGUGGCCGAGGGGGGCGUGGCGCUCGGGGCCGAGGGGGGCGCACCGGUGUUGUGGUUGCUCCACCUCUGGUUGCUUCUGCUUUGAAGGAUGGCCACAUAGGGGACACACCGCUGGAGUUCAUCAUUAGGCUGCGCGAGGCUCCGCGCAGCCAUCUUCGCUUUCCUACUCCUUUGCAAGGGUGAUGGAGGUUGAACAGCCGCAUGCGCUGAAGUUGCACAUGAGGGGUUGCUGUAAUAGCAGCAUGCGGGUGGACGUGGAGUUCCCCGCACCUCACGUCAUGCUUCUCCGGCAUGGCUGGAAUGUUGGGGAACGUAGUAAUUUCAAAAAAAUUCCUACGCACACGCAAGAUCAUCGUGAUGCAUAGCAACGAGAGGGGAGAGUGUUGUCUACGUACCCUCGUAAACCAUAAGCGGAAGCUUUAUGACAACGCGGUUGAUGUAGUCGUACGUCUUCACGAUCGACCGAUGUAACGCCCACGAUGCGGCUAUAUCUCCCACGUGUCGAGGCACGACUUGGAGGCAUAACCGCAUGGUGGUUUUGUCGCAAGAAGGGUCAUCUUCACACAAUCCCAUGUAAUGAACAAGAAUGGGAUAAAGAGUUGGCUUACAGUCGCCACUUCACACAAUACAUAAAUUAAACAUACAUCAUUCAGAGUACAAUCAAGGUCCGACUACGGAACCAAAAAAAAAGACAACCCCAAAUGCUAGAUCCCCGAUCGUCCCAACUAGGCUCCACUACUGAUCAUCAGGAAACGAAACAUAGUAAUGACCAAGGUCCUCGUCGAACUCCCACUUGAGCUCAGUUGCGUCACCGGCACUGGUAUCAACGGCACCUGCAACUGUUUUGGUAGAAUCUGUGAGUCACGAGGACUCAGCAAUCUCACACCCGCGAGAUCAAGACUAUUUAAGCUUAUAGGAAGGAUGGGGUAAUGAGGUGGAGCUGCAGCAAGCACUAAGCAAAUAUGGUGGCUAACAUACGCAAAUAAGAGCGAGAAGAGGAGCAACGCAACAGUCGCGAAGCUAGAAGUGAUCAAGAAGUGAUCCUGAAACUGCUUACGUUCAUACAUAACCCAAACCGUGUUCACUUCCCGGACCCCGCCGAAAAGAGACCAUCAGGGCUACACACGCGGUUGACGUAUUUUAAUUAAGUCAAGUGUCAAGUUCUCUACAACCGGAUAUUAACAAAUUCCCAUCUGCCACAUAACCGCGGGCACGGCUUUCGAAAGAUAAUACCCUGCAGGGGUGUCCCAACUUAGCCCAUCACAAGCUCUCACGGUCAACGAAGGAUAUUCCUUCUCCCGGGAAGACCCGAUCAGACUCGGAAUCCCGGUUACAAGACAUUUCGACAAUGGUAAAAUAAGACCAGCAAAGCCGCCCGGUGUGCCGACAAAUCCCGAUAGGAGUCGCACGUAGCUCGUUCUCAGGGCACACCGGAUGAGAUAGGCUACGAGUAAAACCAGACUUCGAGUUUCCCCGAGGUGGCCCCGUAGGCGGCUCGGUNNNNNNNNNNNNNNNNNNNNNNNNNNNNNNNNNNNNNNNNNNNNNNNNNNNNNNNNNNNNNNNNNNNNNNNNNNNNNNNNNNNNNNNNNNNNNNNNNNNNNNNNNNNNNNNNNNNNNNNNNNNNNNNNNNNNNNNNNNNNNNNNNNNNNNNNNNNNNNNNNNNNNNNNNNNNNNNNNNNNNNNNNNNNNNNNNNNNNNNNNNNNNNNNNNNNNNNNNNNNNNNNNNNNNNNNNNNNNNNNNNNNNNNNNNNNNNNNNNNNNNNNNNNNNNNNNNNNNNNNNNNNNNNNNNNNNNNNNNNNNNNNNNNNNNNNNNNNNCUAAAAUAAAGAUGACCCUCGGGCUCGCGAAAACCCAAGGGAAAGGUAUAGGAGGUAGCUAGUGAAAUGGUAAAACCAAGGUUGGGCCAUGCUGGAGGAGUUUUAUUCAAAGCGAACUGUCAAGGGGGUCCCAUAAAUCACCCAACCGCGUAAGGAACGCAAAAUCAAGGAACAUAACACCGGUAUGAUGGAAACUAGGGCGGCAAGAGUGGAACAAAACACCAGGCAUAAGGCCGAGCCUUCCACCCUUUACCAAGUAUAUAAAUGCAUUAAUUAAAUAAGAGAUAUUGUGAUAUGCCAAAAUAUCCAUGUUCCAACAUGGAACCAACUUCAACUAGCAACGCUAUAAGAAGGGCUGAGCAAAAGCGGUAACUUAGCCAAACAACGGUUUGCUAGGAAAGGUGGGGUUAGAGGCUUGACAUGGCAAUAUGGGAGGCAUGAUAUGGCAAGUGGUAGGUAGCGCGGCAUAGCAAUAGAGCGGAACAACUAGCAAGCAAAGAUAUAAGUGAUUUCGAGGGUAUGGUCAUCUUGCCUGAAAUUCCGCUAGGAAGAAGAUCAAGUCCAUGAACAUGACAAUCAGACGGAGUCGAACGAACCCUCACAACUCCGGAACGAAACCGAAGCUAACGAGAGAAGCAAACCGGAAAGAAGCAAACAACCUGGUAAACACACAAUCAUAAACAUGGCAUGAUGCACAAUCAAGUAUGAUGCAUGUCCGGUUUAAAUGAGGCAUGGCAUGGCAAAGUGCACAAACAAUACUACAAAUUAAGUGAAGCUCAAUAUGCAAUGAGUUGCAUAUUGACGAGACACCACAUCAAUUAUUUAGUUCUCUCUCGGUAAUGUACCCAAAAAUAUUAAAUGUUAUUAAACAUGGCAAUGGGUGAAGCAUAAGUAAACUAACUAUUUAGGCAAGUUUAAAUGAGGCAGGAACAACAAAUAAUAAUUCCGGAAAAUCCUCAUAUGCAUAUUUUGAAUUUGCUCCUGUUCUGUCCUAAAGCAUAUUUUAUUGUUGUUAAACAUGGAAGAUAGGUGCACCAUGUUAAACUAGGCAUUUUUCUACCCCAUUUACAUAUAAAGAACAUUUAAUUUGGAGCUACGGUUAAUUAGUUAUGAAAUAAUUCAUUUUAACAUGCUAUUUAUGCAAAUUAAUUCAAACAACACAUUUAAACAUCUUAAACAUGGAUGAAAGUGGUAUAUUAUGAAAAUAGAUGAAAUUCUAAGCAUUUUGCAUAUAUAAAACAUUUUAAACCGAUGCACAGUUGUGGAGUUAUUAAAUGCAUGAACAUGAGGGUGUAAUCUGUAAACAUGCAGUUCCCUGGUUACUUAUCAAGAUUGCAGAUCUGAAAAAAACCAUACGCGAGCCGAAUCUGGCUGGCCCUAUAGUGUAUAGGAAAGGGGCUGGAGGGGCUGCUCACCCAUGGGCUCGGCCCAGUCGGUGGAAGAGGCGCUGGGGCUUCGUGCUGGACGCGACCCAGGCGCGGGUCAACGCGCGGCGGCAGCGUGCGCUCGUUCUUUGCUCGAACGAGGACGAGGCAGAAGACAGGGGGCAAUGCAGGGGAAGCAGAGGCGCGGAACUUGGGGACGAGCGCUCCGGCAAGGGACUUGGCGAAGGCAGCGGAGAGGAGAAGGACUCCGGCGAGGACAGGCGCGAGCUCGGGCUACAAAUCGACGGGACUUGGGUCUCGGAGCAGCGGGGCGGCGGCCAUCCAUGGCGUCGGGCAGGGAGGCCCACGGACGGCGAAGACGGUGAGUGGACAAGGCGCUGCUGCGCUAGCGCGGCGCGCGAGGCUGAGGCCACAAGAAGGAACAGGUCUGGCGCUGCACGAAGCACCAAGGGGCGGCCAUGGCGUGGAGCUCCUGGUUCCUGCGGGGCAGAGAGAAAAACUGAGAGAAAGAGAGAGAUGCAGGGACGGAAAAGAGAAGAAAGGGAGGAGAGGCGACGAGGCCUGCUAGGAGUGGUUGCCGGCGGCGAGCUUCGCCGGGGGCAGCGGGGUCGCGAGGAGGUCAGAGGCGACAAGGGCGUGGAAGAAGGAGCUUGGGCUGCAGGAGAGUCCUGUUGGUGUUGCUGUUCGUCGCCGGCUGGGAGGGCCGGCUGGCUAUGCGAGAGCUCGAGGUCGGGGUUCGAACGAUGGUUGGCUGGGUUUGCAAAUCGAGGAGGUGGAUGGAGGGUGGAUCGACUAGAUGGAUGGAUCGAGGGGAUGGCUGGCUACGAGAUGGAUCUAGGAAGAUCCCGAGGUGGAAGAGGAGUGGGUAGUUGGCUGGCGGCGACGGGAUGGAUGGGAAAACUCUCCUCAAAUUUAGGGUUGGGUCAUUAUUUAUAGCAGAUGGAUUUAGGUUAGGGCUACCUCGUCCUUCCGAUCGCAAUCGGACGGUCGAGAAAUAAAUAGGUAGGGAGUCCAAAAAGAAAACGAAGAUAUUUUAUAGAUGUUUGGGGAUGAACUGAAUCCAACGGUGAUGACUGAGCAGGUCAGGUUCGGGGAAGUCUCGGACGCGCGCGAGGGGGUCAGUGCACUGUGCAGAAAGGGCCAAACGGUCGGACAACAAAAGAACGGUUGGUCUGAGAAACGUCAACGGAGGCGAGGGUGAAGCGGCAACUACGAACGGAUGCAAGUUUUAUGAAAACAUGUGAAUGCAAUGCACAUGGUGACAUGAUGAAAUGCAACAAGCAAAUAAAUCGCACGACGAAACUCGAAAUACAUGGAAGGCAUCAGAAGCGUCGGUCUUGGGGCGUUACAACACUCCACCACUACAAGAGGAUAUCGUCCCAAGAUCUAAGGAUGGCGCCGGAGAGAAACGGAAGAGGAAGAGGUAAAACAAAGUUGCUUCUUUGACAAACGAGUGAAACCCACAAACCUUGAGAGGUUGAACAAAUCGAAAGAAAGAAUACGAUGGAGGUGAACGAGAUUACAAACACUGUGUUAGCAGAGAAGAACAACGAACAUGAUGAGAACCAAGAGCUUAGGGGACAAGAUAGAUUUUGAAGCCACUCCGGUUAAAACAAGAUAGAGUUGGAUUAAGAAUGAUAUAAUUUGGACAGCACUCCGACUAAGAAUGGAAGGAAUUGAACAUGAUCUUGACAAGAUGAGAGGAUACUUGAUGAAGAAUGAGAGGAUACUUGAUGAAAUCAACAAACACUGCCUCCGGAACUAUUGGAAGAAUGGCACAAGGGGUAAGAAAGAUUUCAGACAGCGCUCCGGUUGAGAAGGGAGGCAAAACUUGAUAAGCUGAGAGAACUUAAAUGGAGGACGCGACACUCCGGUUGAAUGGAUAAGCAAAGGAAAGAACAUGAUCUUGAGAAAACGAGAUGAUUGGUCAAAGAGAGCAACAUCACAAUGCCUUCAGAACGAACGAAUAUAAGCUAGAUCGUCGGAAUAAGAGAACGGAGAAGGAAUGACAACUUCUACCACAAUUUAAUUUGGAAAGCAUCCUUGAAAGAAGGUUAGAGCGGAAUUGUUGGAAAACCAACAACGAAAGAAUAUGAUCCUCGUGGGCUUAUGGAGACAUCUCAAAACUUGAGGUGAAAUUCUGCCACUAACGAAAACAAUUGAUUGCUUGAGAGCGACACGGAGAUGAAAACUUGAUUCACCGCGAGAAUAGGAGAAAACCAUGGAUCAUUGAUAAGCACCACGAAUAGCAACAUUCCCAAUGGAAGGCUUUGGGUGAAAUAUAACCCAAGAUAACUCCAAUGAAGAAACGAUGGGUUUAAAUAUCUCAUUCUUGACAACAUGUGAAUCAUGAAACAUGAAUGAAACUGUCAAAAUGACAUAACACCACCUCAAAAGAUAUUGUAGAAAGAAUUGCACUUUGGAAUGCAAGAUGAAGAAUACUUGAACUCCUCAAAACAAAACAUGUGUUGAGCACCAUGUUUAUUUUGAAGUAUGGCUUGACGGAUCAUAACUUCGAGAGAAAUCUUGAAGAACAAUUGAAGAAUGAAAAGAAUCCUUGACGAACCACCAUGUGAACCUUCCAUGAAGAACUCCGGUAAAACAAGGAUGAUAGAAAGAGAGAAGUUGAAAACACAAGGCGAAGCCUUGCAAUGAUUUAGAUGGAGCUUCGCGACGAGAUAAUGCGGAAAAACUUGGAACUCCGGAAGAAGGAAUUAAUCACUUGGAUGAAACAAGAACAAGAAUUAUGUUAUACGUAUCCUUCACCAAUUUAGCUUGAUGACAAGCAACAGAUUUGGCAUACUACUUAUUCUCGUAGAAAGGAUUAAGACAGAUAUAGCGUAAACUUGAAGAAGGUAUUGAUGGAACCACCGGUGGGAUUUGGAAACAACGAAUGAAUUGAUACGAUGACAAAGGAAGAGAAAUCUUGAACGAACCACCAUAAGAAUUGAAAAUGAACGUAGCAAACGCACAAUUCACCGGGAAGAAUUAGAAAACGAAUGAGGAUACUUGACAGAAUUUAGAUACAUGAGAACGAAGAGAUCAUGAACUGAUUAGAGAAUACUUGAAUGAUGCACCGGUAAGAUUUGGAGAACAACAGCUACACGCUGAGAAUGAAUAAUUCUGAGAUGAUGGGCUCCGGAGAAUCAAACUGAAGAGACUCCCGAAAUGCUCCGGAUGGGUGAAAGAAUUCUCACAAUCGAAAACAAUUAUGAGAGGAUGGCAUCAAGCUUGAACUACGCAUCUUUAAGAGAACGGAGCAAGAUUUAAGAGAAAAUCUUCUUCAGUUUUCAAAUGCAGAGAAUGACGACAAGAGACACCACUAUGAAUUGUUGAGGCACUCCGGAAUGAAAAUUAGAAAGAUUGAACGAACGGUGAAAAGAAUUUGAAAGAUCUUGGAGAAAGACGUUUAACUGAUGAUAACUCAUUCUUACGUCAAACUUUGAACUGAAUUUGGGAAUAGCUCCGGGAAGAAUUAGAAGAGUCAGGUAAGAUCCUGGAAAAGACCUGUGGGUUAGGGCCCAGUCAAAAGAAACACCGUUGAACGAUUUAAAAGAGAGAUUACGCCGGUUGAUUUAAAUGGCUUGAAUGAGAUAACAACCUCGAGAUAGAUUGAACAGAUCUUGAAUGAAAAGACAAGCCUUCUGAGAUAUCUUCAGCGCUCCAGAACAAUUGAAUAGCGAGAAGUGGAUGAUUAAGAGGUGCACCGGCAUGAGAAAACAUUUGAAACAAGGAAAAGGAUAUGAUCGAUGAAGCUUGAAUUGAAUCCACCGGAGAAGAAAAGAGAGCGAAGAAUGAUAAACUUGAAGCUUCGUUAGUAUUUUCCUGAGAAUCACCGGAUAAGAACAUUGGCGGAAAAAAUGGAGAGACUUCACAUCCAUAAAAUAGAUACUUGAUUAAGAUAUCUGAGUCCUUGAAGAAAAGGGUGGGAGGGCGGGAAAAACAAAGACAACUUGGGACGGAUGAAGCAAACACCGUUGCAAAGAACUGAGAAUUGAUCUCGCGAAUGUUGAAAUGAUCGGAUCCACUUGAAAAAGAGCACGUCGGUUGGAAAAGAAUUGAAAAGACAACCUUGAUGAUCAAGAAGGAUUAUCAUCCACAUAGAAUUAUGAGAACACCGCUUAGAAUAAGGUAUGGAAUCAACACUUGGCAUUGAAGCAACUCAAAUACCACAAAACAAAACGAAAACAAAGGAUUUGGCUUGCAGAAUAAGCCGGAACAAACAUAUGAUAGAGAUUUCGUCCGAAGUUUUCGUGGUGGGACCCACACGGGCUCGAUCGUACAACACCAUCAUGUACAAGGCAGUGCACAUGACAUACGAAGCGUCCCCGAGUCAGCAUAGCCAAGGACUCUUUAAGACACAACGAGACCACUGUAAAACCAACCGUGGAUAGGCGGACCACUAGACGUCGAACCCCAAUCUCAUAUCAUGCAUCUGUCGGAAAAGAUAUCCUAGGAGCUACUUGAAUUCCCACUUAUAAACUCCCAAAACUUUCUGGUUAUGCAAUCAGGUGUUGGGGAUAUAGGGGACGCAAUAUAUCUCACCCAAAUUAACAAUACCUAGAUCCAGCUGUAUCCAUCCUUCAACACAUAACCAAGAAACCUUCGGAAAUCAUUUACCUCAACCUUCGAAAAGCAUCUGUUAUACAAGUUAUGGCAAUACUCCCGAAGUCCCGCCCCAGUACUGGGUGGCGUCGAGGUGAUCUCACCAACAACUGCAUAAAAGAGAUUUUCGAUGUCGGCGAAACUCAGGUAUUCCAGAACUGCAACGAUAAAAUUGUGACGACAACACCUCAGAGCUCAACUCCCCGGGACACUGCCACAACCCCUAAAUGUCAGGAGGCACCAAGAACAAUGUUCUCGUCACAAAACCAUCGAAACGAUUCCAAGAUACCCGCGUGAUCCUAAUUUUUUUUUCAUGAAAUUUGAGGAGAGGAGAGUCAAAACUUCUACGUUAGGGGGCCUCACCAGAAGGACGAAUGGACUGAGGAGUAAAAGAAUCCUACUCUCCGAUAUAUAUAAUCCUAAGACUCAAAACAUUUUUUUCUAGACUCAACAACGCUAGCGAUUCGAUCAAGCAGGGGGCUCCUAAGUCCGAGAUGGCUCUGAUUACCAACUUGUAAUGCCCACGAUGCGGCUAUAUCUCCCACGUGUCGAGGCACGACUUGGAGGCAUAACCGCAUGGUGGUUUUGUCGCAAGAAGGGUCAUCUUCACACAAUCCCAUGUAAUGAACAAGAAUGGGAUAAAGAGUUGGCUUACAGUCGCCACUUCACACAAUACAUAAAUUAAACGUACAUCAUUCAGAGUAUAAUCAAGGUCCGACUACGGAAUCAAAAUAAAAAAAACAACCCCAAAUGCUAGAUCCCCGAUCGUCCCAACUGGGCUCCACUACUGAUCAUCAGGAAACGAAACAUAGUAAUGACCAAGGUCCUCGUCGAACUCCCACUUGAGCUCAGUUGCGUCACCGGCACUGGUAUCAACGGCACCUGCAACUGUUUUGGUAGAAUCUAUGAGCCACGAGGACUCAGCAAUCUCACACCCGCGAGAUCAAGACUAUUUAAGCUUAUAGGAAGGAUGGGGUAAUGAGGUGGAGCUGCAGCAAGCACUAAGCAAAUAUGGUGGCUAACAUACGCAAAUAAGAGCGAGAAGAGGAGCAACGCAACGGUCGCGAAGCUAGAAGUGAUCAAGAAGUGAUCCUGAAACUGCUUACGUUCAUACAUAACCCAAACCGUGUUCACUUCCCGGACCCCGCCGAAAAGAGACCAUCACGACUACACACGCGGUUGACGUAUUUUAAUUAAGUCAAGUGUCAAGUUCUCUACAACCGGAUAUUAGCAAAUUCCCAUCUGCGACAUAACCGUGGGCACGGCUUUCAAAAGAUAAUACCCUGCAGGGGUGUCCCAACUUAGCCCAUCACAAGCUCUCACGGUCAACGAAGGAUAUUCCUUCUCCCGGGAAGACCCGAUCAGACUCAGAAUCCCGGUUACAAGACAUUUCGACAAUGGUAAAAAAAGACCAGCAAAGCCGCCCGAUGUGCCAACAAAUCCCGAUAGGAGUUGCACGUAUCUCGUUCUCCGGGCACACCGGAUCAGACAGGCUACGAGUAAAACCAGACUUCGAGUUUCCCCGAGGUGGCCCCGCAGGCGGCUAAGGAAUGCAAAAUCAAGGAACAUAACACCGGUAUGACGGAAACUAGGGCGGCAACAGUGGAACAGAACACCAGGCAUAAGGCCGAGCCUUCCACCCUUUACCAAGUAUAUAGAUGCAUUAAUUAAAUAAGAGAUAUUGUGAUAUGCCAAAAUAUCCAUGUUCCAACAUGGAACCAACUUCAACUUCACCUGCAACUAGCAACGCUAUAUGAAGGGCUGAGCAAAAGCGGUAACUUAGCCAAACAACGGUUUGCUAGGAAAGGUGGGUUAGAGACUUGACAUGGCAAUAUGGGAGGCAUGAUAUGGCAAGUGGUAGGUAGCGCGGCAUAGCAAUAGAGAGGAACAACCAGCAAGCAAAGAUAGAAGUGAUUUCGAGGGUAUGGUCAUCUUGCCUGAAAUUCUGCUAGCAAGAAGAACAAGUCCAUGAAGAUGACAAUCAGACGGAGUCAAACGAACCCUCACAACUCCGGAACGAAACCGAAGCUAACGAGAGAAGCAAACCGGAAAGAAGCAAACAACCUGGUAAACACACAAUCAUAAACAUGGCAUGAUGCACAAUCAAGUAUGAUGCAUGUCCGGUUUAAAUGAGGCAUGGCAUGGCAAAGUGCACAAACAAUACUACAAAUUAAGUGAAGCUCAAUAUGCAACGAGUUGCAUAUUGACGAGACACCACAUCAAUUAUUUAGUUCUCUCUCGGUAAUGUACCCAACAAUAUUAAAUGUUAUUAAACAUGGCAAGGGGUGAAGCAUAAGUAAACUAACUAUUUAGGCAAGUUUAAAUAAGGACGGAACAACAAAUAAUAAUUCCGGAAAAUCCUCAUAUGCAUAUUUUGAAUUUGCUACUGUUCUGUCCUAAAGCAUAUUUUAUUGUUGUUAAACAUGCAACAUAGGUGCACCAUGUUAAACUAGGCAUUUUCUACCCCAUUUACAUAUAAAGAACAUUUAAUUUGGAGCUAUGGUUAAUUAGUUAUGAAAUAAUUCAUUUUAACAUGCUAUUUAUGCAAAUUAAUUCAAACAACACAUUUAAACAUCUUAAACAUGGAUGAAAGUGGUAUAUUAUGAAACUAGAUGAAAUUCUAAGCAUUUUGCAUAUAUAAAACAUUUUAAACCGAUGCACAGUUGUGGAGUUAUUAAAUGCAUGAACAUGAGGGUGCAAUCUGUAAACAUGCAGUUCCCUGGUUACUUAGCAAAAUCACAGAUCUGAAAAAAACAUACGCGGGCCUAAUCUGGCUGGCCCGAUAGUGUACAGGAAAGGGGCUGGAGGGGCUGCUCACCCAUGGGCUCGGCCCAGUCGGUGUAAGAGGCACUGGGCCUUCGUGCUGGACGCGAUCCAGGCGUGGGUCAAUGCGCGGCGGUAGCGUGCGCUCGUUCUCUGCUCGAACGAGGACGAGGCAGAAGACAGGGGGCGAUGCAGGGGAAGCAGAGGUGCGGAACUUGGGGACGAGCGCUCCGGCGAGGGACUUGGCGAAGGCAGCGGCGAGGAGAAGGACUCCGGCGAGGACAGGCGCGAGCUCGGGCUACAGAUCGACGGGACUGGGGUCUCGGAGCACCGGGGCGGCGGCCAUCCAUGGCGUCGGGCUGGGAGGCCCACGGGCGGCAAAGACGACGAGUGGACAAGGCGCUGCUGCGUUGGCGUGGCGCGUGAGGCUGAGGCCACAGGAAGGAACAUGUCAGACGCUGCACGAAGCACCAAGGGGCGGCCAUGGCGUGGAGCUCCUGGUUCCUGCGGGGCAGAGAGAAAAACUGAGAGAAAGAGAGAGAUGCAGGGAUGGAAAAGAGAAGAAAGGGAGGAGAGGCGACGAGGCCUGCUGGGAGUGGUUGCCGGCGGCGAGCUUCGCCGGGGGCAGCGGGUUCGCGAGGAGGUCGGAGGCGAUAAGGGCGUGGAUGAAGGAGCUCGGGCUGCAGGAGAGUCCUGUUGGUGUUGCUGUUCGUCGCCGGCGAGGAGGGACGGCUGGCUAUGCGAGAGCUCGAGGUCAGGGUUUGAAUGAUGGUUGGCUGGGUUUGCAAAUCGAGAAGGUGGAUGGAGGGUGGAUCGACUAGAUGGAUGGAUCGAGGGGAUGGCUGGCUACGAGAUGGAUCUGGGAAGAUCCCGGGGUGGAAGAGGAGUGGGUAGUUGGCUGGCGGCGACGGGAGGGAUGGGACAACUCUCCUCAAAUUUGGGGUUGGGUCAUUAUUUAUAGCAGAUGGAUUUAGGUUAGGGCUACCUCAUCCCUCCGAUCGCAAUCUGACGGUCGAGAAAUAAAUAGGUAGGGAGUCCAAAAAGGAAACGGAGAUAUUUUAUAGAUGUUUGGGGAUGAACUGAAUCCAACGGUGAUGACUGAGCAGGUCAGGUUCGGGGAAGUCUCGGACGCGUGCGAGGGGGUCAGUGCACUAUGCAGAAAGGGCCAAACGGUCGGACAACAAAAGAACGGUUGGUCUGAGAAACGUCAACGGAGCCGAGGGUGAAGCGGCAACUACGAACGGAUGCAAGUUUUAUGUAAACAUGUGAAUGCAAUGCACAUGAUGAAAUGCAACAAGCAAAUAAAUCGCACGACGAAACUCGAAAUACAUGGAAGGCAUCAGAAGCGUCGGUCUUGGGGCGUUACAACCGAUCCUAGCACCGAAGGUAUGACACCUCCGCGAUCUGCACACGUUCGGCUCGGUGACGUCCCACGAACUGACGAUCCAGCAGAGUGUGAUGUCUACUACGCAACCUUCUUCCUGUAGAUGUUGUUGGGCCUCCAAGUGCAGAGGUUUGUAGGACAGUAGCAAAAUUCCCUCAAGUGGAUGACCUAAGGUUUAUCAAUCCAUGGGAGGUGUAGGAUGAAGAUGGUCUCUCUCAAACAACCCUGCAACCUAAUAACAAAGAGUCUCUUGUGACCCAACACACCCAAUACAAUGGUAAAUUGUAUAGGUGCACUAGUUUGGCGAAGAGAUGGUGAUACACGUGCAAUAUGGAUGGUAGAUAUAGGUUUUUGUAAUCUGAAAAAUAUAAAACAGCAAGGUAACUAAUGAUAAAAGUGAGCACAAACGGUAUUGCAAUGAGUAGAAACAAGGCCUAGGGUUCAUACUUUCACUAGUGCAAGUUCUCUCAACAAUAAUAACAUAAUUGGAUCAUAUAACUAUCCCUCAACAUGCAACAAAGAUUCACUCCAAAGUCACUAAUAGCAGAGAACAAACGAAGAGAUUAUUGUAGGGUACGAAACCACCUCAAAUUUAUCCUUUCUGAUUGAUCUAUUCAAGAGUCCGUAGUAAAAUAACGUGAAGCUAUUCUUUCCAUUCGAUCUAUCAUAGAGUUCAUACUAGAAUAACACCUUAAGACACAAAUCAACCAAAACCCUAAUGUCACCUAGAUACUCCAAUGUCACCACAAGUAUCCGUGGGUAUGAUUAUACGAUAUGCAUUACACAAUCUCAGAUUCAUCUAUUCAACCAACACAAAGAACUUCAAAGAGUGCCCCAAAGUUUGUACCGGAUAGUCAAGACGAAAACGUGUGCCAACCCCUAUGCAUAAGUUCACAAGGUCACUGAACCCGCAAGUUGAUCACCAAAACAUACAUCAAGUAGAUCACGUGAAUAUCCCAUUGUCACCACAGAUAAGCACAUGCAAGACAUACAUCAAGUGUUCUCAAAUCCUUAAAGACUCAAUCUGAUAAGAUAACUUCAAAGGGAAAACUCAAUCCAUUACAAGAGAGUAGAGGGGGGGAAACAUCAUAAGAUCCAAAUAUAAUAGCAAAGCUCGCGAUACAUCAAGAUCGUGCCAAAUCAAGAACACGAGAAAGAGAGAUCAAACACAUAGCUACUGGUACAUACCCUCAGCCCCGAGGGUGAACUACUCCCUCCUCAUCAUGGAGAGCGCCGGGAUGAUGAAGAUGGCCACCAGAGAUGGAUCCCCCCUCCGGCAGGGUGCCGGAACAGGGCCCCGAUUGGUUUUUGGUGGCUACAGAGGCUUGCGGCGGCGGAACUCUUGAUCUAGGUUAUGUUCUAGGGGUUUAUGUAUAUAUAAGAGGUUUUGGCGUAGGUCUCAUGUCAGGGGGGUCUCCGAGUCGUCCACGAGAUAGGGGCCCACGCCCAGGGGGGUGGGCGCGCCCUCCACCCUCGUGGACGGCUCGACUCUUCUGGCCCAACUCUUUCACUCCGGGGGCUUCUUUUGGUCCAUAAAAAAUCAUCAAAAAUUGGCACGUCAAUUGGACUCCGUUUGAUAUUCCUUUUCUGUAAAACUCAAAAACAAGGAAAAACAGAAACUUGCACUGGGCUCUAGGUUAAUAGGUUAGUCCCAAAAAUCAUAUAAAAUAGCAUAUAAAUGCAUAUAAAACAUCCUAGAUGGAUAAUAUAAUAGCAUGGAGCAAUAAAAAAUUAUAGAUAUGUUGGAGACGUAUCAAGCAUCCCCAAGCUUAAUUCCUGCUCGUCCUCGAGUAGGUAAAUGAUAAAAACAGAAUUUUUGAUGUGGAAUGCUACCUAACAUAUUUAUCAAUGUAAUUUUCUUUAUUGUGGCAAGAAUAUUCAGAUCCAUAAGAUUCAAGACAAAAGUUUAAUAUUGACAUAAAAACAAUAAUACUUCAAGCAUACUAACCAAGCAAUUAUGUCUUCUCAAAAUAAUAUAGCCAAAGAAAGCUCAUCCCUACAAAAUCAUAUAGUUUUUCCAUGCUUCAUCUUCGUCACACAAAAUACUCAAAUCAUGCACAACCCCGGUUUCAGCCAAGCAAUUGUUUCAUACUUUAGCAUUUUCAAACUUUUUUCAACUUUCACGCAAUACAUGAGCGUGAGCCAUGGACAUAGCACUAUGAGUGGAAUAGAAUAUAAUGAUGGGGGUUGUGUGGAGAAGACAAAAAAGGAGAAAGUCUCACAUUGACUCGCUAAUCAACGGGCUAUGGAGAUGCCCAUCAAUUGAUGCCAAUGCGAGGAGUAGGGAUUGCCAUGCAACGGAUGCACUAGAGCUAUAAAUGUAUGAAAGCUCAACAAUAGAAUCUAAGUGGGUGUGCAUCCAACUUGCUUGCUCACGAAGACCUAGGGCAUUUUGAGGAAGCCCAUUGUUGGAAUAUACAAGCCAAGUUCUAUAAUGAAAAUUCCCACUAGUAUAUGAAAGUGACAACAUAGGAGACUCUCUAUCAUGAAGAUCAUGGUGCUACUUUGAAGCACAAGUGUGGUAAAAGGAUAGUAGCAUUGUCCCUUCUCUCUUUUUCUCUCAUUUUUUUUGUUUUUUUGCCUUCUUUUUUUAUUUGGCCUUUCUCUUUUUUUAUUUUUAUUUUUUUCCCUUCGUCCGGAGUCUCAUCCUGACUUGUGGGGGAAUCAUAGUCUCCAUCAUCCUUUCCUCACAUGGGACAAUGCUCUAAUAAUGAAGAUCAUCACACUUUUAGUUACUUACAACUCGAUACUAGAACAAAAUAUGACUCUAUAUGAGUGCCUCCGGCGGUGUACCGGGAUGGGCAAGGAAUCAAGAGUGACAUGUAUGAAAAAUUAUGCAUGGUGGCCUUGCCACAAAUACGAUGUGAACUACAUGAUCAUGCAAGGCAAUAUGACAAUGAUGAAGCGUGUCAUAAUAAACGGAACGGUGGAAAGUUGCAUGGCAAUAUAUCUCAGAAUGGCUAUGGAAAUGCCAUAAUAGGUAGAUAUGGUGGCUGUUUUGAGGAAGAUAUAAGGAGGUUUAUGUGUGAUAGAGCAUAUCAUAUCACAGGGUUUGGAUGCACCGGCGAAGUUUGCACCAAAUCUCAAGGUGAGAAAGGGCAAUGCACGGUACCAAAGAGGCUAGCAACGAUGGAAAGGUGAGAGUGCGUAUAAUCCAUGGACUCAACAUUAGUCAUAAAGAACACACAUACUUAUUGCAAAAAUCUACAAGUCAUCAAAACAAAGUACUACAUGCAUGCUCCUAGGGGAAGGGUUGGUAGGAGUUAACCAUCGCGCGAUCCCGACCUCCACACAAAGGAUGACAAUCAAAGAAAUACCUCAUGCUUCAAAUUUGUUACACAACGGUUACCAUACGUGCAUGCUGCGGGACUUGCAAACCUCAACACAAGUAUUUCUCAAAUUCACAAUUACCAUACUAGCAUGACUCUAAUAUCACCAUCUUCAUAUCUCAAAACAAUCAUCAAGUAUCAAACUUCUCAUAGUAUUCAAUGCACUUUAUAUGAAAGUUUUUAUUAUAUCCCUCUUGGAUGCCCAUCAUAUUAGGACUAAAUUCAUAACCAAAGAAAAUUACCAUGUUGUUCUAAAGACUCUCAAAAUAAUAUAAGUGAAGCAUGAGAGUUCAUCUAUUUCUUCAAAAUAAAACUACCGUUGUGCUCAAAAAGAUAUAAGUGAAGCACUAGAGCAAACGACAAACUACUCCGAAAGAUAUAAGUGAAGAUCAAUGAGUAGUUGAAUAAUUAUGUAACUAUGUGAAGACUCUCUAACAUUUAAGAAUUUCGGAUCUUGAGAUAUUAUUCAAACAUCAAGCAAAACAAAAAAAAAUGGCAUUUCAAGGAUAGCACACAUCAUGUGAAGAAGCAAAAACUUAGGUUCAACCGAUACUAACCGAUAAUUGUUGAAGAAGAAAGGUGGGAUGCCUACCGGGGCAUCCCAAAGCUUAGAUGCUUAAUACUUCUUGAAAUAUUAUCUUGGGGUUCCUUGGGCAUCCCCAAGCUUGAGCUUUUCUGUCUCCUUAAUUCCUCUCAUACCACGGUUUGCUAAAUCUCGAAAGCUUCAUCCACACCAAACUCAACAAGAACUCGUGAGAUAAGUUAGUAUAAACCAAUGCAAAAACCUUAUCAUUUUCUACUGUAACAAAUCACUAAAAUUAUUAUUCAACAUUGCAUACUAAAUGCCUCUGCAUAUUUUAUACUCCUAUCCUCAAAUAGAAUCAUUAAACAAGCAAACAUAUGCAAACAAUGCAAACAUAACAGCAAUAUGCCAAAACAGUACAGUCUGUAAAGAAUGCAAGAUUCAUCAUACUUCCCUAACUCCAAACAUUAUGAAAUUCUACCACACUGUAGAAAAUUUAUCAGAGCUCAAUAUGAAAAAAGUUUCAACAUUUUAUCAUAUUCUGGCUUUUCUAGGGAAUUUUUGCAACAGCGAUAAACUUUCUGUUUUAAAACAGCAACAUGUAUACUUGCCAAAUAAGCAUGGUAAAGGCUAUCCUUGACAUUUUUAUUGAAAAUAAAGAUGCAAAACAUUAUUCUAAAUAACAGAAAGCAAAUACUAACAAAAUAAAAUGACGCACCAAGCAAAACACAUAUCAUGUGGUGAAUAAAAAUAUAGCUCCAAGUAAAGUUACCGACGAACGAAGACGAAAGAGGGGGUGCCAUCCGGGGCAUCCCCAAGCUUAGGCUCUUGGUUGUCCUUUAAUAUUACCUUGGGGUGCCUUGGGCAUCCCCAAGCUUAGGCUCUUGCCACUCCUUAUUCCAUGGUCCAUCGAAUCCUUACCCAAAACAUGAAAACUUCACAACACAAAACUCAACAGAAAACACAUAAGCUCCGUUAGUAUAAGAAAAUAAAUCACCACUUUUGGUACUGUUGUGAGCUCAUUCUAAAUUCAUAUCGGUGUAAUAUCUACUGUAUUCCAACUUCUCUAUGGUUCAUUCCCUCCAAUACUACUCACAGAUUCAUCAAAAUAAGCAAACAACACAUAGAAAACAGAAUCUGUCAAAAACAGAACAGUCUGUAGUAAUCUGUAACUCUCGAAUACUUCAGUAACUCCAAAAAUCCUACCAAAUUAGGAAAACCUGAGAAAUUUGUGUACCAAUCCAGAGCAAAAAGAAUCAGAUCAUAAGCACGUUUCUGUGAAAUAUCAAAACUAAUUUACUGGGCGCAAAAGUUUCUGGUUUUCAGCAGGAUCAACACAACUAUCACCGUAAGCUAUCCUAAAGGUCUUACUUGGCACUUUAUUGAAACAAAAGAUAUAAAACAUGAUUACUACAGUAGCAUAAUCAUGUGCAUUCACAAAAAUAGUAAGGUUAAAUAUUGGGUUGUCUCCCAACAAGCGCUUUUCUUUAAUGCCUUUUUAGCUAGGCAUGAUGAUUUCAAUGAUGCUCGUAUAAAAGAUAAGAAUUGAAACAUAACGGGAGCAUCAUGAAGAAUGUGACUAGCACAUUUAAGUCUACCCACUUCCUAUGCAUAGGGAUUUUGUGAGCAAACAACUUAUGGGAACAACAAUCAACUAGCAUAGGAAGGUAAAACAAGCAUAACUUUAAAACUUUAAGCACAUAGAGAGGAAACUUGAUAUUAUUGCAAUUCCUACAAGCAUAUAUUCCUCACUCAUAAUAAUUUUCAGUAGCAUCAUGAAUGAAUUCAACAAUAUAACCAUCAAAUAAAGCAUUAUUUUCAUGAUGCACAAGCAUAUAAAUUUUACUACUCUCCACAUAAGCAAACUUCUCCUCAUGAAUAGUAGUGGGAGCAAACUCACCAAAAUAAUUAUCAUGUGAAGCAUAAUCCAAUUGAAAAUUAAAAUCAUGAUGACAAGUUUCAUGGUUAUCUUUAUUCUUUAUAUCAUACGUGUCAUCACAAUAAUCAUCAUAAAUAGGAGGCAUGCUUUCAUCAUAAUAAAUUUGCUCUUCAAAACUUGGGGGACUAAACAUAUCAUCUUCAUCAAACAUAGCAUUCCCAAGCUUGUGGCUUUGCAUAUCAUUAGCAUCAUGGGUAUUCAAAGAAUUCAUACUAACAACAUUGAAAUCAUGCUCAUCAUUCAAAGAUUUAGUGCCAGACAUUUUAAUGCAUUCUUCCUCUAGCAAUUGAGCACAAUUAUCGGAAUCCUUAUUUUCAUGAAAGAUAUUAAAAAAGAUGAAGCAUAUGAGGCACCCUCAAUUCCAUUUUUUUGUAGUUUUCUUUUAUAAACUAAACUAGUGAUAAAACAAGAAACUAAAAGAUUCAAUUGCAAGAUCUAAAGAUAUACCUUCAAGCACUCACCUCCCUGGCAACGGCGCCAGAAAUUGCUUGAUGUCUACUAUGCAACCUUCUUCUUGUAGACGUUGUUGGGCCUCCAAGUGCAGAGGUUUGUAGGGCAAUAGAAAAUUUCCCUCAAGUGAUGACCUAAGGUUUAUCAAUCCGUGGGAGGUGUAGGAUGAAGAUGGUCUCUCUCAAACAACCCUGCAACCAAAUAACAAAGAGUCUCUUGUGUCCACAACACACCCAAUACAAUGGUAAAUUGUAUAGGUGCACUAGUUCGGCGAAGAGAUGGUGAUACAAGUGCAAUAUGGAUGGUAGAUAUAGGUUUUUGUAAUCUGAAAAUAUAAACACAGCAAGGUAACUAAUGAUAAAAGUGAGCACAAACGGUAUUGCAAUGCGUUGAAACAAGGCAUAGGGUUCAUACUUUCACUAGUGCAAGUUCUCUCAACAAUAAUAACAAAAUUGGAUCAUAUAACUAUCCCUCAACAUGCAACAAAGAGUCACUCCAAAGUCACUAAUAGCAGAGAACAAACGAAGAGAUUAUUGUAGGGUACGAAACCACCUCAAAGUUAUCCUUUUUGAUUGAUCUAUUCAAGAGUCUGUAGUAAAAUAACACGAAGCUAUUCUUUCCGUUCGAUCUAUCAUAGAGUUCGUACUAGAAUAACACCUUAAGACACAAAUCAACCAAAACCCUAAUGUCACCUAGAUACUCCAAUUUCACCUAAAGUAUCUGUGGGUAUGAUUAUACGAUAUGCAUCACACAAUCUCAGAUUCAUCUAUUCAACAAACACAAAGAAUUUCAAAGAGCGCCCCGAAGUUUCUACCGGAGAGUCAAGACAAAAACGUGUGCCAACCCCUAUGCAUAAGUUCACAAGGUCACUGAACCCGCAAGUUGAUCACCAAAACAUACAUCAAGUAGAUCACGUGAAUAUCCCAUUGUCACCAUAGAUAAGCACAUGCAAGACAUACAUCAAGUGUUCUCAAAUCCUUAAAGACUCAAUCUGAUAAUAUAACUUCAAACAGAAAACUCAAUCCAUUACAAGAGAGUAGAGGGGGGGGGCAUCAUAAGAUCCAACUAUAAUAACAAAGCUCGCGAUACAUCAAGAUCGUGCCAAAUCAAGAACACGAGAGAGAGAGAGAGAGAGAGAGAUCAAACACAUAGCUACUGGUACAUACCCUCAGCCCCGAGGGUGAACUACUCCCUCCUCGUCAUGGAGAGCGCCGGGAUGAUGAAGAUGGCCACCGGUGGUGGAUCCCCCUCCGGCAGGGUGCCGGAACAGGGCCCCGAUUGGUUUUUGGUGGCUACAGAGGCUUGCGGCGACGGAACUCCCGAUCUAGGUUAUGUUCUGGGGGUUUCUAUAUAUAUAAGAGGUUUUGGCGUAGGUCUCAUGUCAGGGGGGUCUCCGAGUCGUCCACGAGAUAGGGGCCCACGCCCAGGGGGGUGGGCGCGCCCUCCACCCUCGUGGACGGCUCGGGACUCUUCUGGCCCAACUCUUUCACUCCGGGGGCUUCUUUUGGUCCAUAAAAAAUCAUCAAAAAUUGGCACGUCAAUUGGACUCUGUUUGGUAUUCCUCUUCUAUAAAACUCAAAAACAAGGAAAAAACAGAAACUGGCACUGGGCUCUAGGUUAAUGGGUUAGUCCCAAAAAUCAUAUAAAAUAGCAUAUAAAUGCAUAUAAAACAUCUUAGAUGGAUAAUAUAAUAGCAUGGAACAAUAAAAAAUUAUAGAUACGCUGGAGACGUAUCAGAGUGUCGGGGAAGAGCUUCGUCAGCACAACGGCGUGAUGAUGAAGCUACCGGAGCAGGGCUUCGCCUAAGCACUACGACGAUAUGACCGAGGUGGAUUAUGGUGGAGGGGGGCACCGCACACGGCUAAGAGAUCAAUGAUCAACUUGUGUGUCUAUGGGGUGCCCCCCUCCCCCGUAUAUAAAGGAGUGGAGGAGGGGGAGGAGGCCGGCCUCCUAGGCGUGCCCCAAGGGGAGUCCUACUCCCACCGGGAGUAGGAUUCCCCCCUUCCCUAGUUGGAUUAGGAGAGAAGGAAGGAGGAGGAAGGAGGUAGGAAAGGGGGGGGCUGGCCCCCCUCCAAAUUCGGAUUGGGCUUGGGGGGGGGGGGCGCCCCCUCCUUUUCUCCCUUCUCCUCUCUCCCACUAUGGCCAAAUAAGGCCCAUAUACCUCCGGUGGUUCUGGUAACCUCCCGGUGCUCCGGUAUAUGCCCGAUCUCACCCGGAACUAUUCCGAUGUCCAAAUAUAGUCGUCCAAUAUAUCAAUCUUUAUGUCUCGAUCAUUUCGAGAAUCCUUGUCAUGACCGUGAUCAUAUCCGGGACUCCAAACUACCUUUGGUACAUCAAAACACAUAAACUCGUAAUACCGAUCGUCACCGAACGUUAAGCGUGCGGACCCUACGGGUUCGAGAACUAUGUAGACAUGACCGAGACUCAUCUCCGGUCAAUAACCAAUAGCGGAACCUGGAUGCUCAUAUUGGUUCCUACAUAUUCUAUGAAGAUCUUUAUCAGUCAUACCGUGUAACAACAUACGUUGUUCCCUUUGUCAUCGGUAUGUUACUUGCCCGAGAUUCGAUCGCCGGUAUCUCAAUACCUAGUUCAAUCUCAUUACCGGCAAGUCUCUUUACUCGUUCCGUAAUGCAUCAUCCCGCAACUAACUCAUUAGUUACAUUGCUUGCAAGGCUUAUAGUGAUGUGCAUUACCGAGAGGGCCCAGAGAUACCUCUCCGACAAUCGAAGUGACAAAUCCUAAUCUCGAUCUAUGCCAACUCAACAAGUACCAUCGGAGACACCUGUAGAGCACCUUUAUAAUCACCCAGUUACGUUGUGACGUUUGGUAGCACACAAAGUGUUCCUCCGGUAUUCAGGAGUUGCAUAAUCUCAUAGUCAUAGGAACAGGUAUAAGUCAUGAAGAAAGCAAUGUCAAUAUACUAAACGAUCAAGUGCUAAGCUAACAGAAUGGGUCAAGUCAAUCACAUCAUUCUCUAAUGAUGUGAUCCCGUAAUCAAAUGACCACUCAUGUCUAUGGUUAGGAAACAUAUCCAUCUUUGAUUCAAUGAGCUAGUCAAGUAGGCUAGUGACACUCUGUUUGUCUAUGUAUUCACACAUGUACUAAGUUUCCGGUUAAUACAAUUCUAGCAUGAAUGAUAAACAUUUAUCAUGAUAUAAGGAAAUAUAAAUAACAAAUUUAUUAUGGCCUCUAGGGCAUAUUUCCUUCAGUCUCCCACUUGCACUAGAGUCAAUAAUCUAGAUUACACAGUAAUGAUUCUAACACCCAUGGAGUCUUGGUGUUGAUCAUGUUUUGCUCGUGAGAGAGGCUUAGUCAAAGGGUCUGCAACAUUCAGAUCCGUAUGUAUCUCGCAAAUCUCUAUGUCUCCCUCCUUGACUUGAUCGCGGAUGGAAUUGAAGCGUCUCUUGAUGUGCUUGGUUCUCUUGUGAAAUCUGGAUUCCUUUGCCAAGGCAAUUACACCAGUAUUGUCACAAAAGAUUUUCAUUGGACCCGAUGUACUAGGUAUGACACCUAGAUCGGAUAUGAACUCCUUCAUCCAGACUCCUUCAUUUGCUGCUUCCGAGGCAGCUAUGUACUCCGCCUCACACGUAGAUCCCACCACGAUGCUUUUCUUAGAACUGCACCAACUGACAGCUCCACUGUUCAAUAUAAACACAUAUCCGGUUUGUGACUUAGAGUCAUCCGGAUCAGUGUCAAAGCUUGCAUCGACGUAACCAUUUAUGACGAGCACUUUGUCACCUCCAUAAAUGAGAAACAUAUCCUUAGUCCUUUUCAGGUAUUUGAGAUGUUCUUGACCGCUGUCCAGUGAUCCACUCCUGGAUUACUUUGGUACCUCCCUGCUAAACUAAUAGCAAGGCACACAUCAGGUCUGGCACACAACAUUUCAUACAUGAUAGAGCCUAUGGCUGAAGCAUAGGGAACACCUUUCAUUUUCUCUCUAUCUUCUGCAGUGGUCGGGCGUUGAGUCUGACUCAACUACACACCUUGUAACACAGGCAAGAACCCUUUCUUUGCUUGAUCCAUUUUGAACUUCUUCAAACCUCUAUCAAGGUAUGUGCUUUGUGAAGGUCCAAUUAAGCGUCUUGAUCUAUCUCUAUAGAUCUUGAUGCCCAAUAUAUAAGCAGCUUCACCGAGGUCUUUCAUUGAAAAACUCUUAUUCAAGUAUCCUUUUAUGCUAUCCAGAAAUUAUAUAUCAUUUCCAAUCAACAAUAUGUCAUCCACAUAUAAUAUUAGAAAUGCUACAGAGCUCCCACUCACUUUCUUGUAAAUAUAGGCUUCUCCAAAAGUUUGUAUAAAACCAUAUGCUUUGAUCACACUAUCAAAACAUUUAUUCCAACUCCGAGAUGCUUGCACCGAUCCUUAAAUGGAUUGCUGGAGCUUGCACACUUUUUUAGCAUCCUUUGGAUUGAUAAGACCUUCAGGUUGCAUCAUAUACAACUCUUCUUCCAGAAAUCCAUUCAGGAAUGCAGUCUUUACAUCCAUUUGCCAAAUUUCAUAAUCAUAAAAUGCGGCAAUUGCUAACAUGAUUCGGACGGACUUAAGCAUCGCUACGGGUGAGAAGGUCUCAUCAUAGUGAACUCCUUGAACUUGUCGAAAACCUUUCGCAACAAGUCGAGCUUUGUAGACAGUAACAUUACCAUCAACGUCAGUCUUCUUCUUGAAGAUCCAUUUAUUAUUGAUGGCUUGCCGAUCAUCGGGCAAGUCAACCAAAGUUUACACUUCUCUCAUACAUGGAUCCCAUCUCAGAUUUCAUGGCCUCGAGCCAUUUUGCAGAAUCUGGGCUCAUCAUCGGUUCCUCAUAGUUCGUAGGUUCGUCAUGGUCAAGUAACAUGACCUCCAGAACAGGAUUAUCGUACCACUCUGGUGCGGAUCUUACUCUGGUUGACCUACGAGGUUCAGUAGUAACUUGAUCUGAAGUUACAUGAUCAUCAUCAUUAGCUUCCUCACUAAUUGGAGUAGGAGUCACAGGAACAGAUUUCUGUGAUGAACUACUUUCCAAUAAGGGAGCAGGUACAGUUACCUCACCAAGUUCUACUUUCCUCCCACUCACUUCUUUCGAGAGAAACUCCUUCUCUAGAAAGGAUCCAUUCUUAGCAACGAAUGUCUUGCCUUCGGAUCUGUGAUAGAAGGUGUACCCAACAGUCUCCUUUGGGUAUCCUAUGAAGACACAUUUCUCUGAUUUGGGUUCGAGCUUAUCAGGUUCAAGCUUUUUCACAUAAGCAUCGCAACCCCAAACUUUAAGAAACGACAACUUUGGUUUCUUGCCAAACCACAGUUCAUAAGGUGUCGUGUCAAUGGAUUUAGAUGGUGCCCUAUUUAACGUGAAUGCAGCCGUCUCUAAAGAAUAACCCCAAAACGAUAGCGGUAAAUCAGUAAGAGACAUCAUAGAUCGUACCAUAUCUAGUAAAGUACGAUUACAACGUUCGGACACACCAUUACGCUGUGGUGUUCCGGGUGGCGUGAGCUGCGAAACUAUUCCGCAUUGUUUCAAAUGAAGACCAAACUCGUAACUCAAAUAUUCUCCUCCACGAUCAGAUCGUAGAAACUUUAUUUUCUUGUUACGAUGAUUUUCCACUUCACUCUGAAAUUCACUGAACUUUUCAAAUGUUUCAGACUUAUGUUUAAUUAAGUAGAUAUACCCAUAUCUGCUCAAAUCAUCUGUGAAGGUGAGAAAAUAACGAUACCCGCCGCGAGCCUCAACAUUCAUCGGACCACAUACAUCAGUAUGUAUGAUUUCCAACAAAUCUGUUGCUCGCUCCAUUGUUUCGGAGAACGGAGUUUUAGUCAUCUUGCCCAUGAGGCAUGGUCCGCAAGUACCAAGUGAUUCAUAAUCAAGUGAUUCCAAAAGUCCAUCGGAAUGGAGUUUCUUCAUGCGCUUUACACCAAUAUGACCCAAACGGCAGUGCCACAAAUAAGUUGCACUAUCAUUAUCAACUCUGCAUAUUUUGGCUUCAAUAUUAUGAAUAUGUUUGUCACUACUAUCGAGAUUCAAAAAGAAUAGACCACUCUUCAAGGGUGCAUGACCAUAAAAGAUAUUUCUCAUAUAAAUAGAACAACCAUUAUUCUCUGAUUUAAAUGAAUAACCGUCUCGCAUCAAACAAGAUCCAGAUAUAAUGUUCAUGCUCAACGCUGGCACCAAAUAACAAUUAUUCAGGUCUAAAACUAAUCCCGAAGGUAGAUGUAGAGGUAGCGUGCCGACCGCGAUCACAUCGACGUUGGAACCAUUUCCCACGCGCAUCGUCACCUCAUCCUUAGCCAAUCUUCGCUUAAUCCAUAGUCCCUGUUUCGAGUUGCAAAUAUUAGCAACAGAACCAGUAUCAAAUACCCAGGCACUACUGCGAGCAUUAGUAAGGUACACAUCAAUAACAUGUAUAUCACAUAUACCUUUGUUCACCUUGCCAUCCUUCUUAUCCGCCAAAUACUUGGGGAAGUUCCGCUUCUAGUGACCAGUCCCUUUGCAGUAGAAGCACUCAGUCUCAGGCUUAGGUCCAGACUUGGGCUUCUUCACUUGAGCAACAACUUGCUUGCCAUUCUUCUUGAAGUUCCCCUUCUUCCCUGUACCCUUUUUCUUGAAACUGGUGGUCUUGUUGACCAUCAACACUUGAUGCUCCUUCUUGAUUUCUACCUCCGUAGCUUUUAGCAUUGCGAAGAGCUCGGGAAUUGUCUUAUCCAUCCCUUGCAUGUUAUAGUUCAUCACGAAGCUCUUGUAGCUUGGUGGCAGUGAUUGAAGAAUUCUGUCAAUGACACUAUCAUCCGGAAGAUUAACUCCCAGUUGAAUCAAGUGAUUGUUAUACCUAGACAUUUUGAGUAUAUGCUCACUGACAGAACUAUUCUCCUCCAUUUUGCAGCUGUAGAACUUAUUGGAGAUUUCAUAUCUCUCAAUCCGUUCAUUUGCUUCAAAUAUUAACUUCAACUCCUGGAACAUCUCAUAUGCUCCAUGACGUUCAAAACGUCGUUGAAGUCUUGGUUCUAAGCCAUAAAGCAUGGCACACUGAACUAUUGAGUAGUUAUCAGCUUUGCUCUGCCAGACGUUCAUAACAUCUGGCUUUGCUCCUGCAGUGGGUUUGGCACCUAGCGGUGCUUCCAGUACGUAAUUCUUCUGUGCAGCAAUGAGGAUAAUCCUCAAGUUACGGACCCAGUCCGUGUAGUUGCUACCAUCAUCUUUCAACUUAGCUUUCUCUAGGAACGCAUUAAAAUUCAACGGAACAACAACACGGGCCAUCUAUCUACAACAACAUAGACAUGCAAAAUACUAUCAGGUACUAAGUUCAUGAUAAAUUAAAGUUCAAUUAAUCAAAUCACUUAAGAACUCCCACUUAGAUAGACAUCCCUCUAAUCAUCUAAGUGAUCACGUGAUCCAAAUCAACUAAACCAUGUCCGAUCGUCACGUGAGAUGGAGUAGUUUUCAAUGGUGAACAUCACUAUGUUGAUCAUAUCUACUAUAUGAUUCACGCUCGACCUUUCGGUCUCAGUGUUCCGAGGCCAUAUCUGCAUAUGCUAGGCUCAUCAAGUUUAACCCGAGUAUUCUGCACGUGCAAAACUAGCUUGCACCCGUUGUAUGUGAACGUAGAGCUUAUCACACCCGAUCAUCACGUGGUGUCUCGGCACGACGAACUUUCGCAACGGUGCAUACUCAGGGAGAACACUUGUACCUUGAAAUUUAGUGAGAUAUCAUCUUAUAAUGCUACCGCCGAAUUAAGCAAAAUAAGAUGCAUAAAGGAUAAACAUCACAUGCAAUCAAUAUAAGUGAUAUGAUAUGGCCAUCAUCAUCUUGUGCCUUUGAUCUCCAUCUCCAAAGCACCGUCAUGAUCACCAUCGUCACCGGCGCAACACCUUGAUCUCCAUCGUAGCAUCGUUGUCGUCUCGCCAACUAUUGCUUCUACGACUAUCGCUACCGCUUAGUGAUAAAGUAAAGCAAUUACAUGGCGAUUGCAUUUCAUACAAUAAAGCGACAACCAUAUGACUCCUGCCAGUUGCUGAUAACUUUGUUACAAAACAUGAUCAUCUCAUACAGUAAAAUUUAGCAUCAUGUCUUGACCAUAUCACUUCACAGCAUGCCCUGCAAAAACAAGUUAGACAUCCUCUACUUUGUUGUUGCAAGUUUUACGUGGCUGCUAAAGGCUGAGCAAGAACCGUUCUUACCGACGCAUCAAAACCAAAAUGAUUUUUCGUCAAGUAUGUGUUGUUUUUACCUUCAUAAGGACCGGGGGCGUAGCCACACUCGAUUCAACUAAAGUUGGAGAAACUGACACCUGCCAGCCACGUGUGUGCGAAGCACGUCGGUAGAACCAGUCUCGCGUAAGCGUACGCGUAAUGUCGGUCCGGGCCGCUUCAUCCAACAAUACCGCCGAAUCAAAGUAUGACAUGCUGGUAAGAAGUAUGACUAUUAUCGUGCACAACUCACUUGUGUUCUACUCGUGCAUAUAACAUCUACGCAUAAACCUGGCUCGGAUGCCACUGUUGGCGAACGCAGUAAUUUCAAAAACUUUCCUACACACACACAAGAUCAUGGUGAUGCAUAGCAACGAGAGGGGAGAGUGUUGUCUACAUACCCUCGUAGACCGUAAGCGGAAGCAUUAUGACAACGCGGUUGAUGUAGUCAUACGUCUUCACGAUCGACCGAUCCUAGCACCGAAGUUACGACACCUCCGCGAUCUGCACAUGUUCGGCUCGGUGACGUCCCACGAACUCAUGAUCCAGCAGAGUGUCGAGGAAGAGCUUCGUCAGCACGACGGCGUGAUGACGGCGACGAUGAAGCUACCGGUGCAGGGCUUCCCCUAAGCACUACGACGAUAUGACCGAGGUGGAUUAUGGUGGAGGGGGGCACCGCACACGGCUAAGAGAUCAAUGAUCAACUUGUGUGUCUAUGGGGUGGCCCCCUUCCCCGUAUAUAAAGGAGUGGAGGAGGGGGAGGCGGCCGGCCUCCUAGGCGUGCCCCAAGGGGAGUCCUACUCCCACCGGGAGUAGGAUUCCCCCCCUUCCCUAGUUGGAUUAGGAGAGAAGGAAGGGGGAGGAAGGAGGAAGGAAAGGGGGCCCGACCCCCCUCCCAAUUCGGAUUGGGCUUGGGGGGGGGGCGCCCCCUCCUUUGCUCCCUUCUCCUCUCUCCCACUAUGGCCCAAUAAGGCCCAUAUACCUCCCGGGGGGUUUCGGUAACCUCCCGGUGCUCCGGUAUAUGCCCGAUCUCACCCGGAACUAUUCCGAUGUCCAAAUAUAGUCGUCCAAUAUAUCGAUCUUUAUGUCUCGACCAUUUCAAGACUCCUCGUCAUGUCCGUGAUCAUAUCCGGGACUACGAACUACCUUCGGUACAUCAAAACACAUAAACUCAUAAUAUCGAUCGUCACCGAACGUUAAGCGUGUGGACCCUACGGGUUCGAGAACUAUGUAGACAUGACCGAGACUCAUCUCUGGUCAAUAACCAAUAGCGGAACCUGGAUGCUCAUAUUGGUUCCUACAUAUUCUACGAAGAUCUUUAUCGGUCAAACCGCAUAACAACAUACGUUGUUCCCUUUGUCAUCGGUAUGUUACUUGCCCGAGAUUCGAUCGGCGGUAUCUCAAUACCUAGUUCAAUCUCGUUACCGGCAAGUCUCUUUACUCGUUCCGUAAUGCAUCAUCCCGCAACUAACUCAUUAGUUACAUUGCUUGCAAGGCUUAUAGCGAUGUGCAUUACCGAGAGGGCCCAGAGAUACCUCUCCGACAAUCGGAGUGACAAAUCCUAAUCUCGAUCUAUGCCAACUCAACAAGUACCAUCGGAGACACCUGUAGAGCAACUUUAUAAUCACCCAGUUACGUUGUGACAUUUGGUAGCACACAAAGUGUUCCUCCGGUAUUCGGGAGUUGCAUAAUCUCAUAGUCAUAGGAACAUGUAUAUGUCAUGAAGAAAGCAAUAGCAAUAUACUAAACGAUCAAGUGCUAAGCUAACGGAAUGGGUCAAGUCAAUCACAUCAUUCUCUAAUGAUGUAAUCCCGUUAAUCAAAUGACAACUCAUGUCUAUGGUUAGGAAACAUAACCAUCUUUGAUUCAACGAGCUAGUUAAGUAGAUGCUAGUGACACUUUGUUUCUCUAUGUAUUCACACAUGUACUAAGUUUCCGGUUAAUACAAUUGUAGCAUGCAUAAUAAACAUUUAUCAUGAUAUAAGGAAAUAUAAAUAACAACUUUAUUAUUGCAUCUAGGGCAUAUUUCCUUCAUGGAAAACCUUUGCUCGCGUUCAUUGGUUGGCGGAGGGGCACGUCCUCCAUUUUAAAUUAAUGGAGGCUGAUCUGCUCUACAUUAAGGUCUUCGGGCGUUCGGGUGCUCGCUUAGGGUGUUGUGCGGAGAGCUCGACCGACAACGAAAGCUCCUCCUCGAGCGAUAGCGACGAAGAGCACACUGACGGCAAGGACGAUGGCAUCGAGCGAGGAGACGGUGGCUCAGACUCCAACUGAGCACCGGACGCACCGUCACCGUCAGCUAGGCGCUGCCAGCACCAUCAACCGCAGCUGGUCUUCUCCCUGGCAGAGCGAUUUGCCCUCCUCCAGCUGGACCCCGACAAGCUUCCUCAUGGACUCCAGCUUCAUCAUCCCUGCCGGUGUCCCUCCUGCCAUGUUCCGCUGGUCCUGGCGGUGGUGACUAGGGCAUCGCUUGGCCGCUCUCCCCGUCCAUCGUCUUCACCCCUUCCCUCCCAAUCUUGUCAGGCUGCGUCCCACGGGCCCUGGCGGGGUCAGGUUGGGUUUCUGCCUAGGCGCUCCUUUGCCCUCUUCACCUCCCACUGUGGCUCCCAGGAGUAGAGGGACAAGAAAGGCAUUACGUGGCACUUAUCUUUUUUCAAUCUAAAAAUUGUAGGCAUUCGCCAAACUUCAUCCUAAAUUAUGCAAUCGCUCACCCAUGUUUGUACUUUGUAUUAUUUGUACUUGUUUAUCCGCGUAUAAUGAAAAAAUAAUGCCUGCCGGGUACUUGUGCAUGUAUUGUUUCUAUGCAGAGGAACGAUUCCUCAAUACUCACAAGUAAACAAGGGUUCCCGUCAAGACACCUUGCCGGUCCCUUCCGUGGCGACUGCUGGACCCGGCCUGAUGGGUUAGGAGCAAGGAAGUGAACCAGCCCCUCGCCGCACCUACCUCAACUACUGCUGCGACCACCCUGACUGGGGCAAGUUCCCAAGUCGAAGGAGGGGAGCAUAGAUGUUAAGGGCAGCAAGGUUUUUCUACGCCAAGACAUUCAUACAGGGGCGUACUUGUGGAUGGGAAGAAAACUUAUCUGUGUUUCCUGCCCUUCUUAUUGCCUUGACAAUAAGGAGUUGCCGAGGAAUGACAUGCUAGGCUGCUUUUGCUUUUUCCCUUCGAGGAGUUUGUCCGUGGCAGGGGUGUGCUGAUAAUACAUGGGAAAGGCAGUAGCAUAUGACCGUACUUAUAGCAAAAUCAUACUUAAUAAAACAUUCAAGUGAUAACCCACAAGUAUAGGGGAUCGCAACAAUUUUUGAGGGUAAAGUAUUCAACCCAAAUUUAUUGAUUCAACACAAGGGGAGCCAAAGAAUAUUCUCAAGUAUUAGCAACUGAGUUGUCAAUUCAGCCACACCAGGAUAACUAAAGAUCUGCAGCAAAGUGUUUAGUAACAAAGUAGUAUGAUAGUAAUGGUAACGAUAGCAAAAGUAAUAUUUUUGGGUUUUGUAGUGAUUGUAACAGUAGCAACGGAAGAGUAAAUAAGCGGAGAACCAUAUGUGAAAAUCUCGUAGGCAUUGGAUCGGUGAUGGAGAAUUAUGCCGGAUGUGGUUCAUCAUGUAACAAUCAUAACAUAGGGUGACACAGAACUAGCUCCAAUUCGUCAAUGUAAUGUAGGCAUGUAUUCCGAAUAUAGUCAUAUGUGCUUAUGGAAAAGAACUUGCAUGGCAUCUUUUGUCCUACCCUCCCGUGGCAGCGGGGUCCUAGUGGAAACUAAGGGAUAUUAAGGCCUCCUUUUAAUAGAGUACCGGACCAAAGCAUUACCACAUAGUGAAUACAUGAACUCCUCAAACUACGGUCAUCACUGGGAGUGGUCCCGAUUAUUGUCACUUCGGGGUUGCCGGAUCAUAACACAUAGUAGGUGACCAUAGACUUGCAAGAUAGGAUCAAGAACUCACAUAUAUGCAUGAAAACAUAAUAACUUCAGAUCUGAAAUCAUGGCACUCGGGCCCUACUGACAAGCAUUAAGCAUAGCAAAGUCAUAGCAACAUCAAUCUCAGAACAUAGUGGAUACUAGGGAUCAAACCCUAACAAAACUAACUCGAUUACAUGAUAAAUCUCAUCCAACCCAUCACCGUCCAGCAAGCCUACGAUGGAAUUACUCACGCACGACGGUGAGCAUCAUGAAAUUGGUGAUGGAGGAUGGUCGAUGAUGACGACGGCGAUGGAUUCCCCUCUCCGGAGCCCCGAACGGACUCCAGAUCAGCCCUCCCGGGAGAGUUUAGGGCUUGGCGGCGGCUCCGUAUCGUAAAACGCGGUGAAUCUUUCUCUCUGAUUUUUUUCUCCCCGAACACGAAUAUAUGGAGUUGGAGUUGAGGUCGGUGGAGUUCCAGGGGGCCCACGAGGCAGGGGCGCGCCUACGGGGGCAGGCGCGCCCCCACCCUCUUGGCAAGGGUGUGGGCCCCUGGCCUUGAUUCUUUCGCCAGUAUUUUUUAUAUUUUCCAAAAAUAAUCUCCGUGAUGUUUCAGGUCAUUCCGAGGACUUUUGUUUCUGCACAUAAAUAACACCAUGGCAAUUCUGCUGAAAACAGCGUCAGUCCGGGUUAGUUCCAUUCAAAUCAUGCAAGUUAGAGUCCAAAACAAGGGCAAAAGUGUUUGGAAAAGUAGAUACGACGGAGACGUAUCAACUCCCCCAAGCUUAAACCUUUGCUUGUCCUCAAGCAAUUCAGUUGAUAAACUGAAAGUGAUAAAGAAAAACUUUUACAAACUCUGUUUGCUCUUGUUGUUGUAAAUAUGUAAAGCCAGCAUUGAAGUUUUCAGCAAAGAUUAUGAACUAACCAUAUUCACAAUAACAUUUAGGUCUCAUGUUUACUCAUAUCAAUGGCAUAAUCAACUAGCGAGCAAUAAUAAUAAAUCUCGGAUGAAAACACUUUCUCAAAACAAUCAUGAUAUGAUAUAACAAGAUGGUAUCUCGCUAGCCCUUUCUGAGACCGCAAAACAUAAAUGCAGAGCACCUUUAAAGAUCAAGGACUGACUAGACAUUGUAAUUCAUGGUAAAAGAGAUCCACUCAUAGUCAUACCCAAUAUAAACUAAUAGUAAUACAUGCAAAUGACAGCAGUGCUCUCCAGCUGGUGCUUUUUAAUAAGAGGCUGAUGACUCAACAUAAAAGUAAAUAGAUAGGCCCUUCGCAGAGGGAAGCAGGGAUUUGUAGAGGAGCGAGAGCUCGAUUUUGAAAUAGAGAUAAAUAAUAUUUUGAGAGGUAUACUUUCAUUGUCAACAUAACAACCAAGAGAUGGCGAUAUCUUCCAUGCUACACACAUUAUAGGUGGUUCCCAAACAGAAUGGUAAAGUUUAUACUCCCCCUCCACCAACAAGCAUCAAUCCAUGGCUUGCUCGAAACAACGAGUGCCUCCAACUAACAACAGUCCCGGGGGAGUUUUGUUUGCAAUUAUUUUGAUUUGAUUUGCAUAAAGCAUGGGACUGGGCAUCCCGGUGACCAGCCAUUUUCUCUUGAGUGAGGAGCGGAGUCCACUCCUCUUGAGAAUAACCCGCCUAACAUGGAAGAUACAGACAACCCUAGUUGAUACAUGAGCUAUUCGAGCAUACAAAAUAGAAUUUCAUUUGAAGGUUUAGAGUUUGGCACCUACAAAUAUACUUAGAACGGCAGGUUGAUACCGCAUAUAGGAAGGUAUGGUGGACUCAUAUGGAAUAACUUUGGGGUUUAAGGGAUUGGAUGCACAAGCAGUAUUCCCGCUUAGUACAAGUGAAGGCUAGCAAAAGACUGGGAAGCGACCAACUAGAGAGCGACAACAGUCAUGAAUAUGAAUUAAAAUUAAUAAACACCGAGUGCAAACAUGAGUAGGAUAUAAUCCACCAUGAACAUAAAUAUCAUGAAGGCUAUGCUGAUUUUGUUUCAACUACAUGUGUGAACAUGUGCCAAGUCAAGUCACUUGAAUCAUUUAAAGGAGGAUACCACCCCAUCAUACCACAUCACAACCAUUUUAAUAGCAUGUUGGCACGCAAGGUAAACCAUUAUAAACUCAUAGCUAAUCAAGCAUGGCACGAGCAACUAUGAUCUCUAAUUGUCAUUGCAAACAUGUUUAUUCAUAAUAAGCUGAAUCAGGAACGAUGAACUAAUCAUAUUUACAAAAACAAGAGAGGUCGAGUUCAUACCAGCUCCUCUUAUCUCAAUCAGUCCAUCACAUAUCGUCAUUAUUGCCUUUCACUUGCACGACCGAACGAUGUGAAUAAUAAUAAUAGUGCACGUGCAUUGGACUAAGCUGGAAUCUACAAGCAUUCAAUAAAAAGGAGAAGACAAGGCAAUAUGGGCUCUUGGUUAAAUCAACAAUAAUGCAUAUAAGAGCCACUUCAACAAUUUCAUUAUGGUCUUCUCCUAUCGACCCCGAAAGGAAAGAAAAGAAAUAACACUAUUUACACAGGAAAGCUCCCAACAAGCAAAAAAAGAACGGGAAAUAUUUUUGGGUUUUCUUUUUAAUUAUUACUACUACAGCAAGAAAAGUAAACUAGCUAAAGGGUACUACUAAUUUUUUUUGUUUUUCUUAAGGUUUAUCAAACACACAAGAAGAAAGCAUAAAAAUAAAAAUAAACUAGCAUGGAUAAUACAAUGAAAGAGUAUGAGCACCGACAUCUAGCAAUGAGUGUGUGAACAUAAAUGUAAUGUUGGUGAGAAAUACGUACUCCCCCAAGCUUAGGCUUUUGGGCUAAGUUGGUCUAUUGCCACGGAUGGCCUCGCGGAUAUCCAUAGUUAUAAUUGGGGUCGUACUGAGAAGAAGCCUCGAAUUGCCACUGGUUGGCAAUCGCCUCCGGAUCCCACUGGUAAUUAGACUGUUGUGGAGGAUCAAAUUGUGGUUCCGGCUCUGGCUCUCUAGCUGAUGUAGGGUUCCGGUAGGCAUGGAUGGCCGCCAGCGGAACGAGAUACUUGCCUGCAGACAAAUCGAACAAGGAAGGAGCAGGCAAGGUAAUAGUCUCAUGGUGAUUUUUAUCAAAUAAUAGUUUGUAUUUAAGCUCCAUUCCUCUAUUCUUAACAAUAAAAUCAUGCGCUACCAUACUCUUAUAGUCUAGAAAAACAGUAGGCAACAACUUUUCUUCUUUCUCAUAGUGCCUAAUAGGUAUGUUAUAGUAUGCAGCGAGGCGCGAGGCGAAGAUGCCUCCCAAGAUGGGGCCCUUAGUACGGUUAUGAUUUAACCGCCUUGCAACAAUAGCGCCCAUACUAAAUGUGUCAUCACGAAACAAUGCAUGGAACAAAAUAAUAAUAUCAAGGAGACUCAAGUUUCCACAGUUUCCGUGACCAAUUAAGCAUCUACUAGCAAAUAUAGCAAAGUAACGUAGAACAGGAAAAUGUAUGCUAGUGAUUCGUGCGUCGGAAACCUUCCUCGUUUCCCCUAUAGCAAUUGUAUCAAUAAACCCCUCCACACCUUUACUAUGUAGUUCCUCUAUGAUACCCGGAAAAGGUAACUUGCAAACCUCACAGAAUUCACGAAGGGCCAUCUUCUUAUACUCAUCAUAUAAAUAAAAAUCCACCAUAGGUGGUGACCUCCUAGAAUGGAAAUGAAAAUUUUGCACAAAGGUAUUGGUGAGUAAGAGAUACUGUUCGCGUUGGUCGCGGAGGAAGUCGGUGAGGCCUGCAUUCUCAGCCAACUCAUAAAAAUCAUCAUAAAUCCCGGUAGCUCUCAAGAAAUCAUCGCAACGCCAUUCACACGGCCGAACCUCCGCAGUGCGAGGCAGAUUAUAUUUGGGCCUCUCCGCUUCUUCACUUUGCUUUUCCUUCGAGCUUCGGCUCGAUGAGCCCCUCAAAAAUCUCCUCAUCAUUUUCUAAAAAUUUCUAAAUUUUUUAGUAACUUCAAAUAAAAGUGAACCAAGCUCAACAAAAUUGAUAGCAACUACUCCUACAAGUGCCUAGAGACUAUAUCAUUCAUUAGAACUACUUGGAACCAUAUAAAUUUGACAUGCAAGCUCAAGAACAUGGUCACCUAGGCAGCACAAAUUUGUAAUGAAUAAAGCACUAGAACAAAAACUAAUUGGACCAUUGGAGGAGUUACAUACCAAGGAACAAUCCCCCAAAGAAGUUUUGUGAGAGGUGCUUUGAGCAAGGAGAUCGAAAAUCGCAGCAAAAUGAGCUAGAACUCGUGCUUGAGCUGGAUGGUGAUUUUUUGGGAGGAAGAGGAAGUCUGUGUGUGCAGGAAUAAGUGGAGGGGAGCCACCGUGGGCCCAGGAGGCAGGGGGGCGCGCGCGCCCUGGACCCUCGUGCCCAAGUGCUUGCUCCCCCUGAUGUGUUCUCAGUGCCAAAUAUUCUCAAAUAUUCCAGAAAAAAAAAUCAUAUUUAAAUUUCAGGGCAUUUGGAGAACUUUUAUUUUUAGGGUAUUUUUAUAUUGCACGGAUAAUUCAGAUAACAGACAGAAAAAAUACUAUUUUUACUUUAUUUCAACUAAAUAACAGAAAAUAAAAGGAGGGUACAGAGAGUUGUGCUUUCUAACUUCAUCCAUCUCAUGCUUAUCAAAAGGAAUCCACUAACAAGGUUGAUCAGGUCUUGUUAACAAACUCAUUCCGAAUUGCACAAAACCGGAGAAUUUUCGAAUAGCACUAAGUUACCUCAACGGGGAUAUGCACAUCCCCAAUAAUAAGAAUAUCAUAUCUCUUUUUAACAGUAGGAAGGGGAAAUUUAAAACCUCCAAAAAUAAUCGAUGGAAUUUUUCCAAUAGAGUUUAUACUAUGAACUUGAGGUUGUUUCCUCAGAAAGUGUACCGUAUGCUCAUUUCCAUUAACAUGAAAAGUGACAUUGCCUUUGUUGCAAUCAAUAACAGCCCCUGCAGUAUUCAAAAAGGGUCUUCCAAGAAUAAUAGACAUACUAUCGUCCUCGGGAAUAUCAUGAAUAACAAAGUCUGUUAAAAUAGUAACAUUUGCAACCACAACAGGCACAUCCUCACAAAUACCGACAGGUAUAGCAGUUGAUUUAUCAGCCAUUUGCAAGGAUAUUUCAGUAGGUGUCAACUUAUUCAAAUCAAGUCUACGAUAUAAAGAGAGAGGCAUAACACUAACACCGGCUCCAAGAUCACAUAAAGCAGUUCUAACAUAAUUUCUUUUAAUGGAGCAUGGUAUAGUGGGUACUCCUGGAUCUCCUAGUUUCUUAGGUAUUCCACCCUUAAAAUUGUAGUUAGCAAGCAUGGUGGAAAUUUCAGCUUCCGGUAUCUUUCUUUUAUUAGUAACAAUUUCUUUCAUAUACUUAGCAUAAGGAUUCAUUUUGAGCAUAUCAGUUAAUCGCAUACGCAAGAAGAUAGGCCUAAUCAUUUCAGCAAAUCGCUCAAAAUCCUCAUCAUCCUUUUUCUUGGAUGGUUUAGGAGGAAAGGGCAUGGGUUUCUGAACCCAUGGUUCUCUUUCUUUACCGUGCUUCCUAGCAACAAAGUCUCUCUUAUCAUAACGUUGAUUCUUUGAUUGUGGGUUAUCAAGAUCAACAGCAGGUUCGAUUUCUACAUCAUUAUCAUUUCUAGGUGGAGCAUCAUCAUGAACAUUAUCAUUAACAUUAUCACUAGGUUCAUGUUCAUUACCGGAUUGUGUUUCAGCAUCAGAUAUAGAAAUAUCAUUUGGAUUCUCAGGUGUUUCAGCAAUAGGUUCACUAGAAGCAUGCAAAGUCCUAUCAUAUUUCUUCUUCUUCUUCUUAGAAGGACUAGGUGUAUCAACAUUAUUUCUCUGAGAAUCCUGCUCAAUUCUCUUAGGAUGGCCUUCAGGAUACAAAGGUUCCUGAGUCAUUUUACCAGUUCUAGUAGCCACUCUAACAGCAAAUCAUUAUUCUUACUAUUCAUUUCAUUGAGAAAAUCAUUAUGAGCUUUAAGUACUUGUUCUACUUGAGUGGUAACCAUAGAAGCAUGUUUACUAAUGAGUUUAGGUUCACCUUUAACUCUAGACAUAUAAUCACUCAACUGCUCAAUCAUGUAAGCAUUGCGUUUUAAUUCCCUACCAAAAUAUGCAUUGAAGUUUUCUUGCUUAACCAUAAAGUCAUCAAACUCAUCUAAGCAUUGGCUAGCAAAUUUGGUAGGAGGGAUUUCAGCUUUAUCAUAUCUAUAGAGAGAAUUUACCUUUACUACCUGUGUCGGGUUAUCAAGGCCAUGUAUCUCUUCAAUAGGUAAUGAAUUAAGACCAUGUAUUUCUUCAACAGGAGGUAAAUUCUUAACAUCUUCAGCUUUAAUACCCUUUUCUUUCAUAGAUUUCUUUGCCUCUUGAAUAUCUUCAGGACUGAGAAAUAGAACACCCCUCUUCUUCGGAGUUGGCUUAGGAGUUGGUUCAGGAAGCGUCCAAUUAUUUUCAUUGGUCAACAUAUUAUUCAAUAAAAUUUCAGCUUCAUCUGGUGUUCUUUCCCUGAAAACAGAACCAACACAACUAUCCAGGUGGUCUCUGGAAGCAUCGGUUAGUCCAUUAUAAAAGAUAUCAAGUAUUUCUUUUUUCUUAAGAGGAUGAUCAGGAAAAGCAUGAAGUAAUUGGAGAAGCCUCCCCCAAGCUUGUGGGAGACUCUCUUCUUCAAUUUGCACAAAAUUAUAUAUUUCCCUUAAAGCAGCUUGUUUCUUAUGAGCAGGGAAAUAUUUAGCAGAGAAGUAAUAAAUCAUAUCCUUGGGACUACGCACACAACCAGGAUCAAGAGAGUUAAACCAUAUCUUAGCAUCACCCUUUAAUGAGAACGGAAAUAUUUUAAGGAUAUAAAGUAGCGAGUUCUCUCAUCAUUAGUGAACAGGGUGGCUAUAUCAUUUAAUUUAGUAAGAUGUGCCACAACAGUUUCAGAUUCAUAGCCAUAGAAAGGAUCAGAUUCAAUCAAAGUAAUUAUAUCAGUAUCAAUAGAGAAUUCAUAAUCCUUAUCAGUAACAAAGAUAGGUGAAGUAGCAUACCAGGAUCAUAUUUCAUUCUAGCAUUCCGAGUUUUUUGUUUCAAGUUAGCUAAUAAUUUCUUAAGAUCACUCCUAUCAUUGCAAGCAAGAAAGUCUCUAGCAGUUUCUUCAUCCAUAACAUAGCCCUCAGGCACAACAGGUAAUUCAUAUUUAUUGGGAGAGUCUUCAUCAUCACUUUCAUCAAUAUUAUCAGUUUCAAUAAUUUCAUUCUCUCUAGCCCUAGCAAGUUGUUCAUCAAGAAAUUCACCAAGUGGCACAGUAGUAUCAAGCAUAGAAGUAGUUUCAUCAUGAGUAUCAUGCAUAGCAGAAGUGGCAUCAUCAAUAACAUGCGACGUAUCAGAAUUAAUAGCAGAAGCAGGUUUAGGCGUCGCAAGCUUACUGAAAACAGAAGGUGAAUCAACUGCAGAGCUAGAUGGCAGUUCCUUACCUCCCCUCGUAGUUGAGGGAUAAAUUUUUGUUUUCUCGUCUUUCAAGUUCUUCAUAGUGACCAGCAGAUAUAAAUCCCAAGUGACUCAAAGAAUAGAGCUAUGCUCCCCGGCAACGGUGCCAGAAAAUAGUCUUGAUAACCCACAAGUAUAGGGGAUCGCAACAAUUUUCGAGGGUAAAGUAUUCAACCCAAAUUUAUUGAUUCGACACAAGGGGAGCCAAAGAAUAUUCUCAAGUAUUAGCAACUGAGUUAUCAAUUCAGCCACACCUGGAUAACUUCAGGUCUGCAGCAAAGUGUUUAGUAACAAAGUAGUAUGAUAGUAAUGGUAACGAUAGCAAAAAGUAAUAUUUUUGGGUUUUGUAGUGAUUGUAACAGUAGCAACAGAAAAGUAAAUAAGCGGAGAACAAUAUGUGAAAACCUCGUAGGCAUUGGAUCGGUGAUGGAGAAUUAUGCCGGAUGCGGUUCAUCAUGUAACAAUCAUAACAUAGGGUGAAACAGAACUAGCUCCAAUUCAUCAAUGUAAUGUAGGCAUGUACUCCGAAUAUAGUCAUACGUGCUUAUGGAAAAGAACUUGCAUGACAUCUUUUGUCCUACCCUCCCGUGGCAGCGGGGUCCUAGUGGAAACUAAGGGAUAUUAAGGCCUCCUUUUAAUAGAGUACCAGACCAAAGCAUUAACACAUAGUGAAUACAUGAACUCCUCAAACUACGGUCAUCACCGGGAGUGGUCCCGAUUAUUGUCACUUCGGGGUUGCCAGAUCAUAACACAUAGUAGGUGACUAUAGACUUGCAAGAUAGGAUCAAGAACUCACAUAUAUUCUUGAAAACAUAAUAGGUUCAGAUCUGAAAUCAUGGCACUCGGGCCCUAGUGACAAGCAUUAAGCAUAGCAAAGUCAUAGCAACAUCAAUCUCAGAACAUAGUGGAUACUAGGGAUCAAACCCUAACAAAACUAACUCGAUUACAUGAUAAAUCUCAUCCAACCCAUCACCGUCCAGCAAGCCUACAAUGGAAUUACUCACGCAUGGCGGUGAGCAUCAUGAAAUUGGUGAUGGAGGAUGGUUGAUGAUGACGACGGCGACGGAUUCCCCUCUCCGGAGCCCCGAACUGACUCCAGAUCAGCCCUCCCGAGAGAGUUCAGGGCUUGGCGGCGGCUCAGUAUCGUAAAACGCGAUGAAUCUUUCUCUCUGAUUUUUUUCUCCCCGAACACGAAUUUAUGGAGUUGGAGUUGAGGUCGGUGGAGCUCCAGGGGUCCCACAAGGCAGGGGGGCGCGCCCCCCACCCUCGUGGCAAGGGUGUGGCCCCCUGGCCUUGAUUCUUUCGCCAGUAUUUUUUAUAUUUUCCAAAAAUAAUCUCCGUGAAGUUUCAGGUCAUUCUGAGAACUUUUGUUUCUGCACAUAAAUAACACCAUGGCAAUUCUGCUGAAAACAGCGUCAGUCCGGGUUAGUUCCAUUCAAAUCAUGCAAGUUAGAGUCCAAAACAAGGGCAAAAGUGUUUGGAAAAGUAGAUACGACGAAGACGUAUCAGCAAGGAAGUUUUAGAUGUUAGCGCUUUGUUUCAUUAUCUUUGCACAGGGUCUGCGCCUGGAUUUGUACAAAGGGUUACAUGCUCAGGGGCAAUGCUUGUACAAAAGGGGGUUGUCGGGGACUGAGACCGACAGCCGUGCCUUAUGGUUACAACUUACGAAGAUUCUCAAUAUUACACGAGUGUUGCACUUGGAUGGCAUCUUCGGUCUCCAGAAGGACUGUGCCAGGUCUGGUGACUCCUACUACCUAUUAAGGGCCUUCCCACUUUGGCAUCAAUUUGUUGGAACCCUUGGCAGACUGAACACGCCUAAGGACAAGGUCGCCUUCCUCAAGGCUCUGGGCAUGCACACUGCAGCUAUCAUAGCGGCCUAGGGCUUGCUCGUAGCGUGCAGGACGCACAGCGGCCCGGAGACGAUCUUCCUCAAGGAGCACAGCAUCGUCAUGCCAUAGCUGCUCUUGCUCCACUUCACGUAGGAAAGUACUCCAGGUGACCCGUAUAUGAGUUCCGUGGGGAGUACUGCUUCUGCCCCAUAUACUAGGGAGAAGGGAGCCUGCUCAGUAGCUCGAUUUGGUGUCGUCCGGAGGGACGAAAGAACCACCGACGGCUCAUCGAUCUAGCGCUUGCCUCAUUUUUGCAACUUAUCAAAAGUUCUUGUCUUGAGUCCUCGCAGCACUUCAGCAUUCAUCCUCCCGGCUUACCCGUUGCUUCGUGGAUGGGCAACAGAGGAGAAGGAGACCUUGCUUCCAAGGCUUUGGAUGUACUUCAUAAAGGUGCGGCUCGUGAACUGGGUGCCGUCAGUGAUCACUCUAUUGGGAACUCCAAAGCGGCACAACAAUCCUUUUAAGACUUACACCUGAUUGUGCGGUCACCUUCCUCACUGGCUCCACCUCAGGCCACUUUGUAAACUUGUCGAUUGCUACGUACAAGAAUUCAAAGCCCUCUGCAGCACGAGGGAAGGGGCCCAAGAUAUCGAGCCCCCAGACUGAGAAUGGCAAGGACAAAGGGAUCAUCUGGAGAGCUUGAGCUGGUUGGCGAAUGCUCUUGGAAUGGAACUGGCAGGCUUUACACUUGGUGACUAGCACAGUUGCAUCUUGGAGGGUAGUGGCCCAAUAGAAACCCUACCGAAAAGCUUUUCCGACCAGGGCCCUUGAUCCACUGUGAGAGCCGCACACACCCUUUGUGUAUCUCCACCAGUAGCUUCUGCCCAUCUUCCUGGCAAAUGCAUUUCAAUUUCACACCAUUUGGCCUUUUCCUAUACAGUGUGUCGUCGAUAAACUGAUACAUGCAUAUUUGACCGUCGGGCUACUUUUUAGCUUCUUCUUGCUCUUCGGGAAUUUCUCCUGUUUCAAGGAAGUGUACUAUGUGCUGCGCCCAAGUUGGGGCCCGCGCCUCGACAACAAGGACUAAAGGCACCUCCUCGUUCGUGGGAGCGCUUACCUCGACUGCAAGAACUUGUGGUUCCACGGGAGGGUGCUGCUCACCAACCGAAGUAGGUUCGUCCCAGGCAGCCUCUCUACCAGCGGCUUCGGGAAGCCCUGCCAGGAGAUACUUGCUGGAGUCCAACUUUCUCCUUUUUCUGGCCAUCAUUGAAGGGGACACUAAUGGUUGAGUUAGGUGGAAGAAAAAGUUCCUAGUUCCACAGGGAGCUUCUGUGCAACGCACUUUGGCAAGUGAUCAUCGAUACUAUUUUUGGCACGUGGCACAUGCUCGGUUUGUAACCCAUCAAAGUGGUCUUCCAGCUUUCCCACCUCCUCUACAUAUGCACCCUGAAAUGAAAAGCACCAUCAAAAUACAUGAUCCACUCCUCAGGCGCCUCCUUGCCGGGGAUAGCUGUCUCUAGUAUUUCUUCAUCUGCAGUGGGCGUCCAUUCUGCAAUGAACUCCGCUAGUGCCUUGCUCUGAAUAGUUGAGGUGCUUUCAUACAUUAGACCAAAGCUUGACAGUUCUAGCGCCCACUCAACUAUCCUGCCGGUGGCUUCGAGGUUCCUUAUUAUGCGCUGCAACGGGAAACGGGUGAGAACUGUGAUCUCGUGGGCUUGGAAGUAGUGGUGUAGCUUCCUCGAAGCCAUGAUGAGACCAAAGAUCGGCUUUUGCACUCCAGAGUACCUUGAUCUAGCACCUUGUAAUGAGCUGACAAAGUAAACUGGUCGCUCUACCACUUUCUUCCCUGCCGUAGUCUUGGGAUUGCUCUCAACUGCUUGCCUUGCCUCCCCUUUGUGUACGUCAUGUCUUGCCGCAGGUGUUUCGGUUCCUUCCCUGGAAGGGUCAGUUGCCGCGACUGCUUCCCCGUCCACUUCUCGCUGCGCCACCAGGGUUGCACUAACCACUUGAUUCGUUGCAGCUAAGUAUAGUAACAACGACUCUUUUGGUUUAGGCACAACCAAUUUGGGACCAGAGGAAAGGUAGGUUUUCAGGUCUUGCAGCGCUGCUUCUGCCUCCGGGGUCCACUUCACUGGGAUAGCAUUUUUCAAGAUUUUGAAAAAGGGCAAGGCAUGCUCAGCGGACUUGGAUAUGAACCUACUCAGUGCGGUAAUACAUCCAGUUAAACGCCUCAGGUCCUUGAUAGUCUUGGGUUCUUGUAUCUGCUCGAUCGCCCUGAUCUUGUCGGGAUUAGCUUCUAUCCCCCGGUGAGAUACAAAGAAACCAAGUAGCCUGCAGGAUGGGACACCAAAUACACAUUUCUCAGGGUUUAACUUCAAAUUUAUCUUGCACAAGUUUGCAAAGGUCGCUUUCAGUUCUUGAAUGAUUGUUGACCUAUCCUUGGUUUUGACCACUAUAUCAUCCAUAAAAGUUUCUACGUCUCUGUGCAACUAUGGCUCGAACCGAUCUGUACUGCUCUUGCAAAAAUGGAUCCUGGGCUCUUUAACCCGAAAGGCAUACGUACAAAGCAGUACGUGCCACAUGGAGUUAUGAAUGCAGUUUUCUCCUCAUCCUCCUUGGACAUAAAUAUCUAAUGGUACCCAGAGUACGCAUCCAAAAAGGAAAGCAGGUCACACCCGGAGGUGGAGUCUACAAUCUGAUCAAUGCGCUGUAGGGGGAAAGGGUCCUUUCGACAUGCCUUGUUCAAGUCUAUGAAGUCAAUGCAGAGCCUCCAUUUCCCAUUUGCCUUGCUACCACUGGGUUUGCUAACCAUGUUGGAUGCAACACUCCUCUGACUAAACCAGCUGCUUCAAGUUUCUUGACCUCCUCGGCAAUGAACCGAUGCCGUUUUAAAGCUUGCUUCCUAACCUUUUACUUGAUGGGCUAAGUGUGAGGGUAGAUAACAAGGUGGUGUUCAAUUACCUCCCUGGGAACACCGGCGAUGUCAGAUGGUUGCUAAGCAAACACAUCUAUAUUCGGCCGCAGGAAGGCAAUGAGCGCGCUUUCCUAUUUCUCAUCGAGGGCGGCGCUGAGGGUCAACAUACCAUCAGUGCCAUCCUGCUUUGCUGGGACCUUUUCACAGCAGGUGAAGAAAUCUUAGGCCUCUUUCUCGUGGAACUCCCCGGCAGGUCCUCAACAGGUGUUGCGCACUCCGAAGAGCCACGCUUUCCGGAGUCUUUGCCGGCAUCUCUGCUAGCUUUCUUCCCCUUCUUUGUUCCCUUGGCAGGAGCUACGGCUUCUGCAGCCUCGGCUGCUACCGCGUCUCGAUACAUUUGAUCCACACAUAUAAUUGCAUUUCUUUUAUCUGAUGGGGUGGAAAUUUUACCCAUCGGCCCUAGCAUCUUCAAGGUGUUGUAAGUAUAGUGGUAUGCUGCCAUGAAUUUUGCCAGAGCUGGACGACCAAGAAUCCCAUUGUAAGGCAAAGGAAGCUCAACCAUGUCACGACUCUUUCAGUCCGAUAGUUCAGCUCCCCCCAAAUUUACGGGUAAAGUGACCUUUCCCUUGGGCCGGCUCCUGCCGGGGUUGAUUCGUUGGAAAGUGCUUGUGGCCUUUAGCUCCUCAUCAGGGAUCUGCAGCUUGGCAACCACCUUAGGGGAAAUCAAGUUCAACUCAACCCCACUGUCAACUAGCAUCUUGGUGACUUUGAGGUUGCGGAUUGUUGGGCAAACCAACGAUGGCAAACAUCCAACCGCAGUGGUGCGACAUGAUGCACGAUCCUCUUCGUCAAAGAUAAUAGGCGUGCGGGACCACUUCAUUGGCCUCCAGGAGUCUGCAGCUGGCUCCACGGCAUUGACCUCACGUGCCCACUGCUUGAGCUGGAGGUGAGAGGAGUGCAAAGAUGUACCCCCGUCAAUACACAUGGCUUCGGUUACUUUCUGGAAUUCUUGCUCGCUGGUUUCUUUUUCAUCUGCAUCAUCACUCUCAUCACCCCCUUCUUUCUUCUCACGGCCCCUAGCAGAUUUUUCCUUUUGCUGCGGGGCCUUACCGCGGCGGCCUCCUCUACUACCACGACCUUUUCCGACAGCACCCUCUUGGUCUCUCUCCCUGUCGCGCUUCUCGUAUUCUGCCUUCUGCUUCUUAACAACCUGCUCAACUUGAUGGCAUUCUUGGAGAUCAUGACCUUUGGUGCGGUGGAUCUUAUAGUACGACCCGUCGGACUUUCCGGUUUUCUCUGCCGCCGCUGCCUCCUGGUAAACAGCGCACGUGGCAGCUUCCUUGUCGGGGGUCUCAGUUUAGCCUUCUUGCCGGCGCUGAGAUCACUAGAGCCCUCAAUGACCAGUACUGACUUUUCAUUUCAUUUCCUGUUACGCCUUCAGUUUCUCUUCUUUGGGUUAGUGGUCUUGUCGUCGUCCUCCAAAUCAACCUCAACGCCAUCCUCCUCCUCGGGGUGUCGCCUUCCUUCCUCAGCCCGAGCACACUUAUCCUGUAUCCUUCUGUUGCGCAUGUUUGAAUCGAACGCGGCAAUCACAGCUGCUGGGUGUAUCUCUGGAAUGUUAUGGUGUACUCGGCUGACCUCUGCAUAUAUUUCCGCAAACUCUCCCCUUCCUUCUAUGGAAGGACUUGCAAGUCACUGGGCCUCCCAGGUUCUUGGUGGCCACUCGUGAAGGCGCCAACAAAUUCGUUGCACAAGUCAGCCCAUGAUGAAAUGGAGUUCUCCGGCGGGUGCAUCAGCCACGACCUCAUAUUUGGCUUGAGUGCUAAAGGGACUUAGUUGGCGAACACUUUCUCAUCCCUGCCCCUGGCGGCUUGCACCACAAUUAUGUAAAUGCUCAAGAACUCUGCCUGGUUUAGCUUUCCAUCGUAUUUUCCUGGUAAUUCUGGCUUGAAUACUCGGGAAGAUGGCCAGCGGACCUGCCACAGCUCACGAGUGAAGACCGGGCACCAAACCUCGUAAGGUAAGUACCCUCCGUCAUUGGGUUCGGGCUCAUAAACGAUUGGGCCAUUGCUCCUGUCUGAUUCACGGCGUGGCUCCCGGCGUUGCUCCAUAGUGACGCGCGCAUCUUCCCUCCGCUGAUCUUCCAGAACUCGUCGCUGAUCUCGGUGGGGUCGCGGACCAGACGAGGACAUCGACAUUUCGUCGGGCUCCUUGACACGCUGCUCUUGCUGUGGCUGCCUCUAGGUCUGCUGCCAGGAGGGCACUGCACCGUUAGUGUAGCCCCCUCGACGCGGCCAUCAGCCCGGACUACUGUUGUCGUUCGCGGGUACCGCGAUGGCUCUGCCUACUGUGACUUCCCAGCUUCAGCGAAGCCGAUCAAACUUUGGAUGGUGGCCCUCCACUCGUCCAUCUUCCGUAGCUAUGCUCGGUAUAGCUGACAAGGCAGACCACGAUGUCGCUUGACUCCUGGUAGAACCAGCAGGAGCGUCGCCGUGUUCCUGCCGCCGUGAGCCAGUUGCCAUGGCAGUUUGACGAUGAGCGGGUUGCGUUUGGUGGUGGGUGACCCCGUUCUGCACCCCGUUUUCUCGUCGCGCUCUGGGCAAGGCGUCUGCCCAGUAGCCGCACCCAUGGUAGGCACGACUGGAGGGUCACGACUUGCACCAGAGCAGGUGUCAUCGCUGCAGCUGCGCCCGCUGGCACGGCGGGGAGGUGGAGACUGAAUGGUACCUCUACCUGUGGCCUGUGGGCCACGCUCGUGAGGCAGUUGUUGAUGCUCCCCGUCCCCGGCGUCUUCUGCUCCAACUUUGGCCACGGGGGACACAACGAUGGCACCGCCUGCACCAGUCGUGUCUCCCAUGGUGCCCACCUCUCCCAAUGCCGCCGCUGUGCCUACGGCGUCCGUGGCUACGUGCGAGGGAGCCUUCGAAGUGGAAGGGUGUGUGGUCGCGCCGGGUUUCUUCUUGGCCGCCAUGGACAAAGGAGGUGAUGGUGAUGAUCAACACGCUGAUCGCAACCUUGGGUUCGUGCAAGCGAUGCCCCCUACCUGGUGCACCAAAUAUGUCAUGGGGGAAUACGAUCACCUAUCAGGACACCGGCCCCUUUGUGGUUCGGCAAAGGGAAGAUCAUGUUGGACAAAGAGCGAAGGCCAUGAUGCAGCACGGCGAUGGGACUCUGGUGGUUGUUUACCCAGGUUCGGGCCGUUGGGAAGCGUAAAACCCUAGUCUUGCUUUGGUGGAUUGGACGGAGGAACACGAAGAACAAGCAGCGCUCAAGCCCGGCAAGGUGGCCUCGGGGAGAGCUGCUAUGCGCGUACAAGUGUGCAAGGGCCCGAAUCCCUUUCUAGGUAGCCUUGGAGCUCCUUUUAUAGUUCAAGGGGUAACCAUAGUGGCAAAACAGUCAUGAUCCAGAGAUUAGAUAGCUAACAUUGCUAUCAUACGUAACUAUGGUAGUUAGGCCAAAGUGCAUUAAAUGCACUGCUAGGUGUCGUGCUGAGGGCGAAACCAGGCAAGCCUUCCAUGCUGCUUAAUCAUCUUCUGCUUAUCAUCUUGACAGACCUCUGGAUGGGUGUCAAAUGGGUGUGAUCUGUCUUCCAACGAGUUGCCACGUUCUUAGUGGAAGCCACUUAAUCUCCUAGGGGCUUGACACCAUGUUGAUAAGUGACUUGCAUUGUGGUGCGGUGGAGCGGUGAUGCCUUAGCUGGCAUUCAGGUCUUGGCGACCCCGGCAGGCCUUCCGGGUUUUAUCCUGGAUUUGCUUCCGGGGCGGUCUCGACCUGGCCGUGCUCUCCUGCUCGGCAAGGGAGGCCUUCCCAAAGUGAUAUCUUGCUAUCUUGAUAUUCUUGAUGCACUCCUUGAUCUCACGAAGAAUGGUUUCUCUGGUCUUGGCCUUGCUUUGUAUGUUUGUGUUGGACAUACGAUCGCCAGCACGCCUGUGUAUAAGUUUGGUCAAUGAACAUUGGUGUUCGUUGUACCGACAAUAUCUAUAAUUUUUGAUUGUUCCAUGCUAAUAUAUUAUCCAUCUUGGAUGUUUUAUAUGCAUUAUUAUGCUAUUUUAUAUCAUUUUUGGGACUAACCUAUUAACCUAGUGCCAGUUGUUGUUUCUUUCCUUGUUUUUGCCUUUACAUAAAAUCAAUACCAAACGAUGUCCAAAUGGAACGAAACUUUUUGAUGAUUUUUCUUGGACCAUGCUACCUCUUAAGCACUGCAUUGGUUUUCCCUUGAAGAGGAAAGGGUGAUGCAGCAAAGUAGCAUAAGUAUUUCCCUCAGUUUUUGAGAACCAAGGUAUCAAUCCAGUAGAAGGCCACGCACGAGUCCCUCGCACCUACACAAACAAAUAAAUCCUCGCAACCAACGCAAUAAAGGGAUUGUCAAUCCCUUCAUGGUCACUUACGAGAGUGAGAUCUGAUAGAUAUGAUAAGAUAAUAUUUUUGGUAUUUUUAUGAUAAAGAUGCAAAGUAAAGAAAACAAAAUAAAGACGGCACCAGAAAUAGCUUGUUGACGGGAGAUUAAUAUGAUGGAAAAUAGACCCGGGGGCCAUAGGUUUCACUAGUGGCUUCUCUCAUGAGCAUAAGUAUUACUGUGGGUGAACAAAUUACUGUUGAGCAAAUGAUAGAAUUGAGCAUAGUUAUGAGAAUAUCUAGUAUGAUCAUGUAUAUAGGCAUCACGUCCGCGACAAGUAGACCGACUCCUGCCUGCAUCUACUACUAUUACUCCACACAUCGACCGCUAUCCAGCAUGCAUCUAGAGUAUUAAGUUCAUAAGAACAGAGAAACGCUUUAAGUAAAAUGACAUGAUGUAGAGGGAUAAACUCAUGCAAUAUGAUAUAAACCCCAUCUUGUUAUCCUCGAUGGCAACAAUACAAUACGUGCCUUGCUGCCCCUACUGUCACUGGGAAAGGACACCGCAAGAUUGAACCCAAAGCUAAGCACUUCUCCCAUUGCAAGAAAGAUCAAUCUAUUAGACCAAACCAAACUGAUAAUUCGAAGAGACUUGCAAAGAUAACCAAUCAUACAUAAAAUAAUUCAGAGAAGAUUCAAAUAUUGUUCAUAGAUAAACUUGAUCAUAAACCCACAAUUCAUCGGUCUCAACAAACACACCGCAAAAGAAGAUUACAUCGAAUAGAUCUCCACAAGAGAGGGGGAGAACAUUGUAUUGAGAUCCAAAAAGAGAGAAGAAGCCAUCUAGCUAAUAACUAUGGACCCGAAGGUCUGAGGUAAACUACUCACACAUCAUUGGAGAGGCUAUGGUGUUGAUGUAGAAGCCCUGCGUGAUCGAUGCCCCCUCCGGCGGAGCUCCGGAAAAGGCCCCAAGAUGGGAUCUCACGGGUACAGAAGGUUGCGGUGGUGGAAUUAGGUUUCUGGCUCCGUAUCUGGUAGUUUGGGGGUACGUAGGUAUAUAUAGGAGGAAGAAGUACGUCGGUGGAGCAACGAGGGGUCCACGAGGGUGGAGGGGGCGCCCAGGGGGGUAGGCGCACCCCCUACCUCGUGCCUUCCUGGUUGAUGUCAUGACAUAGGGUCCACGUGCUCUGGAUCACGUUCGUCCUGAAAAUCACGUUCCCGAAGGUUUCAUUCCGUUUGGACUCCGUUUGAUAUUCUUUUUCUGUGAAACUCUGAAAUAGGCAAAAAACAGCAAUUCUGGGCUGGGCCUUCGGUUAAUAGGUUAGUCCCAAAAAUAAUAUAAAAGUGUAUAAUAAAGCCCAUUAAUGUCCAGAACAGAAUAUGAUAUAACAUGGAACAAUCAAAAAUUAUAGAUACGUUGGAGACGUAUCAAGCAUCCCCAAGCUUAAUUCCUGCUCGUCCUCGAGUAGGUAGAUGAUGAAAACAGAAUUUAUGAUGUGGAAUGCUACUUGGCAUAAUUUUCAAUGUAAUUGUCUUAAUUGUGGUAUGAAUAUUCAGAUCCAAAAGAUUCAAGACAAAAGUUUAAUAUUGACAUAAAAAUAAUAAUACUUCAAGCAUACUAACUAAGCAAUUAUGUCUUCUCAAAAUAACAUGGCCAAAGAAAGUUAUCCCUACAAAAUCAUAUAGUCUGGCUAUGCUCUAUCUUCACCACACAAAGUAUUUAAAUCAUGCACAACCCCGAUGACAAGCCAAGCAAUUGUUUCAUACUUUUGAUGUUCUCAAACUUUUUCAAUCUUCACUCAAUACAUGAGCGUGAGCCAUGGACAUAGCACUAUAUGUGGAAUAGAAUGGUGGUUGUGGAGAAGACAAAAAAGGAGAAGAUCAUCUCACAUUAACUAGGCGUAUCAACGGGCUAUGGAGAUGCCCAUUAAUAGAUAUCAAUGUGAGUGAGUAGGGAUUGCCAUGCAACGGAUGCUCUAGAGCUAUAAGUAUAUGAAAGCUCAACAGAAGAAACUAAGUAGGUGUGCAUCCAACUCGCUUGCUCACGAAGACCUAGGGCAUUUUGAGGAAGCCCAUCAUUGGAAUAUACAAGCCAAGUUCUAUAAUGAAAAAUUUCCCACUAGUAUAUGAAAGUGAUAUCAUAGGAGACUCUCUAUCAUGAAGAUCAUGGUGCUACUUUGAAGCACAAGUGUGGUAAAAGGAUAGUAACAUUGUCCCUUCUCCCUUUUUCUCUCAUUUUUUUAUUUGGGCCUUUUCUAUUUUUUAUGGCCUCUAUUUUUUAUUUAGUCCGGAGUCUCAUCCCGACUUGUGGUGGAAUCAUAGUCUCCAUCAUCCUUUCCUCACUUGGGACAAUGCUCUAAAAAUGAUGAUCAUCACACUUUUAUUUACUUACAACUCAACUAUUACAACUCAAUACUUAGAACAAAAUAUGACUCUAUGUGAAUGCCUCCGGCGGUAUACCGGGAUAUGCAAUGGAUCAAGAGUGACAUGUAUGGAAGAAUUAUGAACGGUGGCUUUGCCACAAAUACAAUGUCAACUACAUGAUCAUGCAAAGCAAUAUGACAAUGAGGGAGCGUGUCAUAGUAAACGUAACGGUGGUAAGUUGCAUGGCAAUAUAUGUCGGAAUGGCUAUGGAAAUGCCAUGAUAGGUAGGUAUGGUGGCUGUUUUGAGGAAGGUAUAUGGUGGGUGUAUGAUACCGGCGAAAAGUGCGCGGUAUUAGAGAGGCUAGCAAUGGUGGAAGGAAGAAAGUGCGUAUAAUCCAUGGACUCAACAUUAGUCAUAAAGAACUCAUAUACUUGUUGCAAAAAUCUACAAGUUAUCAAAGCAAAGUAUUACGCGCAUGCUCCUAAGGGGAUAGAUUGGUAGGAAAAGACCAUCGCUCAUCCCCGACCGCCACUCGUAAGGAAGACAAUCAAUACAUAAAUCAUGCUCCGACUUCAUCACAUAAUGGUUCACCAUACGUGCAUGCUACGGGAAUCACAAACUUUAACAAAAGUAUUUCUCAAAUUCAAAAACUACUCAACUAGCAUGACUCUAAUAUCACCAUCUUCAUAUCUCAAAACAAUUAUCAAGUAUCAAACUUCUCAUAGUAUUCAACACACUCAUCAGAUUUUUUUUACAAAUCUUGAAUGCCUAUUAUAAUUAAAGCAAAUUACCAUGCUGUUUUGUAGGACUCUCAAAAUAAUCUAAGUGAAGCAUGAGAGAACAAUAGUUUCUAUAAAACAAAACCACCACCGUGCUCUAAAAGAUAUAAGUGAAGCACUAGAGCAAAAACUAUAUAACUCAAAAGAUAUAAGUGAAGCACAUAGAGUAUUCUAACAAUUUCCGAAUCAUGUGUGUCUCUCUAAAAAGGUGUGUACAGCAAAGAUGAUUGUGGUAAACUAAAAAGCAAAGACUCAAAUAAUACAAGACGCUCCAAGCAAAACACAUAUCAUGUGGUGAAUAAAAAUAUAGCUCCAAGUAAAGUUACCAAUGGAAGUAGACGAAAGAGGGGAUGCCUUCCGGGGCAUCCCCAAGGUUUGGCUUUUAGGUGUCCUUAGAUUAUCUUGGGGUGCCAUGGGCAUCCCCAAGCUUAGGCUCUUGCCACUCCUUGUUCCACAAUCCAUCAAAUCUUUUACCCAAAACUUGAAAACUUCACAACACAAAACUUAAUAGAAAAUCUCGCGAGCUCCGUUAGCGAAAGAAAAGAAAACAACACUUCAAGGUACUUGUAACACCCCAAAAAUUUGACAUUGUUUUAUUAAUUAAAAUUUGGCCAGGAAAAUUAAAUUUUUAUUUGUCUGGAUUUAGCUUUGAUUUCAGAACACCUCUUCUCUUUAACAUUGUGGGUUUUUACCUCUAGUGGAAACUUUUCAAAAGUAUUAUUGGACUUGUAUGCUCUCUCAAUAAAACAAUUCUUUAUCAGUGGAUUUAUUUGCAUAAUUUUUUUCCUAAGCUUUAUACUUUUAGAAUGAUCUUUCAUAAAUUUGGAGCCACUUUUGCACUGCAACCAUUUGAUAAAUGCUUUUAAAAUUUUCACCAAAAUUUGGGGAUGUCAUGUGAGGUUCCCACAUCACUUGUAUGCAAAAAUAUCUUUUGGUUAUUGGAGAUUUUGAUCUCUACAUCAAUUUUUCAAAUUUGGUCCAGUAGGUAUUUUUGCACUACAACCUAUUUAAAUUUUUUUCUGAAAAUUCUUCCAAGUGGUUGGAGAUGUCAGCAGAUGCUUAUAACUCAACUUCAUGCAAAAACCUAGUGUUGUUCUUUGAAAAAUUUCAAUGAAUCAUCCUCAUCUUCAUUCUGCUCCAGUUUGGUGAUUUGUACUACAACCCUAUUUUAUUUUGCCCUAGUGCCCUUGAGCUUUUUCCUACUUAUAGUCCUCCCUACCAAACCCUUAAGUCCAGGAGAUUGGACCCAUUGGAGUAUGUUUAGUGCAUGCAAUGAUAGCCUUUAGUUUCUGCCCAAAACUGGUUUUCUCAAAAACUUGCACUAGCAAGUUCCUGUUUUUGCCAAACUAACCUUACCACCUUCUUUAGCUCCUAAAGAGACUAGGAUCUGGAGAGUUUGGCCACCCCAAGAGUUGCCUAGAUGACCAUGGCAUUCUGUCGAACACCCUCUGUGCAGGAACAGUUUUGGCAGGUCUUCUAGUUUGCAUUGUGGACUUGAGCCCCUGACCCAGCAACCAUGUCCACUGAGCUCCUAGCUAUCCCUACCCUAGUCCUGUUAAUUGCUAGUCUCCCUUUCGCACUCUAAGCUGCCCUGGCAUUUCGUCGAGCAUGUCCCGUGCGUGCUCUGGGCGCGCCCAGAGCGCACGUUUUGCACGCGCGCGCACUGAGCCGCCGCGUCGCACUGCCGCCCUCGUCGCGUCCCUGUAACACCCUGGGAAUCAUGCUACAGUAACUCCCUGUGAUUAAGCUAAUCAUGUUGCUAAACAGGGCUUGAUCACAUUUGAAUCACCUUCCUUUUCAAACUCCUAGUUCAAACUUCAAAUAUAAUUAAAGUGGAAAAUAAAAGUUUUCAAAAAUUCAAACAAAAAUGUUCAGUGGGUGCCAAAUAUUACACUGGUAAUUAUGGUGGAGAAAACUCCUUUUUAUAAAAUGCCUCAAUGCUUUAAGUGAAAUAAAACAGAAAAGGAAAUAAGCAAAUAAAAAGAAAACAGAAAACAAACAGAACCCAGGCAAAAAAGAAAAGAAAAAGAAAAGAGCAAAAGCCCCCCCACUGGACCUGGCCCAACUGGGCCACCCCAGGCCCAGCCGGCCGGCCCAAACCCCCCUCACCUUAUCCCCUGCCCCCCCCACCGACAGCCUCACCACUCGUUNNNNNNNNNNNNNNNNNNNNNNNNNNNNNNNNNNNNNNNNNNNNNNNNNNNNNNNNNNNNNNNNNNNNNNNNNNNNNNNNNNNNNNNNNNNNNNNNNNNNNNNNNNNNNNNNNNNNNNNNNNNNNNNNNNNNNNNNNNNNNNNNNNNNNNNNNNNNNNNNNNNNNNNNNNNNNNNNNNNNNNNNNNNNNNNNNNNNNNNNNNNNNNNNNNNNNNNNNNNNNNNNNNNNNNNNNNNNNNNNNNNNNNNNNNNNNNNNNNNNNNNNNNNNNNNNNNNNNNNNNNNNNNNNNNNNNNNNNNNNNNNNNNNNNNNNNNNNNNNNNNNNNNNNNNNNNNNNNNNNNNNNNNNNNNNNNNNNNNNNNNNNNNNNNNNNNNNNNNNNNNNNNNNNNNNNNNNNNNNNNNNNNNNNNNNNNNNNNNNNNNNNNNNNNNNNNNNNNNNNNNNNNNNNNNNNNNNNNNNNNNNNNNNNNNNNNNNNNNNNNNNNNNNNNNNNNNNNNNNNNNNNNNNNNNNNNNNNNNNNNNNNNNNNNNNNNNNNNNNNNNNNNNNNNNNNNNNNNNNNNNNNNNNNNNNNNNNNNNNNNNNNNNNNNNNNNNNNNNNNNNNNNNNNNNNNNNNNNNNNNNNNNNNNNNNNNNNNNNNNNNNNNNNNNNNNNNNNNNNNNNNNNNNNNNNNNNNNNNNNNNNNNNNNNNNNNNNNNNNNNNNNNNNNNNNNNNNNNNNNNNNNNNNNNNNNNNNNNNNNNNNNNNNNNNNNNNNNNNNNNNNNNNNNNNNNNNNNNNNNGGCCACGCCCCGCCUGCCCCCCCUCGUCCUCGCGCACCCCGAGCUCCUCCGCCCGCACCGAUGGUCCCCGCGUGCUCCUGGCACUCCCAGGGCCCCGUAGAGCCCCACGUCUGGCCUUCCCGUGCCUCCCUUCGCCGUGCCCGUGCAACCCCGAACUCCGGCCGCCGCUAAGCUCACCGCCGAUGCCGUUUCCGGCCAUCUCCGGACUAACCACUACCACCAUCCGGCGCGGAUCGUCUUGGCCGUUCGAACGCGACCAAGCGCGCGUGAAACGGACCCCUGUGGCCGAAUUCCGGCCACGGCCGAGGCUCGCCGCCGUGUACGGGCUCGCCGGAGUGCCCUCCCGCCGCCGUCCGACGUGGCACACCUGGGGCCACCCCCUGGGUCACUGCCAGUGGGCCCCCUAGUCACCUGUUGACCAGUUGACCUGGUCAACUGGGCUGACUGGGCAGCCCCAGCCACUGACGUGCGGGCCCCACCACUUAAAAUAACUAAUUAAAAUGAUUUUAUAAUUAAAAGUAAUUAGUUUAACUAAUUAGUCACUGACAUGUGGGACCCAGCUGCUAAUUAACCACGUUUAAUUAAAAUAACCCACUGUUAGCCCUCUCUCUAUGACACGUAGGACCCACUGGUCAGUUUGACCUGGUCAGCGAGUCUGUUGACUGCUGACGUCAUCAGCACGUCAUGCUGACGUCAUUUUAUUUUUUCUGUUAUUUAAAUAAUUCCAGAAAUUCAAAUAAACUUUGAAAAUUCACAUCUUUUAAACCGUAACUCGGAUGAAAAUGAUUUCUAUAUGAAAGUUGCUCAGAACGACGAGAUGAAUCCGAAUACGCAGUCCGUUCAUCCACCACACCUCCCUAACCUAUCGAGCUAGCAACUUUCCCCCUCCGGUCCGUCAGUCCGAAAACGCGAAACAUCGGGAAUACCUCCCGGAUUCCCCCCCUUCACCGGUACCACUUACUGUCGCGUUAGGUCACCCCUAGCACCGCUCAUUGUCUUGUCACGCAUCGUCUUGCUUAUGUUUGCAUUGUAUUUACUGUUUCUUCCCCCUCUUCUCUCCGGUAGACUACGAGACCGACACUGCUGCUGCCCAGUUCGACUACGGAGUCGACGACCCCUCCUACUUGCCAGAGCAACCAGGCAAGCCCCCCCUUUGAUCACCAGAUAUCGCCUACUCUAAUCUCUACUGCUUGCAUUAGAGUAGUGUAGCAUGUUACUGCUUUUCGAUAUCCUAUUCUGAUGCAUAGCCUAUCCUUGCUACUACUGUUGACACCUUUACCUGCAAUCCUACAUGCUUAGUCUAGGAUGCUAGAUUUCCAUCAGUGGCCCUACAUUCUUGUCCGUCUGCUGUGCUAUACUAUCGGGCCGUGAUCACCUGGGCGGUGAUCACGGGCAUAUACUUAUAUACUAUAUACAUGACACAUGUGAUGACUAAAGUCGGGUCGGCUCGUAGGAGUACCCGCAAGUGGAUCUUUGUGGCGGAGCGACAGGGCAGGUUGAGACCGCCUAGGUAAGAGGUGGGCCUGGCCCUGGUCGGCGUUCGCGGAUACUUAACACGCUUAACGAGAUCUUGGUAUUUGAUCUGAGUUUGGCCAUUUGGUCUAUACGCACUAACCAUCUACGUGGGAGUAGUUAUGGGUAUCCCGGCGUCGUGGUAUCAGCCGAAGCUCUUUUGACGUCAGCGACUGAGUGGCGCGCGCCGUGUUGGACCACUUUGACGUAACCGCCGUGAUCGUGUGGGUUGCUAGGUCUGCUCGCGGCCGCGUUCGCAACGUGCAGGUGUGCAUAGGGCGAUGGGCCCAGACCCCUGCGCGCAUAGGAUUAGACCGGCGUGCUGACCUCUCUGUUGAGCCUAGGUGGGGCUGCGACGUGUUGAUCUUACGAGGCCGGGCAUGACCCAGAAAAGUGUGUCCGGCCAAUUGGGAUCGAGCGUGUUGGGUUAUGUGGUGCACCCCUGCAGGGAAGUUUAUCUAUUCGAAUAGCCGUGUCCCUCGGUAAAAGGACGACCCGGAGUUGUACCUUGAGCUUAUGACAACUAGAACUGGAUACUGAAUAAAAUACACCCUUCCAAGUGCCAGAUACAACCCGGUGAUCGCUCUCUAACAGGGUGACGAGGAGGGGAUCGCCGGGUAGGAUUAUGCUAUGCGAUGCUACUUGGAGGACUUCAAUCUACUCUCUUCUACAUGCUGCAAGAUGGAGAUGUCCAGAAGCGUAGUCUUCGACAGGACUAGCUAUCCCCCUCUUAUUCCGGCAUUCUGCAGUUCAGUCCACUGAUAUGCCUCUUUACACAUAUACCCAUGCAUAUGUAGUGUAGCUCCUUGCUUGCGAGUACUUUGGAUGAGUACUCACGGUUGCUUUUCUCCCUCUUUUCCCCUUUCUAUACCGGAUUGUCGCAAUCAGAUGUCGGAGUUCAGGAGCCAGACGCCACCGUCGACGACGACACCUACGACACUGGAGGUGCCUACUACUACGUGCAGGCCGCUGACGACGACCAGGAGUAGUUAGGAGGUCCCAGGCAGGAGGCCUUGCCUUUUCGAUCGUUGCUACUUUUGUGCUAGCCUUCUUAAGGCAAACUUGUUUAACUUAUGUCUGUACUCAGAUAUUGUUGCUUCCGCUGACUCGUCUAUGAUCGAGCACUUGUAUUCGAGCCCUCGAGGCCCCUGGCUUGUAUUAUAAUGCUUGUAUGACUUAUUUAUGUUGUAGAGUUGUGUUGUGAUAUCUUCCCGUGAGUCCCUGAUCGUGAUCGUACACAUUUGCGUGCAUGAUUAGUGUACGGUCAAAUCGGGGGCGUCACAAGUUGGUAUCAGAGCCGACUGCCUGUAGGAACCCCCCUUCCACACUCCUUGGCCGAAGUCGAGUCUAGUCAUUGCAAAACUUUUACUAACAUGGCUGUGCGGCUUACGGGCCCACGUCGCCAUUGGGUGGUACUAGGAUCUUUUACUCCUCGACCUUUAUUCUAGGACUCUGAACUCUCUCCUACUCGGGUUAAACGAAUUUACUAACUCAAACACUAGGAUCCCGUGACCGCGUUCACCCCUAAGAUGGAUAAGCCAUAGUUGUUUCUUAGAAUAGUAUUUUGAACAAUUCACACACUGUCAUUUGACUCCUUUGAAACGUCUUUGCUUUCAGAUGGAACCCACGAGGCAGGUUGUUCGCCACACGAUGGCCAUUGGUGCCUCGGGAUCACCUGCGGUGCUAGCUGAGAUGAUGACCUAUCUGGGUUAUCGCUGGCACCCUGAGUUCACCGUCUACGAGGAGUACCAGGACUUUAACCAGGAGCAGUACCGUGCCAUCGUCCACCUCUACUCUCGGGAGUACGACUCCACUACUGUGCUGCACACCGCACAUGGUGUUGGUGUGACCAUCGAUAUGGCUGUCCACGAUGCAGCCUAUGCUGCUCUGACACGUCUUCGUGGAGAGUAUCGGGAGUUGGACACCUCCCCCUUCAGGCACAUUGCUAUCGCCUCUGAUGUUGGUGCGGAGGGAUACUACACUGCUGCCUACUCCACUGUCACCCGAGAGCCCUUCUACCAUCAGCACCUGGUUCUGCAUGCUGAUGGGCUGGAUCGAGCUAACCGAGCUCUUCGCCACGAGAUGUACACCACCCGUCAGCACCUUUACCGUGCUCUGACGCUGCUGCACCCUUUUGUCCGGUCUGGACAGGUACCGCGUGUUGCGAUCUACCCAGCCAGGACCGUGAUGCCCCACGGUGUCGGUUGGCCAGAGGUGGGAGGCUACUCUCCCGCACUUGGUUCUCUUCUGCCACCUGAGCGUCGGACUCUACACCUGAGUAUCCGCGGCCCCCAGUCUGCUGACGUGGAGGACUAUCCGUUGCCUCACUACCAGCUGUCGGGCUACGAUUACCUCCACAGUACCUCUUGGGACUGAUGUAGGCUUGAUUGUAGUAUUAGUUUCAGUCGCCGCGAGCCUGUGUGCCGCCUAUGAUGUUUUAGUCUAUGUACUGAACUCUAUGCAUGACCCCUUUUGUAAGUUAUGCCGACUACUAUGUAGUAGCUAUCGUGCUCCUUUCAUUGUGCAUGUUUCAUCAUGAAUGAUUCUUGUCAUUGCAAAUUUUCUCAAUGCUGAACUACCCCUGUUAUAUAUUAGCAGGAUGGUUAGACCAGGUGGUCGUGGUCGUGGUGGCGAUGCCCCACCACCACCUGAGUACAUGGCUGGUAUGAUCCAACAGUUUGAACUGAACCGCCAAUUCAUGGAAAAUAUGAUGGCUCAGUUUCCUCGCCCCAAUAUGAACCAACAGCCAGCUCAAGUGACUCUUCAAGAUUUCAUACGCCUCAACCCAACCAUCUACCGCAGCUCAACUCAGCCUCUGGAUGCUGAUGACUGGCUCCGUGACAUCACCUAUGAGAUGGAGUCUGCUGAUGUAGCCCCUGCCAGCUAUGUCAAUUUUGCUUCCUUCUUCUUGAAGGGACCCGCAGCUCAAUGGUGGGACAGCCACAGGCGCACUCUGCCAGCUGGAACAAUCAUCACCUGGCCAGACUUCCAAGCUGCUUUCCGUGCCCGCUUCAUUCCUCAGGGAGUCAUGGACCGGAAGAAGCGUGAGUUCCGCAACCUCACCCAAGGCAACAAAUCUGUCGAAGCUUAUCAGCGGGAGUUUCUGGACUUGUCCCGCUAUGCUGAAGAAGACAUUGCAACUGAUGCACGCAGACAGGAGAAGUUCCGUGAUGGACUACAAGCUGACAUCAAGCUCGCACUUCUAGUGCAUGACUUCGCCGAUUUCGCCACCUUGGUGAAUAAGGCCAUCAAUGUCGAGACUGGUCUGCAGGAAUACCAGAGCUCUCAGAGGCGCAACCGUGACACGGGCUCAUCUUCGGGCUCGCCCUCACAGAAGCGUAAGAUAUGGAUCCCGAACAGCAUGUAUCGACCAAAUGCACCUGCUCCCAGGAAAUCUUAUGCUGCACCGCGUCUGCCUCCUCCACCAUCUAGGCAGUCAAAGCUACCAGCUCCCCCACCUGGGGCUCCUGUUCCCACUCCCGAUAAUGGUCUGUGCUUCAAGUGUGGUCAACCGGGUCACUUUGCCAGGAACUGCUAUCAGAAUCAGAAUCAACUGGCCCUUCCAGCAGCUGGCCGUGGUAACAACCAGCCCCGCAACAACAAUGCUAAGUCUCAUGGUCGUGCUCAUGCCAACCACGUUGAUCUCAGCGAAGCUCAAGACCAGCCUGCUACUGUGAUGGGUACACUCCUCGUAAAUUCAGUACCAGCAUCCGUUUUAUUUGAUACAGGAGCAUCCCACUCAUUCAUUUCAGCAGAAUUUGCAUUCCUGCAUGGCAUUAAUCACGAAGAGAUAAACACUCCGCUAGUGGUACACACCCCUGCGGGCCAAUGUCAAACCUCUAUGGUUAGUCGCGAUGUUACUGUUGAAAUUGAAGGACUGGAAUUUCUUGUCUCUCCCAUCGUACUGAAGUCCUGUAGCAUUGAUCUCAUUCUGGGAAUGAAUUGGUUAAAAGCGCAUACUGCUUCAAUCGUUUGCACCACUAAGACCGUCCAUCUGCUACACCCUUCAGAUGAGAUAGUUACUUACCAAGCCCAUCUGGUGCAAAAUGCGGAGGCAAGGCUCUAUGCAUUGAAUGCAUUGAACGCUGCACCACUCGAGGGCAUUGAAAACAUUCCCGUCGUGCGUGAAUUCCUCGACGUCUUUCCUGAAGAACUUCCGGGGAUUCCCCCUGCUAGAGCUGUCGAAUUCAUCAUCGACUUGAAACCAGGCACCACUCCUAUAGCCAAGCGACCCUACAAAAUGCCGCCGCAUGAACUCCUUGAGCUUAAGGAGGAAAUCGACAAGUCUCUUCGCAAAGGAUUCAUUCGCCCAAGUUGCUCUCCUUGGGGAGCACCUUCUCUCUUUGUCAAGAAGAAGGAUGGGACAAACCGGUUAGUUCAAGACUACCGUCCUAUAAACCAAGCUACCAUUCAGAAUAAAUACCCUCUUCCUCGGAUCAAUGAUCUGUAUGAUCAACUGGCGGGUUCGUCAGUGUUCUCUAAGCUCGACUUGAGGUCGGGCUACCACCAGAUCCGUGUUCGCGAAGAGGAUAUCCCAAAGACCGCCUUCGUGACUCGCUAUGGUUCAUACGAGUACACCGUCAUGUCUUUCGGUUUAACCAAUGCUCCAGCCACCUUCUCUCGUCUGAUGAACUACAUAUUCAUGGAUUACCUCGACAAGUUUGUCGUGGUUUAUCUGGAUGAUAUCCUGAUAUUUUCCAAGAACGAAGAAGAACAUGCUGAACAUCUUCGUCUUGUGCUGGAAAAGCUACGAGAACAUCAACUAUAUGCCAAGUUCUCCAAAUGUGAAUUCUGGCUACCGGAAGUAACCUAUCUUGGGCAUGUCAUCUCUAAGGAUGGUAUUGCCGUCAACCCUGAACGAGUUCAGGCUAUUCUUGAUUGGACUCCUCCCAAGAACGUUAAGCAAGUCAGAAGUUUUCUCGGUCUCGCCAGCUAUUGCCGUCGAUUCGUCGAGAACUUCUCUAAGAUCGCCAGGCCUCUGACUAACCUGUUGCAUAAGGGUGUCAAGUUCCAAUGGACAGACAAAUGUCAGGAAAGUUUCCAGGCACUCAAAGACAAGUUGACUUCUGCCCCAGUUCUAGCUCCACCUGAUACUAAGAAGGACUUCGUCAUUUACUGCGACGCUUCCCGUCAAGGGUUAGGCUGUGUCCUAAUGCAAGACCGCAAAGUGAUUGCUUAUGCCUCUCGACAAUUGCGCCCUCACGAAGAGAACUACCCAGUUCACGACCUCGAACUUGCUGCCGUCAUUCAUGCGCUGAAGCAGUGGCGACAUUACCUUCUCGGUAAUCGUUGCGAGAUCUUCACUGACCACCAAAGUCUGAAGUAUCUGUUUACUCAGCCAGACCUGAACCUCCGUCAACAGAGAUGGAUGGAGCUUGUUGCAGACUUUGACUUGGGUAUCUCCUAUACGCCAGGCAAGGCUAAUGUAAUGGCUGAUGCCUUGAGCCGCAAGUCUUACUGCAACCACCUCCAGGUUCAUAAAGUUCAGCCCUCGCUUGUUGAAGAAUUCAGGAAGCUGAACCUCCAUAUUGUUCCUCCGGGUGCACUCGCUCCCCCUCCUAAACAAUUUGGCAAGGUGAACCUCCACGUUGUUACCCAGGGUUCCCUUAAUACCCUAGUUGCUAAACCAGAUCUCGAGGACAGCAUCAAAAGGCUACAGAAGUAUGACUCUGAAGCCUACAAGAUUAAGCGCUACCUCGCAGAAGGAAAGCCCUCAUUCUUCACCAUUUCUGAAGAUGGCGCCCUAUACUUCAAGGGCCGCCUAGUGGUGCCAUGUGCAGAGAAAAACCUGGAUAUGACACAGGAAGUUAUGAAAGAAGCUCAUGAUACGCCUCUGUGUAUCCAUCCUGGUAGUACAAAGAUGUAUCAAGAUAUCCGUCAGAGAUUCUGGUGGACUAAUAUGAAGCAAGACAUUGCUCGUUAUGUUGCUGAGUGUGACGUUUGCCGUCGUAUCAAAGCAGAACAUCAAAGGCCUGCUGGAACUCUGCAACCUAUCUCUAUUCCUGAAUGGAAAUGGGACCAUGUUGAGAUGGACUUCGUCACUGGAUUUCCCAAAUCGCAGAAAGGUAAUGAUGCUAUUCUUGUCGUCAUUGACCGGCUUUCCAAAGUUGCACAUUUUCUGGCGGUCAAAGAAACGAUCACUGCUAGCCAGUUGGCAACGCUCUAUAUGUCCAGGAUUGUUUCACUCCACGGUAUUCCAUUGGUUAUCAGCUCAGACCGUGGCAGCUUAUUCACUUCAAGAUUCUGGGCAAGUUUCCAAGAAGCAAUGGGAACUCAUCUGUCAUUCAGUACUGCGUUUCAUCCUCAAUCGCAAGGACAAGUUGAACGCGUCAACCAAGUUCGCGAAGACAUGCUUCGAGCUUGCGUUAUUUCCUUCGGCAAGAAAUGGGAGGAAUCUCUCCCGUAUGCUGAGUUCUCUUAUAAUAAUAGCUAUCAAGCUAGUCUGAAGAUGGCCCCCUUCGAAGUGUUAUAUGGACGAAAGUGCCGAACCCCUCUGAACUGGUCAGAAACUGGGGAACGUCCACUCUUCGGUCCGGAUAUUAUCCAAGAUGCCGAAGAACAAGUCCGCAUUAUUCGCGAGAAUCUCAAGACUGCUCAGUCACGUCAGAAGAGUCAGUAUGACCGUCAUCAUAAAGACAUGGUCUAUCAACCUGGCGAAAAGGCUUAUCUUCGAGUCACACCUAUGAAGGGUGCUCACCGCUUCGGGAUCAAGGGCAAACUAGCUCCUCGCUAUAUUGGCCCAUUCACUAUUCUCGAAAGGCGUGGAAAAGUGGCAUACCAACUGGAACUACCGCCGAACCUUUCUCAGGUUCACGAUGUGUUCCAUGUGUCACAGCUCCGCCGAUGCUUCAAGGAUCCAAUCCGAGCUGUGGAUCAUGAAGUGCUCGAAUUGCAGCAAGACCUCUCCUAUAAGGAGCAUCUGGUCCGCAUUCUCGACCAAGCUGAACGCCGCACACGUCAGAAGGCGAUCAAGUUUCUCAAAGUCCAGUGGUCGCACCAUUCUGAAGAUGAGGCCACUUGGGAACGAGAGGAUCGUCUGCGCGAAGAAUACCCCGCACUGUUUCCUUCUACCUCCUAAAUCUCGGGACGAGAUUUCUUGUAGUGGAGGAGAUUUGUAACACCCUGGGAAUCAUGCUACAGUAACUCCCUGUGAUUAAGCUAAUCAUGUUGCUAAACAGGGCUUGAUCACAUUUGAAUCACCUUCCUUUUCAAACUCCUAGUUCAAACUUCAAAUAUAAUUAAAGUGGAAAAUAAAAGUUUUCAAAAAUUCAAACAAAAAUGUUCAGUGGGUGCCAAAUAUUACACUGGUAAUUAUGGUGGAGAAAACUCCUUUUUAUAAAAUGCCUCAAUGCUUUAAGUGAAAUAAAACAGAAAAGGAAAUAAGCAAAUAAAAAGAAAACAGAAAACAAACAGAACCCAGGCAAAAAAGAAAAAGAAAAAAAAAGAGCAAAAGCCCCCCCCACUGGACCUGGCCCAACUGGGCCACCCCAGGCCCAGCCGGCCGGCCCAAACCCCCCUCACCUUAUCCCCUGCCCCCCCCACCGACAGCCUCACCACUCGUUCCCCCCCGAAAUAUCUCACCCCCCGAUCUGGAUCGAGGAGGAGACCGACGCCGUCGCGCUCGACCCCGCGCNNNNNNNNNNNNNNNNNNNNNNNNNNNNNNNNNNNNNNNNNNNNNNNNNNNNNNNNNNNNNNNNNNNNNNNNNNNNNNNNNNNNNNNNNNNNNNNNNNNNNNNNNNNNNNNNNNNNNNNNNNNNNNNNNNNNNNNNNNNNNNNNNNNNNNNNNNNNNNNNNNNNNNNNNNNNNNNNNNNNNNNNNNNNNNNNNNNNNNNNNNNNNNNNNNNNNNNNNNNNNNNNNNNNNNNNNNNNNNNNNNNNNNNNNNNNNNNNNNNNNNNNNNNNNNNNNNNNNNNNNNNNNNNNNNNNNNNNNNNNNNNNNNNNNNNNNNNNNNNNNNNNNNNNNNNNNNNNNNNNNNNNNNNNNNNNNNNNNNNNNNNNNNNNNNNNNNNNNNNNNNNNNNNNNNNNNNNNNNNNNNNNNNNNNNNNNNNNNNNNNNNNNNNNNNNNNNNNNNNNNNNNNNNNNNNNNNNNNNNNNNNNNNNNNNNNNNNNNNNNNNNNNNNNNNNNNNNNNNNNNNNNNNNNNNNNNNNNNNNNNNNNNNNNNNNNNNNNNNNNNNNNNNNNNNNNNNNNNNNNNNNNNNNNNNNNNNNNNNNNNNNNNNNNNNNNNNNNNNNNNNNNNNNNNNNNNNNNNNNNNNNNNNNNNNNNNNNNNNNNNNNNNNNNNNNNNNNNNNNNNNNNNNNNNNNNNNNNNNNNNNNNNNNNNNNNNNNNNNNNNNNNNNNNNNNNNNNNNNNNNNNNNNNNNNNNNNNNNNNNNNNNNNNNNNNNNNNNNNNNNNNNNNNNNNNNNNNNNNNNNNNNNNNNNNNNNNNNNNNNNNNNNNNNNNNNNNNNNNNNNNNNNNNNNNNNNNNNNNNNNNNNNNNNNNNNNNNNNNNNNNNNNNNNNNNNNNNNNNNNNNNNNNNNNNNNNNNNNNNNNNNNNNNNNNNNNNNNNNNNNNNNNNNNNNNNNNNNNNNNNNNNNNNNNNNNNNNNNNNNNNNNNNNNNNNNNNNNNNNNNNNNNNNNNNNNNNNNNNNNNNNNNNNNNNNNNNNNNNNNNNNNNNNNNNNNNNNNNNNNNNNNNNNNNNNNNNNNNNNNNNNNNNNNNNNNNNNNNNNNNNNNNNNNNNNNNNNNNNNNNNNNNNNNNNNNNNNNNNNNNNNNNNNNNNNNNNNNNNNNNNNNNNNNNNNNNNNNNNNNNNNNNNNNNNNNNNNNNNNNNNNNNNNNNNNNNNNNNNNNNNNNNNNNNNNNNNNNNNNNNNNNNNNNNNNNNNNNNNNNNNNNNNNNNNNNNNNNNNNNNNNNNNNNNNNNNNNNNNNNNNNNNNNNNNNNNNNNNNNNNNNNNNNNNNNNNNNNNNNNNNNNNNNNNNNNNNNNNNNNNNNNNNNNNNNNNNNNNNNNNNNNNNNNNNNNNNNNNNNNNNNNNNNNNNNNNNNNNNNNNNNNNNNNNNNNNNNNNNNNNNNNNNNNNNNNNNNNNNNNNNNNNNNNNNNNNNNNNNNNNNNNNNNNNNNNNNNNNNNNNNNNNNNNNNNNNNNNNNNNNNNNNNNNNNNNNNNNNNNNNNNNNNNNNNNNNNNNNNNNNNNNNNNNNNNNNNNNNNNNNNNNNNNNNNNNNNNNNNNNNNNNNNNNNNNNNNNNNNNNNNNNNNNNNNNNNNNNNNNNNNNNNNNNNNNNNNNNNNNNNNNNNNNNNNNNNNNNNNNNNNNNNNNNNNNNNNNNNNNNNNNNNNNNNNNNNNNNNNNNNNNNNNNNNNNNNNNNNNNNNNNNNNNNNNNNNNNNNNNNNNNNNNNNNNNNNNNNNNNNNNNNNNNNNNNNNNNNNNNNNNNNNNNNNNNNNNNNNNNNNNNNNNNNNNNNNNNNNNNNNNNNNNNNNNNNNNNNNNNNNNNNNNNNNNNNNNNNNNNNNNNNNNNNNNNNNNNNNNNNNNNNNNNNNNNNNNNNNNNNNNNNNNNNNNNNNNNNNNNNNNNNNNNNNNNNNNNNNNNNNNNNNNNNNNNNNNNNNNNNNNNNNNNNNNNNNNNNNNNNNNNNNNNNNNNNNNNNNNNNNNNNNNNNNNNNNNNNNNNNNNNNNNNNNNNNNNNNNNNNNNNNNNNNNNNNNNNNNNNNNNNNNNNNNNNNNNNNNNNNNNNNNNNNNNNNNNNNNNNNNNNNNNNNNNNNNNNNNNNNNNNNNNNNNNNNNNNNNNNNNNNNNNNNNNNNNNNNNNNNNNNNNNNNNNNNNNNNNNNNNNNNNNNNNNNNNNNNNNNNNNNNNNNNNNNNNNNNNNNNNNNNNNNNNNNNNNNNNNNNNNNNNNNNNNNNNNNNNNNNNNNNNNNNNNNNNNNNNNNNNNNNNNNNNNNNNNNNNNNNNNNNNNNNNNNNNNNNNNNNNNNNNNNNNNNNNNNNNNNNNNNNNNNNNNNNNNNNNNNNNNNNNNNNNNNNNNNNNNNNNNNNNNNNNNNNNNNNNNNNNNNNNNNNNNNNNNNNNNNNNNNNNNNNNNNNNNNNNNNNNNNNNNNNNNNNNNNNNNNNNNNNNNNNNNNNNNNNNNNNNNNNNNNNNNNNNNNNNNNNNNNNNNNNNNNNNNNNNNNNNNNNNNNNNNNNNNNNNNNNNNNNNNNNNNNNNNNNNNNNNNNNNNNNNNNNNNNNNNNNNNNNNNNNNNNNNNNNNNNNNNNNNNNNNNNNNNNNNNNNNNNNNNNNNNNNNNNNNNNNNNNNNNNNNNNNNNNNNNNNNNNNNNNNNNNNNNNNNNNNNNNNNNNNNNNNNNNNNNNNNNNNNNNNNNNNNNNNNNNNNNNNNNNNNNNNNNNNNNNNNNNNNNNNNNNNNNNNNNNNNNNNNNNNNNNNNNNNNNNNNNNNNNNNNNNNNNNNNNNNNNNNNNNNNNNNNNNNNNNNNNNNNNNNNNNNNNNNNNNNNNNNNNNNNNNNNNNNNNNNNNNNNNNNNNNNNNNNNNNNNNNNNNNNNNNNNNNNNNNNNNNNNNNNNNNNNNNNNNNNNNNNNNNNNNNNNNNNNNNNNNNNNNNNNNNNNNNNNNNNNNNNNNNNNNNNNNNNNNNNNNNNNNNNNNNNNNNNNNNNNNNNNNNNNNNNNNNNNNNNNNNNNNNNNNNNNNNNNNNNNNNNNNNNNNNNNNNNNNNNNNNNNNNNNNNNNNNNNNNNNNNNNNNNNNNNNNNNNNNNNNNNNNNNNNNNNNNNNNNNNNNNNNNNNNNNNNNNNNNNNNNNNNNNNNNNNNNNNNNNNNNNNNNNNNNNNNNNNNNNNNNNNNNNNNNNNNNNNNNNNNNNNNNNNNNNNNNNNNNNNNNNNNNNNNNNNNNNNNNNNNNNNNNNNNNNNNNNNNNNNNNNNNNNNNNNNNNNNNNNNNNNNNNNNNNNNNNNNNNNNNNNNNNNNNNNNNNNNNNNNNNNNNNNNNNNNNNNNNNNNNNNNNNNNNNNNNNNNNNNNNNNNNNNNNNNNNNNNNNNNNNNNNNNNNNNNNNNNNNNNNNNNNNNNNNNNNNNNNNNNNNNNNNNNNNNNNNNNNNNNNNNNNNNNNNNNNNNNNNNNNNNNNNNNNNNNNNNNNNNNNNNNNNNNNNNNNNNNNNNNNNNNNNNNNNNNNNNNNNNNNNNNNNNNNNNNNNNNNNNNNNNNNNNNNNNNNNNNNNNNNNNNNNNNNNNNNNNNNNNNNNNNNNNNNNNNNNNNNNNNNNNNNNNNNNNNNNNNNNNNNNNNNNNNNNNNNNNNNNNNNNNNNNNNNNNNNNNNNNNNNNNNNNNNNNNNNNNNNNNNNNNNNNNNNNNNNNNNNNNNNNNNNNNNNNNNNNNNNNNNNNNNNNNNNNNNNNNNNNNNNNNNNNNNNNNNNNNNNNNNNNNNNNNNNNNNNNNNNNNNNNNNNNNNNNNNNNNNNNNNNNNNNNNNNNNNNNNNNNNNNNNNNNNNNNNNNNNNNNNNNNNNNNNNNNNNNNNNNNNNNNNNNNNNNNNNNNNNNNNNNNNNNNNNNNNNNNNNNNNNNNNNNNNNNNNNNNNNNNNNNNNNNNNNNNNNNNNNNNNNNNNNNNNNNNNNNNNNNNNNNNNNNNNNNNNNNNNNNNNNNNNNNNNNNNNNNNNNNNNNNNNNNNNNNNNNNNNNNNNNNNNNNNNNNNNNNNNNNNNNNNNNNNNNNNNNNNNNNNNNNNNNNNNNNNNNNNNNNNNNNNNNNNNNNNNNNNNNNNNNNNNNNNNNNNNNNNNNNNNNNNNNNNNNNNNNNNNNNNNNNNNNNNNNNNNNNNNNNNNNNNNNNNNNNNNNNNNNNNNNNNNNNNNNNNNNNNNNNNNNNNNNNNNNNNNNNNNNNNNNNNNNNNNNNNNNNNNNNNNNNNNNNNNNNNNNNNNNNNNNNNNNNNNNNNNNNNNNNNNNNNNNNNNNNNNNNNNNNNNNNNNNNNNNNNNNNNNNNNNNNNNNNNNNNNNNNNNNNNNNNNNNNNNNNNNNNNNNNNNNNNNNNNNNNNNNNNNNNNNNNNNNNNNNNNNNNNNNNNNNNNNNNNNNNNNNNNNNNNNNNNNNNNNNNNNNNNNNNNNNNNNNNNNNNNNNNNNNNNNNNNNNNNNNNNNNNNNNNNNNNNNNNNNNNNNNNNNNNNNNNNNNNNNNNNNNNNNNNNNNNNNNNNNNNNNNNNNNNNNNNNNNNNNNNNNNNNNNNNNNNNNNNNNNNNNNNNNNNNNNNNNNNNNNNNNNNNNNNNNNNNNNNNNNNNNNNNNNNNNNNNNNNNNNNNNNNNNNNNNNNNNNNNNNNNNNNNNNNNNNNNNNNNNNNNNNNNNNNNNNNNNNNNNNNNNNNNNNNNNNNNNNNNNNNNNNNNNNNNNNNNNNNNNNNNNNNNNNNNNNNNNNNNNNNNNNNNNNNNNNNNNNNNNNNNNNNNNNNNNNNNNNNNNNNNNNNNNNNNNNNNNNNNNNNNNNNNNNNNNNNNNNNNNNNNNNNNNNNNNNNNNNNNNNNNNNNNNNNNNNNNNNNNNNNNNNNNNNNNNNNNNNNNNNNNNNNNNNNNNNNNNNNNNNNNNNNNNNNNNNNNNNNNNNNNNNNNNNNNNNNNNNNNNNNNNNNNNNNNNNNNNNNNNNNNNNNNNNNNNNNNNNNNNNNNNNNNNNNNNNNNNNNNNNNNNNNNNNNNNNNNNNNNNNNNNNNNNNNNNNNNNNNNNNNNNNNNNNNNNNNNNNNNUACUCCACUGUCACCCGAGAGCCCUUCUACCAUCAGCACCUGGUUCUGCAUGCUGAUGGGCUGGAUCGAGCUAACCGAGCUCUUCGCCACGAGAUGUACACCACCCGUCAGCACCUUUACCGUGCUCUGACGCUGCUGCACCCCUUUGUCCGGUCUGGACAGGUACCGCGUUCUGCGAUCUACCCAGCCAGGACCGUGAUGCCCCACGGUGUCGGUUGGCCAGAGGUGGGAGGCUACUCUCCCGCACUUGGUCCUCUUCUGCCACCUGAGCGUCGGGCUCUACACCUGAGUAUCCGCGGCCCCCAGUCUGCUGACGUGGAGAGCUAUCCGUUGCCUCACUACCAGCUGUCGGGCUACGAUUACCUCCACAGUACCUCUUGGGACUGAUGUAGGCUUGUUUGUAGUGUUAAAGGCAUUCGCCGCGAGCCUGUGUGCCGCCUAUGAUGUUUUAGUCUAUGUACUGAACUCUGUGUACUGAACUCUAUGCAUGACCCCUUUUGUAAACUAUGCCGACUACUAUGUAGUAGCUAUCGUGCUCCUUUCAAUUAUGCAUGUUUCAUCAUGAAUGAUUCUUGUCAUUGCAAAUUUUCUCAAUGCUGAACUACCCCUGUUAUAUAUUAGCAGGAUGGUUAGACCAGGUGGUCGUGGUAGUGGUGGCGAUGCCCCACCACCACCUGAGUACAUGGCUGGUAUGAUCCAACAGUUCGAACUGAACCGCCAAUUCAUGGAAAAUAUGAUGGCUCAGUUUCCUCGCCCCAAUAUGAACCAGCAGCCAGCCCAAGUGACUCUUCAAGAUUUCAUACGCCUCAACCCAACCAUCUACCGCAGCUCAACUCAGCCUUUGGAUGCUGAUGACUGGCUCCGUGACAUCACCUAUGAGAUGGAGUCUGCUGAUGUAGCCCCUGCCAGCUAUGUCAAUUUUGCUUCCUUCUUCUUGAAGGGACCCGCAGCUCAAUGGUGGGACAGCCACAGGCGUACUCUGCCAGCUGGAACAAUCAUCACAUGGCCAGACUUCCAAGCUGCUUUCCGUGCCCGCUUCAUUCCUCAGGGAGUCAUGGACCGGAAGAAGCGUGAGUUCCGCAACCUCACCCAAGGCAACAAAACUGUUGAAGCUUAUCAGCGGGAGUUUCUGGACUUGUCCCGCUAUGCUGAAGAAGACAUUGCAACUGAUGCACGCAGACAGGAGAAGUUCCGUGAUGGCCUUCAAGCUGACAUCAAGCUCGCACUUCUAGUGCAUGACUUUGCCGAUUUCGCCACCUUGGUGAAUAAGGCCAUCAAUGUCGAGACUGGUCUGCAGGAAUACCAGAGCUCUCAUAGGCGCAACCGUGACACGGGCUCAUCUUCAGGCUCGCCCUCACAGAAGCGUAAGAUAUGGAUCCCGAACAGCAUGUAUCGUCCAAAUGCACCUGCUCCCAGGAAAUCUUAUGCUGCACCGCGUCUGCCUCCUCCACCAUCUAAGCAGUCAAAGCUACCAGCUCCCCCACCUGGGGCUCCUGUUCCCACUCCCGAUAAUGGUCUGUGCUUCAAGUGUGGUCAACCGGGUCACUUUGCCAGGAACUGCUAUCAGAACCAGAAUCAACUGGCCCUUCCAGCAGCUGGCCGUGGUAACAACCAGCCCCGCAACAACAAUGCUAAGUCUUAUGGUCGUGCUCAUGCCAACCACGUUGAUCUCAGCGAAGCUCAAGACCAGCCUGCUACUGUGAUGGGUACACUCCUCGUAAAUUCAGUACCAGCAUCCGUUUUAUUUGAUACAGGAGCAUCCCACUCAUUCAUUUCAGCAGAAUUUGCAUUCCUGCAUGGCAUUAAUCACGAAGAGAUAAACACUCCGCUAGUGGUACACACCCCUGCGGGCCAAUGUCAAACCUCUAUGGUUAGUCGCGAUGUUACUGUUGAAAUUGAAGGACUGGAAUUUCUUGUCUCUCCCAUCGUACUGAAGUCCUGUAGCAUUGAUCUCAUUCUGGGAAUGAAUUGGUUAAAAGCGCAUACUGCUUCAAUCGUUUGCACCACUAAGACCGUCCAUCUGCUACACCCUUCAGAUGAGAUAGUUACUUACCAAGCCCAUCUGGUGCAAAAUGCCGAGGCAAGGCUCUAUGCAUUGAAUGCAUUGAACGCUGCACCACUCGAGGGCAUUGAAAACAUUCGCGUCGUGCGUGAAUUCCUCGACGUCUUUCCUGAAGAACUUCCGGGGAUUCCCCCUGCUAGAGCUGUCGAAUUCAUCAUCGACUUGAAACCAGGCACCACUCCUAUAGCCAAGCGACCCUACAAAAUGCCGCCGCAUGAACUCCUUGAGCUUAAGGAGGAAAUCGAAUAGUCUCUUCGCAAAGGAUUCAUUCGCCCAAGUUGCUCUCCUUGGGGAGCACCUUCUCUCUUUGUCAAGAAGAAGGAUGGGACAAACCGGUUAGUUCAAGACUACCGUCCUAUAAACCAAGCUACCAUUCAGAAUAAAUACCCUCUUCCUCGGAUCAAUGAUCUGUAUGAUCAACUGGCGGGUUCGUCAGUGUUCUCUAAGCUUGACUUGAGGUUGGGCUACCACCAGAUCCGUGUUCGCGAAGAGGAUAUCCCAAAGACCGCCUUCGUGACUCGCUAUGGUUCAUACGAGUACACCGUCAUGUCUUUCGGUUUAACCAAUGCUCCAGCCACCUUCUCUCGUCUGAUGAACUACAUAUUCAUGGAUUACCUCGACAAGUUCGUCGUGGUUUAUCUGGAUGAUAUCCUGAUAUUUUCCAAGAACGAAGAAGAACAUGCUGAACAUCUUCGUCUUGUGCUGGAAAAGCUACGAGAACAUCAACUAUAUGCCAAGUUCUCCAAAUGUGAAUUCUGGCUACCGGAAGUAACCUAUCUUGGGCAUGUCAUCUCUAAGGAUGGUAUUGCCGUCAACCCUGAACGAGUUCAGGCUAUUCUUGAUUGGACUCCUCCCAAGAACGUUAAGCAAGUCAGAAGUUUUCUCGGUCUCGCCAGCUAUUGCCGUCGAUUCGUCGAGAACUUCUCUAAGAUCGCCAGGCCUCUGACUAACCUGUUGCAUAAGGGUGUCAAGUUCCAAUGGACAGACAAAUGUCAGGAAAGUUUCCAGGCACUCAAAGACAAGUUGACUUCUGCCCCAGUUCUAGCUCCACCUGAUACUAAGAAGGACUUCGUCAUUUACUGCGACGCUUCCCGUCAAGGGUUAGGCUGUGUCCUAAUGCAAGACCGCAAAGUGAUUGCUUAUGCCUCUCGACAAUUGCGCCCUCACGAAGAGAACUACCCAGUUCACGACCUCGAACUUGCUGCCGUCAUUCAUGCGCUGAAGCAGUGGCGACAUUACCUUCUCGGUAAUCGUUGCGAGAUCUUCACUGACCACCAAAGUCUGAAGUAUCUGUUUACUCAGCCAGAUCUGAACCUCCGUCAACAGAGAUGGAUGGAGCUUGUUGCAGACUUUGACUUGGGUAUCUCCUAUACGCCAGGCAAGGCUAAUGUAAUGGCUGAUGCCUUGAGCCACAAGUCUUACUGCAACCACCUCCAGGUUCAUAAAGUUCAGCCCUCGCUUGUUGAAGAAUUCAGGAAGCUGAACCUCCAUAUUGUUCCUCCGGGUGCACUCGCUCCCCCUCCUAAACAAUUUGGCAAGGUGAACCUCCACGUUGUUACCCAGGGUUCCCUCAAUACCCUAGUUGCUAAACCAGAUCUCGAGGACAGCAUCAAAAGGCUACAGAAGUAUGACUCUGAAGCCUACAAGAUUAAGCGCUACCUCGCAGAAGGAAAGCCCUCAUUCUUCACCAUUUCUGAAGAUGGCACCCUAUACUUCAAGGGCCGCCUAGUGGUGCCAUGUGCAGAGAAAAACCUGGAUAUGACACAGGAAGUUAUGAAAGAAGCUCAUGAUACGCCUCUAAGUAUCCAUCCGGGUAGUACAAAGAUGUACCAAGAUAUCCGUCAGAGAUUCUGGUGGACUAAUAUGAAGCAGGACAUUGCUCGUUAUGUUGCUGAGUGUGACGUUUGCCAUCGUAUCAAAGCAGAACAUCAAAGGCCUGCUGGAACUCUGCAACCUAUCUCUAUUCCUGAAUGGAAAUGGGACCAUGUUGAGAUGGACUUCGUCACUGGAUUUCCCAAAUCGCAGAAAGGUAAUGAUGCUAUUCUUGUCGUCAUUGACCGGCUUUCCAAAGUUGCACAUUUCCUGGCAGUCAAAGAAACGAUCACUGCUAGCCAGUUGGCAACGCUCUAUAUGUCCAGGAUUGUUUCACUCCACGGUAUUCCAUUGGUUAUCAGUUCAGACCGUGGCAGCUUAUUCACUUCAAGAUUCUGGGCAAGUUUCCAAGAAGCUAUGGGCACUCAUCUGUCAUUUAGUACUGCGUUUCAUCCUCAAUCGCAAGGACAAGUUGAACGCGUCAAUCAAGUUCUCGAAGACAUGCUUCGAGCUUGCGUUAUUUCCUUCGGCAAGAAAUGGGAGGAAUCUCUCCCGUAUGCUGAGUUCUCUUAUAAUAAUAGCUAUCAAGCUAGUCUAAAGAUGGCCCCCUUCGAAGUGUUAUAUGGACGAAAGUGCCGAACCCCCCUAAACUGGUCAGAAACUGGGGAACGUCCACUCUUCGGUCCGGAUAUUAUCCAAGAUGCCGAAGAACAAGUCCGCAUUAUUCGCGAGAAUCUCAAGACUGCUCAGUCACGUCAGAAGAGUCAGUAUGACCGUCAUCAUAAAGACAUGGUCUAUCAACCUGGCGAAAAGGCUUAUCUUCGAGUCACACCUAUGAAGGGUGCUCACCGCUUCGGGAUCAAGGGCAAACUAGCUCCUCGCUAUAUUGGCCCAUUCGCUAUUCUCGAAAGGCGUGUAAAAGUGGCAUACCAACUGGAACUACCACCGAACCUUUCUCAGGUUCACGAUGUGUUCCAUGUGUCACAGCUCCGCCGUUGCUUCAAGGAUCCAAUCCGAGCGGUGGAUCAUGAAGUGCUCGAAUUGCAGCAAGACCUCUCCUAUAAGGAGCAUCCGGUCCGCAUUCUCGACCAAGCUGAACGCCGUACACGUCAGAAGGCGAUCAAGUUUCUCAAAGUCCAGUGGUCGCACCAUUCUAAAGAUGAGGCCACUUGGGAACGAGAGGAUCGUCUGCGCGAAGAAUACCCCGCACUGUUUCCUUCUACCUCCUAAAUCUCGGGACGAGAUUUCUUGUAGUGGAGGAGAUUUGUAACACCCUGGGAAUCAUGCUACAGUAACUCCCUGUGAUUAAGCUAAUCAUGUUGCUAAACAGGGCUUGAUCACAUUUGAAUCACCUUCCUUUUCAAACUCCUAGUUCAAACUUCAAAUAUAAUUAAAGUGGAAAAUAAAAGUUUUCAAAAAUUCAAACAAAAAUGUUCAGUGGGUGCCAAAUAUUACACUGGUAAUUAUGGUGGAGAAAACUCCUUUUUAUAAAAUGCCUCAAUGCUUUAAGUGAAAUAAAACAGAAAAGGAAAUAAGCAAAUAAAAAGAAAACAGAAAACAAACAGAACCCAGGCAAAAAAGAAAANNNNNNNNNNNNNNNNNNNNNNNNNNNNNNNNNNNNNNNNNNNNNNNNNNNNNNNNNNNNNNNNNNNNNNNNNNNNNNNNNNNNNNNNNNNNNNNNNNNNNNNNNNNNNNNNNNNNNNNNNNNNNNNNNNNNNNNNNNNNNNNNNNNNNNNNNNNNNNNNNNNNNNNNNNNNNNNNNNNNNNNNNNNNNNNNNNNNNNNNNNNNNNNNNNNNNNNNNNNNNNNNNNNNNNNNNNNNNNNNNNNNNNNNNNNNNNNNNNNNNNNNNNNNNNNNNNNNNNNNNNNNNNNNNNNNNNNNNNNNNNNNNNNNNNNNNNNNNNNNNNNNNNNNNNNNNNNNNNNNNNNNNNNNNNNNNNNNNNNNNNNNNNNNNNNNNNNNNNNNNNNNNNNNNNNNNNNNNNNNNNNNNNNNNNNNNNNNNNNNNNNNNNNNNNNNNNNNNNNNNNNNNNNNNNNNNNNNNNNNNNNNNNNNNNNNNNNNNNNNNNNNNNNNNNNNNNNNNNNNNNNNNNNNNNNNNNNNNNNNNNNNNNNNNNNNNNNNNNNNNNNNNNNNNNNNNNNNNNNNNNNNNNNNNNNNNNNNNNNNNNNNNNNNNNNNNNNNNNNNNNNNNNNNNNNNNNNNNNNNNNNNNNNNNNNNNNNNNNNNNNNNNNNNNNNNNNNNNNNNNNNNNNNNNNNNNNNNNNNNNNNNNNNNNNNNNNNNNNNNNNNNNNNNNNNNNNNNNNNNNNNNNNNNNNNNNNNNNNNNNNNNNNNNNNNNNNNNNNNNNNNNNNNNNNNNNNNNNNNNNNNNNNNNNNNNNNNNNNNNNNNNNNNNNNNNNNNNNNNNNNNNNNNNNNNNNNNNNNNNNNNNNNNNNNNNNNNNNNNNNNNNNNNNNNNNNNNNNNNNNNNNNNNNNNNNNNNNNNNNNNNNNNNNNNNNNNNNNNNNNNNNNNNNNNNNNNNNNNNNNNNNNNNNNNNNNNNNNNNNNNNNNNNNNNNNNNNNNNNNNNNNNNNNNNNNNNNNNNNNNNNNNNNNNNNNNNNNNNNNNNNNNNNNNNNNNNNNNNNNNNNNNNNNNNNNNNNNNNNNNNNNNNNNNNNNNNNNNNNNNNNNNNNNNNNNNNNNNNNNNNNNNNNNNNNNNNNNNNNNNNNNNNNNNNNNNNNNNNNNNNNNNNNNNNNNNNNNNNNNNNNNNNNNNNNNNNNNNNNNNNNNNNNNNNNNNNNNNNNNNNNNNNNNNNNNNNNNNNNNNNNNNNNNNNNNNNNNNNNNNNNNNNNNNNNNNNNNNNNNNNNNNNNNNNNNNNNNNNNNNNNNNNNNNNNNNNNNNNNNNNNNNNNNNNNNNNNNNNNNNNNNNNNNNNNNNNNNNNNNNNNNNNNNNNNNNNNNNNNNNNNNNNNNNNNNNNNNNNNNNNNNNNNCGUCCGACGUGGCACACCUGGGGCCACCCCCUGGGUCACUGCCAGUGGGCCCCCUAGUCACCUGUUGACCAGUUGACCUGGUCAACUGGGCUGACUGGGCAGCCCCAGCCACUGACGUGCGGGCCCCACCACUUAAAAUAACUAAUUAAAAUGAUUUUAUAAUUAAAAGUAAUUAGUUUAACUAAUUAGUCACUGACAUGUGGGACCCAGCUGCUAAUUAACCACGUUUAAUUAAAAUAACCCACUGUUAGCCCUCUCUCUAUGACACGUAGGACCCACUGGUCAGUUUGACCUGGUCAGCGAGUCUGUUGACUGCUGACGUCAUCAGCACGUCAUGCUGACGUCAUUUUAUUUUUUCUGUUAUUUAAAUAAUUCCAGAAAUUCAAAUAAACUUUGAAAAUUCACAUCUUUUAAACCGUAACUCGGAUGAAAAUGAUUUCUAUAUGAAAGUUGCUCAGAACGACGAGAUGAAUCCGAAUACGCAGUCCGUUCAUCCACCACACCUCCCUAACCUAUCGAGCUAGCAACUUUCCCCCUCCGGUCCGUCAGUCCGAAAACGCGAAACAUCGGGAAUACCUCCCGGAUUCCCCCCCNNNNNNNNNNNNNNNNNNNNNNNNNNNNNNNNNNNNNNNNNNNNNNNNNNNNNNNNNNNNNNNNNNNNNNNNNNNNNNNNNNNNNNNNNNNNNNNNNNNNNNNNNNNNNNNNNNNNNNNNNNNNNNNNNNNNNNNNNNNNNNNNNNNNNNNNNNNNNNNNNNNNNNNNNNNNNNNNNNNNNNNNNNNNNNNNNNNNNNNNNNNNNNNNNNNNNNNNNNNNNNNNNNNNNNNNNNNNNNNNNNNNNNNNNNNNNNNNNNNNNNNNNNNNNNNNNNNNNNNNNNNNNNNNNNNNNNNNNNNNNNNNNNNNNNNNNNNNNNNNNNNNNNNNNNNNNNNNNNNNNNNNNNNNNNNNNNNNNNNNNNNNNNNNNNNNNNNNNNNNNNNNNNNNNNNNNNNNNNNNNNNNNNNNNNNNNNNNNNNNNNNNNNNNNNNNNNNNNNNNNNNNNNNNNNNNNNNNNNNNNNNNNNNNNNNNNNNNNNNNNNNNNNNNNNNNNNNNNNNNNNNNNNNNNNNNNNNNNNNNNNNNNNNNNNNNNNNNNNNNNNNNNNNNNNNNNNNNNNNNNNNNNNNNNNNNNNNNNNNNNNNNNNNNNNNNNNNNNNNNNNNNNNNNNNNNNNNNNNNNNNNNNNNNNNNNNNNNNNNNNNNNNNNNNNNNNNNNNNNNNNNNNNNNNNNNNNNNNNNNNNNNNNNNNNNNNNNNNNNNNNNNNNNNNNNNNNNNNNNNNNNNNNNNNNNNNNNNNNNNNNNNNNNNNNNNNNNNNNNNNNNNNNNNNNNNNNNNNNNNNNNNNNNNNNNNNNNNNNNNNNNNNNNNNNNNNNNNNNNNNNNNNNNNNNNNNNNNNNNNNNNNNNNNNNNNNNNNNNNNNNNNNNNNNNNNNNNNNNNNNNNNNNNNNNNNNNNNNNNNNNNNNNNNNNNNNNNNNNNNNNNNNNNNNNNNNNNNNNNNNNNNNNNNNNNNNNNNNNNNNNNNNNNNNNNNNNNNNNNNNNNNNNNNNNNNNNNNNNNNNNNNNNNNNNNNNNNNNNNNNNNNNNNNNNNNNNNNNNNNNNNNNNNNNNNNNNNNNNNNNNNNNNNNNNNNNNNNNNNNNNNNNNNNNNNNNNNNNNNNNNNNNNNNNNNNNNNNNNNNNNNNNNNNNNNNNNNNNNNNNNNNNNNNNNNNNNNNNNNNNNNNNNNNNNNNNNNNNNNNNNNNNNNNNNNNNNNNNNNNNNNNNNNNNNNNNNNNNNNNNNNNNNNNNNNNNNNNNNNNNNNNNNNNNNNNNNNNNNNNNNNNNNNNNNNNNNNNNNNNNNNNNNNNNNNNNNNNNNNNNNNNNNNNNNNNNNNNNNNNNNNNNNNNNNNNNNNNNNNNNNNNNNNNNNNNNNNNNNNNNNNNNNNNNNNNNNNNNNNNNNNNNNNNNNNNNNNNNNNNNNNNNNNNNNNNNNNNNNNNNNNNNNNNNNNNNNNNNNNNNNNNNNNNNNNNNNNNNNNNNNNNGAUGAGUACUCACGGUUGCUUCUCUCCCUCUUUUUCCCCCUUUCCUUUCUAUCUGGUUGUCGCAACCAGAUGUUGGAGUCCAGGAGCCAGACGCCACCGUCGACGACGACUCCCACGGCACUGGAGGUGCCUACUACUACGUGCAGGCCGCUGACGACGACCAGGAGUAGUUAGGAGGUCCCAGGCAGGAGGCCUUGCCUUUUCGAUCGUUGCUACUUUUGUGCUAGCCUUCUUAAGGCAAAACUUGUUUAACUUAUGUCUGUACUCAGAUAUUGUUGCUUCCGCUGACUCGUCUAUGAUCGAGCACUUGUAUUCGAGCCCUCGAGGCCCCUGGCUUGUAUUAUGAUGCUUGUAUGACUUAUUUAUGUUUUAGAGUUGUGUUGUGAUAUCUUCCCGUGAGUCCCUGAUCUUGGUCGUACACAUUUGCGUGCAUGAUUAGUGUACGGUCAAAUCGGGGGCGUCACAGUCCCGUCCCUGGCCCUUGCUCGCCUGCUGAACCACGCACUACACUCUCCACGCCACCCCUGGCGCACUACAGCGCCGCCGUCAGAGCUUUUGGUGGCACGCCGGUGUCGGCAGCGAGCCCCUGCCGUGGACGGCGCCGCCCAAGCCACCCGCGCGCGCCAGCUGCCCCCUGGGAACAGCCCGAGCUUAUCCGCAAGCCGUCGGCACGCGCUCGUCGCCGCCACGUAGCCCUGCAACCACAGUACAGCGGUCGCCGGCGAUCUUAUCCUCGGCCGCCGCGGGACCAACCUCGAGCGCCUAUAUAAGGGGACUCCAAGCUCAACCUAGCACUCAAGCAACCUCAGACCUUCCCCCUAGAGCUCCCCUAGCCGCGGAUUGACCGGAAGAAGCUUUCUUCCCCGCCUCCGGCUAGUUCGGUCGCCGCCGCAAUCCGGUGCAGCACGUCGCAGCCAGACCCUCCCCCGCCCAUCCAACGCCACCAAGAGUCCCCCCAUAGUCAUGCGGAGCUGCCUAGCGACUCAGCCUCGACCAAGGACCACCAUAGCCCGAAGCUCACUUUGCUCCCGAACCUCCGUCCGCCGCGGAGCUCGCCGCCGGUGACUUCCUCCAUCCCCACCUGCCUAGCGCCCACCGGGAGGACCGCCCCGGUCUGGCGGAUCCAUCCCUGCCCUCGGGGCCCCGUGGGGAGCUGCCGUUCGCCGACGGCGAUCGCCGGAGCCCCGCACCGUUCGGACAGGGAGAGAGGAGGGAGGGAAGACCAGUCAAACCUGACCAGUGGGCCCCCUGGACCCACUGUCAGUGACCCGCGCGCCCGUCCACUCUGGUUAAGUGAUAGCGCAAAUUCCCGAGUACGUCUUCUCUACUUCGAAAGCGUAUUCUCCCCCGAAGCGUUUUCUUUUCUGGUUUUAUUUAAAAACAGAACUUUGACUAAUCCUUGACUGGCUAUAUCUUUUAAAAUAAAACUCCAAAUGAGCUGAUUCUUUUUCCUACCUCUCUCAAAUUUCAUCUAGUUUAUUUUAAGAUUUAUUCCAAAAAUAUUUGGGACAACUUUUUGUACUGUUUUUGAAAUGUGUGUUAUUUGAUUAUUUCUCUAAAUAGGAUUUUGGGGAAAAGGCAUCCUUCAAAAAGUGCACCCCACAUGCAUACACUUGAAGGCAAGCAUUCUGAACCCUGGCAUAAUAUUUUUGGAUGUUGUUGAUACGGUAACAACACCACCUUGACUUGGAGCAUACAUUAUUAUUAUGUGCCGAUAAAAUCAUAUGCAUGAGUGCAUAGUGGAGAUUUCUUUGCUGUUAUAAAUGGAUGUGCUGGUGAUAGUGAUCAUCCUCGUAAGCUUCUCAUGCAUGCCGGAAGGAAGUUGGGAAAGUCGCGGUCUUGGGUAGACCAAGCUUGUCCCUAGUUCCUUGUUGAGACGAGUAUGUCCGGUAAGGCAUGGUGGGGCUUGAUGAGUGUUAAGCUUAUCUGUUAUCGGUAAUAUUUUUUGUUAUGCUAAUCAUGCAGGGAAUACUUGAACCUCCUGAGUCGGCCUUAGAUCGAGUCUUGUCCAGUAACCCCCACACUUGCUUCGUACUACCACUUGUCCCUGCCAUAGGUAGGGUACGGUUCAGUAAGUUGUCAACCCCUUUCUAGCACACACCGUACAGAGAGGCCGUGAUGAGGGUCCCAUGGCCAUGGAUUAAAGCCAGUCAUCCGGUCCGGGGGCAUGGGUGUUUCGGUUGUAGCCGAAGGGGUAGCUCCCCUAGUUUGCGCGCGGUAUAAAUUUUGUGAUCCCAUGCUACGUCAAGGUUGUAGCCUCCCCACUUAGAGUUUCGCUUGACAGGUGUCGUGGGUGAUUCCAGACACCGGUAAGUCAAGCUGGUGUGUGCAGGUCAGGCGUGUUUUCAAUUAAAAGACCGUAGACGGAAUUAGUCCCGAUGGACUAAAGAAAUCCGUUACCCGUGGGUAAAGAGUACACCCUCUGCAGAGAUUAUACAUCUAUUCGAAUAGCCGUGUCCAUGGUUAAGGACUAUAGUCUGGGAUAGGUCAAGUGUCGGUCUUAGUGUUGGUCUUCGGAGGAAAAACUGUUAAACCAGAAUUUGGAUCAUGACUUGUGACUUGUGACGAUUAUGAUUACUAUUAUUGUGGACUAACCAUUUACUUUAUUUGUAUUAUUGAGUAUCCCUGGGAUGGUUCUACCUCCUGGACAUUCACUGUGUUUAUCCUUUAUAAGCCCUUUAUGUGGUGUCGCUUAGACGCCCGACUGUGGCAUGCUUGUUAUUUCUUUUAUUUAUAAGCCCUUUAUGUGGUGUCGCUUAGACGCCCGACUGUGUCAUGCUUGUUAUUUCUUUUAUUUAUAAGCCCUUUAUGUGGUGUCGCUUAGACGCCCGACUGUGGCAUGCUUGUUAUUUCUUUUAUUUAUAAGCCCUUUAUGUGGUGUCGCAUAGACGCCCGACUGUGGCAUGUUUGUUAUUUCUUUUAUUUAUAAGCCCUUUAUGUGGUGUCGCUCAGACGCCCGACUGAGGCAUGAUUUAUUUUAUCUCCCUUUUCGAGGAGUCUUUUCAGACACUCGAUCACUACACUCUAUUUUUCUAUGUUGCAUAUCCAUAUUUUACCCGCAUGCGCGCAUCAUGGAUUUCGUAUAUUUCGUGACAGACGUUAUGAUCAUAGAAUAUUUUGGGGCAUGUUUUGAUAUAUUAUACCCGUGUUCUUGAUGUUUGCGAGUACAUUCAAGCGUACUCACUGGCUUGUCCCUGGCUAUUGUCUUGGCCAGAUUUCUUGCAUGGAGAGGGCAUUGCGACGACAGCCCCGCAACCCAUGUAAAGGUGAUAGCAGCCUCGCGAAGAUAGGAGUUAUCCUGGUCAGCUGUUCUUGUGGGAAAUGGAGUCCCAUAGACGCAGAUGAACCACAAACCGCUUCCGCCAUCAACCACUAGAAACCAAGUGUUGUACUCAUAGGCCACUAAGGUCUUGUACUGCAUAUUUUGUACUUUGCUUGGAAUUCUUGUAUCAAGUUGGUGCCUCAUCAGCUAACAGUAAUCCUGGGGCUGGUGAGCACAAGGGCCAUUUUCUGGAGAAUUUAUAUCCCGAAAAACCGGUCCUGACAGUACUGCAAUGAACUCAUUCUUUAUUUAUAUUGGUGUUAAACCUACUGUAUUCCAACUUAUCUAUGGUUUAUAAACUAUUUUACUAGCAAUAGAUUCAUCAAAAUAAGCAAACAACACACGAAAAACAGAAUCUGUCAAAAACAGAACAGUCUGUAGUAAUCUGUAACUAACGCAAACUUCUGGAACUCCAAAAUUUCAGACAAAAUAGGACGGCCUAGACAAUUUGUUUAUUGAUCAGCAUCAAUUGGAAUCAAUAUUUUAUCACGUUCUAGUGAUUUUUAACAAUUGUUUUCGUGAACAGAAAGUUUGUGGAAUUUUCAGCAAGAUCAAAUUACUAUCAUCCAAGAAGAUCCUAUAGGUUUAACUUGGCACAAACACUAAUUAAAACAUAAAAACACAUCUAACCAGAGGCUAGAUCAAAUAUUUGUUCCUAAACAAAAGCAAAAAGUAAAAAAACUAAAAAUAAAAUUGGGUUGCCUCCCAACAAGCGCUAUCGUUUAACGCCCCUAGCUAGCCAUAAAAGCAAGGAUAGAUCUAGGUAUUGACAUCUUUGGUUUUAGGGAAGAAAAGAGCAAACCUGUUAUCUAUGGAAUUAAUCUUUCUAUUUUGAUAAAGCACGUGGCUAUUAAUGGUAGAAGAAAGAUUAAGUAUGUUGCGGAAAUUGGCAUCUACGCUAGCUUUUAUUUCUUUGAUAGAUUCGUUUUGGUAAGAGAGCAAAAGAGAUGCGGUUUCAUCUUUCUCAUUAAUGGGGUGCCCAAAUAUAGUUUUCAUCUUUUCAUAGGUAUCUAUGGGGUCGCCUUCAAGAAAACCCUCUUCAAAAAUAGAAUCUAAAACUUGUUUGAACGAAGCGGGCAACCCAACAUAAAAGCUUUUUAGGUAAACCUCUAUUUGAUAUUGGGGUACAUAGCUAGCCCGGAUCUUUAACAACCUAUCCCAAGCAUCUUUCAAAGAUUCCUCGAGUAAAUAAUGAAAAAUUCCGGAAUCAUCUUCAUCAAAAUUAUUAAGACUCUCAUUGACAACUCCGACAGGUUUUUCCAUAGCUUUAUUUAUGAGUUUAGAUAGAAUAGAAGGAUCGUCCAAGCUCGGGAGAGAACCCCCAACUCUUUUUUGUUCCGGCAUGGCGGGGGAAAAGCAAACGAAAAGAGGCAAACGGAAAGGAGAGGGCGAAUAAAACGGCAAGGGUGAAGUGGGGGAGAGGAAAACGAGAGGCAAAUGGCAAAUAAUGUAAUGCGGGAGAUAAGGGUUUGUGAUGGGUACUUGGUAUGUUGACUUUUGUACUCCCUGGCAACGGCGCCAGAAAUACUUCUUGCUACCUCUUGAGCACUGCGUUGGUUUUCCCUUGAAGAGGAAAGGGUGAUGCAGCAAACUAGCGUAAAUAUUUCCCUCAGUUUUUGAGAACCAAGGUAUCAAUCCAGUAGGAGGCCACGCACGAGUCCCUCGCACCUACACAAACACAUAAAUCCUCGCAACCAACGCAAUAAAGGGGUUGUCAAUCCCUUCACGGUCACUUACGAGAGUGAGAUCUGAUAGAUAUGAUAAGAUAAUAUUUUUGGUAUUUUUAUGAUAAAGAUGCAGAGUAAAGAAAACAAAAUAAAGACGGCGCUAGAAAUAUCUUGUUGACGGGAGAUUAAUAUGAUGGAAAAUAGACCCGGUGGGCAUAGGUUUCACUAGUGGCUUCUCUCAUGAGCAUAAGUAUUACGGUGGGUGAACAAAUUACUGUUGAGCAAUUGAGAGAAUUGAGCAUAGUUAUGAGAAUAUCUAGGUAUGAUCAUGUAUAUAGGCAUCACGUCCGCGACAAAUAGACCGACUCCUGCCUGCAUCUACUACUAUUACUCCACACAUCGACCGCUAUCCAGCAUGCAUCUAGAGUAUUAAGUUCAUAAGAACAGAGUAACGCUUUAAGUAAAAUGACAUGAUGUAGAGGGAUAAACUCAUGCAAUAUGAUAUAAACCCCAUCUUGUUAUCCUCGAUGGCAACAAUACAAUACGUGCCUUGCUGCCCCUACUGUCACUAGGAAAGGACACCGCAAGAUUGAACCCAAAGCUAAGCACUUCUCCCAUUGCAAGAAAGAUCAAUCUAGUAGGCCAAACCAAACUGAUAAUUCGAAGAGACUUGCAAAGAUAACCAAUCAUACAUAAAAGAAUUCAGAGAAGAUUCAAAUAUUGUUCAUAGAUAAACUUGAUCAUAAACCCACAAUUCAUCGGUCUCAACAAACACACCGCAAAAGAAGAUUACAUCGAAUAGAUCUCCACAAGAGAGGGGGAGAACAUUGUAUUGAGAUCCAAAAAGAGAGAAGAAGCCAUCUAGCUAAUAACUAUGGACCCGAAGGUCUGAGGUAAACUACUCACACAUCAUCGGAGAGGCUAUGGUGUUGAUGUAGAAGCCCUCCUUGAUUGAUGCCCCCUCCGGCGGAGCUCCGAAAAAGGCCCCAAGAUGGGAUCUCACGGGUACAGAAGGUUGCGGUGGUGGAAUUAGGUUUUUGGCUCUGUAUCUGGUAGUUUGGUGGUACGUAGGUAUAUAUAGGAGGAAGAAGUACGUCGGUGGAGCAACGAGGGGCCCACGAGGGUGGAGGGCGUGCCCGGGGGGGUAGGCACGCCCCCUACCUCGUGCCUUCUUGGUUGAUGUCCUGACGUAGGGUCCAAGUCCUCUGGAUCACAUUCGUUCCGAAAAUCACGUUCCCGAAGGUUUCAUUCCGUUUGGACUCCGUUUGAUAUUCUUUUUCUGUGAAACUCUGAAAUAGGCAAAAAAACAGCAAUUCUAGGCUGGGCCUCCGGUUAAUAGGUUAGUCCCAAAAAUAAUAUAAAAGUGUAUAAUAAAGCCCAUUAAUGUCCAAAACAGAAUAUGAUAUCGCAUGGAAUAAUUAAAAAUUAUAGAUACGUUGGAGACGUAUCAGACCACAAGACACCCUGGAAGCUUCGGGAGGAGGCCAGAAGGGCCAUGAGUUGGCGCCAGCUCAGGGGGCGUGCCCUCCAAGCUUAUGGGCCCCCUGUGGCUCCUCUAACCCUAAUUCUUCUAUAAAUACCCAAAUAUUCCCCAUAGACAAGAGGGCACGCCAAAAAUACUUUUCAGCCGCCGCAAGUUCGUGUCCUCAUGAGAUCCCAUCUGGAGGCCUUUUCCGGUACUUCGCCAGAGGGGGAUUCGAUCACAGAGUGCUUCUACAUCAACCUUGCUGCCCUUCCGAUGAUGUGUGAGUAGUUUACCAAGGACCUAUGGGUCCAUAGCUAGUAGCUAGAUGGUUUCUUCUCCCUCUUUGAUCUUCAAUACAGUGUUCUCCUUGUUGUUCUUGGAGAUCUAUUUGAUGUAAUGUUCAUUUGCGGUGCGUUUGUUGAGAUCCGAUGAAUUGUGGGUUUAUGUUCAGAUUCUCUAUGAAUAUUAUUUGAGUCUUCUCUGAACUCUUUUAUGCAUGAUAUUUAUAUCUUUGUAUUUCUGUCCGAUCUAUUGAUUUGGUUUGGCCAACUAGAUUGAUUUUUCUUGCAAUGGGAAAGGUGCUUUGUAAUAGAUUCAAUCUUGCGGUGCUCAAUCCCAGUGACAAAAAGGUACAUGACAUGUAUUUGUAUUGUUUCCAUUAAGGAUAAAAAGAUGGGGUUUGUUCAUAUUGAUUGGAUCUAUCCCACUACAUCAUGUCAUCUUGCUUAAGGCGUUACUCCAUUCAUGUUAACUUAAUACACAAGAUGCAUGAUAAAUAGCGGUCGAUGUGUGGAGUAAUAGUAGUUGAUGCAGGCAGGAGUCGGUCUACUUGUCUCAGACGUGAUGUCUAUAUACAUGAUCAUUGCCUUUCAUAUCUUCAUAACUAUGCGCUUUUCUAUCAAUAGCUCAACAGUAAUUUGUUUACCCAUCGUAUGUUUUCUUUCAAGAGAGAAGCCUCUAGUGAGAACUAUGGCCCCCGGGUCUAUCUUUUAUCUUAUUAUUUUCAGGUCUAUGAAAUCAAAAACCCAAAAGUACCUUGCUGCAAUUUAUUUACUUUUAUUUUGUUUUGCACUUUUACUUAUCUUUUAUAUCUAUCACUAUAAGAUCUCAUCCUUGCAAGUAACCGUGAAGGCAUUGACAUCCCCUUUAUCGCGUUGGGUGCAAGUAUUUGUUUGUUUGUGUAGGUGCAAUUAUUGGAGACUUGUGUGUUACUCCUACUAGAUUGAUACCUUGGUUAUUAACUGAAGGAAAUACUUAUCUCGACUUUGCUACAUCACCCUUUCCUCUUCAAGGGAAAAAACAAUGCAAGCUCAAGAAGUAGCACGGACUAGCACAACCAAUAUGGACAUAAAAUAUCAGGAGAAAAUAUAGUCCUGCCAAUAUGGGGGACAAUCUGGAGCUUAAGUUGUCCUGCCAAGGUUGAAAUUUUCCUCUAGCGAACUUUGUUAGGAUCACUAACAUGUCCGUUGACUUCGUCUAACAGACAUAUAAAAGUCAGUGGGCAAUGUCCUACAUGCAGUAUAGGAGCGGCGGAUACCAAGAACUUGUUAUUCUCUUGUGCAAAAGCUAAAGAGGUAUGGCGGUUAUUGGGUUUGGACUUUUCUAUUGAUAAAACAUACGAUGUGAAUCAUGCAUGGGAACACUACAAAAAAAAGACACAUCCGUGACAUUUUGGGCCGAACGAAUUUUUUUUCUGUCAUACUUAUUACACUUCUAUGAAAAUAAUUGUGACAAAACCCGGUAUCCUCAUAGAUGUGGUGGGGUCCAACUUCUAUGACAAAAAAUCAUGACAGAAAAUGGGCUUUUCGUCCUGGGUGGGCCGGAGACGCGGCUGCAUGACAUUCUUUGGGCCGUCCAUGACGAAAAAACCGUGGUAGAAGCGAGGGCGAGGAAAAUAUCGGGGAGUUCCCGGUUACGGUGGGUGGUCAGGGGCCGAGCGAUGCGCGUUUCUCUCGUACGUACGCGCAUGUGGGCGAGGCGUUGCGCUCUAACUGAACCCGAGCGAGGCGUUGGGUUCUAACUGAACCCGAGCGGUUGCGCUGCAGGCUACGCAUUACACUGAACCCGAGCGAUCGAUCGAUCCCUUGCUGUUAACUGAAGCCGAGCGAUUCCUUCGCUACUGCUGCUAACUGAAGCCGAUCGAUGCUGCCUCUGGAUGAACAGUGAGCAUUGUUGGGGGGCUUGGAUGAACAGUUCCCGGUGGGGGUAGGAUGAACAGGAACCCGUGGUAGUAGAGGCCGUUGCCGCUGGAUGAACAGUACCCCGAUCGAUCGAGCCGGUGGAUGAACAGGACCCCGUGGAGGGCUGGUUGAACAGUAGCCGGUGGAGGGUUGGAUGAACAGGACCCCGUGGAGGGCUGGUUGAACACCCCUCCCGAUGAACAGGACCCCCGUUUUGACCAUAGCGCUCCAACACAAGUCUGUUUCCUCCGUUUUGUGGUACGCCACACCCCUCCCGAUCAACAGGACCCCGUUUCGACUGUAGGAGGUCCAAGAGAAGUCUGUUUCCUCCGUUUUGCAGUACACCAGACCCCUCCCGAUGAACAGGAUCCCGUUUCGACCGUGGCCGGUCGAACACAAGGCCCUUUCCUCCGUUCUGUGGUACGCCGGGCCUCGUUUCGAUCGGCUAUUUCGUCCAAGCCGGUUGGCUCCCGAUGAACACGAUGUAUUCUGUUGACUCUCGAUGAACACGACGCAUUCCGUUGCCUCCCCAUGAACACGACGACGACGCAGUUUCUCCGUUCCAACCCAGCCACAACUAUGUACACGAGCCCUGGCCGUACGUAUGCGCGAGUAGGUGUUCGAGACCCCGCCCGUAUGUACGUACGUGGCCAUAUUUACUUUCUUGCACCCUGGCCGCUGUAUGUACGUGUACAUGCUACGUGCACGCCUCUACUACCACACGUGCGCGCCUCCACAUCGACCAGUAUGUACGUACACAUUCGCGACCAGAAUGAAAACUCUACGUACGCUUCGACCGGGUGGGUCCCGACUGUCAGGAACUUCCUUGCGUGCGAAGAUGUAGCUGCUGGGUCCCAACAGUCAGGGGGGCGAAUAAUUUUUUUCUCGUAAUAUGGACGCACUUCCUUGCGUGCGAAGAUGUAGCUGGUCGGUCCCAGCAGUCAGGGGGGAAAUGUUUUUUUCGUGAAAUAUGGUGGCCCGUCCGGUGGGUCCCUACUGUCAGGUGGAGGAAUCAUUAUUUUUCGCAUAAUAAGGAGGCACUUCCUUGCUGCGGCCGUGGACCCAGCUGUCAGCCUCUCCACGUACAGUACUCUUCCGAUGGAAGUCGUUCCUUGACCAUGUUGACCACGCCGCGCCGAGAGCACCAGGGUGGUGGACGACGGUGAGGCCUAGGAAGGGGACGACGCGGAGCCGGGGAAGACACGACAAUGGAAGCCCACGCGGAGAGGAUUACGAGGGUUCACUGGUUCGGCUGCGGUGUGAGGCUGCCGUCGCCGCAGUGCCUGGCCAGCGAUGGGAGUAGUAGCGGGCGGUGAGGCCUCCGCGGCAUCACAGCCGGCCAUGACAGGCAGGAGCACGCGGCACGACGGCGCUGGUUUGGGCGGCUGGACCAAGAAGACCAGAGGUUGAAGAAGCACUACGGCCGUUGGAUGGACAUCGUACGGUCACUAGAGCUAGAAUCGUUCGUAUUGACUAAGUUGACAAAGCCCUCCGUCCCCAUCAACUUAGUAGGCCCACAAGUCAGCCUCCCACGCAGGGGGGUAUUCAUUUUUUUGUGCGUAAUAAGGAGGCACUUCCUUGCGUGCGAAGAUAUAGCUGGUGGGUCCGAGCUGUCAGCGGGGGGAACGUUUUUUUCGUGAAAUACAGAGGCCCUUCCGAUGGGUCCCAGAUGUCAGGUGGAGGAAUCAUUAUUUUGCACAUAAUAAGGAGGCAUUUCCUUAUGUGCGGCCGUGGACCCAGCUGUCAGCCUCUCCACAUACAGUCCACUUCCGAUGGAUGUCGUUCAUUGACCACGUUGACCACGCCGCGCCGGGAGCACGAGGGCGGUGGAUGACGGCGAGGCCUACGAAGGGAACGACACCGAGCUAGGGAAGACACAGCAGUGGCUGCACACGCAGUGGGGAGUACGAGGGUUGACUGGUUCGGCUGCCGUCGCCGGAAAAUAACAGGAGGUGUGGGUGAGUAGAGGGAUAGACAGGCUAGGGAUGCGAGUAUGGUGGGGCCGUGAGGCCUGCCCGGUAGCAUAGCCGGCCACGGGAGGCGAGAGAAUGCGGUUCCGCCGGCGCUGGUUUGGGCGGCUGGAGCAGGAAGAUCAGAGACUGAAGAAGCACGAUUGCCGUUAGAUUGUCAUCUAACGGUGUGACGCUGGUAGAGUCGAUUGUUGACUAAGUUUCUUUUUUGAGAAACCUUGUGUAUGCAUGAACUUAGUAGGCCCACAAGUCAGCCUCCAAAUCCGUGGCAGACAACAUAGAGCCCAUUUGCUAAAAAAUAUAAUUUGCAGCCUAUUUGCUAAUUCUUAAUUAAUUCAUUACAGCCCAUUUUCUGCCCAGGACCACGGUCAAAAAGUUCAACCUUAUUUUGCAUAUUUCUGUGGAGUCCAAACUGUUGUAAUCCCAAAAUGAUAAACAUUUUCUUAAGAACUUAUUGAUUUGCCAAAAAAAAUCGUUUUGUUUUUGUAAGCAAAUAAGACGUGGGACAAUUGAGUUGGUUUAAGGGAAAACCAGUGGUAAAAAAAUCAGCGCUGGGAGGGAAAACAACAACAAAAAUAAGGAUGUGAAUAUGAAAAGGGAACUUUAUGUAUUUUCAAUAUAAUGAUACGUGUAUUUGAACUAGUAAAACUAUAGGUAGAGAUUAGAGAGCGGAUGUAGGACAUGGCGUUUCAAGAGGAAAAUAGAAUUGGGUUGUGUGUUUGAUUCAGUAAAAAAACUGCCCCUGGAUGUUGUAAGACAAAAUAUAACUAAUGCUGGCGGGCCAGAGGCCAGUAGAUACCUGCUGGAUCUUUGUGCCCUGUUGUCGUUAUGGGCCGGGUCUGUUAAAAAGAAAACCAAGCCUGGGCAGUCUACAGCCCAGUUGAAACUUGCUCGACCUGAAAAAACAAUAUACCUGCUCAACAAACGAGAGAAUUCUACAACUACAGACUGAUAACUGGGAUGCAGGAGGCAUACUGUUUUUUCAUCGUGAUAAUAAGUGCAUGCACUUGUUUCCAAAAAUUUGGAGAACUGGGAAUUCGAACGGUAGGUGCUUAUGCUACCCAUCAAAUAAAAAUCAGGUGCCUAAAAAUUCGUUUCGAAACAAAUGAUUAAGCUUUAUAUCCACGUCGACCCUCGGCAUGAUGGUUGGAAGCAAAGGCCAAGUUCAUACCAAAAGGUAGUUAACAACAGUACCAACUUGCGGACGACAAGGUAGUACAAGUACCAAUACCAAUUAAACUUAUAAUCUUUUUACUCCUGGCCCUAGUGUUGGUCUGGUAGAAAAUCUUGCAGAGGACCAGCUGUCGGUGUCAAAACCGGCGGAUCUCAGGCAGGGGGUCCCGAAUUGUGCGUCUGAGGAUGAUGGUAACAGGAGACGGGGGACACAAUGUUUACCCAGGUUCGGGCCCUCUCUAUGGAGGUAAUACCCUACUUCCUGCUUGAUUGAUCUUGAUGAAUAUGAGUAUUACAAGAGUUGAUCUACCACAAGAUCGUAAUGGCUAAAGCCUAGAAGUCUAGCCUAUGUGAUUAUGGUAAUGAGUAUCUCUUCUCCUCCGGACUAAGCCCUCCGGUUUAUAUAGACUCCGGGGGGGAUCUAGGGUUACACAAGGUCAGUUACAGAGAAUGGAAUCUACAUAUUUGAUUGCCAAGCUUGCCCCCAAGGAGAGUCCCAUCCGGACACGGGUAGACUCUUCGGUCUUUGUAUCUUCACGGCCCAUCAGUCCGCCCAUGGCUAACAGGCCGGACGCCCGAGGACCCCUUAGUCCAGGACGCCCUCAGUAGCCCCUGAACCUGGCUUCAAUGACGAGGUGUUUGGCGUGCAGAUUUGUCUUCGGCAUUGCAAGGCAGUUUCCUCCUUCCGAACUCCAAAAAAGUCUUCAGACGCAAUGAUCGUGUCCGGACCUGUAACACACAUACCACACACAACCGCAUAGAGUAUAAUCUUCCACGAUUCCAAUCCGCUGACAACUUUUUGCAACAUGACAUCACGUCCACCUGGUCAUUAUUUUGAACCGUUUUUCAUCUGCGCUCCAUGUUUCGAGACGCGGUUGCCAUUGGCACGUCUUGUCGAAGCAGAGACCGUGUCCCCUCAUUGCGGGAUCCUCAUCAAUACGAGCGUGGGUAACCCAACCAUGCCGUUUACACAGCCCUUGGGAACAGGCGAGUUUUAAGGCGAGUGGGGAGGUGUUCGAUAUUCACUGCCUUUAUAAAGAGAUAAGGAUUCCCUUUCUUCACCCACGCCUUCUCUCUCUCUGCAAUUGCAUUCUUAAUCUCCAGCAACCCAAUUUCUCAUCCCCUCCAUCUCAUGGAAGUACUCAACCAUGUCCGGAUCUGGGGGUCAAGGCAAGUGGAUGGUCUCCUCCGCUAAGGAGAAGGACAUCACCCAGCUUCGGGCGGCCAGGUAUCUGGCGAAAGGAAUCGCCCACCGUCUGCCAAGCAAGGGGCAAAUCAUCCCCACCCCGAAGCCUACUGAGAGGGUGGUUUUCCUCCCUCACUUCGUCCGUGGAUUGGGGUUUCCACUUCACCCUUUUGUCCGCGGACUGAUGUUCUAUUACGGGCUAGAUUUCCAUGAUUUGGCCCCGAACUCCUUCCUCAACAUCUCGGCAUUCAUUGUCGUCUGCGGGGAUUUCCUCCCCAUCCAGCCCCACUUCGGCCUAUGGCUCAAGAUCUUCAACGUGAAGCCGAAGGUGGUGGAUGGUCAGAACACCGAGUGCGAAGGCGCAAUGGUGAGCAAGAUGCCCAACGUCACAUGGCCUAAGGGCACUUUUGUGGAGACUGUCAAAGAGUGGCAGAAGUAGUGGUUCUACAUCACAGAGCCACGUGGCGCCACUUGGGCGGCGGCUCCCUAAUUCAAGGCCGGCGCAACAAUGCGGUUCACCUCCUGGAUGGAGAAGGGCCCCAACUGGUCUUCGUCAGACGAGCUGAUAGCGCUGCAAACGCGCAUUCAGAGCAUGGUGGAUAAGAACAUCAAGCUCGUCGACGUGAUCCAGGUGAUGCUGGUUCGCCGGAUUCUCCCCUGCCAAUGCCGAAGCUUCCCUUUAUGGGAAUUCGAUCCGGAGAAGCACCAGACCCUGGAGAGGCUCUUCAGAACUACUCACGAAGAUGCCUAGAAGUUGCUCUUUAGGGGGAACGAGAAGCCACCGGUCAUAGAUUUGGACCGCGGGCACGAUCAUACCCAUCCCGCCAAUGCGGUAAGUCCUUCUCUUCUCAAGGCGUACCUUCAACUUGUUUGUUCAAGGAGGAUGCCUAAUCUUUACUAUAUUUUUUCAGGUGUGGACGGAGAGAGCGGAGCGGAUCCAGUGUCCGGCUCCGCUGCCCGAAGAGCCAGCCAUCCCGCUCCUGGCGAAGAUGCUGGUUCCGGCGCCCUAUCAGCCGCCGGAGAAGAAGGCCAAGGGGCCAAAGGUGGCCCCCGUCGCAAGGGUGAUUCGGACGUGACGUCCGAAGACAAAGAGACCCCUUCCUCCGCUACUGAGGACGACGACAAUGAUGACGAGGAGGAGGAGGAGAUCAACCCUCCCCCUGAUGGGGGAAAGAGGAAGAGGGCGGCCUCCACAAAUCUGGAGGCGGAGACGUCCAAGAAGGGGAAGGCCUCCCUUGCGGAUAACUCCGCAUGGGAUGUCGAUAGUAGUCCGGAGCGAUGCCCCCGAACCAAGCCCCUGGUCGCAUCGUAAGUUCUAAAACUCAUACUUGUCCAUAUAUCCGGCCUCUCCUCUUCAUUGUAUUGACAUGGUUAAUUGUGCUAUUGCAGUCCGGCCCACAAUAGCUCCCAGCGAUCCUCAUCAAGAGGUUCGUUGGAUUCAAAGGCGAUGGCCAGUGAGUCGCCACCGACUGCUCACUCUCCCCCGGCCAAGGGCGACACCGAGGUGUCGUCCCGAAGGACCCUCCUUGGCCAGGGAGAGGUUCAGGAGAACGCCAGGGCAGCGCCAGAGGGUGAGACCUCGGCCGCCGGACACAUGGGGGAAUAGAUCCCCAUGGGGACUGAUGAUGGGGGCCAGGUUCACUGUACCCACAAGGCUCCGAAAUCCGGGAAGCAGCCUCCCUCGAAAGAAGGAGGCGUGCCCAUCCCGCCGGUGACCUCUGUCUAGCUAGAGGCACCGGAAUAUCUGCUGGAAGCGCUACGAGGUGCUUCCAUUGUGGAUGAACACCGUAUCCUUAUGGGUACGGUGAUUGAGCAGGUUCAAUCUGUCAAGAGCGGACUGACCGAAGCCUGGAGCAAUCUGCUGACCGGCUUUGAGAUAAGCGACACAAAAGAAAUAGUCCCGAUAUAGACAGUAGCCCCUGAGACACUGUCCGGUGUUCGGAAAGAAAAAGCCGGACAAGGGAUCAAUUAAACCUUGCAGGAAGCUAACUAAAUAUGUCUUAUGUGACUAAGCAGGCGUCGUUGCUGGCCGUGACCUCGCACACUGCCGAAGUCCCCGGACUAAAGCAGAAACUAGAGCGGGCCGAGGAGGAGCUCGGCCAAGCGAGGAAGUAGCUGGAAGACCAGCAAGGUAUGUAAUGACGUGCUAUAUAUUCAGAAAGAAUAAAUGAUGUUUAUUGACCGUAGUGUCAUGAUAUGUGUAGGAGCGACGACCGAGGUCGAGGCCCUUAAGAAGGCCCUGGCCGAAGCCGAGGAUAAAGCUGCCAAAGAGCAAACCGCUCGUAAGAAGCUCAAGGCCAGGGUUAACAAGGUCCAGCAAGAGCUGAAGGACGCUGUGAAGAAAUGCGAGACCUUGGAGCAUGAUGCGUCGGCUCAAGAGGCCGAACUCGCCAAGGCUCGCCAAAGCAUAGAGGCGGCCCGGAAUGAAGCCCAAGGCGCCCUCCAGGAGAUUCAGGAGGCCAAGAAGAUCGCGGCGGGUAAGGCGUUUAGUAUGCAAAGCAAGUAUGUAAAGAAGAAUUAUUUAUUACUAACCCAGAUUCGGAGUUCUCCAGGGGCGUUUGCGGAUUUGCCACGCAGCGCGUCCGACGCCGCGGAGUUCUUCCGAGCCGAAGAAGGGAGCACAACGGACAAGCUGUUAUGGUCGCAAUACCUUGCGCCAGAACAUCCAGUGCCCUUUAGAGAUCAGCUGAAACAACUGGUCGAGCAGCAUAGGAUGGCCGAACUGGCCAUGAAGUAUUUGAUAAUCCAGCUGUGGCCUGCCGAAGCUAUACCCAGUAGCUACUUCGGCCUCGUGAAGCGGCUGGUGAAUGCCUGUCCUCGGCUGGACGUCGUCAAGCGGUCGGUCUGCAUCGAGGGCGCGCGCAUGGCCUUCGCCCGCGUCAAGGUCUGGUAGGCGAAGAUGGACACCGUCAAGCUUGUGACCGAGGGGCCCCCUGAGGGCAAGGAGCACCGCAAGCCCGAGCUGUAUUUUAAUAAUGUCCUGGAGGGAUCCCGCAUUAUUGCGGAGCAGUGUGCGAAAUACGUGAUCUUUGAAUGAGUACAUUCAUAUUUGUCUCGCCCUGUAUUAUGAAACAAAGACAAUUUAUGUAAUAUAAUUUUUGGUAUUAAAAGUUUCCCCUCCUGUGCGGCCGUAUGUUAUAAAAUCUGAGAGUUGGCCAGUCGUCGGCUUCUGCCCCCACGUAGGUAGUACGGGGGUGUUCGGGAUGUAAUCUAAACACUCUGGAUCCAAUUAUUUGGUCCUUGAAGGAGGUAUUUAGCACAACGAACCAGGCAAUCGGACUAUGCGGCUUUAGCACCCUCACUUAGCCAUAGGAGUGUGACGAUAGAAAGGGUAGGCGCAGCCCCUAGUAUCCGAACUAGGAUGUUGUAAGCGCCUGAUCUGGUAAGUACCGAUCCUUCGCAUAAUGCGGAAAAAAAUCUCUAACGAUUUGGAACCUCUGAAGAGCUGACCGGCUCUCGCCGCAACAGUCAGUUUUCGGCUUUCUCUACUGAGGUGCUCAUCCGGAUAAACCAGGGCACAAUCGCAGUAGUUAUCCCUUUACUACCUUAGCCGAUAUAGCGGAACAUAAGGUAGCAAGCACAGGAGCCGGGCAACCCAACUAUUGACCAAAGACAUGAUUCGGGGCCAAUGCAUAUAACGCUAAAUUCGGGGUGCCAAACUAUACUGUAAAAAAGUGUUCGGACUUUGUUGCCGUAGUGCGAGGCGCUAUAAAGCCCCUGGCAAAUGGAAACGUACCAAAGUGUACGGGUGCUACUUGAUAAGGUUAUCAACAUAAAAAAGGAAAACAGAAAAGAAGCAAAGGUAAUAUCUGGGGCCCUGAAACUUGGGCCACAAACUGUUUCCAUUAUAAACUGAUUAAUGCGUCAAAGCAUAUUGAUACACAUAGUGCGAUAAGCAACCGACUAUUUAACAUGCCACAACCAAGGGAGAGCUGCGUGUGGGUCCUGGCAACAGGUAGAGUGAUCGUUAAAGAAAGCUCUGAAAAUUCCCCUGUACGUCUGUGCUUCUUGCCGUCUUGGUAUAUUUAUCCUUUGACAGGACCAGUGAUCAGGCCAUCAGGGAAAGCCUGUGGAAAAGAAACCUGAAAAGGGAAAAGAGAAGCAGUGAAAGUAUGUGUGUCCGAGAACGGUCGAGCCGUAUUGCGGAUCACAAGCUAGUUAUGCCUCCGUCUAUGCCCAUGGUAUUUUGAGUGUGUAGUUAUGUAUGCGCAGUACAAAUACCGCCACUUGAGUGGGACUGGGGCGGAGGCAAAAUUGCUAGUCGAGCUCUUGGCGAGACGAGCUAUUCUGCUGCAGAAUAGUCUGGACCCUCUUGACAGUGUCCGGGAGCUUGGCCGCCGAAUUAAGGUUCUGCUUGAAAAGGCCGCUUUGUACUUCUGCUGCUAAGGCAACAGUGUGUUCCUCGGUACGGAAGGAACGUUCCAUGUUUCCAUUAACUGUUAUGAUGCCGCGUGGCCCGGGCAUCUUGAGCUUGAGGUAAGCAUAAUGAGGCACCGCAUUGAAUCGAGCAAAUGCGGUUCGUCCGAGCAGUGCGUGAUAGCCGCUGCGAAAAGGGACGAUAUCAAAGAUUAACUCUUUUCUUCGGAAGUUGUCUGGAGAUCUGAAGACAACCUCUAGCGUAAUUGAGCCCAUACAGUGAGCCUCUACACCUGGUAUGACUCCUUUAAAGGUAGUCUUUGUGGGCUUGAUCCUUGAUGGGUCAAUGCCCAUUUUGCACACUGUAUCCUGAUAGAGUAGUUUGAGGCUGCUGCCACCGUCCAUAUGGACUCACGUCAGGUGGAAUCCAUCAAUGAUUGGGUCAAGGACCAGUGCGGCUGAACCGCCAUGAUGGAUACUGGUCGGGUGAUCCCGGCGAUCAAAGGUGAUCGGGAUGACGACCAUGGAUUUGAUUUUGGGGCGACUAGCUCUAUCGCAUAGACGUCCCGGAGCGCGCGCUUGCGCUCCCUCUUAGGGAUGUGUGUGGCAUAUAUCAUGUUCACCGUUUUGACCUGAGGGGGAAACUUCUUUUGUCCCCCUGUGUUCGGUUGUCGGGGCUCCUCGUCAUCGUCCUCGCUUUGCGAUCCCUUUUCCUUGUUCUCUGCAUUUAACUUGCCGGCCUGUUUAAAAACCCAACAAUCUCUGUUGGUAUGGUUGGUGGUUUUUUCGGGGUGUCGUGGAUUUGGCACGGACGAUCAAGUAUGCGGUCCAAGCUGGAUGGUCCCUGAUUGUUUCUUUUAUAUGGCUUCUUCCACUGACCGGACUUGGAGCCACUAAAUCCGGCAUUGACUCUCGUGUCAUCAAUGUUGUAGCCAUUGUUUCAGCGUUUGUUGCGUCGGAGCUUGCCGUUGCUAUUUUUGCCCUCGGAACCGCCUAUUUCGUUUAUUGUGUUUUUGCUACGGGCCAGCCAACUAUCCUCACCCGCACAGAAGCGGUUCAUGAGUGCCGUGAGGACUUCCAUGGACUUAGGCUUUUCCUGGCCGAGGUGGCGAGCGAGCCAUUCGUCACGGAUGCUAUGUUUAAAGGCCGCUAGGGCUUCGGCAUCCAGAUAGUCGACGAUCUGGUUCUUUUUAGUUAGGAACCUAGUCCAGAAUUUCCUGGCUGACUCUCGAGGCUGUUGGACUAUGUGACUUAAGUCAUCGGUAUCUGGUGGCCGGACAUAUGUACGUUGGAAGUUGUCAAGGAAAGCUUCUUCCAAGUCCUCCCAGCUGCCAAUAGAAUUUUCAGGCAGACUGUUUAGCUAGUGCCGAGCUGGCCCUUUGAGUUUUAGUAGGAGGUAUUUGAUGGCGUGAAGGUCAUCCCCGCGGGCCAUGUGGAUGUGGAGAAUAAAAUCCUCGAUCCAUACCGCGGGAUCGGUUGUUCCAUCGUAUGAUUCGAUAUUUACGGGUUUAAACCCUUCUGGAAAUUCAUGAUCCAUUACUUCGUCAGUGAAGCAAAGAGGGUGUGCGGCGCCUCUAUAUCGGGCCACGUCGCGACGUAGCUCCGACGGAGUCCGUCUGUGGUUUUCGGCCCGGGCGUGACUAGGUUUGUCACGUCCGAAUAGAUGGUUAUCGCCGCGUGUCGAGGCACGUCCUCGCGAUCCGUAUAUCGGUCUUGUAUGCCCUGCUCUACUAUCCAGGUCCUGCCGAAGGUCGUAUGUAUAACCCCGAGCUGUUUUAUCCCUGCCUUUACAGCGAGGUGGGGCAGGCUGGUGUUCGGCUUGAGUUGCCGCUUUAUCCCGACCCCAUGGUGGUCGGUCAGCCGCAUUGCGCGAUGGUGGUACGGCCUCCAGCACCUCGUCAUCGAACUGCGGUAGCAAUUUGCGCUUUGGGUAACUUUUGGCUGGGCGCUUAAGGAUGUAUUCUUCGGCUGCUAGGACAUCACUCCAUCUAUCGUUGAGCAGAUCUUGGUCAGCUUGAAGCUGCUGCUGCUUAUUUUUCAGGCUCCUUGCAGUGGCUAUUAGCUGGCGCUUGAAGCGCUCCUGCUGGAGAGGUUUCUCAGGAACGAUAAAAUCCUCGUUGCCGAGGCUCACCUCCUCCUCGGAGAGCGGAUGAUAACUACCGUCCUCCGAGUCUUCAUCUAUGGCCUGUUCAUCACGGCUGCCUUGCCCAUCUUCCCGAUCAUCUUGUUCGGAGGUUGCCUCAACAGGGUCUUCAUUGUCUUCGGCAUCGUCCAGAGUGUUAUUUUCUCCGAUGCCAGUAUUGCUGUCUUUUGAACGACGUGACUUAGAGCGGCGCCGAGGACGCCGACGUUUGAGCUAUGUCUCAGGAGGUUUAUCCUCAACUGGAUCUUUUUUAUCAUCGUCGUUAGUUUCUUUAGGUGUAUCCACAAUGUACACAUCGUACGAAGAAGUGGCCGUCAAGCGUCCAGUGAAUGGCGGGUUUUGGCCCUGCUCCUCAUCGGCAUCGUCGUCCGUACCGUCGAUGUCUUCGGAGCCGUAAUCAAGCAUGUCGGUUAAGUCCUCGACAGUGGCUAUGAAGUGGGUGGCGGGUGGGAAGCAAAAUUCUCCAUCGUCAGCCCCUAGUUCAAACCGGACAUAGUUUGGCCGUGAGUCCCCCACCAAGGACAGGUUCUUUAAUGAGUUUAGCACAUCGCCAAAAGGCGAGUGUUGGAAGAUGUCUGCGGCGCUGAAUUCGAAGAUCGAUAAUUGAUCAAGUUCGGCGUCCGCGGACGCACACGGUUCAGAACUUACAUCCGGAAACGAGUCCGGAGUUCCGGUGAUACAGAUAUCGCGUGAGGUUAAGCCUAUGUGCGGCUCCAACACCGCGGAAUCUGUGGCCUUAGUGGCAGGGUUGAGCUUCCCAUCCUUGGAUGGCACGAUCUACUCCGGAUCUAAGGCUGGAGCAGUUACAGGAGCUAUCUCCUGGAUGUGGUCCGAUGACAGAUUUAGGUCAUGUUCAUCGAGGUGACAAGGAGCGGCCUCCGCGGUCUCGAAUCCGUCGAAGAUCAAAUCUCCACAGAUGUCCGCGACGUAGUUUAACUUUCCAAAUCUGACCUGAUGGCCAGGGGCGUAGCUAUCGAUCUGCUCCAUAUGGACAAGCGAGUUGGCCUGCAGUGCCAAGCCACCGAAUACGAAGAUCUGUCUGGGGAGAAAGGUCUCCCCUUGGACAGCGUCGUUGUAGACGAUUUAAGAAGCCAUCGAACCUUUUGGGGAUGGCACAGUGGAACUCUCAAUGAAAGCACCAAUGUCGGUGUCAAAACCGGCGGCUCUCGGGUAGGGGGUCCCGAACUGUGCGUCUGAGGAUGAUGGUAAUAGGAGACGGGGAACACAAUGUUUACCCAGGUUUGGGCCCUCUCUAUGGAGGUAAUACCCUACUUCUUGCUUGGUUGAUCUUGAUGAAUAUGAGUAUUACAAGACUUGAUCUACCACGAGAUCAUAAUGGCUAAACCCUAGAAGUCUAGCCUAUGUGAUUAUGGUAAUGAGUAUCUCUUCUCCUCUGGACUAAGCCCUCCGGUUUAUAUAGACACCGGGGGGAUCUAGGGUUACACAAGGUCGGUUACAGAGAAAGGAAUCUACAUAUUUGAUCGCCAAGCUUGCCUUCCACGCCAAGGAGAGUCCCAUCCGGACAUGGGUAGAGUCGUCGGUCUUCGUAUCUUCACGGCCCAUCAGUCCGACCCAUGGCUAACAUGCCGGACGCCCGAGGACCCCUUAGUCCAGGACUCCCUCACCAGCUCCCGCUACUUCUCUUGCUCCAGGUCCCCGAGGUGGUACUGCUGCAUCACCCAGUUGGUCCUCUGCUGGUCGAAGUUCUUGUUGGUGUGCAGCACCAGAACCUUUUUGCUGCCCGUCUGCCGGCCGUUGACCAUCACUGGCAAGGUAUUGCCGGUCUUGUGCCACAUCGCGUGCAUGCCGCACUCCGACUGUAUCUUGCGACGUGUCCACGUGCCCCUUUUGAACGCCCCGUAAUUGCGCAGGAAGAAAUUCUUGCUUAGGCCACUCAGGGUGAUACCUGCAGUAUUGUCGAAUUCAGGUUUUAGUGUACGUAGUUGGUAUUUUCAUAACAUCUUUGGCAUGUUGCAGUCACUUGUUUCACUUUUAUUAACUGUCAAAUUGUAAUUGCUUCACUAGGUCUGCGUCUAAAAAGAAAAAUAGAGCUAUAAACAAAGGAAUAUGUUUGAGCAAGUAGACGGCCGAUCGGUGUCUUACCUUGAAGUUUCUCAGGAUAGGUGUAGCAUAUGCUGUGCUCGCUGUUGAUGGUUGGUAUGAACAAAUCGAUGAGAGGGUGAGAUCUCGCGCUGUUAGCACUCACUUUGGCCUCAAGGUGCUCGAUCAGCUCCUGAUCCGUGGGAUCGAACUUGAUGACAGCCGGCAGCACCGGCCAAUCCUUCUUGGACUUGCAUCGGUUAAUUCUAGUUAUAUGGUACUCAAUGUAUGAUGACUGUUUUAAGUGAAUGAUGAAAGAUUUCGACAGAUAAGUGGUAGUACUCCACAUCUGAAGUCCACAAUACCCGAACACGCCGCCGGGAUUCUUGUGUCACCACACGCGCAGCGUGUUGUCAUGUUAAUUCAAUGUGAGGACAUGAUGAAUAAUUUGACCGACGUAUACUAGUACUGCUACUGUACUACUUACUAGUGGUCUUUAGUGUCACAUUUUAACCAUAGGUUUAACUAAUAAAUGUCAAUGCAUGUCACCGAAAAUUAUUCCAUUGGAAACUAUGUUCAAAUACGAAUAAAAUGAUAUAAUUUUUUGUGACAUGCAUUAACAUUUAGUUAGUGAAAUUUAUGGUCAAAAUUUGACACAAAUUACCAAGGGGACCAGUAAACCAGGAGGGAGGUAGUUGUACGAGUAGCACAAUAUACGGUAUAGAGGACUAGUACAAAUUUAGAAAUGGUGUAAGAAGUUACAAGGCUGUGCGACAGACUUUGUAGGCUACAUGAGUAACACAAAAUAUAAUUCCCAUUGGACAACACUUUCACCAACAAGUACACACUUGAAGCCUAAUUGAUAUAUAUAUAUAUAUGGCUUCUGCACAACAUCUCCAUCAUCAUUAUCAGUACAUCCUACGCAGGUGAGUUAGGAUGUACUUGAUCCCAGAAAGGUAUCUAUCCUUCAAACCGGAGGAGUGCUUCAAACUAACAACAGUACAUAAUAGCCAACAAAAGAGAGUCAUGCUACAACAGCAGGAUACAUGGCUCAGUCUAGAUAUCAGUAUGAAUCAAGUUGUGCAUAUUUGCUGUUGGCAUGAACCACAUCGCCGCAUGUCGGGUUUGCAAAAGCCAUCCAUCGCAUGGAAGCUUGAUGCCUUUCGCACACUGAAGAUUAUCUGGCAAAAAGAUGUGUCGACGAAUCUCUGGAUAUGGUGAUUCAUGAAACCCAUGGUAUGAUGUGUAAACACAGUUCCCCCUGGCGAAUGGAAGUUGCAUAGCACGGUAAUCAUCACCGGUGAUAUGAUCAAUGAUUGGUUGGAUGAUCGCAUAAUUGAGCCCGAGGAACAUGGAGUGGUUGCCGAGGCUGUAAACCCACCUCCAGUUGAAUACGCCUGGCCCAACAGAGCUGGGAUCUUUCUUGAACACAAAGCAGCCAUAGCCAUCAAUGUCACGAACGCCCCAGGCAUUGUACUGCAUGUGGUUUGAUGAAAUGGUUUGGUCAAUUUGGUACGUGCAAAUGAGCAUCAAAUGACCGCCGUCAGUUGAACGAGGGAGAAACCACCACCCAUCAGCUGGUAUGAUUCCAGGUCCUGGAAUUUUGAAGGCCGGCGCAUUUGCGUCUGCUGCAACAAUUAAAAUUGGAGACCAAAAGGAUAAAAAUAACCAAUCAUGUUCAGAGUAUGUGUGGAAUUAAGAUUAUUAUAACAGUGACACAUAUCAGAGACAGAGAAUUGCAAUGCCGUGGUCAUAAUCAUACCCCAUGUUAAAAAAAUAAGCCAAUGGCUUUCAUAUUCUAGCAAUAUAUCAUGGUUCAAACAUCAUGUAAGAAUGAGAGGAAAACAGAUAUGACAGGGCCUACUCAUAUUCUACCAUAGCACUUACUAUAGUUACCAUAUCAACUCUAAGCAAUAACAUGCGUUGUUAUAAAAAUCCUGGAAAUGAGGUUAUACUCAUAAUAUCUAUUCUAACAAUCAUUAGAUGACAAUUGUUCUCAUAUCAACUCUAACAAUAACAUGUGUGGUCAUAAAAAUCUAGGAAAUGAGAGGAACAUAUAACAAUGAUGUGGUUAUAGACAUACUAUAUAUUCUAAAUUUGUAACAAUGAACAGGCAGUCAUAUUCUUAAGGUAAAGAUGAGAUGAGAUAGAACAAUUACACGACCAUAGAUUCCACUAGUAUAGGCAGCCAAUCUGUGCGUCGACCGCAUAAACGAUGCCAUCAUGCACUAUAACAUCAGACAGAAGUGUUGGGUGAAUAGGAUUGACGAUGAGCCAUAACCAUGUAUGACGACCGGAUUCCAGAUAGACUAAUCCCAUGUUGAACACGGCAAUGAGCUUGUAAACCAUAUAGUCUUCUGAUGAUGUGGGCACUUCGCAGAUUACAACCUUCAGCAAACAGAGGUCGAGCCAAAAGCUCGACGCGUCUCGUGCGUAGUAGGUAGGAGUGUCCGGCGGGCCGCGAGGCUCAAUGGCGGCGGUAUCCAACGAUGGAAGGGUGAUCUCUUGCUGGGUGUAGAUAUCCAGGAGACGCCACGGACUACCGGAUUGGUGGAUGAGGAUGAUCCAGUUGGCCUUCAUGCCCGCCCAGUAGUGGCCGCGCAUGAAGGACAGGUGGACGGGUAGUGGUAGCAUGUCGAGGGGCACCACGGCAACCUCCGUAGGAUCGUCAAGUCGGUGUCCGGGCCACCUGCGAGGAUCGGGCAUCAGCAAGCAGGGUGUCUUGAAAACAGCUGGCCGGUUGCAGAUGCAUAGACGGUACAAAGACACCGAGCAUGCGGCCAGACGGACGGUGCUGAGCAGGUCCAUACGAUCAUAGAUCUGCUCCAAGAGAACAUCGGGGAGGGAAUUCCAAUCAAGGUUGUGCGUGUCAGUCGGUUUUGCCAUAGGGUUUUUAGGGCGCUGAGUGACUGGGGUUUUCGAUGCCUGCGAGGCAGCGGGGAAGUGGAUUCGGGCGGGCGAGUGAAGAAGAUGGCGUGUGUGGCCGAGCAGUGAGCGGGGGAAUAUGGUACGCGCGAGCUACCAAGCAAGAUGGCGCAGGCGGGCGAGCAGUGAGCAGGGGGAAAUGGUGUGCGUCCGACGAUGGGGAAGAGAGGAGGAAGAAGAAGAGAGGAGGAAGAAGAGUGAAAGGCGGGGAAGAAAGUGCAUUAAAUCUCAAUUCUACUAGUACUACUACCAGGAUAUACCGUCGUUCGGAGUGUAAAUAGUUACACAGAUGACAUGUGGGUCUACCUCAAGAGGGCCCAUAAGUCAGUUAAUGGAGGAAAGAGGUGCGUAGUCGUAUUUGCGGAAGCGUGCUACAUUGGCAAACAUGAUGGCAGUACUGGGUAAGGCUGAUUUAGUAACACCAACACACUGGUUCAGCUUAUUAAUCAAGUGUCCCAUCUGCUGCAGCGUGUAUUGUCACUUCACUGUGAAGACUAGUUGAAUAGUACUCUCUGACCGAGAUGGGGAAUAAUAGAUCGCGAAGACUUCCUAUCUAUAGUAUCCAUAUGCAUGUGCACUCGGGCCCCUCCCAAUGCUCCGCCUUGUAAGGCUGCCAUGUAGGCAAAAAGUCUGAUGUGGCGAGGUCAUUAAGAGGAGAGAUAAGUGUGGUGACCCCAGUACUAAGCGCGAGAACCUAGACAAAAGACAUAAAUGGAAGAAUCCCACCAAUGCAUGAAGAACUUUAGUUACAAAAUCAUUAAAUAAAGGAUGCUUAGCACCAACAAGUUAAGCACCUGUACAUGUAAGCAUUGGGAGCUUUAGUUGCUAAAGUUUUUAAUGUGCUUAGCACCACAUGUAAGCACCGAUGCAUUGGAAGUAGCCUCAUCUUGUCCAACAAGAUGAAACAUUGGCCAAGGCACCCGACGCCAAUAAUGUAGGAGUACUAGUACUACCUCCUUUCCGGUUUAUAGGGCUCAAUUCAAAAAUCUUAUCAACCAAGGUAGAUGAUGAGUCGUGGAAUAAUUUUUUUAGUUUGCAAAACACUCAAUCAAUGCACUCGUUUUCUCAAAAAAAUUAUGUUUGCCAAUGCAUUAAUUUUGUGUCAAACUUUGACCAUCUACUCCCUCCAUCCAGGUGAAUAAGUCAUCUUUGGUUGUGCACCGUGACCCAGGAGGGAAAAACAAGAGAACUUAAUGUUUAUUUGCUACUCCCUCCGUUCCUAAAUAUUGUGUUUUUCGACAUUCAAAUGGAAUACAACAUAUGGAUGUAUAUAGACAUAUUUUAGAGUGUAGAUUCACUCAUUUUGCUCCGUACGUAGUCACUUGUUGAAAUCUCUAGAAAGUCAAAUACUCCAUGGGAAAAGAGGGAGGCUUUUACUCCGUAUUUGGGAACAGAGGGAGUAUCACAAUAUGGAUGGAACAGAGGAAGCUUGAAAUAUGAACAUGUCAAUGGGAGGGAGUAAAAGCCUCAUGCAUGCAUGCAUGCAACAUGCAACACCCACACGUACACAUGGACGCACGCAACACUCACGCACCCAUGCGGCACACAGCACGCGAUGCAACACACACGCUCAUGCUCAAGUGCUCAACCUACUCCCUAUGUCCGUGAAAGACUGCACAUUUAGAGACUUACACAUUGACCAGGGCAUAAUUAACGCCCAAAAGUAGCAGAUUUAUGUGUGCAUGCGACUAUUGAGAGAAGAAGAUUAAAUGAAGGUUGUUGCAUGCUGUAAUUAAGGAUAGACAUGUAGCCUAUAGCUAGAGCACAAGUUGGUGCAUUAGUCAAUCAAUAUCGAUUUUAGAUUAAAGGCUAAAUGCAUUGUAAGUGUGGAUGUACACUCUUUGUUUUUUAGCCGAUGUACACUCUUUGUUGGAAGACCCAGGGAGCACGCGUGCAUGCACUUACAUACACAGCCAGGGUGGUUCGCACGCAAGGGUCGGACUCCUGUCGCGCCCGCGUAAAGUUUUGUUCAACUGAUUUCUUUGCUCUGCCAACUGACAGGGGGGACCCAAAAACCAGGUGACAAUUUAACCAGUCAACAAAGUGCCACGUCGACUAUGUGGCCGGUCAGUAGGGUGCAAUAUGGUGCUCUACGAUGAGCUAGAGAUCGUAUAAUCACCGCAAAAUUAUAUAUAGUGACCGUAAAGAGCAUACUGUUACAUACGUUGACCACCAAUGUAUUUUUCUCGUUUCAAAUUAAGCCAUAUUAACCGGAAAGGACUAGUCCUUGUACUGCUUUGAUGUGUCCCGUCAACUCGCCGAACGUGGAGAAGCUUGCUUACUACGCCUCUACCUCGCCCACGCGUGCGGUGGCUCACGGGACGAGGAGAGGGUUUUGACUAUAGUGCCCUCUCCCUCUCCCUCUCGCUCGCCCUCGCCCUCGCGGUGGACGUGCAGCUGUUCAAUCGGUGUCAGAUUGCCAAAAGCAUAUUAUACUGUAGUAUCAUCAUUGUUGGACCUUCGGAAGAGGAGAAGAGCCAAGUGCAAGGUUCACACGAGUACGAACUGUUGAACCUCCCGGAGAGGCAAAGAGCCAAGCGGAAGGUUUUAUAGGAGUUGUCGUCCUAGUAGGAGUAUACUACAACUAUAGCGAAUGAUGCUACUGUAUGAUGCCGCCACGUCACCUAUAUCCAAAGUUGUGCCACCUUUUUUUCUCAAAGAGCGUGUUGGUGCCCGUGCAGGAACCACACAAGUUGCACGUACACAUAACACAUUUACUAGUAAUAAAUUCUAAAGGACAAAUUCCAAUAUGCCACACAAGUUCAUCUCCAAUUCAUGUGAUAAAUUUGUGCACGACUAGUCUACAUAUAUUCACAGCGCUACCGUUCACAAUUUACCAUACCCCACUUACACGUUAUAGAUGGGCUACAUGUCCUCCUCCAGGUUCCAGUCCCAGGUGUUCUUCAUCGAUGGCACGAUCCAUAGUGGUGGGCAACGGGAAUCAUUGUCGCAGCUUUCUAGUCCGGUCCACACGAUGGAGACUCAUCCAAGCUGAAGUGGCAUAAAUCAGGGAUAGCGUGUCCCAGCAUGUCAUUCAUCCGGCGGUGCGCACUAAAGACACAACCAUGCUUCAUGAAGGCAGGCCUUCGGUGUCAUGCACGGAAGGUGGCAUCCGCUUCACAAUGGGGUAGCUGUCCCCAAUGAAAAGCGAGUACUCUCCAAGAGUGUUCCUCGGCACCCACGUGGCAUCAUGGGGGUCGAACUUGGCGCCGUUCAUCUGGUACACGCGGCAACUCAGAUCUGGACACAUGGUGACGUACACAGUCAAGGUCCAUGCAUAAUAAUGUUCUGCUCAAAUAUGGCGUUCAGUAAUACUAUGCAGCAAAUAGUACUACUCAGGUAUAGAGGAAGUAAAAUAACCAGCUUAUUAUAUAUAGCCACUCUUGGCUACAUGGAUGAGAUAGUAAGACAUGGAAAAACAAAAAUGGUGGCAGCUAGUGGGUUCAAGUCUUCAAGGGCCUAGCUAGCUAUACGCGUCCUCCAAGAUAAAAAGUACUCCUACUAGUAGUAGUAAGUAGUACAACAACGAAAGAGAAGGCGAGAGGGUUACAAAAUAUAAUACUAAAUGGAAUACCUGGGUAGAUGGUGACGGUCCGAUCGUGGUAGAUUGUGUGACCAUGUUGCACAUCAGUGGUACCAUGGGUAAUGACUGCUAAGAUAGUUGAUCCCAAUAUGCCAAAGUCAGCUACAAGGUUCCAGGUUCGACAGAAUCGCGGAUGCAAAUGCACAUCCAGGAUCGACGAUCUUAUUUCGAUCGGGGGAUGACUGGUCCCUGCAAAAUAAUGGAGUACCAUUAGAGAUGCAAAUGAUGGUUUGUGCAUUCCGUUUGUAAUCUCCUGUACCGUAGGAUGGCAACCAUAUGAAACAAGUCCCCUGGCUUGUCACGGCGAAGAUGCGGCCUAGAUGGAACAUGGCAUCUUCGAACGUGUAGGGGUGCAAAUCUGCCGCGGCCAACAUGCGCCAGCCUCUGCCCUGUCUGCAGUUACUGCCUCUAGUAUUGAUGGCAAUCCUUAUGUCGAACACCGCGAGGAGAUAGUAAUCGUCGUUGGCGCAUCGCUUUGUCGGCGGGUCCGCAAUUGCUAUCUUCUUCAAUCUCAUGUUGGCAUCAUCAUAUGUAUUCAAGCCCCGCCAGUCUGGAAGGCCGAUCCCAAUGGUGGAGAAGGGGUCUACGGGAACGGCCGCACUGCUGUGGAUGUUGUGCAAAAUGAUGGUGGUAUCCGGCCGGAGGUAUGCAAGCCAAUCUUUGUUGGCACCGACCCAAACCUAUAUAUAAGACGGUGGGCAGCUUAGAAAUUAUGGUAUGGAAAAGGAAUAACUAAGUACUACAUGAUCAAACUCCAUGACUGACCUGCUCAUCAGACAAUAUCCGACUACCUCUCAACGUCGGCAACUCUAGCGGAGUCAACGUGCAACCAUGGCCAGGGAGUAGUGUACUGUUCGAAGGAUUUGACGGAAAUAUGCCGUAGAGGCAAUAAUAAAGUUAUUAUUUAUUUCCUUAUUUCAUGAUAAAUAUUUAUUAUUCAUGCUAGAAUUGCAUUAAUCGGAAACAUAAUACAUGUGUGAAUACAUAGACAAACUGAGUGUCACUAGUAUGCCUCUACUUGACUAGCUCGUUGGAUCAAAAAUGGUUAAGUUUCCUAGCCAUAGAUAUGAGUUGUCAUUUGAUCAACGGGAUCACAUCAUUAGAGAAUGAUUUGAUUAACAUGACCCAUUCCGUUAGCUUAGCAGUUGAUCAUUUAGUAUGUUGCUAUUGCUUUCUUCAUGACUUAUACAUGUUCCUAUGACUAUGAGAUUAUGCAACUCCCGAAUACCAGAGGAACACUUUGUGUGCUACCAAACGUCACAACGUAACUGUUUGCUUAUAAAGGUGCUCUACAGGUGUCUCCGAAGGUACUUGUUGAGUUGGCAUAGAUCGUGAUUAGGAUUUGUCACUCUGAUUGUCGGAGAGGUAUCUCUGGGCCCUCUCGGUAAAGCACAUCACUAUAAGCCUUGCAAGCAUUGUAACUAAUGAGUUAGUUGCGGGAUGAUGCGUUACGGAACGAGUAAAGAGACUUUCCGGUAACAAUAUGAACUAGGUAUUGAUAUGCCGACGAUCGAAUCUCGGGCAAGUAACAUACCGAUGACAAAGGGAACAACGUAUGUUGUUAUGCGGUUUGACCGAUAAAGAUCUUCGUAGAAUAUGUGGGAUCCAAUAUGAGCAUCCAGGUUCCGCUAUUGGUUAUUGACCGGAGACGUGUCUCGGUCAUGUCUACAUAGUUCUCGAACCCGUAGGGUCCGCACGCUUAAAGUUCGGUGACGACCGGUAUUAUGAGUUUUUGUAUUUUGAUGUACUGAAGGUAGUUCGGAGUCCCGGAUAUGAUCACGGCCAUGACGACGAGUCUUGAAAUGGUCGAGAGGUAAAGAUCGAUAUAUUGGACGACUAUGUUUGGACACCGGAAGGGUUCCGGAAGGUUUCGGGCAUAUACCGGAGUAUCGGUGGGUUACCGGAACCCCCCGGGGAGUUUAUUGGGCCUCAUGGGCCCUAGUGGGAGAAGAGGAGGGGCGGCCAGGGCAGCCGCGCCCCCCCUCCCCCUCUAGUCCAAAUUGGACAAGGAGGGGGGGGGGGGCGGUGCCCCCCUUUUUUCCUUCUCUUCCUCUCUCCCUUCCUUCCCUUUUCCUACUCCUACUUGGAAGGGGGAAUCCUACUCCCUGUGGGAGUAGGGCUCCUCAUGGGGCGCGCUUAGGGAGGCCGGCCUCCUCCCCCUCCUCCACUCCUUUAUAUACGGGGAGGGGGGCACCCCUUGGAGACACAAAUAUUGAUCUGUUGAUCUCUUAGCCGUGUGCGGUGACCCCUCCACCAUAAUCCACCUCAAUAAUAUCAUAGUGGUGCUUAGGCGAAGCCCUGCAUCGGUAGCAUCAUCAUCACCGUCAUCACACCGUCGUGCUGACAAAACUCUCCGGCGAAGCUCUACUGGAUCGUGAGCUCGUGGGACGUCAUCGAGUUGAACGUGUGCUGAACUCGGAGGUGCCAUACGUUCGGUACUUGGAUCGGUCGGAUCGUGAAGACGUUCGACUACAUCAACCGCAUUGUGCUAACGCUUCCGCUUUCGGUCUACGAGGGUACGUGGACACACUCUCCCGUCUCGUUGCUAUGCAUCACCAUGAUCUUGCACGUGCGUAGGAAUUUUUUUGAAAUUACUACGUUCCCCAACAGUGGCAUCCGAGCCAGGUUUAUGCGUAGAUGUUAUAUGCACGAGUAGAACAAAAGUGAGUUGUGGGCGAUACAAGUCAUACUGCUUACCAGCAUGUCACACUUUGGUUCGGCGGUAUUGUUGGAUGAAGCGGCCCGGACCGACAUUACGCGUACGCUUACGCGAGACUGGUUCUACCGACGUGCUUUGCACACAGGUGGCUGGCGGGUGUCAGUUUCUCCAACUUUAGUUGAAUCGAGUGUGGCUACGCCCGGUCCUUGUGAAGGUUAAAACAACACUAACUUGACGAACUAUCGUUGUGGUUUUGAUGCAUAGGAAAGAACGGUUCUUGCUCAGCCCGUAGCAGCCACGUAAAACUUGCAACAACAAAGUAGAGGACGUCUAACUUGUUUUUGCAGGGAAUGUUGUGAUGUGAUAUGGUCAAGACAUGAUGCUAAAUUUUAUUGUAUGAGAUGAUCAUGUUUUGUAACCAUGUUAUCGGCAACUGGCAGGAGCCAUAUGGUUGUCGCUUUAUUGUAUGCAAUGCAAUCGCCAUGUAAUUGCUUUACUUUAUCACUAAGAGGUAGCGAUAGUCGUAGAAGAAACAGUUGGGGAGACGACAACGAGGCUACGAUGGAGAUCAAGGUGUCGCGCCGGUGACGAUGGUGAUCAUGACGGUGCUUUGGAGAUGGAGAUCACAGGCACAAGAUGAUGAUGGCCAUAUCAUAUCACUUAUAUUGAUUGCAUGUGAUGUUUAUCCUUUAUGCAUCUUAUUUUGCUUAGAUCGACAGUAGCAUUAUAAGAUGAUCUCCCACUAAAUUUCAAGGUACAAGUGUUCUCCCUGAGUAUGCACCGUUGCGAAAGUUCGUCGUGCCGAGACACCACGUGAUGAUCGGGUGUGAUAAGCUCUACGUUCACAUACAACGGGUGCAAGCCAGUUUUGCACAUACAGAAUACUCGGGUUAAACUUGACGAGCCUAGCAUAUGUAGAUAUGGCCUCGGAACACUGAGACCGAAAGGUCGAGCGUGAGUCAUAUAGUAGAUAUGAUCAACAUAGUGAUGUUCACCAUUGAAAACUGCUCCAUCUCACGUGAAUAUCGGACAUGGUUUAGUGGAUAUGGGUCACGUGAUCACUUAGAUGAUUAGAGGGAUGUCUAUCUAAGUGGGAGUUCUUUAAUAAUUUGAUUAACUGAACUUUAAUUUAUCAUGAACUUAGUACCUGAUAGUAUUUUGCAUGUCUAUGUUGUUGUAGAUAGAUAGCCCGUGCUGCUGUUCCGUUGAAUUUUAAUGCGUUCCUUGAGAAAGCAAAGUUGAAAGAUGAUGGUAGCAAUUACACGGACUGGGUUCAUAACUUGAGGAUUAUCCUCAUUGCUGCACACAAGAAUUACGUCCUGGAAGCACCGCUAGGUGCCAAACCUGCUGUAGGAGCUGAAGCAGAUGUUAUGAAUGUCCGGCAAAGCAAAGCUGAUGACUACUCGAUAGUUCAGUGUGCCAUGCUUUACGGCUUAGAACCGGGACUUCAACGACGUUUUGAACGUCAUGGAGCAUCUGAGAUGUUCCAGGAGUUGAAGUUAAUAUUUGAAGCAAACGCCCGGAUUGAGAGAUAUGAAGUCUCCAAUAAGUUGUAUAGCUGCAAGAUGGAGGAGAAUAGUUCUGUCAGUGAGCAUAUACUCAGAAUGUCUGGGUAUAACAAUCACUUGAUUCAACUAGGAGUUAAUCUUCUGGAUGAUAGUGUUAUUGACAGAAUUCUUCAAUCACUGCCACCAAGCUACAAGAGCUUUGUGAUGAACUAUAACAUGCAAGGGAUGGAUAAGACGAUUCCCGAGCUCUUCACAAUGCUAAAUGCUGCGGAGGUAGAAAUCAAGAAGGAGCAUCAAGUGUUGAUGGUCAACAAGACCACAAGUUUCAAGAAAAAGGGCAAAGGGAAGAAGAAGGGGAACUUCAAGAAGAACGGCAAACAAGUUGUUGUUCAAGAGAAGAAACCCAAGUCUGGACCUAAGCCUGAGACUGGGUGCUUCUACUGCAAAGAGACUGGUCACUGGAAGCGGAAUUGCCCCAAGUAUAUGGCGGAUAAGAAGGAUGGCAAGGUGAACAAAGGUAUAUGUGAUAUACAUGUUAUUGAUGUGUACCUUACAAUUCUCGCAGUAGUGCCUGAGUAUUUGAUACUGGUUCUGUUGCUAAUAUUUGCAACUCGAAACAGGGACUACGGAUUAAGCGAGGAUUGGCUAAGGACGAGGUGACGAUGCGCCGGGGAAACGGUUCCAAAGUCGAUGUGAUCGCGGUCGGCACGCUACCUCUACAUCUACCUUCGGGAUUAGUUUUAGAACUGAAUAAUUGUUAUUUGGUGCCAGCGUUGAGCAUGAACAUUAUAUCUGGAUCUUGUUUGAUGCGAGACGGUUAUUCAUUGAAAUCAGAGAAUAAUGGUUGUUCUAUUUAUAUGAGUAAUAUUUUUAUGGUCAUGCACCCUUAAGAGUGGUCUAUUAUUUUUGAAUCUCGAUAGUGGAGAUACACAUAAUCGUAGUAUUGAAGCUAAAAGAUGCAGAGUUGAUAAUGAUAGUGCAACUUAUUUAUGGCACUGCCGUUUAGGUCAUAUUUGCGUAAAACGCAUGAAGAAACACCAUUCUGAUGGACUUUUGAAAUCACUUGAUUAUGAAUCACUUGGUACUUGCGAAGCAUGCCUCAUGGGCAAGAUGACUAAAACACUGUUCUCCGGAAGAGUGGAGCGAGCAACAGAUUUGUUGGAGAUCAUACAUACUGGUGUAUGUGGUCCGAUGAAUGUUGAGGCUCGCGGCGAGCAUCGUUAUUUUGUCACCUUCACAUAUGAUUUGAGCAGAUAUGGGUAUAUCUACUUGAUGAAACAUAAGUCUGAAACAUUUGAAAAGUUCAAAGAAUUUCAGAGUGAAGUGGAAAAUCAUCGUAACAAGAAAAUAAAGUUUCUACGAUCUGAUCGUGGAGGAGAAUUUUUGAGUUACGAGUUUAGUCUUCAUUUGAAACAAUGCAGAAUAGUUUCGCAACUCACGCCACCCGGAACACCACAGCGUAAUGGUGUGUCUGAACGUCGUAAUCGUACUUUACUAGAUAUGGUGCGAUCUAUGAUGUUUCUUACUGAUUUACCGCUAUCGUUUUGGGGUUAUGCUUUUGAGACGACUGCAUUCACGUUAAAUAGGGCACCAUCUAAAUCCGUUGAGACGACUCCUUAUGAACUGUGGUUUGGCAAGAAACCAAAGUUGUCGUUUCUUAAAGUUUGGGGCUGCGAUGCUUAUGUGAAAAAGCUUCAACGUGAUAAGCUCGAACCCAAAUCGGAGAAAUGUGUCUUCAUAGGAUACCCAUAAGAGACAGUUGGGUACACCUUCUAUCAGAGAUCCGAAAAGGCAAGCCUUUUGUUGCUAAGAAUGGAUCCUUUCUAGAGAAGGAGUUUCUCUCGAAAGAAGUGAGUGGGAGGAAAAUAGAACUUGAUGAGGUAACUGUACCUACUCCCUUAUUGGAAAGUAGUUCAUCACAGAAACCUGUUCCUGUGACACCUACACCAAUUAAUGAGGAAGCUAAUGAUGAUGAUCAUGAAACUUCAGAUCAAGUUGCUACUGAACCUCGUAGGUCAACCAGAGUAAGAUCCGCACCAGAGUGGUACGGUAAUCCUGUUCUGGAGGUCAUGUUACUAGACCAUGGUGAACCUACAAACUAUGAUGAAGCGAUGAUGAGCCCAGAUUCCGCAAAAUGGCUUGAGGCCAUGAAAUCUGAGAUGGGAUCCAUAUAUGAGAACAAAGUGUGGACUUUGGUUGAAUUGCCCAAUGAUCGGCAAGCCAUCGAGAAUAAAUGGAUCUUCAAGAAGAAGACAAACGCUGAUGGUAAUGUAACUGUCUACAAAGCUCGACUUGUUGUGAAAGGUUUUUGACAAGUUCAAGGAGUUGACUACGAUGAGACCUUCUCACCCAUAGCUAUGCUUAAGUCCGUCCGAAUCAUGUUAGCAAUUGCCGCAUUUUAUGAUUAUGAAAUUUGGCAAAUGGAUGUAAAGACUGCAUUCCUGAAUGGAUUUCUGGAAGAAGAGUUGUAUAUGAUGCAACCUGAAGGUCUUAUCGAUCCAAAUGGUGCUAAAAAAGUGUGUAAGCUCCAGCGAUCCAUUUAUGGACUGGUGCAAGCCUCUCGGAGUUGGAAUAAACGUUUUGAUAGUGUGAUCAAAGCAUAUGGUUUUAUACAGACUUUUGGAGAAGCCUGUAUUUACAAGAAAGUGAGUGGGAGCUCUGUAGCAUUUCUAAUAUUAUAUGUGGAUGACAUAUUGUUGAUUGGACAUGAUAUAGAAUUUCUGGAUAGCAUUAAACGAUACAUGAAUAAGAGUUUUUCAAUGAAAGACCUCGGUGAAGCUGCUUACAUAUUGGGCAUCAAGAUCUAUAGAGAUAGAUCAAGACGGUUAAUUGGACUUUCACAAAGCACAUACCUUGAAAAACUUUUGAAGAAGUUCAAACUGGAUCAGGCUAAGAAAGGGUUCUUGCCUGUGUUACAAGGUGUGAAGUUGAGUAAGACUCGAUGCCCGACCACUUCAGAAGAUAGAGAGAAAAUCAAAAGUGUUCCCUAUGCUUCAGCCAUAGGCUCUAUCAUGUAUGCAAUGCUGUGUACCAGACCUGAUGUGUGCCUUGCUAUUAGUUUAGCAGGGAGGUACCAAAGUAAUCCAGGAGUGGAUCACUGGACAGCGGUCAAGAACAUCCUGAAAUACCUGAAAAGGACUAAGGAUAUGUUUCUUGUUUAUGGAGGUGACAAAGAGCUCGUCAUAAAUGGUUACGUCGAUGCAAGCUUUGACACUGAUCCAGACGAUUCUAAAUCGCAAACAUGAUACGUGUUUAUAUUGAACGGUGGAGCUGUCAGUUGGAGCAGUUCGAAACAAAGCGUCGUGGCGGGAUCUACGUGUGAAGCGGAGUACAUAGCUGCUUCGGAAGCAGCAAAUGAAGGAGUCUGGAUGAAGGAGUUCAUAUCCGAUCUAGGUGUAAUACCUAGUGCAUCGGGUCCAAUGAAAAUCUUUUGUGACAAUACUGGUGCAAUUGCCUUGGCAAAGGAAUCCAGAUUUCACAAGAGAACCAAGCACAUCAAGAGACGCUUCAAUUCCAUCCGCGAUCAAGUCCAGGGUGGGGACAUAGAGAUUUGCAAGAUACAUACGAAUCUGAAUGUUGCAGAUCCGUUGACUAAGCCUCUCUUACGAGCAAAACAUGAUCAGCACCAAGACUCCAUGGGUGUUCGAAUCAUUACUGUGUAAUCUAGAUUAUUGACUCUAGUGCAAGUGGGAGACUGAAGGAAAUAUGCCCUAGAGGCAAUAAUAGAGUUAUUAAUUAUUAUUCAUGCUAGAAUUGCAUUACCUGGAAACAUAAUACAUGUGUGAAUACAUAGACAAACUGAGUGUCACUAGUAUGCCUCUACUUGACUAGCUCGUUGGAUCAAAGAUGGUUAAGUUUCCUAGCCAUAGCCAUGAGUUGUCAUUUGAUCAACGGGAUCACAUCAUUAGAGAAUGAUGUGAUUGAUAUGACCCUUUCCGUUAGCUUAGCACUUGAUCGUUUAGUAUGUUGAUAUUGCUUUCUUCAUGACUUAUACAUGUUCCUAUGACUAUGAGAUUAUGCAACUCCCGAAUACCAGAGGAACACUUUGUGUGCUACCAAACGUCACAACAUAACUGGGUGAUUAUAAAGGUGCUCUACAGGUGUCUCCAAAGGUACUUGUUGAGUUGGCAUAGAUCGAGAUUAGGAUUUGUCACUCCGAUUGUCGGAGAGGUAUCCCUGGCCCCUCUCGGUAAAGCACAUCCCUAUAAGCCUUGCAAGCAUGGUAAGUAAUGAGUUAGUUGCGGGAUGAUGUGUUAUGGAACGAGUAAAGAGACUUGCCGGUAACGAGAUUGAACUAGGUAUUGAGAUACCGACGAUCGAAUCUCGGGCAAGUAACAUACCGAUGACAAAGGGAACAACGUAUGUUGUUAUGCGGUUUGACCGAUAAAGAUCUUCGUAGAAUAUGUGGGAGCCAAUAUGAGCAUCCAGGUUCCGCUAUUGGUUAUUGGCCGGAGACGUGUCUCGGUCAUGUCUACAUAGUUCUCGAACCCGUAGGGUUCGCCUGCUUAAAGUUCGGUGACGAUCUGUAUUAUGAGUUUUUGUGUUUUGAUGUACCGAAGGUAGUUUGGAGUCCCGGAUAUGAUCACGGACAUGACGAGGAGUCUCGAAAUGGUCGAGACAUAAAGAUCGAUAUAUUGGAUGACUAUGUUUGGACACCGGAAGGGUUCCGGGAGGUUUCGGGCAUAUAGCGGAGUACCGGGGGGUUACCGGAACCCCCCGGGGAGUUUAUUGAUCCUCAUAGGCCCUAGUGGGAGAAGAGGAGGGGCGGCCAGGGCAGCCGCACCCCCCUCCCCCUCUAGUCCGAAUUGGACAAGGAGGGGGGCGACGCCCCCCCCUUUUCCUUCUCUUCCUCUCUCCCUUCCUUCCCUUCUUCUACUCCUACUUGGAAGGGGGGAGUCCUACUCCCGGUGGGAGCAGGACUCCUCAUGGGGCGCGCCUAGGGAGGUUGGCCUCCUCCCCCUCAUCCACUCCUUUAUAUACGGGGAGGGGGGCAACCCUUGGAGACACAACAAUUGAUCUGUUGAUCUCUUAGCUGUGUGUGGUGCCACCUCCACCGUAAUCCACCUCGAUAAUUAAUAUCGUAGCGGUGCUUAGGCGAAGCUCUGCGUCGGUAGCAUCAUCAUCACCGUCAUCACACCGUCGUGCUGACGAAACUCUCUGGCGAAGCACUACUUGGAUCAGUCGGAUCGUGAAGACGUUCGACUACAUCAACCGCAUUGUUCUAACGCUUCCGCUUUCGGUCUACGAGGGUACGUGGACACACUCUCCCCUCUCGUUGCUAUGCAUCACCAUGAUCUUGCGUGUGCGCAGGAAUUUUUUUGAAAUUACUUCGUUCCCCAACAGGAUUGUCCCAUAUAAGAACCUUCUCCUCGAGGACGCAUGGAAGACCAACAAGCAUGGCCUUUUCCCAAGCCCGUUUAUGCACUGUCUUGAAAAAGUUGGUGCAGGAAGCAUCGAGUCUUGCGGCGGUGAGGACGUCGGAGCGGCGUGCGAUUUCUCCCAGAGGAUCGUCGUCCAAGGUCUCCCAGCCCCGACGAGGAGGAGAACCGCCUGGCGAAUCCAUGGGAGCAGCAACGAACUGCCUUCUCUUCNNNNNNNNNNNNNNNNNNNNNNNNNNNNNNNNNNNNNNNNNNNNNNNNNNNNNNNNNNNNNNNNNNNNNNNNNNNNNNNNNNNNNNNNNNNNNNNNNNNNNNNNNNNNNNNNNNNNNNNNNNNNNNNNNNNNNNNNNNNNNNNNNNNNNNNNNNNNNNNNNNNNNNNNNNNNNNNNNNNNNNNNNNNNNNNNNNNNNNNNNNNNNNNNNNNNNNNNNNNNNNNNNNNNNNNNNNNNNNNNNNNNNNNNNNNNNNNNNNNNNNNNNNNNNNNNNNNNNNNNNNNNNNNNNNNNNNNNNNNNNNNNNNNNNNNNNNNNNNNNNNNNNGAGGAGGAGAUAAGAGCGUAGUAACCGCUGGGCUCGUCCCUUCCAACUAUACCUCCUCAAUCAUUCCUUAGUGAAGGCGUGAGGCUAUUAUUUACUACGUACUCGUACUGUAGCAGUACUAGUACUACUUUAUGAACUAGUAGUCUAUGUAGUAGUGUACUUCUAGUAUAGUGCACCUGUUUUGAACUCUUGAAUCUCAGGCCCAAGGAGCUACAGUUGGAAGUGGAGGGUAGUACUGUUCUCUAGAACCAUCGCUGUACUAUCAAUGCAGGGAAAGUACACCGCGUAGUGGGUACUCUCGAUGCUCUAUUCGAGCGCGUAGCUGGCCUACUCAGCCGCUCCUAUCACGCAGACACUAGCAGCCUGUUUAUCAGCGACAGUUACUGCGGGGGCAGAACAUUUGAGUUAUUUGAUACAACGAGACUAGGCUUUUCACUUCCAUUUGUGGAGGUGUAAUGGAUGCCGUCCAACUUUGUUAGUAGUUCCUUCUUUAUGAAUGAGAUGAGGCAAAGCUUUUGCCUCCGUUUCAAAAAAAACACGUCAAGAGGAAUUUCUUUUAUAGAGCCAAUAAUGGAGUGAAGUCCAUGCGUGCAACGCCACAAGCUACAGAGUAGUACAGUACUAGUAGCACUUUACGUACAGAGCCAUAUUGCACAGUUCCCAAUGCCGCACCAGGCUUUUCCGGCUCCUCGGGCUUAAUUGGGAUGCGCUAGUUUAAAUAUGCUACUAGCUGACGAGGAAGCUGCAAGCGAGGUGCGGCUAGGGCGAGCACGCGAGCCACGAGAUGAUGGGAAGGAAAACCCGUUCACGUGGCUAGGCUAUCUAGUGCACCCAGAUUGUGGUGCGGCACGUCUGUUCGACUUCAAAACUCAAACUACCCGUGUACAAUAUUGGCUCGCAUCGAAGUUACUAUUUAAAAAAAGGACGCCGUGCGUUCGGCCGGGAUCGAACCCACAAAACGAGGUGUACACUACCGCGACCACUAGUAGUACUUGUUGGAGUACAACGCAACCGAGAAUCGCCUUUUGUCUCUAGUAGUACAUUGUUCCAUACAAGAAACCACUAAUAAUGCCAAGAAACCACUAAUAAUGCCAAGAAACUACUACCACUUGCAUACGUGGCAGACUUAAGAUAAGACUACCUUAUCAACCAUUGUACAUGCCCUUACCAACCAGCCCUACCAAGAAACGACUACUCUAAAAGUGCCGUUAUAGGCAUGUCUCAACCCAUGUCGCCCCUGAAGUCAACGCCUUCUAUUCGACCGGAAAGUUUGGCGUUAUGACUUGUGGGACCUACAUGUCAGUCUGCACAAAAAUCCCCGAGUGACCUCCUACCUCCGGCCCGUCCACCUAGUCAUUCUCGGCCAUGGGAAGCAGCUACCGCCGCCGGCAGAAGGCAAGGUCAAAACCGCCGGCGGUGCGAGCCCAUCUUGCGGCAGCCCGGAUGCCAGCUCCGUCCGGCGCUCGCGGCCGCUAGCUAGCCAAGAUAGCUCCGUCCAGCUGCUUGUCUGCAAGGUUUGCUAGCUAGAUUGGCACGGUGGCUUGCUCGCGCACGCCGCACUAAGGCCAGCCAUCUGGCUCGAGAGAAGGCCAGCGCGGCGGCUUGCUCGCUCGUGAGUCACGCUCGGGCCAGCCUGCCAACCCGUGCGGAGGCCAGCGCGGCGUCCGGCCCGUCCAGCGGAGCGGUGGCCAACUCGCUCAUCACCGGCGCCACCGACGAACACGCAUCAGUACUGUAUGAAGUAAUGUUCAGGAAAAAUAAUGAUUUGAGGGGGAAUAAAAGGAUAGAAGGUUAGAUGUGGGUCCCUCGUGUCACCGGUCAAACAAAAUGUGUUGGUUUAAGCUGCCUCGUCAGCAUGGACGUGUGGGCCAACCCUGUCAUAAACGGGUUUAAACGAGCCUAAUCGGCACUACGUAGUAGUUUUCGGCGCGGAUUAAGAAAUUUUGGGUUUGUUUUUGCUAUUUUUUGUACAAUAGUUUCUUCCUAGGGCUGGUUGAAAGUGGUAGUUUUUUGUUAAAUAAUCUACAUAUUGUAAGUAGGAGUGAAAAUUAAGCUUUGGAAGCCAAUAAUUAAGGCUAGUUACACAGUGCAUAUGUGUACAUGAUUGAAAGUAAAUAUCAACCAUGAGUGACUAAUAUCUUCAUGGAACACUCGAAACUAUGGAAAUACUAGCUUUUUUGCAUGGUUGGAAAUACUAGCAAUGUUCACGUGCGUUGCAAUGGAUCAUAAUUAGAAUAAUACUUAUUCACAAACUUGAUACAAAACACUCUAAUUUUGAUAUACAUAUAUCACUAGAGAUAUAUUAUGUUUCAAUCAGAAUAUAUUCCUUGGGCUAUUUUGGUGAGGUGAGGGAGGGAUGUGGUUGGUUUUAAGAUACUAAUUAUGGGUUUUUUCUGCAAAUUGGUAGAGAAGUGGGAUGUUGGUGAGAAAAGGCAACAACUUACCUCAGAGUCGUUAGAUGUAGAUCUAAUGGUCAGAAAUGACGGAUGGCAGACACACCAUCAUCACCAACUUAGUCUUCUGUAGGAGUACCAACAAGAUGUCCGUGCAUUGCACGGAACAUCAAGAUGCAUUUUUUACUAUAAAACACGUGUUGUGAUUGACCCAUGCGGGAGUAAUCCCAUGUGUAAAAACUAAUGAUAUGUCGAGAAAUAGGAGAUAAGGUGAAGAGGAAUGGGGCGUGGUGGUGAUUGGUGGUGAGACUGAGCAGAGGCAUGGGGAUAGACGACGCCGGCAGCGGCCACCAGGCCAGUUUGUUCCAAAGGCUUCCUUUUUUAAUUGAUCAACAAUGAGGUUGUUGGAAAUAAGGAUGAACGAGGGAAGGCCUUGUCUGCAAGUGUGGAGAGAGGUGCAGGUAUGUUUUAGUUUAAUUUCCAUCCGUUAGAUAUAGAUCGGACGGUCUAUAUUGUAAGAUGGCACGCGUACCAUCAUCACCAACUCGGUUUUUUAUAAGAGAAGAAAUAUAAGUAUGGAGAUACAAACGUAUUAUCGAUACUUGUUUCCGUAAACUAGGAUCUACAUUCUAUUCAACGCCUCAGCAUGUGGGGCCUUAGCACAAUGACUUCUCGACUGUGUAAAACAAAGGUUUUCCCGUCGCCGAUAAGGAGGGGGUGACGGCGGUGCAUUUUCGGCUUGCUCUAGUCCUAGUAGUCAUACUAGGUGGUCUACGCACGUGUAUAUUUAUUCUUCUUCACGUCUCGUGUUUGCCGUACUGCCACGACUGUUGACGAAUAGACGGUAAGUUAUUCACGGGGAAACCCUUGUUGGGCGUGUUUGUGUGAGAGAGAGAGAGACAGUGUGUGUGUGUGAUAUGUCUAGAGACCGAGGCAAUGAUAAGAGAUUCUUUGUGUCUAUGUGUGUGGAGGAUAGAGCAAGACAUGUACAUGUGGCUUUGUGUUGUGUAACGUGGAGACACAUAGACAUAAUCAGAGAGUGAGUGUGUGAGAUACACAUGCGGACAUGGGGAGAGAUGAGGAUCCAGAUAAAUGGGUGUUUGUGCGUGUCUGGUUGUGUUUGUGUGCGCGUUUGUGUGUGAGAGGGAGUGUGUGUAUGUGGAGUAGAGAGACCACUAAUUAAUGAUGUAAACCUAGUAUAAGGGAAUGGGAAUGGUGUGACAUGUGUGUUAGAGAGAGACAAAGGCAUGUGUAGUAGUGGGAUAGCAUGGGUGGGCGGGGAGCAGACUAUUUGGAAGAGGCAUCGAGUGUGUGUGGGAGAGGGGUGUGAGAGCGAGAGAGAGAGAGCGACGGAGAGAGAUAGGAAGAGAGGGGGGAGAGGGGUCGUUUGUGUCCAUAAAUGGCAUAUAGAUAGGGAGACAAUGUUGAUGUUGUUCGAAAUUGGCCUAUGUACGGAGACGUAAGGGAAGCGAGUCAUCGUGUGUGUGAUAGGGACUUCAUGUGAGAUCUAGAAUAGAUGGUGUAGAGAAAAACGUGCGAGAUUGAGAAUGAUGAUACUAGGGAGCUAUGGAAAUAGUCAUGACAUAUAUGUAUACAGCGAAGGAGCUGGGGCGGGUCCGCAUGUGGGCGAGAUAGAAAGGGGAGAGUGGUGCACAAGGAGACAAAGUGUGCUUGUUUGCAGUGGGGGUGGUGUGUGAGGUGAGUGUGCGAGAACCACAUAACUAGGGGGAUAGACAUUUGGGGGCAACAUUUUGUGUGUAUGGGAAAGAUACACUCUACAUAGUGCUUGUGCUUGGGAAGAGAGAUGCCGGGAGACCUAGAGAGUGGGGGAAGAGAUGUGUGCAUGCUCGAGAGAUAAAGUGAUAGAGACCUAUAUUGGGGUCCCGACUUUAGAAGAGAGGGGGGUGUUAAUGUCCUCGUGUGUUCGUUNNNNNNNNNNNNNNNNNNNNNNNNNNNNNNNNNNNNNNNNNNNNNNNNNNNNNNNNNNNNNNNNNNNNNNNNNNNNNNNNNNNNNNNNNNNNNNNNNNNNNNNNNNNNNNNNNNNNNNNNNNNNNNNNNNNNNNNNNNNNNNNNNNNNNNNNNNNNNNNNNNNNNNNNNNNNNNNNNNNNNNNNNNNNNNNNNNNNNNNNNNNNNNNNNNNNNNNNNUUGAGCGACUUUUGCGUAAUUGAGAUAUAUAUGGUCAAUAGUGUGUGCACUCGUGGUUGAUCAAUUUGUUUUACAGUUUGGACUAUGAGAUAACGAUACUCAUGCGUGAUAUACCUUGAUGUACAAGAAUUACAAACCUAAGAUUGGAAUUUUGGAAUUCGACUCCAUCAUUAGCUUUUGUAAUUCAUUUAAACGGAGGUACAUUUUUUAAGCCGGGAUUUCGUGAUUUCAAAUUCAUAUAUCAAACCUUGAGAUAUACACAUACGGGCAUGUUCAAACUUUAUAAUCAUGCACUUUAUUCAUACACAUGCACAUUUUUGCUUUUGUCAUCAUAUUUAGGAUAAACACAUUUGGAAUUUUAUUUGAAUUGGACCGUAUGAUGGUAUUUGCUUGUACUAGCUCAGUGAUCCAUAUUUGAAUUGAAUGGACAAUCUAUGUUUCGAGUUGGAGACACUGAUUUACAAAACUUGCACUUUUUUGCGUGCAAAACAAAUAAAUUAUCGGCCAUGAUAUCAUAGUCGGCUGUACAAGACCAUAACACUUAUAAUUUCAGGCACCAAAAGCUUUCAAACUUCCCGCUCACAUCGAAAUACCUCGCGCCCGAAAGUUUAGCCUUGCGAAAUUCCUGUUUUACCCCUGCCACAUGAAUGGAAAAGGCCUGCUUUGGUAACUCCAUUGUUUUCCCCUCUUUGCCCCCAACAUUCUUCCCCAGAGCCCCUCCCCUUCCCCUCCCAGACCCCCCCAACCACGACAAGCCGCCGAAUCUAGUCCUCCGCCGCAGCGGUGGACCUCACACCCCGUCGGAUCUACCUUCCGCACCUUGGAACCCCCAACUGCCAACUCACCACUUCACCGGAGCCGCUUCAGCGACUGGAUUGUCCACCGCUCCAGAUCUCCUUGACCGCCAUCAUGGUCCACCGCACCGGAUCUACUUAACCGGCGCCCUCGUUCACCAUAGUGUAGGCCCUUCACUGACUCCCUCGUCCGCCCCAUCGCUGGCCCUUCAUACAAGCCCUCGUCCGCCGCUACAGAUCCGCCUCACCGAAAGCACUGUACACCGCGCCCGCCGAAGCCUUCGUCCACUGCACCGGACCCGCUCCACGGACACCAUAUUCAACUCCACCGGCCUUGCUUUACUGACGCCGCAGCCUCAUCAGGUUAUUUUGAUUUGUACUCCUUAGGUUUUUCUCUUCUUGGUCGUGCAACUGUUCACUUACCACAGAUGAGCUUUCUUGCAUGUCAACGGGCGCCGCAACCAAAGCACCGGAGCCUCUUGAGCGACGGCGACAGCCAGCCCAAACUCAACCGCAACACGAGCACCAUCGACGAUCCUUAGCUAUCAAGUAUGACAACGAUACCCAUACGCCGCCGAGAAUCAGGUACUAUUAUCCAACGGCCGGCGCCUACGUUCACUUUCUUAGCAUAACCAUGGCACCUUUGAAUUUCUGUAGGACAUCAUUCAAUUUUUCAUGAGACACGUUAUUCUGCUUGCACCUGUAGGGCCAUACUUCUAGCAGUGAACAUGUUACAUGUGCUAAAUUACAUACCAGUGCACAUAUAGUUAAUAUGCUUUAGUUUUGUCCUAAGUGUUACUUUACUUCCUAGAUAUCACUCCCUACUAUUUUACUUCUUGGAUGCUAUAUUUAUGUUAAUGGUGUUGUUCUAAUGCCACCUGUUGGUUCCAUCAGACUGCUUCAUGUCCUCUAUGCUUAAUUACACAUCAGCAAACUAGCAUGUGGUUCCGCUGCUUUUUGUUCGUUUUACCCUACAUUUUCUGAUGCUAGCUAUUACAUCACUGCUCCGAGCCUCUGUUCAUUACUUUUUUCUGUGUUCUUGAUCUUCCCAAGUUGCUUGACUAAUUUGAUGCUUCUAUUAAUUAUGGAGCUGCCAACCCCAUCAAGCAAAAUAUUGUUCUUUUGGGGCUGGCACCUCGAACAAGCAUAAAAAUAGAGGGAAGUAGAUAUAUUGUCGUGUAUGCACACCCCCUUCUUCCAUUAGUUUAGAUGAACCAUUGAUGAUUAAUUUGAACCAGUGCAUGCGAUUAAAAUUAAUUUUACCUAAAUAGAGGGUGCAGAUAAACUACAACAACUAGAUUUGCAACCACGGGAUGCUAACGAUAUCUUCAAAGAACAUUGCAACAGCAGCGAGGCUUCACAGCAACAUAUGGUAAGCCAGUGUGUUUUAGUACAUGUGAAAUGUAAUGCGUGUGGGCUGCUUUCUUGGCUUGUGCCCUCAGCCUGUAAUCCUAUAGAAUUACAAAUAGUUCAGUUGUCUGCUUUGCUGUAUUGCUUGAUUAGAAUGCUUGUUUGUUACUUGUUACGCUAUACCUGAGUUGGCCAAUAUGUCAACAGUGCCUGCUGUACUAUCGUAAAGAAAUGCAUGCCUAGUUCAUUUGAGUCCGUAACUUUUCCUCUGAACUUCAUCACAAGACUGUCUUCGUAGUUUAUAUGAUGCCACACUGUUAAGUGCUUUCUCAGAUUAUUUCAACUGCUUAGAUGCCUUGGCAACUUAAAUAUAGUGGUGGUACACUCCCUUUCAACUAGGGAUGUCAACUGGGUCCCAUUUAAUCCCGCUUAAAGUCCACUAGUGGUAUGAUAGUUCAAAAGAGUUUUUGUUUUUUGAGGAAAAUGAACUAGGGAGCUAGCAAAAACUAACUAGAUGGGACUGGCGCGUGUCGUUUAUUUUCCACUUACAUCCCUAGUUUCAUCUUACCAUUUUAAUAUCUUUUCGGCUGAUGCUGCUUCGAACCAUUUAAAUAUAGCUUGCCAUGCUUGGCAAUAAUUCGUAUGUCGUUUACCAUGUAAGCUUACUGCCUGGAUCAUGCGAUAACUAUCUCUUACUUAUGUCCAGCGGAAACCUUUCAGGAUGCCGUUCACACUAGGACAAAAUGUACAACCCCAGAAUCUAUUUGUGGAAGCAGUGGGCCAUCCAUGUUACCACAUGGUAGCAGUUCAGAUGCAACACCGCCCGAGAGCAGUCUAAGCACAGAUAUUAUAGAUCUUGAGGCUCUACUAGAGGCAGAAAGAGAUGGUGUGGCUUCCAUGAAUGAGGUAAUCUCGAUCUUGAAGCUGGAAAUUAUGCAAUUAGCUGCACACAUUAUGCAAGCAACCCAAGAAUUGGAGGAAGUAAGAAUGUUGCAUUUGAAGACGAGGAGGUCCUGCUGCUUCUUCUAUCUGAAGCCCAGGGUAACCCCAGUUCUUCUUUAGAUACCAGUUGAAAUUGUCAUUAGAUCAUUGUACUUGCAUCUUGUGUCAUGUCUCUGAAUGGAUUAUGUUGUAAGACCCCCUAUGUUGUCCAUGAGUUGUAAUGAUCCGAAUUUUUUAGGCGAGGUAAUCCUCAGUACUUGUAUGAUUGACAUAAGGUGAACUGUUUUUCGUGUGAGCAUAUUGUAUUGGAUGAAAUAACUAUUUGACUCAAAGUGUAUCCAACCUACUGAAUUCGAAGAUCACGGCAUUUCUAAAUCAUGAUCAUAUAUAAAGGUGGAAUAAAUCUUUGUUGUGGUUUUCAAGAAAUAAAUAACAAAACAUAGAAUUGUCUGUGGAUAUUCGUAAUCGAAUAAAAAUUGGAUUUCGAUUUAGUUGCCAGGGCCCAGGGCAAAUGUGAAUGCUAAUUCUCCCAAGUUUUGAACGAAGCAGCUAAACACGCACUAUCAUUUGUGGGCUGCCCGAAGCAAGUGUUUGCGAGAUGGAAAUUAUUGUCUACCCCUGACACUUGACAUCCUUAUCGACCGGAUUUACACUGCUGUCGAUAGGGGUAGACUAGUAACUUCAAUCAGACGUGACACGACGGGGGCAUCAAACGUGGGCGGCAAAACACAUUUGAUUCAAGCUCGUCCGAAAGAUACGUGUCUCUCCCUCCAUUUCCCCAUUCAUCCACGGUGGGCGGCAAAACAAACUCUCCUCGUCCGAAAUUGAUGUAGGCUAAUAUUUUAAAUAGGGGCAGAUGUGUAACUUCCCUCAGAUGUGACACAACCGCCCUACCUGUCAGCCCCGUUCAUACACCGUGGGCGCCAACCGUGGGCGGAAAAACACCCUCUCCUCGCCUGAAAUCUUUACCGGCAAAUAUUUGGGAGAUGCGAGAUUACCGCCCUAUCCCCAACCGACGUGAUGUCCGGAAUUUUAAAUGGGGGAUAAAUUUGUAACUUUCCCACAUUUCAGACAAGCGCAUCCCAAAGUUUGACAUCCCCCCUCCCCCUCAAUUUCCCCAUUCAUACACUGUUGGCGCCAUGACAACCUCCCCACUGCGGCCAGCCUCCUCCGUCCGCCACCCCAUCCUCCACCUUGCCGGAGCCGCUACCCCUACCCCGUCGCCCACAGCAAGAGAUGGACGUCUCUCAUCCACGGCCUCGGACCAGGAUCCUUUCAUCACGUUGUCUCGCUUCAUCGGCGUCGUCGUCCACCUUGCCGUUGCUGCUCGUACGACCGCCUCGUCCACGGCAACAGGAUUUAUCCACCGACUCGGCCGUCUGCCGUCUAAAGUCUUCUUCCCCGCCGACGACAGCCAUCGCACCCGCAGCACCCUCAACGUAUCAGCAGGGGCCUACACGGUGUCGCAAGAGAGGUGGUACUCUUCCAUAUGUGCUUAAGUUAUUGUUCUCACCCAGAAAAUAGAUCGUAAAUUGUUUACUGCACUUUUCUUGUCCGUACCAAAUCGUGGUGGCUAGUUGAAAGCAAACAUUGGUUGCGAAGUAGCUUUGUCCGGUUUGCACCUUCAGAUCCGCCAUGGCACGGUCACUAUACUCAUAAUGCUUAUGGUUCCCCCCCUUUAUAUUCACUACCAUCAUCGUAGGUGCUUCACUGCUUCGUGUCGUGCUAGCACUGCUCCUCAAGACCUCAACCCAUCAAGCGAAGCAACAUGCCACUCAUAAUUCCAAAGCUUACGUGUUGAAAUACGAAUCUGAUAUGAUGCUCAUAUUCCUAAAAUAGAGAACGUUUAAUUGUUCAACUAAUGUUCCUAUAUUCGUUCGCAAAGCAUGUGCGCCACCCACUGGUCCACCUAGUUCCACUUUCCUGAUUUUACUCUUGAUGCUUAGGGUUUUCCCCUUUUAUCUACUCUACUAUGAUGUACGUAGGUGCUUUUUGUCGUACUAGCAUUACUCCACCCUUCAAGCUAAACAACACAACACUCAAAAUUCCAAAGCUUAGUUGUUCAAAUAUGAUUGUGACACGAUACUGAUAUUAGUUAACAGACAUAUUUAAUUGGUUAGCUAAAGGUCCCACUUGAGUUUCCAAAUGCAUGUCGCACCAUAUAGAGAGACAGCAGGAUUGCAUUUCUUUGUCACUUCUUGACUGUACUUGCUUGUCCAUACCAAAUCUUAGUUGUUAUUUCAAAGCAAACAUCGGUUGCUAACUACCCUUUGCGCGGUUUGCAGCUUCAGAUCUGCCAUCCCACUGCCAUGGUGAACACUAUACUCAUCAUGCUUAGGUUUCCCCAUUUUAUGAUGACCACGAUCAGCUUACGUGGUUCGUGUCGUAAUAGCACUGCUCCACCCAUCGAGCUAAACAAUCUUAGUUGUACAAAUUCAAAUAUGAUAUUAUGCUAAUAUUAGUAAAACUGACAGAUGUUUAAUUGGCCAGCUAAAUGUUCCUACUUUAGUUUCGAAAUGCAUGUGAGCCACAUAUGGAGAGACCGGAAGGAAUAGUAUUUCUCUGUGAUCUCUGGUUCAUCAUGGGUGGCCAACCGACAUUGUAUAGAAAGACUUGUAAUAUCUUCAAUCUGCUUGCUCUUCUGCUCUUCUUUAAAUGAUCCUCUUCUCUUGCGGUGGACUGGUCAGGUCGAGUUAGUAUAUUUUGAAUCUUUCAGGUCUGGUCGACUUGUUCUUCUUUACUAUAUGUUGAAGCUUUCAUCUGUGAAGUAUCAUCACUUCUUGAGCUCUCAUAUUUUGAAUAGUAUGCCACAUUAGAUUAAUGCACACACCAAAUUACAGCAUGCAUGUCACCUCUUAAAAGAAUUGCAGAGAUAGCACAAAGGGGUUUACAGGGAGGAAGUAUUGGAUUAGAAUCACUUCUGCAUUAGAAAGAUAAUCUCACUUGUUUUUAUGUUUUCAUGCAUGUCAGGUAUUGAACAUUAUCAAAAUGAAUAUGAGAAUAGGCGCACGAGAGGAAUAUUGCGGAAUAAUCCACUGGCUAACAAACUUGGCAUGGUGGAGGAUGGCCUAUCUUAUUCACCCAUCAAGGUGCUUGCUCUAACUUGGCAAGGUUGUAUUGGUCGCACAUAUUUUGCAUCUGACCUCUUGCAUUACUUCUACUUUGUUACACCAUCUGCUUAGUUUAAGCAUGAUAUAUUAGUAUAUGCCAUACCUAUCCAUUUUCUGUACCUAUUCCAUGUGUCGUCAUACUAUGUUUUCUAGUCAAAUGUUGUUCUUUCGGAAUAGAUGUCCAAAAGGAAGAGGGUGAGUGCAGAUCCUCAAGGAGUACAAACUAAGUAUUUGGAAAAGGUAGUGAUACCUGUUAAAUCAAAUAGAUCAGCAGCCACAGAAAACACAGGCCCAACUGUACCACACUUUACCCCUACUCCAGUGGCCAAACCCCUAUUAGAACAGCUGAGAGCCCAGGGUCAGGUACUGUCUAUGAUAUCAGUUCAAAAUUUGAACUCCUAAAUUUCUGCAUUUGCCUUACCUUCUCUCUUGUAUGAUAACUAAUUUCAGAUGAAUCUCCUUGCUCAAAGGAUCAUAGGAUCUCACGACAAUACUGGGUUCUGCAUUACUCUUGUCAGUACCUCUUGCCCUUUGUCAACAUACUUACACUCACUGCUGUUUGAUUAUGUAGCAUCACUGUAAAUGUUCGCUUCUUUAUCCUCCCUUUGCUCAAAAUUACAAGAUCUAUAUUUACUCUUAGAUAAAUGUAGAAUUAACACAAUGGUUAUGAAGUUUUGGAUUGCUCAUGUAAGUAAAUAUUAUCAUGUACUCCCACUUGUAGAAAACGGAGCUUUAUUACCGGUUCGUAAGGGCCUUUAGUACCGGUUCUGCAACCGGCACUAAAGGGUGGAGACUAAAGCCCCCCCUUUAGUACCGGUUUGGCACGAACUGCUAGUAAAGUCCCACCACGUGGCGUGAGCUCGCGCCGUGGUAUGGGGGACCUUUAGUACCGGUUGGUAACACCAACCGGUACUAAAGGUUUUUUUUUUUGAAUUUUUUUAUGAAAAUUUUGGAAAAAAAAUUGAUUUUUUUUUCCAGUUUCUGAAUUAUUUGAUGAUUUAGUCUCCAAUCACCCCUCUUAACUGCUCAAGUAUGGAUCACUGAUUCCAAAUCGUCUAACUUCCCCGCCGGUCACCCAUCCUCUCACUACCCCAGCCUGAGCAUGCUUAACUUCAGAGUUCUAUUCCCCCUACUUUCCAAGUCUGCACUUGUUGUUUUCCUGACAAAUAUAAGCCGUCAAUCCUAUUAACCCUCAGGAGUUUAGCUUGAGCAUUAGGUCACACAUUUCACCGUUUGAGUUUGAAACUAUUAUUCUAAAAACAGUAAUUAUUUAGUAACACUAAUAUUUCUUGAAUAAGUAGUUUGACCAUAGUUUGACCAGAUUUGACCAAAAUUCAAAAAACUGAAGUAAUUAUUUGGUAACACUAAUAUUCUUGAAUAAUUAUUUAGUAACACUAAUAUUUCUUGAAUAAGUAGUUUGACCACAGUUUGACCAAAAUUAAAAAAAACUGUAAUUUGAGCAUAUCUUUUUUUCCUUUUAGAAUUUGAGGAUUCUAAAAAUUUGCAAACUGGUCGUAGGCCGUCAAAGUCGGAUGCGGAUUUUCAUGCUGAACAUUUGAUAUAUUAUAUGUUUUUUUCCGACAUCGUAUGCAAAAGUUAUAGCCGUUUUACAUUUUCCCUACACUUUUUGCAAAACAUGUCCAAAUUUAAGUUUUUAAAUUUUCCUAACUAGUAGAUGUACUAAUAUAAUUACCUCUCGAAGGAUUUUAUACUUUGAAGUUUUUAUGAUUUUCUUUUUUUUCAAAACUAAAAUGGCGAUACAUGGGGGGGGGGUAGAGUUUGAAAAUUUCCCUAUAGUGCCGGUUUGUGUCUCCAACCGGGACUAUAGGUUAAGACUCUGUAGUGCCGGUUGGUGACACAAACCGGUACUAUAGGUUAGACCUUUAGUACCGGUUUGUGUCACAAACCGGCACUAAAGGGGCUCGUGGGGCCCUGGCCUGACGCCAGCCUGCCACCACCCCUUUAGUACCGGUUCGUGGCACCAACCGGUACUAAAGGUUCAACACGAACCGGCACUAAUGCAUAGCCGUUCGAACCGGCACUAAUGGUCACAUUAAUUAGUGCCGGCUCAAAUAGAAACCGGGACUAAUGAGUUGAACAUUUGACCCUUUUUCUACUAGUGUCCCUAUGUAUCGUAUUAAUUGUUGAUCAAUUGGAUGUAUUUAGAACUUAAUAGUGCUAGAUACAUCCAUUUGAGCGACAAGUAAUAACGGACGGUGGUGGUAUUAUUGUACUUGCAUCGCGAGAUAGUUGAUUUUCUAGCAUUACUCUGCAUCUUAUCUGCCCUGCCCUCCACUUUCUCCAAAUUAUCAUAUCUACAUUUACUCUUACCAAAAUGUUGAAUAAAGCCAAUGCCACUGCACACGUUGAUGUCUGCAUUCCUCUUGUUAGUACCUUUUGCCUUGUAAUGCUGUACUUAAUUAAUUGCUAUUUGAUUAUGUAUCAUCAGUCUACACCUGAGCUUCAUUAUCCUCUGUUUCUUCCAAUAUUAUUUGAUCUAUAUUUAAUCUUUGCAAAAUGUAGAAUAAUGGCAACGCUUAUAAAGAAUUUUCUUUGGGGAAUUUAUUGAAUUAUCCUUCCAUCAACAUGGAGAAGGGCUUUGUCCAGCCCGUGUUAACAUGUAAUGUAAGUUCAUCCUUCUCAAGCCUUCAAACUUUGUUCUAGUAUAGAUUUCGAUAGGCAUCAUUUCCUCCACUGCUGUUUAUUUUGCUGUUUACAUCUAAUUGGAUGUUUGCAACAACUACCAGUUUUAAAUUGUAGUUGUAAAAACAUGUUCCUUAUGCAGAACAUAUCCAUUUAUUUGCUUAUAUAAUUUUGAAACCUGUUACGUGUCUCCUUGUUUCUCUUUCAGAGUCGUAUCUCUUAUGCCUGGCAGAACUUUAGGGAAGAUAGUGAGCCAAACCAUCUUGAGGACAACAAGAUGACCCCAAGGUCCUGUCUUGAUGAAGACAGUGAGUUGAAGCUACUCACCAGCAGGUGUGAGACAACCUCUGUGCAGUCGCUGCCUCAAUCAGUUCGACUUCUUCAGUCUCAACUUAAACCGGAAAGGCUUGCUUUAGCUCAGCUCCGACUUGAAGUCAAAGAUCUAAUGAGGAUGUCAGGGGACUGCCGUGCACACUAUGGUGCUGUACAGCUAGGGAUGAAGCAUCUAUCGUUGACACAACUGAGGUCUCAUCAGCUUGUCCGGCUGCUUGUGGGGCCCGACCUUGCUAGGCCUAGUGCCUUCUGAAGUGCUCUCAGUUUUGUAUAUUUUUUGUCGGCGCGUUUAUAUGCACUGGUGGCGACCUUUGAUGCCCAGUGUAUGUAAUCCGCAGUCAAGUUGCGCUUUAUUAUCAUCAGUAGCGAACUUUGAUUCCAAGUGGAUGUAAUACGCUGUAAUUUCUUUAUUGUAUAGUCUAGGUUCAUUCUUUGGUCGGUAUGCUGUAAUUUAGGCCGGAAGGUUCAGUGGAUUUCAGCGUUGUCGGUCUUCAGGCCGGCCCGUUACUCAUAUGGGCCAAAACUUGCGCCUAUAAUCAUCUUGGGUCAUUAGCAGGUCUAAACCUAUAGUAGUUUCCCGCCUUUAACAGGCCGAGUAAAGUCCUGGCCAGGUGGGUCAGAGAAUACCAUGGGCUUUUAACAUGCUAAAACCUAGAUUGGGCUAGUGUUGAGCCAAAAAAUUCAUGGGCCAAUACAGGCCGAAACUUCCUAAGGCCCAUGUUGGGCCCAAAUAGGACGAGCAGUUAACAGGCCAAAAUAUAUCUCGUGCCUCUUUGGCCCAAUAAAAUUAUGGGCUUUAAGCAGGCUGGUAUCCACGCGGGCCAUAGGCCCAAAAGUGUCAUGAGCCAUUAUCAGAUGGGCUGUAAGCAGGCCGGAUUCAACGCGGGCUGUAAUUAGGCCAAACUGUUACACGGGCCACUAACAGGCCGAUAGGCCAGUUGGGCUGAAAUUUAUCCACGAAUACUACGGGCCAUUAAGAGGCCUAAAGUUACUUCGGACAAGAAAUAGCCCAGUUUCUGCGUGGGCCGUUAAAUAGCCUAAAGUUAAACCGGGCUGACAACAUCCUAGAUACUCCAUGGGCCGCUAACAGGCCGAAAUUAUUAUCGGGCCAAACUGGUAAACGGGAAUUUAACAGGCUGAAAUACAAACCUGUCUUAGAAUGGGCCCAAAGGUACAGUGGCCUAUUAACGGGCUUGAUCCGAUAUGGGCCGUAAUUUGGCCCAAAACACGGCAGGCUGUGAACGGGCCUGAUCUGCUAUGGGCCUCUAUUUGACCCAAAACAUGGCAGGCUGUUAACGGACCAGCCCACUACUGUCUGAAAAAACAUGGUGGGCCUUUAGCUAGGCCGGCCUUUUUACUAGAAUGGGCCUCUAUUGGGCCGUGCCACGUGUCGACGUAUCAUAGGCGCCUCCUGUCCAAUGAGUGGAUGACAUCUGUCCCAACGCGGAGCCAACACGUGGUUCCGUCGGCCAAUGAGAAUUUUACACAUGGAAAAUCCCCAUUGGUCCGUGCUGUUAACGGGUUAUCGGAUCCAAAACCGGACCCGAUAGCUUAACGGCGAGCCGUUACGGUCGAUGCCAUGUGUCGGUCACCCUUGACGAAAGCACUUCUAUGACACGUGAUUUAUCGUCAUGGAAGUGGACACUUCCGUGAUGAUAAUUUUGGUAAUGUCAUGGAACACUUCUACGACAGCACAUGUAUGACUAUCUUGAUUUUGUCAUAAAUUUGUCAUGGAUGUACAUGCAUGACAUAAAACGUGACCUACUAUGACAAACACAUAUCAUCACGGAAGUAUAUUUUUUUGUAGUGGAAGCUGUGCUAGGAUAUUUAUUGCUACAACCAGCUAAAGAAUGUGUGGUCCUCGGUCUAGGAAAUUUAACGGAAGCAAUUGCUAUUGGUUUUUUGUAUUUAUGGUGGGAGGGGAGAAAGUUAGUGCACAGUGAAACCAAAGUUCAUAGCAAUGGCAAUCAGAUAUUCGGUUGCUAACUAUAACAUGGCGAGUGAUGCAAAGGCGACCAUCAAGCGACAUGGCUGGGAAAGACCAAGGAGCAACUAUGUGCAGCUAAACGUGGAUGGGGCUUUUGGCCCAAACUUACUCAAGGGGUCGUAUGAAACUAUCAUCAGAUACUCGAAUGGCAGAUUCGUUGUGGCACGAAACAGGGAACUCGAUUGGUGUGGAGAUGCUCUUAUGACCGAGGCACUUACCUUACAGUUUGGUCUCAAUUUGACAACUACAGUCAGGUGUAACUGCAUAGAGGUGAACUCUAACAACAUCGAGGAGAUAGAAAUAAUGAAGAAUGGAGGUCGUCCCACUUUUGGUUUGUCAGCGGCAGUUUUUGAUGAUAUAUAUCACCUUGUGUGUGAUUUCCUGCAUAUUAUUUUUGGGCAUGCUCCUAGAAAGACUAAAUGUGCUGCCCAUGAUUUAGCUAAACUAGCUAGAAAUAAGGUGUGUGGGGGUGGAUGGAAGAUCCACCCAUAGAAAUUGUUGAUACUCUUGUAAAAGAUAAUACAGUCAUCAUCUUGCAAUAAAGAGUAUUUUGAUGUCAAAAAAAGUUUCAAUUGAGAUUCCCAGGUGUGUGCGAAGUUUCUUAAACAACAGGGUAUUGCAACUGCAAAGGAGCACGGGGGAGGGCUAGCCUAAUUUGGGGUGGCAUCGCCACCGGUGCAAUGGAGGUGGAGGUGCUGAUUCAAAUGAUGAUUCAUCAAAGCAGAUAUGCAAGGACAGAUAACUCACGACCGAGCCGACUUGGAUCUCCACCAUGGUGGCGAUGAAGAAGAACAUUGUAGUGUCUUCAAAUAGUGGGGCUCCUUCCUAGUGGCGGAUCUAGGACCUAGGCCCCCAGGGCUUGGCCCGGGGCAUGAGACCCAAAUCCUUUGUAUUCUAUUGCAACCCCUACUCCUGCUACCCCAACCAAUUGACUACAUGAAAAAGUUUUCCAAAAAUUAAAAAAACAUUUGUCGUUCAUCUUUUCUUAUUCAUUCGGUCUCAUCGGCUUCAGCAUUUAGGUCAAUCCUGGGCUUCUUCCCGCCGUUGUGGGCGGCGGGCGUACUGGGGAGUGGCGGCACCUUUGGUCCGCACCGCGGGCACCAGGGUUCAACCUCGGCGAUGAGCUCAUGCGUGAAGCAGAACGGGCACACGCACGUGCGGAUGGUCGGGUUUGCAGCCGAUGGCGUUGUGCUUGAAGGCAGCGAGCGGCUACGCUUUCCCAGGGAGGAGGGCGAGGAUGAGGUGGACGCCAACAAGGAGGACGACAUAUCCGGUGAGGUGGUGGAACGCGCGGUGGCGGCGCGCUCUAGUGCUUCGCGGACCAUGUUGAGUGUGUAGAACGCGGAGGUGGUGGUGACGACAUCGGCGGUGGAUGCCGUGGGAGGCAGGUUGAGGUCCUGGUGGCCGUCUCGGGUGGCCUGCUGGCGAUGAGGAGUCAAGAACGUCUUGUCAGACCGCACAAAAACAAGAAAUUUUCACCUGGUUAAGAAUUUGUAUGGUGAACAUGAAGAACAAACAACUCUGUAAUUAGAGCUCAGCAGAACCAAAUUUUGAUUAUCAUGCCGUCAAAUCAAUCAAAGGAGAUGGGUUUGAUCUCUGGACAUAGUUACCUGCAAAUUAUAUAAUUCUUUGGAAUUUCAUCUCGGACCGAAACCACAUGAGCGUGAAUUUAUUAAGAACCAAACAUGUGUGCAUGUGGGUGUAACAAAGCACAUGAAGAUACAAAACUAAAGGUUGGAAGAACAGAGGAGCAAAUCUAAAUAGUAAUAGGAGGGAGACUCACUGGCAAGUCGAGCCGUCUCUCCCAGCCGGUAGGCAGCUUUACCUCUAGCUCGACGACCUCUUCCUCCGAUGGCUUCUCGGCGCCGCCCCUACCCAUUCCUGCCUUCCCUCGGAGCAUCCCAACGGUGGAACUUACCUCGUCUGCCGUUCUCCUCUUCCCUUUUCCGGCGGUCCUCUGCUCUGCUUCCCCCUUUUUGUGUUUGUCUUUCUGCUGAGAGAGAGAGAGAGAGGGAGAGAAGAAAUCGGUGGGGUGUUUGGCAAUUGUGUGGUGGGGCGCCCCUAUAUAUACCAGGAGGUCGCCGACAUGAUGGACAUGCGGAGCCAAUGCGCCAGGGAGUGGAGGGGCAGCGAGAGCUAUGAAAGAUCAUCUUUUGGUGGACAUUAAAGAUCAUAUUAAUCUACAUCAUUGGGAAAGAGUUGGGCCAUUAUUCAAUGCCAAUUAAAUGCUCCAAACAAAUUCAGAAAUAUGAAAAAUAUGACCUUAGAUUUGUAAGCAUGACCAAAUGAAAUUUUUGUGAUACAUUAUAUUUUGGAAAUUGUCUUCCUCGUGACAACAUAAUUUUUCUGAUUUUUCAUUUUCUUUCUAAAGAAAAUUUCCAUCUUCACAAGAACAUAGUUUUCCAUUAAAAAACCUUCGUUUUGCCAUGCUUAGAAAUCUAAAAUUUGCUAGUUUGAAUUCAUUACAUUUAAAGUAGUCAUUUCCUCAUCCGCAUUACAUGAAUGACCUGGAUUUAAACCAGAGAAGAAGAACCAUUAAGCCGCCGCUGAAAUAUCAUGCUCGAUUUGAGUGCAUUGAUCGAUUCCAUUUACUUCGUCCAUCCAUAUUUUAGUAGAAAAAGAUACAACCACUAAAUUCAUUACCAUAUUCGGUUGUAUCCGUCGAUCUAUAUUUUAGUUCACAAUUGAGCAUUGGCGCAUGGUAUAAUUCGUAUAGAAUUAGUGAAAAGAUUUUUUGGAGGAAAUUAAUAGAAAUAUUUAUUUUGGCUUAAAUCGCAACGAUUAAUGCCUAAUUGAUUCUGGAUUACUAUAUGAUCUGGUGCAAAAUAAACUUUGGCUUUUUUGUGGUUGAAAAAAAGUUGAAUUAUUUGACCCUUACGGACAUCAUCAUUUUAUUGAAUACUAGAGAUAAAACCUCAUGUGUUGUUGCAGGAAUGGAUGCAGUUUUUUCAAGCACAUUUGGUAGUAUAAAAAUUUAGUAUUUGUAUUUACUAGUGUAGAGACCUGCUAUAUGUGGCACACCAGCUCAGAGAAACUGGAACACGCCGUAUUCCAGCGCAGAGAUCGAGGUGAAGUCUUCUGAAAUACGACACUGCUUAGCAUAGAACAAACCAGCUCUCUAUUACAACACGAAUACGAAUACAAGGUCUCCGAUAUUACAAUGAAUAACAUCGGCACGGCGACACUACGCCAACCACAGUUGCUCUAUGCAAGCAGCAUAACAACUCGAGGCAGCGGAACCUCUACUGGCAGCGGAACAAUGAACGACGACGAUGGAAUCCAAUCCGCAGGGACUCUGGCUAGAACAUUUAUCCUAGCUCGCGAGCACAGGAACCACACCAAACAAGCAAGCAAUCCAGGAAGGACCUGCAAACUGGCAUGACACGCCAGGUCAGUACAUUGAAUGUACUUGCAAGCUCACAAUAACCAAAAGUAGUCAAGACAAACAACAGCAUGGCAUUUACAGGUUAACAAGGAUUAACAUGGUACUAUCAGACCAAUCAUAGGAUGCACAUGAUACAGCUACAACCAUACGAGCAUGGCAUGAACAUGUGAACAUGAUGAUACUAGCAUGCAAUCUGAUGACACUAUCAUGCACCAACUUACUCUGCUCGGGUUACCUCGUGACCAUCACAUGCACCAGCUUACCAUCACGGACAUCACACGAUCAUCUCAGGAUCCAAUCAAGCUUGGUAUUACAAUACCGUAGUAAUCAUUACAUGACCACAAGGAUCUUGUGACACCCCCGAUUCAAUCGUACACUAAUCAUACACACGUACGAUCAAGAUCAGGGACUCACGGGAAGAUAUCACAACACAACUCUAGACACAAAUUAAAAUAAUACAAGCUUUAUAUUACAAGCCAGGGGCCUCGAGGGCUCGAAUACAUAAGCUCGAAAACACAAGAGUCAGUGGAAGCAACAAUAUCUGAGUACAGACAAAAGUUAGACAAGUUUGCCUUAAGAAGGCAAGCACAAAAGAAUCUAUGAUCAAAAAGGCAAGGCCUACUGCCUGGGAGCCUCCUAACUACUCCUGGUCAUCGGCGGUCUCCACGUACUAGUAGGCAUCGACGGUGGCAUCUGGCUCCUGGGCUCCGACAUCUCGUUGCAUCAACCGGAAAGAAGAAGAAAGGGGGAAAAGGGCGAGCAAAACAACCGUGAGUACUCAACCAAAGUACUCGCAAGCAAGGAUCUACACUACAUAUGCAUCGGUAUCAAUGAAAUAUGCUGUAUCUGUGGACUGGGCUGCAGACUGCCAGAAGAGAAGGGGAAACCCUAGCCUAUCGAAGACUAGCAUCUUCAAGCAGCUCCAAGCAUCUUGCAGUAUUCAGAAGAGUACAGAAUAGCAUAAAGUAAAGUAAUAGUAGUGUUAUCAACCUCGGCCAGAGAUCCUUUCUCGACUCCAUGCGAGAAAGCAAUCCCAGAGCCAUACUAUCCAGUUAUCACCUCAAGUAUACAGUUCUAGUUGUAUCAAUCGGGAUACAACCCCAAGUGUCCGUUACCAUAGGACAGGCUAUCGAUAGAUGUUUUCUCCCCUGCAGGGGUGCACCAACUUACCCAUCACGCUUGAUUAACUCUGGCCGGACACACUUUCCAGGGUCAUGCCCGGCCUCGGCCAAACAGUACGCCGCAACCCGACCUAGGCUUAAUAGAGAGGUCAGCACGCCGGACUAAACCUAUGCCCCCAGGGGUCAUGGGCCAUCGCCCCGGGAACUCCUGCACGUUGUGAGGGCGGCCGGUGAGCAGACCUAGCUACCUCUUUAAAAAGGCAGGUGCUUACCAGUCCAACCCAGCGCGCACCGCUCAGUCGCUGACGUCUAUUAAGCUUCGGCUGAUGCAUACGACGUAGAACACCCAUACUAUGCCCACGUGAUGGCUAGUGCUAUCAGGCCAGAGGCCCCUCGGAUCAAAUAUCCAAACCGUUAGUGUGUUAGUAGUGCGGUCACGAGCAGAGACUCAAGAAAGAUGUGACCCCGUCACCCCGUCUCGAGGACUUGCGGCAAGGGCUAAGAAUGCCCGACCACGCCUCAUAUUCAACUCUCGGGUACCCUCCAGGUUAACCCGUCUCCACAUCACUCGCGGGUACCCCUCAGGGUCGACCCGCCUUUCCAAGUAACAGUUGUAAAGUCCAACUAUCCGUGUGUCCAAACAUCAAGGGGAAAUCCCGAGGAAUCACCCCCGGUGAAUUCCACUCGAUGUAAUCAUCAAGGUGAACGUAAGAGGAACCACCCUCGAGGUUCACACUUGAGGGGUUGCAUGACAGAGUCGUAUCGGAAGUGGUUAAGGAGGAAAUCACCCUCGAUGACCACGACCGAAUAGCUACACUUCAGAGAUCUCGUCAGGAGUGAUGUAUGAGGUUCCACCCUCGGCACUCGAUGGUCACUCUUUAGAGUCGAGCUACAAAAGGGGCGUGAUGUGAUGUGAGGCUUCGGGCUCUGGUCGUCGAUCACAUUGAUCGAGUCGUCGAUGAUGAAGCAGGGGCAACAAGGACCAAGUGGGGGUCACUGAUGAAUCACUAACCAACCUAUACUAAGCAGUUUAGGAUAAGUAGGUAAGGUACAAUGAGCAGGUUACAAAAGCAGGCUAUGCAUCAGAAUAGGAGCAAACAAUAAUAAUAGCAAAAUCUAAUGCAAGCAUGAGAGAAUGGAAUGGGCGAUAUCGGGAUGAUCAAAAGGGGGGCUUGCCUGGAAGCUCUGCUAAAAAGGAAGAAGUGUCUUCGUCGACAUAGUCGAUCACAGGGGCAGCAUCGGCGUCAGUCUCAAAGUCUACCGGAGAGAAGAGGGGGAAGAAACAGUAAAUACAGAGCAAACGGAUGCAUGACAUGGCAAUAAGCAGAGCUAAGGGUGUUCUAACGUAGUACUACACGUUGCAGACGGAGAGGGAAAACAUCCGAAGAGGUUUUCCGGUGUUUGGCGUUUUCCGGACAGAGGAAAAGAGGGGUAAAGUUCCAUGUUCAGCAUGCUAGGGGCAUGUGACAGAUGAAUGGACCGCGUAUUCCGAUUAGUUGGAUUUUUCUCAGCAACUUUCAUGUACAAAGUAUUUUCAUCCGAGUUACUGAAUAUUUUAUAUUAAUUUUCAAACUUUAUAAUAUUUUCUGAGUUAUUUCAAUUCGAAAAUUAAAUAUCUAAUUACUUUUGUCACAUGGGGCUGUGCUAACCAGCGUGUAUUACGGGUGGGACCAUGGGUUGGGUUGACCGAGUCAACUUGACCAGUCAAUAGAAUGUGUGGCCCACAUGUCAUUGCCACAUGCAUUACUAAACCAUCUAACUAAUUUAAUCAAGGGAGGUCCCACAUGCCAUUGAAUACUAGCUAUACCUAACGGAAACACUAACGCCCACACGUGUGGGCGUUUACAUCUCACCCACACACAUGGAUCCGCGUCCGUUUGUGGGUGCACGAAUCUUGGCAUGUUUGUGGUGCCACGUAGGACUGGGCUGUUGUGUGGGCAUUCACCCGGUCGCCCACACAUCCGUUUCACCACACGGAGGGGCCGGUGUGUGGGCGUUUAGCAGUUCGCCCACACACCAGUUUUCACGCACGCACAAGGGCUGGUGUGUGGGCAUUUGCCAUCUCGCCCACACGCCCGUCUCCUCUCCCACACCCAAGCUGCCAGUUGCCAUGCGUUUUGCAAUGUACAUGGCAGCUGCCCUAGUGUGCUUUAAACAAAUGGCAACUCUCUUUUUUACCCGAACAUGUCAGUUGCCAUAUGUUUUGCAGGGUACAUGACAACUGCCCUAGUGUGCUUGUAAGCAGAUGGAAACUCUCUCUUUUACCCGAACAUGUUGUUUUGCCAUGUCUCUUUGUAGCGCUACACGGCAACUGCCUAGUGUUAGUAGGUGGCAACUCCUAAGGUUUUUAAAUCAUGGCAACUGUAGUAAACCAGACCAUACAUGGCAACUGCUUACUAUUAGUAGGUGGCAAUAUCUAAAGUUUUCGAAUCAUGGCAACUAUAGUAAACCAUACCAUACAUGGCAACAGCUGCGGUUGUCCAAAAUGGCAUCUGGCACUUGACCUGAGAUGGCAACUGCAGUUGAGCAACCAUGGCAACUGUAGUUGUCCGACAUGGCAACUCUUGUUCAGCAACAUGGCAACUGCAUGUAAAGUGACAUUGAAAAGGGUCCGGACCAUGGCAAUUGCGGGGACGCGUGGUAACUUUCACGCUGGGCGUGCGGGACCGUGAGGUAGGUGGCUGAGAGAGGUUGUGUGGGCGUUAUGCAUUUUGCCCACACGUAGGCGCAUGAGAGGGACCGCAAGGGAAAAAAGAGGUGUCCGGGCGCUAGUUGUUUUGCCCACACGUAGGCGUGUGGGCUGGUCUUCUUAGGCACCACACAAAACGUGUGGGAAAACCCCUUAACGCCCACACGUGUGGCAGUUAUCGUCGUCCAUACCUAAUUACUAAUCAGCCAAAAAUAAACUACAGUAAGUGGGCUGGCCUCAUACAGAGAGCCAGCCGGACAUGCACAAAGGCAAAGGCCAUGGCCAUGCACAUCUUAAACACCACCAGCAGCAGCUAUGGCAGCAGGAGCAGUGGCAUGUAGUAUUGCAGCGCUGUAGGCAGCAGUGGGUAGCGGCAGCAGCAGGUAGCAAGGAGCAGCAGCUCCGGCAGCAAGGAGCAGCAGCCAGGGACGGGAGCAGCAGCAGCGCCGGAAGCAGAGCAACGGCAAGGAGAAGGCAGCUGCAGCAGGCGCAGAGGCGCGGCCAUGGGCGACUGGGCGCGCACCGGCAGCAGCCCGCAGCGGCAGCGGACGUGGGUGCGGGUCUAGGGCGGGCCCGUCCAGAGGACACGGGCGAGCGGGCGCAGGGCGAGGUCCGGCAAUGGCGACCACAAGGUCACGACCGCAGCUGGGUUUCCAUUACAGCACGCAAACGAGCGGGUUACUUGGAGCAUCGGCUUCGUGAAGCCCUCUAGAGCACGGUAGCAGCAGCAGCUCAACGCAGGGUGGGUUAUAGUGGCAACGGCGAGCAUGGCGGCGGUGCAGAUAUGCGGCCGGCGAAAACUACAACUACAACAUCGAGAUAGCAUGAAAAAGAGAGGGGGAAGACGCGGAGCUCACCAAAGGAGCUCAAGGAGGCUCUUCGAGGAGUUUAGUUGCUGCAGAGGCGUCAAUUCUGGUGAUGGUGUCGCGGUGACUGAAGGUGGAAAACGGCGUCGAUCCGGUCGAUGCGGUGCCCCCGGGCUUUAUCUCAUCAACGAGGAAGACGAAGAAGACGAUGGCGGAGCUGUUGGACACCUUGGCGGGGCGCGGGGACGAUGGUGGCUUCGGGAUCGAUGAGGGCUCGACGUCGACUACGCUCGGUGUGUAUGUGGGAGAUAGAAGCGGCGCGAGGAAGGGGGGGAGUUGGGUAGGGUUUUCGGGGGAGUGCAGGGCGAUGCUCUUAACCUCCAAGGAGGGCCGCGGGAUGCCCGACGCUAUGCUGGGCUAGGCAGUAGCUAGUGGGCUCACGUGCACAGUAGUAGAUAGGCCUUUUCCUUUUUAUAUUAAAUGAUUUUCUGUUUUUCUUUUACAGAAUCUGUUUGCAGCAUUUUGAGUUGCCAAUUGGUCUUUGUAAAAUGGGGAACUUGGCCAAAUAAAUACAUUACAAUAUAUGCCACUGCCACAAAAAGUUUGGGAGGGGUUUGAAUUGAUUUGGAUUUUUCACAACUGGGAAAGCAUUUAAAAUGUUGAUUCGGAACUGCUUUAAUUUCUAGGGGAAAUUAAAUAUCUCAAAUGAUGUUGAAUCAUUCAUGACAUUUAGUUAGUGAAUAUUUGCAACCCAGCGAACAUUUUUGUUUUACUGCUUGGAGAAAUUAUUUAUUUGGCGUUAUUUUCAAUUUGAAUUUGACUUUGAAUCUAUCGAGGAGCAGUUUGGCUUAGACAAACUUGAUGACAUGGCACCAUUAGUGGGAUAUUACUGUAGCAUGAUUCUCGGGGUGUUACAAAUCUCCUGCACUACAAGAAAUCUCAUCCCGAGAUUUAAGUGGGGAAGUAAAGAGUAACUUCGGGAGAACUGACCCUUAUAGGGUUGAUUAUCUGGUGAACAAUUCAGGGAAUGUGGCAGAAGUAUCUCUCGAGUUGAAACUUAAGAAAACAUCGAGAGCAAAAUAUGAAGGUACAAUAGGAAGUUUCAAGCGAAUGGACAAACGAUCGAUACCUGAACAGAGUGUGAGAAGGGGGUUCAGAGCAUCGGCAAUAGAUCAUCUCUCGGAGGGUGGCUCGUGACAACACACAAAGCCAAGAGCAAAUGAUACUUCGGAAUAAAGGAUAUAUAGGAGAGUCAGGUUCCGGUUCUAUGGAACUAUGAUGAGGGCAGAUCAAGAGUAUGGAGAACGGUGUCAUUUUACUGUUCACGACAACAAGGUAUGUCAGAGGUUAGCCUGUCAGUUAUGUCAGUGGCAACAUUGGUACCAAGGGCGAGGGACGAAGAGAACCAUAUUCCUGCUCGUUGAACGAGGCGGACCAAUCGGCAAGGUUCUCGUCCAUCGGUGGUUACCGGAAUGUAAUCAACAAUAGUAACAGGGUCUCACUAACAAGGUUGUGCAUCGGGGUGUUUUAUAAGCAGGGAAUUAUUUCUGCUUAUAUCAUAUAGAUCACAAGAAGGUUAAACAAACCAAUGGAAAGGAAAAUGAAAUUAUCAAAGUAAUCAGACCAAUGGAAAGGAAAAUGUGUUUACACACAAGAAUAGGGAGUAUAUCCUUCCCAAGGGGAAGCGAGGCAGGAUAUACAUGAUAUGACAGCAAGUUCAAAAGCAUUUAGAUAAAGGGGGCGAGGGAAGAAUCAUGAUAUUACUGAUAACCCACAAGUAUAGGGGAUCGCAACAGUUUUUGAUGGUAGAGUAUUCAACACAAAUUUAUUGAUUGGACACAAGGGGAGCCAAAGAAUAUUCUCAAGUAUUAGCAGCUGAGUUGUCAAUUCAACCACACCUGGGUAACUUAAUAUCUGCAGCAAAGUGUUUAGUAGCAAAGUAGUAAGGAAGUAACGGUAACAGUGGCAAAAGUAACAGUAGCAGUAUUGUAGUGAUUGUAACAGUGGCAACGGUAAAGUAACUAAGCAAGGAGCAAUAUGUAAAAAGCUCGUAGGCAUUGGAUCGGUGAUGGAUAACUAUACCGGAUGCGAUUAUUCAUGUAACAGUUAUAACAUAGGGUGACACAGAACUAGCUCCAGUUCAUCAAUGUAAUGUAGGCAUGUAUUCCGAAUAUAGUCAUACGUGCUUAUGGAAAAGAACUUGCAUGACAUGUUUUGUCCUACCCUCCCGUGGCAGCGGGGUCCUAUUGGAAACUAAGGGAUAUUAAGGCCUCCUUUUAAUAGAGUACCGGACAAAAGAAUUAACACUUAGUGAAUACAUGAACUCCUCAAACUACGUUCAUCAACGGGAGUGGUCCCGAUUAUUGUCACUUCGGGGUUGCUGGAUCAUAACACAUAGUAGGUGACUAUAGACUUGCAAGAUAGGAUCAAGAACUCACAUAUAUUCAUGAAAACAUAAUAGGUUCAGAUCUGAAAUCAUGGCACUCGGGCCCUAGGGACAAGCAUUAAGCAUAGCAAAGUCAUAGCAACAUCAAUCUCAAAACAUAGUGGAUAUUAGGGAUCAAACCCAAACAAAACUAACUCGAUUACAUGAUAAAUCUCAUCCAACCCAUACCGUCCAGCAAGCCUAUGAUGGAAUUACUCACGCAGGGCGGUGAGCAUCAUGAAAUUGGUGAUGGAGGAUGGUUGAUGAUGACGAUGGCGACGGAUUCCCCUCUCCGGAUCGGCCCUCCCGAGAGAGAUUAGGGCUUGGCGGCAGCUCCGUAUCGUAAAACGUGAUGAAUCCUUCUCUCUGAUUUUUUUCUCCCCGAACGUGAAUAUAUAGAGUUGGAGUUGAGGUCGGUGGAGCACCAGGGGGCCCAUGAGGCAGGGGGCGCGCCCAGGGGGGUAGGCGCGCCCCCACCCUCGUGGAUAGGGUGUGGGCACCCUGGCCUUGAUUCUUUCGCCAGUAUUUUUUAUUAUUUCCAAAAAUAAUCUCUGUGAAGUCUCAGGUCAUUCCGAGAACUUUUAUUUCUGCACAAAAAUAACACCAUGGCAAUUCUGCUGAAAACAACGUCAGUCCAGGUUAGUUCUAUUCAAAUCAUGCAAGUUAGAGUCCAAAACAAGGGCAAAAGUGUUUGGAAAAGUAGAUACGACGGAGAUGUAUCAAUUACCCAUACAAUGGUGUUUGGAUAAUAGAUCAAGAAACAAUCGACAAUGUGCUUCCAAUGUUCUUGUUGAUAUUCGGAAUACCUCAGUCAUGCUUUGAGGUAGCAUUAACAUGGUGCUCCAAGUAGGGGUUGGAGUUGAAGAUCACAAGAAAUACUCAAGGAACAAUUGCAGGAAUGGCAAGGAGUCCAAGGUAUAACCGAGACAUGAUCAAACAUGUGUUCGAAAGAAGAUAAGGGGGUUGUCGAUCAUAACUCAAAUCAUCGAAGGUCAAUGAUGGUAUUUCUCAUCACGAAUUCGAUUGAUAUGCUGGAAGAGCUCAGAAUGUUGAUGAGCACGACACAAUUGUCGAGAGAUUUCAGGAAGAUGUAAUCGAUCGGCGAUGAUAUCAAGUCAAAGGAAUGAUGAAGCAAAAAGUUAUUGGAACCACGGGUACAACACAAACUCGGAACCAAGCUUGCUAUUCAAGGCAAAAUCAUAUGACGAGGAAGAGCGACGUUAGGUUAGCUCGUCGUCGAAAAUUGUGCUCCGGGAAGAAGGUCCGAGUAGCACAGUUAAAAAUUUAGCACGAUAAUGAUAUAGCCGAUCAGGCUAGGAAUGACUUAAAGGAUUAUUAAACCCGUAAGCAAUGAAAAUUACUUAGAGUUAUUGAAUCAUAGUGCGGAAUCGAUUCACUUAUAGGCAUUCUCGAGUGACUUAUAACUCAGAACCCGAGGAAAUCUGAAAUCGGUGAGAGGCAAUACUAGAUGAAGACUCAUAGGAAGCAACAUAGUUCUUUGUUAUUGUCUAGAUACCAGAGGGUAAUACUCAAAGGAAGAUCAAAAUAGAGGUUGCGGAGAUGCAUUGAUCUGCAGAAGACAAGUGCUUUAACUUGUCCGAGAAAUGGAAUUAAAGGGGAACAAUCAUGGUCAGAACCACGGUCGCAAAGGACCAAACAUAGAUACCAGAUGAACUUCUAAUAAGGGGAUUAUUAUUAUCACAAGAAGCUUCCAUGAUAAGUUCCACAUCGGAUCCAUGGGCAUGAACACAAAGUUCAAGGUCGACUCCCACUUCUUCAAUGCAUAACAUUCCAUUCACUUCUUGCUUUCGAAGAAGUUGUAGUGUUGAAAUUAUGUCUGGCGAAACACCAGAAGAGUAUGACUCGUGAAAACUCUUGGGUUCACAUGGACUAGGGAAGGCAUAGGUUCAACCCAUAGGGGCAUCUUAGGAACCUAUUCCACAAACUUCAAGAGUAAAUAACUCAAGCUCGGAAGUAGAGCAUGGUUAGCAAAAAGCAGGGGAUACAAUUUACCAAAGGCAUUAUGUAUUAGGGGGAGGACUCAAGGAUUUGAGAAUAGGCAAGAACGGUCAGACAUUAAUCCACCAAAGGAUAUGGCGAACCACAAAAAAUCUGAUGUGAGUAUCGAUGCUCAACCAGAACAAGAAAUAGUGCAAAUGCAUUGGAUUAUAGAAAUAUCUGGAUAAUUUCAAAACUUAAAUACAAAGGAAUUAUGAUAUCCAAAUCGGGGGAUCAGAAGCAGAGGCUCUGAUCAAAAGAUAAUUGAGUUGAAUCGACAUAGAUCGACAAUCAAUCAAGGUUUGAUUUGCCGAGAACCAGCUCAUGUUUGAAGUGGCGUCUGAGCCAAAAGGACAAAUUUUAUAAGGAUCAACUGAUGAUUGCGUGCAUUCACACACAUGUUGAAUCAAUUGGAUCAGAAAGUCAGCCACAACGGAUUUCAAUGGACAUUGCUAGACAUAUGGAAUUAACCAUAAUGCAAGCAGGUAGUGAAGAACAAGAGCAAUAAGCUACUGAGGAUUUUGGAAGAUCAAAUAGUAUUUCGACGAAUUUCGUGAAACAAAAGAACAACUAGGGAUGAUCAAAUCCUCGAUAAGUGUGAGGAAUUACUCGUAUGUGUAUUCAUGUGGAAAGGAGAUGCAAGGCAGUAUCUCAAAGUAUUCUUAAAAAGUCGGAGAAUAAUUCGAUGUAUCUUGUAAUAACAAGAACAACUUGGAAUGAUUGUAUGGACAGAAAGUGUAUGUAGUUAUCCAUAGGGGUUUAUCAAUCAUAUGGAAUUGCAACGGCGAAGGGCACAAGGGUUUCGGGGAAACAUCAAAGUGUAUCUUCAAAAUCUUCUGGCGCAGCAAGCGAUCAUCUGGACUGAUGGGGCUCUCCGGGAGAAAGUAUUUCCGAGAACCUAAAGUUAUACUUUAGUAAAAUCAUCUAACCCGAAUAGAAGAGAGAUCAGAAUCCCAGAGUAUAGAUGAGGAAUAAAAGAUUCUAAUACCACCCAAUGGCGACAUGGGCCCGUAGCCACACAGCCAAGUUAGUAACACAGUUUUGGAUGACUAGACUCAACUUCGGCCAAGGAGUUGGAAAGGGGGAUCCUACAGGUAGUCAGCUCUGAUACCAACUUGUGACGCCCCCGAUUCAAUCGUACACUAAUCAUACACGAAAUUGUGUACGAUCAAGAUCAGGGACUCACAGGAAGAUAUCACAACACAACUCUAGACACAAAUUAAAAUAAUACAAGCAUUAUAUUACAAGCCAGGGGCCUCGAGGGCUCGAAUACAUAAGCUCGAAAACACAAGAGUCAGCGGAAGCAACAAUAUCUGAGUACAGACAGAAGUUAGUUAAGUUUGCCUUAAGAAGGCCAGCACAAAAGCAUCUACAAUCGAAAAGGCAAGGCCUCCUGCCUGGGAGCCUCUUAACUACUCCUCGUCGUCGGUGGUAUCCACGUACUAGUAGGCAUCGACGGUGGCAUCUGGCUCCUGUGCUCCGACAUCUGGUUGCAUCAACCGGAAAGAAGAAGAAAGGGGGAAAAGGGGGAGCAAAGCAACCGUGAGUACUCAUCCAAAUUACUCGCAACCAAGGAUCUACACUACAUAUGCAUCGGUAUCAAUAAAAUGGGAUGUAUCUGUGGACUGGACUGCAGAAUGCCAGAAGAGAAGGGGAAAACCUAGCCUAUCGAAGACUAGCAUCUUCAAGCAGCUCCAAGCAUCUUGCAGUAUUCAGAAGAGUACAGAAUAGCAUAAAGUAAAGUAGUAGUAGUAGUAGUAAUAGUAGUAGUAGUAGUAGUAGUACUAGUAGUAGUGUUAUCAACUUCGGCCAGAGAUCCUUUCUCGACUCCCUGCGAGAAAGAUUUCCCAGAGCCAUACUAUCCAGUUAUCACCUCAAGUAUCCAGUUCUAGUUGUAUCGAUCGGGAUACAACUCCAAGUGUCCGUUACUGUAGGACAGGCUAUCGAUAGAUGUUUUCGUCCCUGUAGGGGUGCACCAACUUACCCAUCACGCUUGAUUAACUCCGGGUGGACACACUUUUCCUAGGCCGCUAGCUAGCCAAGAUAGCUCCGUCCAGCUGCUUGUCUGCAAGGUUUGCUAGCUAGAUUGGCACGGCGGCUUGCUCGCGCACGCCGCACUAAGGCCAGCCAUCUGGCUCGAGCGAAGGCCAGUGCGGCGGCUUGCUCGCUCGUGAGUCACGAUCGGGCCAGCCUGCCAAACCGUGCGUAGGCCAGCGCGGCGUCCGGCCCGUCCGGCAGAGCGGCGGCCAACUUGCUCAUCACCGGCGCCACCGACGAACACGCAUCAGUACUGUAUGAAGUAAUGUUCAGGAAAAAUAAUGAUUUGAGGGGGAAUAACAGGAUAGAAGGUCAGAUGUGGGUCCCUCAUGUCAACGGUCAAACAAAAUGUGUUGGUUUAAGAUGCCUCAUCAGCACGGACGUGUGGGCCAACCCUGUCAUAAACGGGUUUAAACGAGCCUAAUCGGCACUAGGUAGUAGUUUUUGGCGCGGAUUAAGAAAUUUUGGGUAUGUUUUUGCUAUUUUUUGUACAAUAGUUUCUUCCUAGGGCUGGUUGAAAGUGGUAGUUUUUUCUUAAAUACUCUACAUAUUGUAAGUAGGAGUGAAAGUUAAGCUUUGGAAGCCAAUAAUUAAGGCUAGUUACAUAGUGCAUAUGUGUACAUGAUUGAAAGUAAAUAUCAACCAUGAGUGACUAAUAUCUUGAUGGAACACUCGAAACUAUGGAAAUACUAGCUUUUUUUUGCAUGGUUGGAAAUACUAGCAAUGUUCACGUGCGUUGCAAUGGAUCAUAAUUAGAAUAAUACUUAUUCACAAACUUGAUACAAAACACUCUAAUUUUGAUAUACAUAUAUCACUAGAGAUAUAUUAUGUUUCAAUCAGAAUAUAUUCCUCGGGCUAUUUUGGUGAGGUGAGGGAGGGAUGUGGUUGGUUUUAAGGUACUAAUUAUGGGUUUUUCUGCAAAUUGGUAGAGAAGUGGGAUGUUGGUGAGAAAAGGCAACAACUUACCUCAAAGUCGUUAGAUGUAGAUCUAAUGGUCAGAAAUGACGCAUGGCAGACACACCAUCAUCACCAACUUAGUCUUCUGUAGGAGUACCAGCAAGAUGUCCGUGCAUUGCACGGAACAUCAAGAUGCAUUUUUUUAUAAAACACUUGUUGUGAUUGACCCAUGCGGGAGUAAUCCCAUGUGUAAAAACUAAUGAUAUCUCUAGAAAUAGGAGAUAAGGUGAAGAGGAGUGGGGCGUGGUGGUGAUUGGUGGUCGGACUAAGCGGAGGCAUGGGGAUGGACGACGCCGACAGCGGCCACCAUGCCAGUUUGUUCCAAAGGCUUCCUUUUUUAAUUUCUCAACAAUGAGGUUGUUGGAGAUAAGGAUGAACGAGGGAAGGCCUUGUCUGCAAGUGUGGAGAGAGGUGCGGGUAUCUUUUAGUUUAAUUUCCAUCCGUCAGAUAUAGAUCGGAUGGUCUAUAUUGUAAGAUGGCACGCGUACCAUCAUCACCAACUCGUUUUUUUAUAAGAGAAGAAAUAUAAGUCUAGAGAUACAAACGUAUUAUCGAUACUUGUUUCUGUAAACUAGGAUCUACAUUCUAUUCAACGCCUCAGCAUGUGGGGCCUUAGCACAAUGACUUCUUGGCUGUGUAAAACAAAGGUUUUCCCAUCGCCGAUAAGGAGGGGGUGACGGCGGCGCAUUGUCGGCUUGCUCUAGUCCUAGUAGUCAUACUAGGUGGUCUACACACGUGUAGAUUUAUUCUUCUUCACGUCUCGUGUUCGCCCUACUGCCACGACUGUUGACAAAUAGAUGGUAAGUUAUUCACGGGGAAACCCUUGUUGGGCGUGUUUGCGAGAGAGAGAGAGAGAGAGAGAGAGAGAGAGUGUGCGUGUGUGAUAUGUCUAGAGACCGAGGCAAUGAUAGGAGAUUCUUAGUGUCUAUGUGUGUGGAGGAUAGAGCGAGACAUGUACAUGGGGCUUUGUGUUGUGUAACGUGGAGACACAUAGACAUAAUCAGAGAGUGAGUGUGUGAGAUACACAUGCGGACAUGGGGAGAGAUGAGGAUCCAGAUAAAUGGGUGUUUGUGCGUGUCUGUGUGUGUUUGUGUGCGCGUUUGUGUGUGAGAGGGAGUGUGUGUAUGUGGAGUAGAGAGACCACUAAUUAAUGAUGUAAACCUAGUAUAAGGGAAGGGGAAUAGUGUGACAUGUGUGUAAGAGAGAGACAAAGGCAUGUGUAGUAGUGGGAUAGCAUGGGUGGGCGGGGAGCAGACUAUUUGGAAGAGACAUCGAGUGUGUGUGGGAGAGGGGUGUGAGAGCGAGAGAGAGAGAGAGCAACGGAGAGAGAGUGAAAGGAAGAGAGGGGGGAGAGGGGUCGUUUGUGUCCACAAAUGGCGUAUAGAUAGGGAGACAAUGUUGAUGUUGUUCGAAAUUGGCCUAUGUACGGAGACGCAAGGGAAGCGAGUCAUCGUGUGUGUGAUAGGGACUUCAUGUGAGAUCUAGAAUAGACGGUGUAGAGAACAACGUGCGAGAUUGAGAAUGAUGAUACUAGGGAGCUAUGGAAAGAGUCACGGCAUAUAUGUAUACAGGGAAGGAGCUGGGGCGGGUCCGCAUGUGGGAGAGAUAGAAAGGGGAGAGUGGUGCACAAGGAGACAAAGUGUGCUUUUUUGUAGUGGGGGUGGUGUGUGAGGUGAGUGUGCGAGAACCACAUAACUAGGGAGAUAGACAUUUGGGGGCAGCGUUUUGUGUUUAUGGGAAAGAUACACUCUACAUAGUGCUUGUGCUUGGGAAAGAGAGAUGCCGGGAGACCUAGAGAGUGGGGGAAGAAAUGUGUGCAUGCUCGAGAGACAAAGUGAUAGAGACCUAUAUUGGGGUCUGGACUUUAGAAGAGAGGGGGUGUUAAUGUGCUCGUGUGUUCAUUUCUGGGGNNNNNNNNNNNNNNNNNNNNNNNNNNNNNNNNNNNNNNNNNNNNNNNNNNNNNNNNNNNNNNNNNNNNNNNNNNNNNNNNNNNNNNNNNNNNNNNNNNNNNNNNNNNNNNNNNNNNNNNNNNNNNNNNNNNNNNNNNNNNNNNNNNNNNNNNNNNNNNNNNNNNNNNNNNNNNNNNNNNNNNNNNNNNNNNNNNNNNNNNNNNNNNNNNNNNNNNNNNNNNNNNNNNNNNNNNNNNNNNNNNNNNNNNNNNNNNAGGUGUCCAUAUUUGAGGGACUUUAGCGUAAUUGAGAUAUAUAUGGUCAAUAGUGUGUGCACUCAUGGUUGAUCAAUUUGUUUCACAGUUUGGACUAUGAGAUAACGAUACUUUUGAACAUGCGUGAUAUACCUUGAUGUACUAGAAUUACAAACCUAAGAUUGGAAUUUUGGAAUUCGACUCCAUCAUUAGCUUUUGUAAUUCAUUUAAACAGAGGUACAUUUUUAAGCCGGGACUUCGUGAUUUCAAAUUCAUAUAUCAAACCUUGAGAUAUACACAUACGGGCAUGUUCAAACUUUAUAAUCAUCCACUUUAUUCAUACACAUGCACAUUUUUGCUUUUGUCAUCAUAUUUAGGAUAAACACAUUUGGAAUUUGAUUUGAAUUGGACCGUAUGAUGGUAUUUGCUUGUACUACCUCAGUGAUCCAUAUUUGAAUUGAAUGGACAAUCUAUGUUUCGAGUUGGAGACAUUGAUUUUCAAAACUUGCACUUUUUUUGCGUGCAAAACAAAUAAAUUCUCGGCCAUGAUAUCAUAGUCGGCCAUACAAGACCAGAGCACCGGAGCACCGGAGCCGCUUGAGCGACGGCGACAGCCAGCCCAAACUCAACCACAACACGAGCACCAUCGAUGAUCCUUAGCUAUCAAGUAUGACAAUGAUACCUAUACGCCGCCGAGAAUCAGGUACUAUUAUCCAAUGGCCGGCGCCUCCGUUCACUUUCUUAGCUUAACCACCGCACCUUUGAAUUUCUUCAGGACAUCAUUCAAUUUUUCAUGAGACGCGUUAUUCUGCUUGCACCUGUAGGGCCAUACUUCUGGCAGUGAACAUGUUACAUGUGCUAAAUUACAUACCAGUGCACAUAUAGUUAAUAUGCUUUAGUUUUGUCCUAAGUAUUACUGUACUUCCUAGAUAUCACUCCCUACUAUUUUACUUCUUGCAUGCUAUAUUUAUGUUAAUGGUGUUGUUCUGAUGCCACAUGUUGGUUCCAUCAGUCUGCUUCAUGUUCUCUAUGCUUAAUUACACAUCAGCAAACUAGCAUCUGGUUCCGCUGCUUUUUGUUCGUUUUACCAUACAUUUUCUGAUGGUAGCUGUUACAUCACUGCUCCGAGCCUCUGUUCAUUAAUUUUUUCUGUGUUCUUGAUCUUCCCAAGUUGCAUGACUAAUUUGAUGCUUCUAUUAAUUAUGGAGCUGCCAACCCCAUCAAGCAAAAUAUUUGUUCUUUUGGGUCUGGCACCUCGAACAAGCAUAAAAAUAGAGGGAAGCAGAUAUAUUGUCGUGUAUGCACACCCCCUUCUUCCAUUAGUUUAGAUGAACCAUUGAUGAUCAAUUUGAACCAGUGCAUGCGAUUAAAAUUAAUUUUACCUAAAUAGAGGGUGCAGAAUAAACUACAACAACUAGAUUUGCAACCACGGGAUGCUAACGAUAUCUUCAAAGAACAUUGCAACAGGAGCGAGGCUUCACACCAACAUAUGGUAAGCCAGUGUGUUUUAGUACAUGUGAAAUGUAAUGCGUGUGGGCUGCUUUCUUGGCUUGUGCCCUCAGCCUGUAAUCCUAAAGAAUUACAAAUAGUUCAGUUGUCUGCUUUGCUGUAUUGCUUGAUUCGAAUGCUUUUUUGUUACUUGUUACGCUAUACCUGAGUUGGCCAAUAUGUCAGCAGUGCCUGCUGUACUAUCGUAAAUAAAUGCAUGCCUAGUUCAUUUGAGUCCGUAACUUUUCCUCUGAACUUCAUCACAAGACUGUCUUCGUAGUUUAUAUGAUGCCACACUGUUAAGUGAUUUCUCAGAUUAUUUCAACUGCUUAGAUGCCUUGGCAACUAAAAUAUAGCGGUGGUACACUCCCUUUCAACUAGGGAUGUCAACUGGGUCCCAUUUAAUCCCGAUUAAUGUCCACUAGUGGUAUGAUAGUUCAAAAGAGUUUUUGUUUUUUGAGGAAAAUGAACUAGGGAGCUAGCAAAAACUAACUAGAUGGGACUGGCGGAUGUCGUUUAUUUGCGACUUACAUCCCUAGUUUCAUCUUACCAUUUUAAUAUCUUUUCGGCUGAUGCUGCUUCGAACCAUUUAAAUAUAGCUUGCCAUGCUCGGCAAUAAUUCGUAUGUCGUUUACCAUGUAAGCUUACUGCCUAGAUCAUGCGAUAACUAUCUCUUACUUAUGUCCAGCGGAAACCUUUCAGGAUGCCGUUCACACUAGGACAAAAUGUACAACCCCAGAAUCUAUUUGUGGAAGCAGUGGGCCAUCCAUGUUACCACAUGGUAGCAGUUCAGAUGCAACACCGCCCGAGAGCAGUGUGAGCACAGAUAUUAUAGAUCUUGAGGCUCUACUAGAGGCAGAAAGAGAUGGUGUGGCUUCCAUGAAUGAGGUAAUCUCGAUCUUGAAGCUGGAAAUUAUGCAAUUAGCUGCACACAUUAUGCAAGCAACCCAAGAAUUGGAGGAAGUAAGAAUGUUGCAUUUGAAGACGAGGAGGUCCUGCUGCUUCUUCUAUCUGAAGCCCAGGGUAAUCCCAGUUCUUCUUUAGAUACCAGUUGAAAUUGUCAUUAGAUUAUUGUACUUGCAUGUUGUGUCAUGUCUCUGAAUGGAUUAUGUUGCAAGACCCCCUAUGUUGUCCAUGAGUUGUAAUGAUCCAAAUUUUUUAGGCGAGGUAAUCCUCAGUACUUGUAUUAUUGACAUAAGGUGAACUGUUUUUCGUGUGAGCAUAUUGUAUUGGAUGAAAUAACUAUUGGACUCAAAGUGUAUCCAACCUACUGAAUUCGAAGAUCACGACAUUUCUAAAUCAUAAUCAUAUAUAAAGGUGGAAUAAAUCUUUCUUGUGGUUUUGAAGAAAUAAAUAACAAAACAUAGAAUUGUCUGUGGAUAUUCGUAAUCGAAUAAAAAUUGGAUUUGGAUUUAGUUGCCAGGGCCCAGGGCAAACGUGAAUGCUAAUUCUCCCAAGUUUUGAACGAAGUGGCUAAACACCCACUAUCACUUGUGGGCUGCCCGAAGCAAGUGUUUGCGAGAUGGAAAUUAGUGUCUACCCCUGACACUUGACAUCCUUAUCGACCGGAUUUACACUGUUGUCGAUAGGGGUAGACUAGUAACUUCAACCAGACGUGACACGAUGGCCUCUGAGCCCACUCAGACACGGGGGCAUCAAACGUGGGCGGCAAAACACAUUUGAUUCAAGCUCGUCCGAAAGACAUGUGUCUCUCCCUCCAUUUCCCCAUUCAUCCACGGUGGGCGGCAAAACAAACUCUCCUCGUCCGAAAUCGAUGUAGGCUAAUAUUUUAAAUAGGGGCAGAUGUGUAACUUCCCUCAGACGUGACACAACCGCCCUACCUGUCAGCCCCGUUCAUACACCGUGGGCGCCAACCGUGGGUGGCAAAACACCCUCUCCUCGCCCGAAAUCAUUACCGGCAAAUAUUUGGGAGAUGCGAGAUUACCGUCCUAUCCCCAACCGACGUGAUGUCUGAAAUUGUAAAUGGGGGAUAAGUUUGUAACUUUCCCACAUUUUAGACAAGCGCAUCCCAAAGUUUGCCCGAUUCAUACACCGUUGGUGCCACAACAACCUCCCCACUGCGGCCAGCCUCCUCCGUCCGCCACCCCAUCCUCCACCUUGCCGGAGCCGCUACCCCUACCCCGUCGUCCACUUCAAGAGAUGGACGUCUCACAUCCACGGCGUCGGACCAGGAUCCUUUCAUCGCGUCGUCUCGCUUCAUCGGCGUCGUCGUCCACCUUGUCGUUGCCACUCGUACGACCGCCUCGUCUACGGCAACAGGAUUUAUCCACCGACCCGGCCGUCUGCCGUCUAAAGUCUUCUUCCCCGCCGACGACAGCCAUCGCACCCGCAGCACCCUCAACGUAUCAACAAGGGCCUACACGGUGUCGCAAGAGAGGAAGUACUCUUCCAUAUGUGCUUAAGUUAUUGUUCUCACCCAGAAAAUAGAUCGUAAAUUGUUUACUGUACUUUUCUUGUCCGUACCAAAUCGUAGUGGCUAGUUGAAAGCAAACAUUGGUUGCGAAGUAGCUUUGUCCGGUUUGCACCUUCAGAUGCGCCAUGGCAUUGUCACUAUACUCGUAAAGCUUAUGGUUUCCCCCCUUUAUAUUCACUACCAUCAUUGUAGGUGCUUCACUGCUUCGUGUCGUGCUAGCACUGCUCCUCAAGACCUCAACCCAUCAAGCGAAGCAACAUGCCACUCAUAAUUCCAAAGCUUACGUGUUGAAAUACGAAUCUGAUAUGAUGGUCAUAUUCCUAAAACAGAGAACGUUUAAUUGGUCACCUAAUGUUCCUAUAUUCGUUCGCAAAGCAUGUGCGCCACCCACUGGUCCAGCUAGUUCCACUUUCCUGAUUUUACUCUUGAUGCUUAGGGUUUUCCCCUUUUAUCUACUCUACUAUGAUCUGCGUAGGUGCUUUUUGUCGUACUAGCAUUACUCCACCCUUCAAGCUAAACAACACAACACUCAAAAUUCCAAAGCUUAGUUGUUCAAAUAUGAUUGUGAUAUGAUACUGAUAUUAGUUAACAGACACAUUUAAUUGGUUAGCUAAAGGUCCCACUUGAGUUUCCAAAUGCAUGUCGUGCCAUAUAGAGAGAUAGCAGAAUUGCAUGUCUUUGUCACUUCUUGACUGUACUUUCUUGUCCAUACCAAAUCUUAGUUGUUAUUUCAAAUCAAACAUCGGUUGCUAACUACCCUUUGCGCUGUUUGCAGCUUCAGAUCUGCCAUCCCACUGCCAUGGUCAGCACUAUACUCAUCAUGCGUAGGUUUCCCCAUUUUAUGAUGACCACGAUCAGCUUACGUGGUUCGUGUCGUAAUAGCACUGCUCCACCCAUCGAGCUAAACAAUGUUAGUUGUACAAAUUCAAAUCUGAAAUUAUGCUGAUAUUAGUAAAACUGACAGAUGUUUAAUUGGCCAGCUAAAUGUUCCUACUUUAGUUUCAAAAUGCAUGUGAGCCACAUAUGGAGAGACCGGAAGGAAUAGUAUUUCUCUGUGCUCUCUGGUUCAUCAUGGGUGGCCAACCGACAUUGUAUAGAAAGACUUGUAAUAUCUUCAAUCCGCUUGCUCUUCUGCUCUUCUAUAAGAUGAUCCUCUUCUCUUGCGGUGGACUGGUCAGGUCGAGUUAUUCUCCCUUAGUAUAUUUUGAAUCUUUUAGGUCAGGUCGACUUGUUCUUCUUUACUAUAUGUUGAAGCUUUCAUCUGUGAAGUAUCAUCAAUUCUUGAGCUCUCAUAUUUUGAGUAGUAUGCCACAUUAUAUUAAUGCACACGCCAAAUUACAGCAUGCAUGGCACCUCUUAGAAGAAUUGCAGAGAUAGCACAAAGGGGUUUACAGGGAGGAAGUAUUGGAUUAGAAUCACUUCUGCAUUACAAAGAUAAUCUCACUUGUUUUUAUGUUUUCAUGCAUGUCAGGUAUUGAACAUUAUCAAAAUGAAUAUGAGAAUGGGCGCACAAGAGGAAUAUUGUGGAACAAUCCACUGGCUAACAAACUUGGCAUGGUGGAGGAUGGCCUAUCUUAUUCACCCAUCAAGGUGCUUGCUCUAACUUGGCAAGGUUGUAUUGGUCGCACAUAUUUUGCAUCUGACCUCUUGCAUUACUUCUACUUUGUUACAAGAUCUUCUUAGUUUAAGCAUGAUAUAUGAGUAUAUGCCAUACCUAUGCAUUUUCUGUACCUAUUCCAUGUGUCGUCAUACUAUGUUUUUCUAGUCAAAUGUUGUUCUUUCGUAAUAGAUGUCCAAAAGGAAGAGGGUGAGUGUAGAUCCUCAAGGAGUACAAACUAGGUAAUUGGAAAAGGUAGUGAUACCUGUUAAAUCAGAUAGAUCAGCAGCCACAGAAAACACAGGCCCAACUGUACCACACUUUACCCCUACUGCAGUGGCCAAACCCCUAUUAGAACAGCUGAGAGCCCAGGGUCAGGUACUGUCUAUGAUAUCAGUUCAAAAUUUGAAAUCCUAAAUUUCUGCAUUUGCCUUACCUUCUCUCUUGUAUGAUAACUAAUUUCAGAUGAAUCUCCUUGCUCAAAGGAUCAUAGGAUCUCACGACAAUACUGGGCUCUGCAUACUCUUGUCAGUACCUCUUGCCCUUUGUCAACAUACUUACACUCACUGCUGUUUGAUUGUGUAGCAUCACUGUAAAUGUUCGCUUCUUUAUCCUCCCUUUGCUCAAAAUUACAAGAUCUAUAUUUACUCUUAGAUAAAUGUAGAAUUAACACAAUGGUUAUGAAGUUUUGGAUUGCUCAUGUAAGUAAAUAUUAUCAUGUACUCCACUAGUAGAAAACGGAGCUUUAUUACCGGUUCGUAAGGGCCUUUAGUACCGGUUCUGCAACCGGCACUAAAGGGUGGAGACUAAAGCCCCCCCUUUAGUACCGGUUCGGCACGAACUUCCACUAAAGGCUCACCACGUGGUGUGAGCUAGCACCGUGGUAUGGGGGACCUUUAGUACCGGUUGGUAACACCAACCGGUACUAAAGGUUUUUUUCUGAAUUUUUUUAUGAAAAUUUCGGAAAAAAUUGAUUUUUUCGAUUUUUUGAAUUAUUUGAUGAUUUAGUCUCUAAUCACCCCUCUUAACUGCUGAAGUAUGGAUCACUGAUUCCAAAUCGUCUAACUUCCCUGCCGGUCACCCAUCCUCUCACUACCCUAGCCUGAGCACGCUUAACUUCAGAGUUCUAUUCCCCCUACUUUCCAAGUCUGCACUUGUUGUUUUCCUGACAAAUGUAAGAUGUCAAUCCUAUUAACCCUCAGGAGUUUAGGUUGAGCAUUAGGUCACACAUUUCACCGAUUGAGUUUGAAACUAUUAUUCUAAAACAGUAAUUAUUUAGUAACACUAAUAUUUCUUGAAUAAGUAGUUUGACCAUAGUUAGACCAGAUUUGACCAAAAUUCAAAAAACUGAAAUAAUUAUUUAGUAACACUAAUAUUCUUGAAUAAUUAUUUAGUAACACUAAUAUUUCUUGAAUAAGUAGUUUGACCACAGUUUGACCAAAAUUCAAAAAAACUGAAAUUUGAGCAUAUCUUUUUUUCCUUUUAGAAUUUGAGGAUUCUAAAAAUUUGCAAACUGGCCGUAGGCCGUCAAAAUCGGAUGCGGAUUUUCGUGAUGAACAUUUUGAUAUAUUAAAUGUUUUUUCCGACAUCGUAUGCAAAAGUUAUAGCCGUUUUACAUUUUCCCUACACUUUUUGCAAAACAUGUCCAAACUUAAGUUUUUAAAAUUUCCUAACUAGUAGAUGUACUAAUAUAACUACCUCUCGAAGGAUUUUAUUCUGUGAAGUUUUUAUCAUUUUCUUUUGUUUUUUGAAAACUAAAAUGGCGAUACACAGGGGGGUAGAGUUUGAAAAUUUCCCUAUAGUGCCGGUUUGUGUCUCCAACCGGGACUAUAGGUUAAGACCUUGUAGUGCCAGUUGGUGACACAAACCGGUACUAUAGGUUAGACCUUUAGUACCGGUUUGUGUCACAAACCGGCACUAAAGGGGCUCGUGGGGCCCCGGCCUGACGCCAGCCUGCCACCACCCCUUUAGUACCGGCUCGUGGCACCAACCGGUACUAAAGGUUCAACACGAACCGGCACUAAUGCAUAGCCGUUCGAACCGGCACUAAUGGUCACAUUAGUGUCGGCUCAAAUACAAACCGGGACUAAUGAGUUGAACAUUUGACCCUUUUUCUACUAGUGUCCCUAUGUAUCGUAUUAAUUAUUGAUCAAUUGGAUGUAUUUAGAACUUAAUAGUGCUAGAUACAUCCAUUUGAGCGACAAGUAAUAACGGACGGCGGAGGUAUUACUGUACUUGCAUCGCGAGAUAGUUGAUUGUCUAGCAUUACUCUGCAUCUUAUCUGCCCUGCCCUCCACUUUCUCCAAAUUAUCAUAUCUACAUUUACUCUUACCAAAAUGUUGAAUAAAGCCAAUGCCACUGCACACGUUGAUGUCUGCAUUCCUCUUGUCAAUACCUUUUGCCUUGUAACGCUGUACCUAAUUAAUUGCUAUUUUAUUAUGUAUCAUCAGUCUACACCUCGGCUUCAUUAUCCUCUGUUCCUUCCAAUAUUAUUUGAUCUAUAUUUAAUCUUUGCAAAAUGUAGAAUAAUGGCAAUGCUUAUAAAGAAUUUUCUUUGGGGAAUUUAUUGAAUUAUCCUUCCAUCAACAUGGAGAAGGGCUUUGUCCAGCCCGUGUUAACAUGUAAUGUAAGUUCAUCCUUCUCAAGCCUUCAAACUUUGUUCUAGUAUAGAUUUGGAUAGGCAUCAUUUCCUCCAUUUUAGUUGUAAAAACAUGUUCCUUAUGCAGAACAGAUCCAUUUAUUUGCUUAUAUAAUUUUGAAACCUGUUACGUGUCUCCUUGUUUCUCUUUCAGAGUUGUAUCUCUUAUGCCAGGCAGAACUUUAGGGAAGAUAGUGAGCCAAACCAUCUUGAGGACAACGAGAUGACCCCAAGGUCCUGUCUUGAUGAAGACAGUGAGUUGAAGCUACUCACCAGCAGGUGUGAGACAACCUCUGUGUAGUCGCUGCCUCAAUCAGUUCGACUUCUUCAGUCUCAACUUAAAGAGGAAAGGCUUGCUUUAGCUCAGCUCCGACUUGAAGUCAAAGAUCUAAUGAGGAUGUCAGGGGACUGCCGUGCACACUAUGGUGCUGUACAGCUAGGGAUGAAGCAUCUAUCGUUGACACAACUGAGGUCUCAUCAGCUUGUCCGGCUGCUUGUGGGGCCCGACCUUGCUAGGCCUAGUGCCUUCUGAAGUGCUCUCAGUUUUGUAUAUUCUUUUGUCGGCACGUUUAUAUGCACUGGUGGCGACCUUUGAUGCCCAGUGUAUGUAAUCCGCAGUCAUGUUGCGCUUUAUUAUCACCAGUAGCGAACUUUGAUUCCAAGUGGAUGUAAUACGCUGUAAUUUCUUUAUUGUAUAGUCUAGGUUUAUUCUUUGGUCGGUAUGCUGUAAUUUAGGCCGGAAGGUUCAGUGGAUUUCAGCGUUGUCGGUCUUCAGGCCGGCCCGUUACUCAUAUGGGCCAAAACUUGCGCCUAUAAUCAUCUUGGGCCAUUAACAAGUACAGCCAGGUGUAACUGCACAGAGGUGAACUCUAACAACAUCGAGGAGAUAGAAAUAAUGAAGAAUGGAGGUCGUCCCUCUUUUGGUUUGUCGGCGGCAGUUUUUGAUGAUAUAUAUCACCUUGUGUGUGAUUUCCAGCAUAUUAUAUUUCGGCAUGCUCCUAGAAAGACUGAAUGUGCUGCCCAUGAUUUAGCUAAACUAGCUAGAAAUAAGGUGUGUGGGGGUGGAUGGAAGAUCCACCCAUAGAAAUUGUUGAUACUCUUGUAAAACAUAAUUGGUCAUCAUCUUGCAAUAAAGAGUAUUUUGAUGUCAAAAAAAGUUUCAAUUGAGAUUCCCAGGUGUGUGCGAAGUUUCUUAAACAACAGGGCAUUGCAACUGCAAAGGAGCACGGGGGAGGGGGACGGCCAGCCUAAUUUGGGGUGGCAUCGCCACCGGUGCCAUGGAGGUGGAGGUGCUGAUUCAAAUGAUGAUUCAUCAAAGCAGAUAUGCAAGGACACAUAACUCAUGGCCGAGCCGACUCGGAUCUCCACCAUGGUGGUCAUGAAGAAAAACAUUGUAGUGUCUUCAAACGGUGGGGCUCCUUCCUAGUGGCGGAUCUAGGACCCAGGCCCCCAGGGCUUGGCCCGGGGCAUGAGACCCAAAUCCUUGGUAUUCUAUUGCAACCCCUACUCCUUCUGCUACCCCAACCAAUUGACUACAUGAAAAAGUUUUCCAAAAAUUAAAAAAACAUUUGUCUUUCAUCUUUUCUUAUUCAUUCGGUCUCAUCGGCUUCAGCAUUUAGGUCAAUCCUGGGCUUCUUCCUGCUGUUGUGGGCGGCGGGCGUACUGGGGAGCGGCGGCACCUUUGGUCCGCACCGCGGGCACCAGGGUUCGGCCUCGGCGAUGAGCUCGUGCGUGAAGCAGGACGGGCACACGCACGUGCGGAUGGUCGGGAUUUGCAGCCGAUGGCGCUGUGCUUGAAGGCGGCGAGCGGUUGCGCUUUCCCUGGGAGGAGGACGAGGAUGAGGUGGACGCCAACAAGGAGGACGACAUGUCCGGUGAGGUGGUGAACGCGCGGCGGCGGCGCGCUCUAGUGCUUCGCGGACCAUGUUGAGUGUGUAGAACGCGGAGGUGGUGGUGACAACAUCGGUGGUGGAUGCCGUGGGAGGCAGGUUGAGGUCCUGGUGGCCGUCUUGGGUGGCCUGCUGGAGAUGAGGAGUCAAGAACGUCUUGUCAGACUGCACAAAAACAAGAAAUUUUCACCUGGUUAAGAAUUUGUAUGAUGAACAUGAAGAAGAAACAACUCUGUAAUCAGAGCUCAGCAGAACCAAAAUUUUGAUUAUCAUGCCGUCAAAUCAAUCAAAGGAGAUGGGUUUGAUAUCCGGACAUAGUUACCUGCAAAUUAUAUAAUUCUUUGGAAUUUCAUCUCGGACCGAAACCACAUGAGCAUGAAUUUAUUAAGAACCAAACAUGUGCGCAUGCGGGUGUAACAAACCACAUGAAGAUACAAAACUAAAGGUCGGAAGAACAGAGGAGCAGAUCUAAAUAGUAAUAUGAGGGAGACUCACUGGCAAGUCAAGCCGUCUCUCCGAGCUGGCAGGCAGCUUUACCUCUAGCUCGAUGACCUCUUCCUCCGAUGGCUUCUCGGCGCCGCCCCUACCCAUUCCCGCCUUCCCUCGGAGCAUCCCAGCGGUGGAACUUACCUCCUCUGCCGUUCUCCUCUUCCCUUUUCCGGCGGUCCUCUGCUCUGCUUCCCCUUUUUUGUGUUUGUCUUUCUGCCGAGAGAGAGGGAGAGAGAGGGAGAGAAGAAAUUGAUGGGGUGUUUGGCAAUUGUGUGGUGGGGCGCCCCUAUAUAUACCAGGAGGUCGCCGGCAUGAUGGACAUGCGGAGCCAAUGCACCAGGGAGUGGAGGGGCAGCGAGAGCUAUGAAAGAUCAUCUUUUGGUGGACAUUAAAGAUCAUAUUAAUCUACAUCAUUGGGAAAUAGUUGGGCCAUUAUUCAAUGCAAAUUAAAUGCUCCAAACAAAUUGAGAAAUAUGAAAAAUAUGACCUUAGAUUUGUAAGCAUGACAAAAUGAAAAUUUUAUGAUACAUUAUAUUGAGGAAAUUGUCUUCCUCGUGACAACAUAAUUUUUCUGAUUUUUCAUUUUCUUUCUAAAGAAAAUUUCCAUCUUCACAAGAACAUAGUUUUCACUUAAAAAACCCUUAGUUUUGCCAUGCUUAGAAAUCUAAAAUUUGCUAGUUUGAAUUCAUUACAUUUAAAGUAGUCAUUUCCUCAUCCGCAUUACAUGAACGACCUGCAUUUAAACCAGAGAAGAAGAACCAUUGAGCCGCCGCUGAAAUAUCAUGCUCGAUUUGAGUGCAUUGAUGGAUUCAAUUUACUUCGUCCAUCCAUAUUUUAGUAGAAAAAGAUACAACCACUAAAUUCAUUACCAUAUUCGGUUGUAUCCGUCGAUCUAUAUUUUAGUUCACAAUUGAGCAUUGGCGCGUGGUAUAAUUCGUAUAGAAUUAGUGAAAAUAUUCUUUGGAGGAAAUUAAUAGAAAUAUUUAUUUUGGAUUAAAUCACAACGAUUAAUGUCUAAUUGAUUCCGGAUUACUAUAUGAUCUCGUGCAAAAUAAACUUUGGCUUUUUUGUGGUUGAAAAAAAGUUGAAUUAUUUGACCCUCACGGACAUCAUCAUUUUAUUGAAUACUAGAGAUAAAACCUCAUGUGUUGUUGCAGGAAUGGAUGCAGUUUUUUCAAGCACAUUUGGUAGUAUAAAAAUUUAGUAUUUGUAUUUACUAGUGUAGAGACCUGCUAUAUGUUGCACACCGGCUCAGAGAAACCGGAACACCCCGUAUUCCAGCGCAGAGAUCCAGGUGAAGUCUUCUGGAAUACGACACUGCUUAGCAUAGAACAAACCAGCUCUCUAUUACAACACGAAUACAAAUACAAGGUCUCCGAUAUUACAAUGAAUAACAUCGGCACGGCGACACUACGCCAACCAUAGUUGCUCUAUGCAAGCAGCAUAACAACUCGAGGCAGCGGAACCUCUACUGGUAGCAGAACAACGAACGACGAUGAUGGACUCCAAUCCGCAGGGACACUGGCUGGAAUGUUUAUCCUAGCUCGCGAGCACAGGAACCACACCAAACAAGCAAGCAAUCCAGGCAGGACCUGCAAACUGGAUGACACGCAAGGUCAGUACAUUCAAAGUACUUGCAAGCUCACAAUAACCAAAAGCAGUCAAGACAAACAACAGCAUGGCAUUUACAGGUUAACAAGGAUUAACAUGGUACUAUCAGACCAAUAAUAGCACGCACAUGAUACAGCUAGAACCAUACGAGCAUGGCAUGAACAUCUGAACAUGAUGAUACUAGCAUGCAAUCUGAUGACACUAUCAUGCACCAACUUACUCUGCUCGGGUUACCUCGUGACCAUCACAUGCACCAGCUUACCAUCACGGACAUCACACGAUCAUAUCAGGAUCCAAUCAAGCUUGGUAUUACAAUACCGUAGUAAUCAUUACAUGAACACAAGGAGCUUGUGACACCCCCGAUUCAAUCGUACACUAAUCAUACACACAAAUGUGUACGAUCAAGAUCAGGGACUCACGGGAAGAUAUCACAACACAACUCUAGACACAAAUUAAAAUAAUACAAGCUUUAUAUUACAAGCCAGGGGCCUCGAGGGCUCGAAUACAUAAGCUCGAAAACACAAGAGUCAGUGGAAGCAACAAUAUCUGAGUACAGACAGAAGCUAGACAAAUUUGCCUUAAGAAGGCCAGCACAAAAGCAUCUACGAUCAAAAAGGCAAGGCCUCCUGCCUGGGAGCCUCCUAACUACUCCUGGUCAUCGGCGGUCUCCACGUACUAGUAGGCAUCGACGGUGGCAUCUGGCUCCUGAGCUCCGACAUCUGGUUGCAUGAACCGGAAAGAAGAAGAAAGGGGGAAAAGGGGGAGCAAAGCAACCGUGAGUACUCAUCCAAUGUACUCGCAAGCAAGGAUCUACACUACAUAUGCAUCAGUAUCAAUGAAAUGUGUUGUAUCUAUGGACUGGGCUAUAGACUGCCAGAACAGAAGGGGAAAACCUAGCCUAUCGAAGACUAGCAUCUUCAAGCAGCUCCAAGCAUCUUGCAGUAUUCAGAAGAGUACAGAAUAGCAUAAAGUAAAGUAGUAGUAGUGUUAUCAACCUCGGCCAGAGAUCCUUUCUCGACUCCCUGCGAGAAAGCAAUCCCAGAGCCAUACUAUCCAGUUAUCACCUCAAGUAUCCAGCUCUAGUUGUAUCAAUCAGGAUACAACUCCAAGUGUCCAUUACCGUAGGACAGGCUAUCGAUAGAUGUUUUCUUCCCUGCAGGGGUGCACCAACUUACCCAUCACGCUUGAUUAAUUCUAGCCGGACACACUUUCCUGGGUCAUGCCCGGCCUCGGCCAAACAAUAAGCCGCAACCCGACCUAGGCUUAAUAGAGAGGUCAGCACGCCGGACUAAACCUAUGGACCAAGGGGUCAUGGGCCAUCGCCCCGAGAACUCCUGCAGGUUGCGAGGGCAGCUGUUGAGCAGACCUAGCUACCUCGUUAAAAAGGCAGGUGCUUACCAGUCCAACCCGGCGCGCACCGCUCAGUCGCUGACGUCUAUUAAGCUUCGGCUGAUGCAUACGACGCAGAAUGCCCAUACUAUGCCCACGUGAUGGUUAGUGCUAUCAGGACAGUGGCCCCUCGGAUGAAAUACCCAAACCGUUAGUGUGUUGGUAGUGCGGUCACGAGCAGAGACUCACGAAAGAUGUGACCCCGUCGCCCCGAGUCGAGGACUUGCGGCAAGGGCUAAGAAUGCCCGACCACGCCUCGUAUUCAACUCUCGGGUACCCUCCAGGUCAACCCGUCUCCACAUCACUCGAGGGUACCCCUCAGGGUCGACCCGCCUUUCCAAGUAACAGUUGUAAAGUCCAAGUAUCCGUGUGUCCAAACAUCAAGGGGAAAACCAGAGAAAUCACCCCCGGUGAAUUCCAUUCGAUGUAAUCAUCAAGGUGAACGUAAGAGGAACCACCCUCGAGGUUCACACUUGAGGGGUUGCAUGACAGAGUCGUAUCGGAAGUGGUUAAGGAGGAAAUCACCCUCGAUGACCACGACCGAAUAGCUACACUACAGAGAUCUCAUCAGGAGUGAUGUAUGAGGUUCCACCCUCGGCACUUGAUGGUCACUCUGCAGAGUCGAGCUACAAAAGGGGCGUGAUGUGAUGUGAGGCUUCGGGCUCUGGUCGUCGAUCACGUUGAUCGAGUCGUCGAUGAUGAAGCAGGGGCAACAAGGACCAAGUGGGGGUCACGGAUGGAUCAUUAAGAAACCUAUACUAAGCAGUUUAGGAUAAGUAGGUAAGGUACAAUGAGCAGGUUACAAAAGCAGGCUAUGCAUCAGAAUAGGAGCAAACAAUAAUAGUAGCAAAAUCUAAUGCAAGCAUGAGAGAAUGGAAUGGGCGAUAUCGGGAUGAUCAAAGGGGGGGCUUGCCUGGAAGCUCUGCUGAUAAGGAAGAAGUGUCGUCGUCGACAUAGUCGAUCACAGGGGCAGCAUCGGCGUCAGUCUCAAAGUCUACCGGAGAGAAGAGAGGGGAGAAACAGUAAAUACAGUGCAAACAGAUGCAUGACAUGGCAAUAAGAAGAGCUAAGGGUGUUCUAACGUAGUACUACAUGUUGCAGACGGAGAGGGAAAACAUCCGAAGAGGUUUUCUGGUGUUUGGCGUUUUCCGGACAUAGGAAAAGAGGGGAAAAGUUCCAUGUUUAGCAUGCUAGGGGCAUGUGACAGAUGAAUGGACUGCGUAUUCGGAUUUGUUGGAUUUUUCUAAGCAACUUUCAUGUACAAAGUAUUUUCAUCCGAGUUACUGACUAUUUUAUAUUAAUUUUCAAACUUUUAUAAUAUUUUCUGAGUUAUUUCAAUUCAAAAAUUAAAUAUCUAAUUACUUUUGUCACAUGGGGUUAUGCUAACCAGCGUGUAUUACGGGUGGGACCAUGGGUUGGGUUGACCGAGUCAAUUUGACCGGUCAAUAGAAUGUGUGGCCCACAUGUCAUUGCCACAUGCAUUACUAAACCAUCUAACUAAUUUAAUCAAGGGAGGUCCCACAUGCCAUUGACUACUAGCUAUACCUAACGGAAACACUAACGCCCACAUGUGUGGGCGUUUACAUCUCGCCCACACGCAUGGAUCCGCGUCCGUUUGUGGGUGCAUGAAUCUUGGCAUGUUUGUGGUGCUACGUAGGACUGGGCUGGUGUGUGGGCAUUCACCCGGUCGCCCACACAUCCGUUUCACCACACGGAGGGGCCAGUGUGUGGGCGUUUAGCAGUUCGCCCACACACCAGUUUUCACUCACGCACAAGGGCUGGUGUGUGGGCAUUUGCCAUCUCGCCCACACGCCCGUCUCCUCUCCCACACCCAAGCUGCCAGUUGCCAUGCGUUUUGAAGUGUACAUGGCAGCUGCCCUAGUGUGCUUGUAAACAGAUGGCAACUCUCUUUUUUUACCCGAACAUUUCAGGUGCCAUAUGUUUUGCAGGGUACACGACAACUGCCCUAGUGUGCUUGUAAGUAGAUGGCAACUCUCUCUUUUACCCGAACAUGUUGUUUUGCCAUGUCUCUUUGUAGCGCUACACGGCAACUGCCUAGUGUUAGUAGGUGGCAAAUCCUAAGGUUUUCAAAUCAUGGCAACUGUGUAAACCAGACCAUACAUGGCAACUGCUUAGUGUUAGUAGGUGGCAAUAUCUAAAGUUUUCAAAUCAUGGAAACUAUAGUAAACCAGACCAUACAUGGCAACAGUUGCAGUUGUCCAAAAUGGCAUCUGGCACUUGACCUGAGAUGGCAACUGCAGUUGAGCAACCAUGGCAACUGUAGUUGUCCGACAUGGCAACUGUAGUUCAGCGACAUGGCAACUGCAUGUAAACUGACAUUGAAAAGGGUCCGGACCAUGGCAACUGCGGGGACGCAUGGUAACUGUCACGCUGGGCGUGCGGGACCGCGAGGUAGGUGGCUGAGAGAGGUCGUGUGGGCGUUAUGCAUUUUGCCCACACGUAGGCGCAUGAGAGGGACCGCAAGGGAAAAAAAGAGGCGUGUGGGCGCUAGUUGUUUUGCCCACAGGUAGGCAUGUGGGCUGGUCCUCUUAGGCACCACACAAAACGUGUGGGCAAACCCCUUAACGCCCACACGUGUGGCAGUUAUCGUCGUCCAUACCUAAUUACUAAUCAGCCAAAAAUAAACUAAAGUAAGUGGGCCGGCCUCAUCCAGAGAGCCAGCCGGCCAUGCACAAAGGAAAAGGCCAUGGCCAUGUACAACUUAAACACCACCACCAGCAGCUAUGGCAGCAUGAGCAGCGGCAUGUAGUAGUGCAGCGCUGUAGGCAGCAGUGGGCAGCGGCAGCAGUAGGUAGCAAGGAGCAGCAGCUCCGGCAGCAAGGAGCAGCAGCCAAGGACGGGAGCAGCAACAGCGCCUGAAGCAGAGCAAUGGCAAGGAGAAGGCAGCGGCGGCAGGCGCAGAGGCGCGGCCAUGGGCGACUGGGCACGCACCGGCAACAGCCGGCAGCGGCAGCGGACGCGGGUGCGGGUCUAGGGCGGGCGCGUCCAGAGGACACAGGCGAGCGGGCGCAGGGCGAGGUCCAGCAAUGGCGACCACAAGGUCACGACCGCGGCUGGGUUUCCAUUACAGCACGCAAACGAGCGGGUUACUCGGAGCAUCGGCUUCGUGAAGCCCUCCAGAGCACGGUAGCAGCAGCAGCUCGACGCGGGGUGGGUUAUAGCGGCAACGGCGAGCAUGGCGGCGGUGCAGAUAUGCGGCCGGCGAAAACUACAACUACAACAUUGGGAUAGCAUGAAAAAGAGAGGGGGAAGACGCGGAGCUCACCAAGGGAGCUCAAGGAGGCUCUUCGAGGAGUUUAGGAGCUGCAGAGGCAUCAAUUCCGGCGAUGGUGUCGCGGUGACCGAAGGUGGAAAACGGCAUCGAUCCGGUCGAUGCGGUGCCCCCGGGCUUGAUCUCAUGGACGAGGAAGACGAUGGCGGAGUUGCUGGACACCUUGGCAGGGCGCGGGGAUAAUGGUGGCUUCGGGAUCGACGAGGGCGCGACGUCGACUACGCUCGGUGUGUAUGUGGGAGAUAGAAGCGGCGCGAGGAAGGGGGGAGUGGGGUAGGAUUUUCGGGGGAGUGCGGGGCGAUGCUCUUAACCUCCAAGGAGGGCCGCGGGAUGCCCGACACGUGGUCGGUGGCCAUGGUGGAUGGCCUCCACGCCCUCUGCCUCCACUGGAGUGGAGGUAGGAGGAGAGGUGGAGCUGGGCUGCGCUAGGCACAGUAGCUAGUGGGCUCACGUGCACAGUAGUAGAUAGGCCUUUUCCUUUUUAUAUUAAAUGAUUUUCUGUUUUUCUUUUACAGAAUCUGUUUGCAACAUUUUGAGCUGCCAAUUGGUCUUUGUAAAAUGGGGAACUUGGCCAAAUAAAUACAUUACAAUAUCUGCCACUGCCACAAAAAGUUUGGGAGGAGUUUGAAUUGAUUUGGAUUUUUCACAACUGGAAAAGCAUUUAAAAUUUUGAUUCGGAACUGCUGAAAUUUCUAGGGGAAAUUAAAUAUCUCAAAUGAUGUUGAAUCAUUCAUGACAUUUAGUUAGUUAAUAUUUGCAACCCAGCGAACAUUUUUGUUUUACUGCUUGGAGAAAUAAUUUAUUUGGCGUUAUUUUAAAUUUGAAUUUGACUUUGAAUCUAUCGAGGAGCAGUUUGGCUUAGAAAAACUUGAUGACAUGGCACCAUUAGUGGGAUAUUACUGUAGCAUGAUUCUCGGGGUGUUACAAAUCUCCUCCACUACAAGAAAUCUCAUCCCGAGAUUUAAGUGGGGAAGUAAAGAGUAACUUCAGGAGAACUGACCCUUAUAGGGUUGAUUAUCUGGUGAACAAUUCAAGGAUGUGGCAGAAAUAUCUCUCGAGUUGAAACUUAAGAAAACAUCGAGAGCAAAAAUGAAGGUACAAUAGGAAGUUUCAAGCGAAUGGACAAACGAUCGAUACCUGAACAGUGUGUGAGAAGGGGGUUCAGAGCAUCGGCAAUAGAUUAUCUCUCGGAGGGUGGCUCGUUACAACACACAAAGCCAAGAGCAAAUGAUACUUUGGAAUAAAGGAUAUAUAGGAGAGUCAGGUUCCGGUCCUAUGGAACUAUGAUGAGGGCAGAUCAAGAGUAUGGAGAACGGUGUCAUUUCACUGUUCACGACAACAAGGUACGUCAGAGGUUAGCCUGUUAGUUAUGUCGGUGGUAACAUUGGUACCAAGGGCGAGGGACGAGGAGAACCAUAUUCCUGCUUGUUGAACGAGGCGGACCAAUCGGCAAGGUUCUCGUCCAUCGGUGGUUACCGGAAUGUAAUCAACAAUACAGGGUCUCACUGACAAGGUUGUGCAUUGGGGUGUUUUAUUUCUUCUUAUAUCAUAUAGAUCACAAGAAGGUUAAACAAACCAAUGGAAAGGAAAAUGAAAUUAUCGAAGUAAUCAGACCAAUGGAAAGGAAAAUGUGUUUACACACAAGAAUAGGGAGUAUAUCCUUCCCAAGGGGAAGCGGAGAAGGAUAUACAUGAUAUGACAGCAAGUUCAAAAGCAUUUAGAUAAAGGGGCGUGGGAAGAAUCAUGAUAUUACUGAUAACCCACAAGUAUAGGGGAUCGCAACAGUUUUUGAGGGUAGAGUAUUCAACCCAAAUUUAUUGAUUGGACACAAGGGGAGCCAAAGAAUAUUCUCAAGUAUUAGCAGCUGAGUUGUCAAUUCGACCACACCUAGAUAACUUAAUAUCUGCAGCAAAGUGUUUAGUAGCAAAGUAGUAUGGAAGUAACGGUAACGGUGGCAAAAGUAACAGUAGCAGUAUUGUAGUGAUUGUAACAGUGGCAACGGUAAAGUAACUAAGCAAGGAGCAAUAUGUAAAAAGCUCGUAGGCAUUGGAUCGGUGAUGGAUAACUAUGCCGGAUGCGAUUAUUCAUGUAACAGUUAUAACAUAGGGUGACACAGAACUAAAUCCAGUUCAUCAAUGUAAUGUAGGCUUGUAUUCCGAAUAUAGUCAUACGUGCUUAUGGAAAAGAACUUGCAUGACAUCUUUUGUCCUACCCUCCCGUGGCAGCGGGGUCCUAUUGGAAACUAAGGGAUAUUAAGGCCUCCUUUUAAUAAAGUACCAGACCAAAGCAUUAACACUUAGAGAAUACAUGAACUCCUCAAACUACGGUCAUCACCGGGAGUGGUCCCGAUUAUUGUCACUUCGGGGUUGUCGGAUCAUAACACAUAGUAGGUGACUAUAGACUUGCAAGAUAGGAUCAAGAACUCACAUAUAUUUAUGAAAACAUAAUAGGUUCAGAUCUGAAAUCAUGGCACUCGGGCCCUAGUGACAAGCAUUAAGCAUAGCAAAGUCAUAGCAACAUCAAUCUCAGAACAUAGUGGAUACUAGGGAUCAAACCCUAAUAAAACUAACUCGAUUACAUGAUCUCAUCCAACCCAUCACCGUCCAGCAAGCCUACGAUGGAAUUGCUCACGCACGGCGGCGAGCAUCAUGAAAUUGGUGAUGGAGGAUGGUUGAUGAUGACGAUGGCGACGGAAUCCACUCUCGAGAGCCCCGGACAGACUCUAGAUCAGCCCUCCCGGGAGAGAUUAGGGCUUGGCGGCGGCUCCGUAUCGUAAAACGCGAUGAAUCCUUGCCUCUGAUUUUUUUCUCCCCGAACGUGAAUAUAUAGAGUUGGAGUUGAGGUCGGUGGAGCACCAAGGGGCCCACGAGGCAGAGGGCGCCCCCCCACCCUCGCACUACUAGGAAAAGGGCUAUAGAUGGAAUGGCCACUAAUGGCGCACCAGACAUGUGGUGCGCCAUUGCUAUAUAGCAGUGGCGCACCAUGUGCUGGUGCGCCAUUAGUGUGAAAGACACUAAUGGCGCACCAGACAAACGGUGCGCCAUUAGUAACAAAAAAAAUUUAUUUUAUUUUUCCAAACAUACUAAUGGCGCACCAGGGCACAGUGCGGCAUUACUAGUUCUAACUAGUAAUGGCGCACUAGCCACAUAGUGCGCCACUACUAUAUUUUUUUAUUUUUUUGUAAAACUACUAAUGGCACACCAGGGAACAGUGCACCAUUACUAGCGAUCCCCCUCCAUCUCGAUCGCUAUCCCACCUCGCCAGAUCCGGCCCCCCUCGCCGCUGAGCACCCCCCGCACCCUCUACCCCGCUCCACCGGGCGCCGCCGCCGACCCCCCGCACCCUCCCCCGCUCCACCGCCGCCGACGACCCACCGCACCCUUCCCUGCUCCACCGCCGCCGACGACCCACCGCACCCUAGCUCCCCUGCUCCACCGCCNNNNNNNNNNNNNNNNNNNNNNNNNNNNNNNNNNNNNNNNNNNNNNNNNNNNNNNNNNNNNNNNNNNNNNNNNNNNNNNNNNNNNNNNNNNNNNNNNNNNNNNNNNNNNNNNNNNNNNNNNNNNNNNNNNNNNNNNNNNNNNNNNNNNNNNNNNNNNNNNNNNNNNNNNNNNNNNNNNNNNNNNNNNNNNNNNNNNNNNNNNNNNNNNNNNNNNNNNNNNNNNNNNNNNNNNNNNNNNNNNNNNNNNNNNNNNNNNNNNNNNNNNNNNNNNNNNNNNNNNNNNNNNNNNNNNNNNNNNNNNNNNNNNNNNNNNNNNNNNNNNNNNNNNNNNNNNNNNNNNNNNNNNNNNNNNNNNNNNNNNNNNNNNNNNNNNNNNNNNNNNNNNNNNNNNNNNNNNNNNNNNNNNNNNNNNNNNNNNNNNNNNNNNNNNNNNNNNNNNNNNNNNNNNNNNNNNNNNNNNNNNNNNNNNNNNNNNNNNNNNNNNNNNNNNNNNNNNNNNNNNNNNNNNNNNNNNNNNNNNNNNNNNNNNNNNNNNNNNNNNNNNNNNNNNNNNNNNNNNNNNNNNNNNNNNNNNNNNNNNNNNNNNNNNNNNNNNNNNNNNNNNNNNNNNNNNNNNNNNNNNNNNNNNNNNNNNNNNNNNNNNNNNNNNNNNNNNNNNNNNNNNNNNNNNNNNNNNNNNNNNNNNNNNNNNNNNNNNNNNNNNNNNNNNNNNNNNNNNNNNNNNNNNNNNNNNNNNNNNNNNNNNNNNNNNNNNNNNNNNNNNNNNNNNNNNNNNNNNNNNNNNNNNNNNNNNNNNNNNNNNNNNNNNNNNNNNNNNNNNNNNNNNNNNNNNNNNNNNNNNNNNNNNNNNNNNNNNNNNNNNNNNNNNNNNNNNNNNNNNNNNNNNNNNNNNNNNNNNNNNNNNNNNNNNNNNNNNNNNNNNNNNNNNNNNNNNNNNNNNNNNNNNNNNNNNNNNNNNNNNNNNNNNNNNNNNNNNNNNNNNNNNNNNNNNNNNNNNNNNNNNNNNNNNNNNNNNNNNNNNCCCCGGCCCGCUCCACUGUCACAAAUGAAUGCAACUAAAUUUGCAAAAAAGCAAAUUUGAUUAUAUUUUCAAAUAACAAAUUUGAUGAUAUUUUUUUUAAAAAUCAUUACCAUUUUUAUAAAAAAUAUUACUGUUAUGAUUUAAACAAGUUUGAACAUAUUUAAACACAAAUAAAUAUCAAACAACAUUUUAAAUGCAUAAAAACAAAAAUUGGGGAGCCUGGGAAUCGAACCCAGGACCUCCUAUUGUGUGUGCUGCGUGCUGACCAGUCGGGCUAGUGGGCGUGUUCUGAUGGAGAUAGGGUUAGGUGGAAUAUAACCUGACCAGUCGGGCUAGUAAUUAAAACAAAAUUCUAAUGGCGCACCAGGGGGCGGUGCGCCAUUAGAAUCGACGUACUUAUGGCGCACUAGGGGGAGGUGCGCCAUUGCUAACCCACUCCACUUGUUCCCCUCGCACUGUGCGUGGCCUCUCCCUCCCUCCCUCGCCAGAUCCCCCACUCGACCCCAACCGUACGCCGCCGCCCCCUUGCUCCGCCCCCUCCGUCCGCCGCGCCUGCACGCCGNNNNNNNNNNNNNNNNNNNNNNNNNNNNNNNNNNNNNNNNNNNNNNNNNNNNNNNNNNNNNNNNNNNNNNNNNNNNNNNNNNNNNNNNNNNNNNNNNNNNNNNNNNNNNNNNNNNNNNNNNNNNNNNNNNNNNNNNNNNNNNNNNNNNNNNNNNNNNNNNNNNNNNNNNNNNNAACGAGAUCGGCCGAGCGCUCCUCUCCUCUCCUCCUCCCUCCGACGAGUGAGGGCCUCCUCCGGCCCCUGCAGCAGCCGGCGAGCGAGGGCCUCCUCCUCCUCUGACGUGCCCACACCCCGCCUGCCCCUGCCGUCCUCCGCCACCCGGCGACCAGCCGCACCCGCCCAGGUACCCCUCCUCCUUCCUCCUUCCUCCCUCUCCACCCUUCCUCCCCAUUCCCUCCCUCAGUAGCUAGCAAAAACACAUACAUGACCACCUAAAAAAAUCUAUAUGCAACACCUAAAAAAAAUCUGAUUUUGAGUUAAACAUAAAUAAACUUGCUAAGGGGUGAUGAAUGUACAUAUUUGUAUGCAACACAUAGGGAUUAAACAAGUACGUUUAGGUGACCGACAGCCAAUUAGCAUCACCAGGCACAACACCUGCUGUGUUCCAGUUAUUUAGGGAAGGAACCUGUUGUGUUCAAUAGAUGCAAGCAAACACCAACAGACCAAUCAUCAGUAAGAAGUGAGUGACUUGUAGGUUUAUUAACUAAAAUACUGCCUAAGGCUAGGUAUGCAGGGCUAUUUGAUAUUAAUAACACCAAUAGUAGCGCGUUGAUGCUGAUGGUGCUCAGUUAUCAGAUGUAUAGAUGUACCAACUAGACUGUAUAUAUCUAUAUUCAGCACAUACAUCAACAUAGCCCAUUGGAAGAAGGGAAGCAGAACCUUUAGCAUUACUAAAUUGUAAGGAAUAGAAACUUCAAGGCAAGAGGUCAGGUCACCACUUGAUCUUGGCACCAACCAGAUCAGGCAAUUAGCUACUAUAUUAAAAAACUACUAAGAAUUUGUGAAUGAGAUCUCAAGAUUUAUUCUGUUGUAUUAAAAAACUACUAAGAAUUUGUGAAUGAAAUUCUCCACCCCUCCUCCCCAUUCCCUCCCUCCCUCCCCUCGACCGUGGUACACAAUCUGUGCGUGCAAGUGCAAUCUCUGGAGCCCCUUCGAGUAUGGUCAUAGAAUAGUUCCAUUAUAAGAGUGCUAUUAUAAGAGUACAAUAUGCUAAUGAUACCCUUUUAUUGUUGGAAAAUGAUGCUGGAAUUGCUCUGAAUCUGAAAUGGAUUCUAACCUGUUUUGAACAAAUUGCUGGGAUGACAAUUAACUAUCAUAAGUGUACUCUUAUCCCUAUUAACUUGACAGUUAAUGAUCUCACUCCAUUUGUGGACAUUUUCCAAUGCAUAGUUGGGGAUUUGUGGACAUUUUCCAAUGCAUAGUUGGGCAAUAAAAGAUACAUUCACUUGAAUGCAGUGUGCUUUUUUCUUUUCCAAAGGAAAAGAAAAUGUGGUGUAUAACAAAUGUAUUAUUUGGUGGAAAUUGAGAUAUCAUAUUAAUCAUUGACAAAUUGGCUUUGCACAAAUAAUCUUAAAUCCAUGCAUACCUACACAAUUCAUCUAUUUGCAAUGUGAUGUUGUAAGGGUACUAAUUGGUCUCUUCUACUGCUUAUCAGAGAUGGGGGGAAGCAGCCACCCCCGCUCUGCCUCACCGGAGUACGAGUUGGAUGCUUUCGAGUUCUUCAGUGUCAUACUUGGGACUUCAAUAUCAGCCACGAGGCAGGUAUAUAAAACGAGAGAUCUCCCCUUCACCCAUCUCAUUAUGAUAACUCUGUUGUUUGCUACAUCACUCCUUGUCCCAAAUUGCAGAGGCUGCCUAACACUUUUAUGAACAUGCUGGGUGAAGAUCCGCCAGAUAAUGUGAAGCUCCGACAGGCCGGCAGCGGGGUUCGCAGGCUGUGGGACGUGGAGUUGGUGAUCGAGGAGGGCCACAUGUACCUGUGCCGUGGUUGGGAGAAGUUCUACAGUGCCUACGACCUGCGGACCGGGUACUUUCUUCUCUUCAGGUACGACGAUGACGCCACAAUGCUCAUCGUGAAGGUUUUCAACACGACUAUGUGUCGCAUGCGCUACGCUGACGACGAAGAUGCCAGUGCGUUCUGCCUCUUCUUAUUACUCUACAUUUGGCUUUGUCUCACAUCGAUUGUUAACGGCCAUUGUUGCAUUUGGACAGGCAAUGGGAGCAGCAGCAGCGACAUUGGCUACAGCCAAAGUAGCAGCGAUUAUGGCUGUAGCAAAAGCAACAGCGAUUCUGGCUUUAGCGAAAGCAGCAGCGAUUUUGGCAGCAGCAAAGACAGCAAGAAGGAUGAUCCGGACUAGAGUGGGGGAGAAGAGGAGCAAAGUGGGGAUGAGGAGCUGCAGGAUGACGAUGGGCAUCAGGCUGAGGAUGACCUAGCGCUGGUGGUGGCUGACCAUGGGCAAGAGAUGGUGGUGGCUGACCAUGGGCAAGAGAUGGUGGUGGCUGAGGAUGACCUAGCGAUGGUCGUGCCCGUCCUGCCUGAAGGUGGCCUCGCGAUGGUGGUGGUGCCUGACAAUGACCACGCACCGGUGGUGGCGCCGGCGAUCCCACAGCUGGGCGACAUGACCACGCCAAUUGUGGUAGAAGACUACAUCCCACAGCUGCCUCCACCGCCUCGCCGCUCUUGGCGCAUCAGGCUGAGGAAGGAGAACGAGAAGAACAAUGAGAACUGAACUAUGUGAAACUUUUGUAAUAUGGUGUUGGAUGGAUAACGGUGUUGGAUGAACAAUGUGAAACUUUUGUAAUAUGUAACAAUGGAACUAUGUGUUGGCUAUGUAUGUAUAUAUGAUGAAACUUGUGUGUUGGAUAUCAUUGUUAUAUGGAUGCUUGUUGUAUAUAUAUGUGUUGGAUAUCUCAUAUGUGAAAUAGUGACCUGAGAUUAAGAAAAAACGAAUUUUUUUAAAAAAAUUUACUAAUGGCGCACUUCCAUCUGGUGCGCCAUUAGUAACUGGUAUACUAAUGGCGCACCUGUGGGAUACUAAUGGCGCACCCGUGGUGCGCCAUUAGUAUACCAGAUACUAAUGGCGCACCUGUGGUGCGCCAUUACUAAAAUAUUCUAGUGGCGUGGUGCUAGUGGCGCACCAGUAGUGCGCCAUUAGUAGGCAAAACUGGUGCGCCACUAGUAAGCCUUUUUCUAGCCUUGAUUCUUUGGCCAGUAUUUUUUAUUAUUUCCAAAAAUAAUCUCCGUGAAGUUUCAGGUCAUUUCGAGAACUUUUAUUUCGGCACAAAAAUAACACCAUGGCAAUUCUGUUGAAAACAGCGUCGGUCCAGGUUAGUUCCAUUCAAAUCAUGCAAGUUAGAGUCCAAAACAAGGGCAAAAGCGUUUGGAAAAGUAGAUAUGACGGAGACGUAUCAACUCCCCCAAGCUUAAACCUUUCCUUGUCCUCAAGCAAUUCAGUUGAUAAACUGAAAGUGAUAAAGAAAAACUUUUACAAACUCUGUUUGCUCGUGUUGUUUUAAAUAUGUAAAGCCAGCAUUCAAGUUUUCAUCAAAGAUUAUGAACUAACCAUAUUCGCAAUAAGAUUUAGGUCUCAAGUUUACUCAUAUCAAUGGCAUAAUCAACUAGCGAGCAAUAAUAAUAAAUCUCGGAAGACAACACUUUCUCAGAACAAUCAUAAUAUGAUAUAACAAGAUGGUAUCUCGCUAGCCCUUUCUGAGACCGCAAAACAUAAAUGCAGAGCACCUCUGAAGAUCAAGGACUGACUAAACAUUGUAAUUCAUGGUAAAAGAGAUCCAGUCAUACUCAAUAUAAAUUAAUAGUAAUGGAUGCAAAUGACAACAGUGCUCUCCAACUGGUGCUUUUUAAUAAGAGGGUGAUGACUCAACAUAAAAGUAAAUAGAUAGGCCCUUCGCAGAGGGAAGCAGGGAUUUGCAGAGGUGCUAGAGCUCGAUUUUAAAAUAGAGAUACAUAAUAUUUUGAGUGGUAUACUUUCAUUGUCAACAUAACAACCAAGAGAUCUCGAUAUCUUCCAUGCUAGACACAUUAUAGGCAGUUCCCAAAUAGAAUGGUAAAGUUUAUACUCACCCUCCACCAACAAACUUCAGUCCAUGGCUUGUCCGAAACAAUGGGUGCAUCCAACUAAUAACAAUCCUGGGGGAGUUUUGUUUGCAAUUAUUUUGAUUUGAUUUUCUUAGAGCAUGGGACUGGGCAUCCCGGUGACCAGCCAUUUUCUCGUGAGUGAGGAGCGGAGUCCACUCCUCUUGAGAAUAACCCACCUAGUAUGGAAGAUACAGACAGACCUAGUUGAUACAAGAGCUAUUCGAGCAUACAAAACAUAAUUUCAUUUGAAGGUUUAGAGUUUGGCACAUACAAAUUUACUUGGAACGGCAGGUAGAUACCGCAUAUAGGAAGGUGUGGUGGACUCAUAUGGAAUAAUUUUGGGGUUUAAGGGAUUGGAUGCACAAGCAGUAUUCCCGCUUAGUACAAGUGAAGGCUAGCAAAAGACUAGGAAGCGACCAGCUAGAGAGCGAGAACAGUCAUGAACAUGCAUUAAAAUUAAUAAACAUUGAGUACAAGCAUGAGUAGGAUAUAAUCCACCAUGAACAUAAAUAUCGUAGAGGCUAUGUUGAUUUUGUUUCAACUACAUGCGUGAACAUGUGCUAAGUCAAGCCACUCGAAUCAUUCAAAGGAGGAUACCACCCUACUAUACCACAUCACAACCAUUUUAAUAGCAUGUUGGCACGCAAGGUAAACCGUUAUAAACUCCUAGCUAAUUAAGCAUGGAAUAAGCAAUUAUAAUCUCUAAUUGUCAUUGCAAAUAUGUUUAUUCAUAAUAGGCUGAAUCAGGAACGAUGAACUAAUCAUAUUUACAAAAAAAAAAAUAGGUCGAGUUCAUACCAGCUUCUCUCAUCUCAAUCAGUCCAUCAUAUAUCGUCAUAAUUGCCUUUCACUUGCACGACCGAACGAUGAUAAUAAUAAUAGUGCACAUGCUUUGGACUAAGCUGGAAUCUGCAAGCAUUCAAUAAACAGGAGAAGACAAGGCAAUAUGGGCUCUUGGUUAAAUCAACAAUAAUGCAUAUAAGAGCCACUUCAACAUUUUCAUAAUGGUCUCCCCCUCUCGACCCCCAAGGAAAAGAAAAGCAGUAAAACUAUUUACUCAGGAAAGCUCCCAACAAGCAAAAGAAGAACACGAAAUCUUUUUGGGUUUUCUUUUAAUUACCACCACUACAGCAUGAAAAGUAAACUAGCUAAAAGCUACAACUAUUUUUUGGGUUUUUCUUAAGGUUUUUCAAACACACAAGAAGAAAGCAUAAAAAGGAAAAUAAACUAGCAUGGAUAAUACAAUGAAAAAGUAUGAACACCGACAACUAGCAUGACUGUGUGAACAUAAAUGUAAUGUCGGUGAGAAAUACGUACUCCCCCAAGCUUAGGCUUUUGGCCUAAGUUGGUCUAUGGCCACGGCUGGCCUAGCAGAUAUCCAAAGUUGUAACUGGGGUCGUACUGAGAUGCAGCGGCUAUUGCAUCGUGGGCUGCAGCUUGGAGGCGAGCUGCCCUCGUCCUCCUCUCGUACUCAUUUGCCUCCUCCCUGGUUAUGACAUAUCUCCCCUUUGCCUGAAAGUCAAAGAGAGUAGGAGCAGGGAGAACAAUAUUGACAGUGUGAGGCCUGUCAAAGAUUAGUCGGUACUGGAGAGGUUGUUCACUCCUCUCAACAAACUGAUGGCGAACCAUGGCAUUAAAAUCUAGACAAGCAGGAGGCAAUUCCAUAUCAUAAUCACGAAUAGGUAUCUCAAGAUAAUUAGCUAAGCGGGUUGCAUAAAUUCCACCAAACAAAUCUCCAUUUAUACCAUUAUUAUGCAACCUACGCACAACAAUAGCCCCCAAAUUAUAUUGUUUAUCUCCUAACACAACACUCCUGAGAACACUGAGAUCAGGAACACACAUGUGGCAAGCUUCAUCCUUACCAUUUAUGCAUCUACCUAUGAAGAGAGCAAAAUAAUGUAUAGCAGGAAGAUGAAUGCCCCUAUGGUAGCUUGUGUUAUUUCUCUAGAUUCCCCCACUGUGAUACUAGCAAGAAAAUCUCUAAACUCAGAUUUGCGGGGUUCACUAGCACUAACCCACUGCGGGAGUUUACAAGCAGUAGUAAAAUCCUCUAGUCCAUGGUAUAGGAUUUAUCAUAAAGAUCAAACAGGACCGUGUGAGAGUUGCGUGAUGAUGAAAAUCUAAAUCUUCUCACAAAGGAAUCAGUAAUGUAAUAGUGUUGGAGGCACUUAUCUGACACGAAUCCCUCCAAAUCAGCGUUACGCACAUAUGCCUCAAAUUCCUCCUUAAUUCCUGCUCGGACCAUGAAGUUUUCUGACGGCCAUUCACAGGGCCGCACUUGAGCUUCUCUUGGUGGUUCAUUGUCCGGCUCACGUAUUGCAGGUCUGGCUCCUUGCUUCCUUGAAGAACCACCUUGGUACAUCUUCCUAAACAUAUUUCUUCCUCUGAAAAAUUUCUGAAAUUUUUAGUAACUUCAAAUAAAAGUGAACCAAACUCAACAAAAUUGAUAGCAACUACUCCCACAAGUGCCUAGAGACUAUAUCAUGCAUUAGGACUACUUAGGACCAAAUAAAUUUGACAUGCAAGCUCAAGAACAGGGUCACCUAAGCAGAAAAAUUUGCAAUAAAUAAAGCACUAGAACAAAAACUAAUUGGACCAUUGGAGGAGUCACAUACCAAAGAACAAUCCCCCAAAGCAGUUUUCUGAGUGGAGCUUUGAGCAAGGGGAUCGAAAAUGGCAGCAAGAUGAGCUAAAACUCAUGCUUGAGCUGGUUGGUAAUUUUUUUGAGAGGAAGAAGGAGUGUGUGGUGGCUGGAAUAAGUGGAUUGGAGCCACCAUGGGCCCACGAGGUAGGGGGACGCGCCCAGGGGGUGGGCGCGCCCUGGACCCUCGUGGCCAGGUGCUUGCUCCCCCUGCUGUGUUCUCUGUGCCGAUUAUUCUCUAAUAUUCUGGAAAAAAAUCAUAUUUCAAUUUUGGGGCAUUUGGAGAACUUUUAUUUUCGGGGUAAUUUUUAUUGCACGGAUAAAUCAGAAAACAGACAGAAAAUACUAUUUUUUCUUUAUUUAAUCUAAAUAACAGAAAGUAAAAAGAAGGUACAGAAGGUUGUGCUUUCUAACUUCAUCCAUCUCAUGCUCAUCAAAAGGAAUCCACUAACAAGGUUGAUCAGGUCUUGUUAACAAACUCAUUCCAAAUCGCAUGAAACCAAAGAACUUUCGAAUAGCACUAGGUUACCUCAACGGGGAUAUGCACGUCCCCAAUAAUAAGAAUAUCAUAUCUCAUCUUGACAGUAGGAAGAGGAAAUUCAAAACCUCCAAUAAUAAUCGAUGGAAUUUUUCCAAUAGAGUUGAUACUGUGGACUUGAGGUUGUUUCCUCGGAAAGUGUACCGUAUGCUCAUUACCAUUAACAUGAAAAGUGACAAUGCCUUUGUUGCAAUCAAUAACAGCCCCUGCAGUAUUCAAAAAGGGUCUACCAAGGAUAAUCGACAUACUAUCGUCCUCGGGAAUAUCAAGAAUAACAAAGUCCGUUAAAAUAGUAACGUUUGCAACCACAACAGGCACAUAUUCAAAAAUACCGACAGGUAUAGCAGUUGAUUUAUCAGCCAUUUGCAAAGAAAUUUCAGUAGGUGUCAACUUAUUCAAAUCAAGUCUACGAUAUAAAGAGAGAGGCAUAACACUAACACCGGCUCCAAGAUCACAUAAAGCAGUUUUAACAUAGUUUCUUUUAAUGGAGCAUGGUAUAGUUGGUACUCCUGGAUCUCCUAGUUUCUUUGGUAUUCCACCUUAAAAGUGUAAUUAGCAAGCACGGUUGAAAUUUUAGCUUCCGGUAUCUUUCUCUUAUUUGUAACAAUAUCUUUCAUAUAUUUAGCAUAAUGGUUCAUUUUAAGCAUAUCAGACAAACGCAUACAAAAAAAGAUAGGUCUAAUCAUUUCAGCAAAGCGCUCAAAAUCCUCAUCAUCCUUUUUCUUGGAUGGUUUGGGAGGAAAAGGCAUGGGUUUCUGUACCCAUGUUUCUAUUUCUUUACCAUGCUUCCUAGCAAUGAAGUCUCUCUUAUCAUAACGUUGAUUCUUUGAUUGUGGGUUAUCAAGAUCAACAGUAAGUUCAAUUUCUACAUCAUUAUUAUUGCUAGGUUGAGCAUCAACAUGAACAUCAUCAUUAAUAUUAUCACUAGGUUCGUGUUCAUCACCAGAUUGUGUUUCAGCAUCUGAAAUAGAAAUAUCAUUGGGAUUCUCAGGUGUGUCAACAACAGGUUCACUAGAAGCAUGCAAAGUCCUAUAUUUUUUUUCUUCCUCUUAGAAGGACUAGGUGCAUCUACAUUAGUUCUCUGAGAAUCUUGCUCAAUUCUCUUAGGGUGGCCCUCAGGAUACAAAGGUUCCUGAGUCAUUUUACCCCCUCUAGUCAUAACUCUAACAGCAUUAUCAUUUUUCCUACUAUUUAAUUCAUUGAGCAAAUCAUUUUGAGCUUUAAGUACUUGUUCAACUUGACUGGUAACCAUAGAAGCAUGUUUACUAAUGAGUUUAAGUUCACCUUUAACUCUAGACAUAUAAUCACUCAAGUGUUCAAUCAUAUAAGCAUUGCGUUUUCAUUGUCUACCAAAUAUGCAUUGAAAUCUUCUUGCUUAACCAUAAAAUUAUCAAAUUCAUCUAAGCAUUGUCUAGCAAACUUAGUAGGCGGGAUUUCAGCUUUAUCAUAUCUAUAGAGAGAAUUUACCUUUACUACCUGUGUCGGGUUAUCAAGACCAUGUGUUUCUUCAAUAGGUGGUAGAUUAAGGCCAUGUAUUUCUUCAAUAGCUGGUAAGUUAAGGCCAUGUAUUUCUUCAAUAGGACGUAAAUUCUUAACAUAUUCAGCUUUAAUACCUUUUUCUUUCAUAGAUUUCUUUGCCUCUUGCAUAUCUUCAGGACUGAGAAAUAGAAUACCCCUUUUCUUCGGAGUUGGCUUAGGAUUUAGUUCGGGAAGUGUCCAAUUAUUUUCAUUAGUCAACAUAUUAUUCAAUAGAAUUUCAGCUUCAUCAAUAGUUCUUUCCCUGAAAACACAACCAGCACAACUAUCCAGGUGGUCUCUAGAAGCGUCGGUUAGUCCAUUAUAAAAGAUAUCAAGUAUUUCAUUUUUCUUGAGAGGAUGAUCAGGCAAAGCAUUAAGUAAUUGGAGAAGCCUCCCCCAAGCUUGUGGGAGCCUCUCUUCUUCAAUUUGCACAAAAUUAUAUAUAUCCCUUAAAGCAGCUUGUUUCUUAUGAGCAGGGAAAUAUUUAGCAGAGAAGUAAUAAAUCAUAUCCUGGGGACUACGCACACAACCAGGAUCAAGAGAAUUAAACCAUGUCUUAGCAUCACCCUUUAAUGAGAACGGAAAUAAUUUAAGGAUAUAAUAGUAGCGAGUUUUCUCAUCAUUAGUGAAUAGGGUAGCUAUAUCAUUUAAUUUGGUAAGAUGUGCCACAACAGUUUCAGAUUCAGAGGCAUAGAAAGGAUCAGAUUCAACCAGAGUAAUUAUCUCAGGAUCGAGAGAGAAAUCAUAAUCCUUAUCAGUAACAAAGAUAGGUGAAGUAGCAAAAGCAGGGUCAUAUUUCAUUCUAGCAUUCAAAGAUUUUUCUUUCAGCUUAUCUAAUAAUUUCUUAAGAUCACUUCUAUCAUUGCAGGCAAGAAAAUCUCUAGCAGUUUCUUCAUCCAUAACAUAACCCUCAGGCACAACAGGCAAUUCAUAUCUAGGGGGCAAUCUUCAUCAUCACUUUCAUCAAUAUUGUUAGUUUCAAUAAUUUCAUUCUCUCUAGCCCUAGCAAGUUGUUCAUCCAAAAAUUCACCUAGUGGCACAAUAGUAUCAAGCAUAGAAGUAGUUUCAUCAUAAGUAUCAUGCAUAGCAGAAGUGGCAUCAUCAAUAACAUGCGACGUAUCAGAUUUAAGAGCAGAAGCAGGUUUAGGUGUCGCAAGUUUACUCAAAACAGAAGGAGAAUCAAGUGCAGAGCUAGCUGGCAGUUCCUUACCUCCCCUCGUAGUUGAGGGAUAAAUUUUGGUUUUCUCGUCUUUCAGGUUCCUCCUAGUGAUCAGCAGAUAUAAAUCCCAAGUGACUCAAAUAAUAGAGCUAUGCUCCCCGGCAACGGCGCCAGAAAAUAGUCUUGAUAACCCACAAGUAUAGGGGAUCGCAACAGUUUUCGAGGGUAGAGUAUUCAACCCAAAUUUAUUGAUUCGACACAAGGGGAGCCAAAGAAUAUUCUCAAGUAUUAGCAGCUGAGUUGUCAAUUUAACCACACCUGGAUAACUUAAUAUCUGGAGCAAAGUGUUUAGUAGCAAAGUAGUACGGAAGUAACGGUAACGGUGGCAAAAGUAAUAGUAGCAGUAUUGUAGUGAUUGUAACAGUGGCAACGGUAAAGUAACUAAGCAAGGAGCAACAUGUAAAAAGCUCGUAGGCAUUGGAUCGGUGAUGGAUAAUUAUGUCGGAUGCGAAUAUUCAUUUAACCGUUAUAACAUAGGGUGACACGGAACUAGCUCCAGUUCAUCAAUGUAAUGUAGGCAUGUAUUCCGAAUAUAGUCAUACGUGCUUAUGGAAAAGAACUUGCAUGACAUCUUUUGUCCUACCCUCCCGUGGCAGCGGGGUCCUAUUGGAAACUAAGGGAUAUUAAGGCCUCCUUUUAAUAGAGUACCGGACCAAAGAAUUAACACUUAGUGAAUACAUGAACUCCUCAAACUACGGUCAUCAACGGGAGUGGUCCCGAUUAUUGUCACUUCGGGGUUGCCGGAUCAUAACACAUAGUAGGUGACUAUAGAUUUGAAAGAUAGGAUCAAGAACUCACAUAUAUUCAUGAAAACAUAAUAGGUUCAGAUCUGAAAUCAUGGCACUCGGGCCCUAGUGACAAGCAUUAAGCAUAGCAAAGUCAUAGCAACAUCAAUCUCAGAACAUAGUGGAUAUUAGGGAUCAAACCCAAACAAAACUAACUCGAUUAGAUGAUAAAUCUCAUCCAACCCAUCACCAUCCAGCAAGCCUACGAUGCAAUUACUCACGCAGGGCGGUGAGCAUCAUGAAAUUGGUGAUGGACGAUGGUUGGUGAUGACGAUGGCGACGGAUUCCCCUCUCCGGAGCCCCGAACGGACUCCAGAUCAGCCCUCCCGAGAGACAUUAGGGCUUGGCGGUGGCUCCGUAUCGUAAAACGCGAUGAAUCCUUCUCUCUGUUUCUUUUUCUCCCCGAACGUGAAUAUAUAGAGUUGGAGUUGAGGUCGGUGGAGCACCAGGGGGCCCACGAGGCAGGGGGCACGCCAGGGGGGUAGGUGCCCCCCACCCUCGUGGAUAGGGUCUGGGCCCCCUGGCCUUGAUUCUUUCCCCAGUAUUUUUAAUUAUUUCCAAAAAUAAUCUCCGUGAAGUUUCAGGUCAUUCCGAGAACUUUUAUUUCUGCACAAAAAUAAUACCGUGGCAAUUCUGCUGAAAACAGCGUCGGUCCGGGUUAGUUCCAUUCAAAUCAUGCAAGUUAGAGUCCAAAACAAGGGCAAAAGUGUUUGGAAAAGUAGAUACGACGGAGAUGUUUCAAUUACCCAUACAAUGGUGUUUGGAUAAUAGAUCAAGAAACAUUUGACAAUGUGCUUCCAAUGUUCUUGUUGAUAUUCGGAAUACCUCAGUCAUGCUUCGAGGUAGCAUUAACAUGGUGUUCCAAGUAGGGGUUGGAGUUGAAGAUCACAAGAAAUACUCAAGGAACAAUUGCAGGAAUAGCAAGGAGUCCAAGUAUAACCGAGACAUGAUCAAACAUGUGUUGGAAAGAAGACAAGGGGGUUGUCGAUCAUAACUCAAAUCAUCGAAGGUCAAUGAUGGUAUUUCUCAUCACGAAUUCGAUUGAUAUGCUGGAAGAGCUCAGAAUGUUGAUGAGCAUGACACAAUUGUCGAGAGAUUUCAGGAAGAUGUAAUCGAUCAGCGAUGACAUCAAGUCAAAGGAAUGAUGAAGCAAAAAGUUAUUGGAACCACGGGUACAGCACAAACUCGGAACCAAGCUUGUUGUUCAAGGCAAAAUCAUAUGACGAGGAAGAGCGACGUUAGGUUAGCUCAUCGUCGAAAAUUGUGCUCCGGGAAGAAGGUCCGGGUAGCACAGUUAAAAAUUUAGCACGAUAAUGAUAUAGCCGAUCAGGCUAGGAAUGACUUAAAGGAUUAUUAAACCCGUAAGCAACGAAAAUUACUUGGAUUUCUUGAAUCAGAGUGCGGAAUCGAUUCACUUACAGGCAUUCUUGAGUGACUUAUAACUCAGAACCCGGGGAAAUCUGAAAUCGGUGAGAGGCAAUACUAGAUGAAGACUCAUAGGAAGCAACAUAGUUCUUUGUUAUUCUCUAGAUACCAGAGGGUAAUACUCAAAGGAAGAUCAAAAUAGAGGUUGCGGAGAUGCAUUGAUCUGCAGAAGACAAGUGCUUUAACUUGUCCGAGAAAUGGAAUUAAAGGGGAACAAUCAUGGUCAGAACCACGAUCGCAAAGGACCAAACAUAGAUACCAGAUGAACUUCUAAUAAGGGGAUUAUUAUUAUCACAAGAAGCUUCCAUGAUAAUUCCACAUCGGAUCCAUGGGCAUGAACACAAAGUUCAAGGUCGACUCCCACUUCUUCAAUGCAUAACCUUCCAUUCACUUCUCGCUUUCGAUGAAGUUGUAGUGUUGAAAUUAUGUCUGGCGAAACACCAGAAGAGUAUGACUCGUGAAAACUCUUGGGUUCACAUGGACAAGGGAAGGCAUAGGUUCAACCCAUAGGGGCAUCUUAGGAACCUAUUCCACAAACUUCAAGAGUAAAUAACUGAAGCUCGGAAGUAGAGCAUGGUUAGCAUAAAGCAGGGGAUACAAUUUACCAAAGGCAUUAUGUAUCAGGGGAAGGACUCAAGGCUUUGAGAAUAGGCAAGAACAGUCAGACAUUAAUCCACCAAAGGAUAUGGCGGACCACAAAAAAACUGAUGUGAGUAUCGAUGCUCAACCAGAAGAAGAAAUAGUGCAAAGGCAUCGGAUUAUAGAAAUAUCAGGAUAAUUUCAAAACUUAAAUACAAAGGAAUUAUGAUUUCCAAAUCGGGGGAUCAGAAGCAGAGGCUCUGAUCAAAAGAUAAUUGAGUUGAAUCGACAUAGAUCGACGAUCAAUCAAGGUUUGAUUUGCCGAGAACCAGCUCAUGUUUGAAGUGGCGUCUGAGCCAAAAGGACAAAUUUUAUAAGGAUCAACUGAUGAUUGCGUGCAUUCACACACAUGUUGAGUCAAUAGGAUCAGAAAGUCAACCACAACGGAUCUCAAUGGACAUUGCUAGACAUAUGGAAUUAACCAUAAUGCAAGCAGGUAGUGAAGAACAAGAGCAAUAAGCUACUGAGGAUUUUGGAAGAUCGAAUAGUAUUUUGAAGAAUUUUGUGAAACAAAAGAACAACUAGGGAUGAUCGAAUCCUCGAUAAGUGUGAGGAAUUACUCGUACGUGUGUUCAUGUGGAAAGGAGAUGCAAGGCAGUAGCUCAAAGUAUUCUUAAAAAGUCGGAGAAUAAUUUGAUGUAUCUUGUAAUAACAAGAGCAACUUGGAAUGAUUGUAUGGACAGAAAGUGUAUGUAGUUAUCCAUAGGGGUUUAUCGAUCAUAUGGAAUUGCAACGGCGAAGGGCACAAGGGUUUCGGGGAAACAUCGAAGAGUAUCUUCAAAAUCUUCUGGCACAGCAAGCGAUCAUCGGGACUGAUGGGGCUCUCCGGGAGAAAGUAUUUCCGAGAACCUAAAGUUAGACUUUAGUAAAAUCAUUUAACCCAAAUAGAAGAGAGAACAGAAUCCCAGAGUAUAGACGAGGAAUAAAAGAUUCUAAUACCACCCAAUGGCGACGUGGGCCCGUAGCCACACAGCCAAGUUAGUAACACAGUUUUGGAUGACUAGACUCAACUUCGGCCAAGGAGUUGGAAAGGGGGAUCCUAUAGGUAGUCGGCUCUGAUACCAACUUGUGACGCCCCCGAUUCAAUCGUACACUAAUCAUACACGAAAAUGUGUACAAUCAAGAUCAGGGACUCACGGGAAGAUAUCACAACACAACUCUAGAGACAAAUUAAAAUAAUACAAGCUUUAUAUUACAAGCCAGGGGCCUCGAGGGCUCGAAUACAAGAGUCAGCGGAAGCAACAAUAUCUGAGUACAUACAUAAGUUAGACAAGUUUGCCUGAAGAAGGCCAGCACAAAAGCAUCUACGAUCGAAAACGCAAGGCCUCCUCCCUGGGAGCCUCCUAACUACUCCUGGUCGUCGGUGGUCUCCACGUACUAGUAGGCAUCGACGGUGGCAUCUGGCUCCUGGGCUCCGACUUCUGGUUGCAUCAACCAGAAAGAAGAAGAAAGGGGGAAAAGGGGGAGCAAAGCAACCAUGAGUACUCAUCCAAAGUACUCGCAAGCAAGGAUCUACACUACAUAUGCAUCGGUAUCAAUAAAAUGGGAUGUAUCUAUGGACUGGACUGCAGAAUGCUAGAAGAUAAGGGGAAAACCUAGGCUAUCGAAGACUUGCAUCUUCAAGCAGCUCCAAGCAUCUUGCAGUAUUCAGAAGAGUACAGAAUAGCAUAAAGUAAAGUAGUAGUAGUAGUAGUAGUAGUAGUAGUAGUAGUAGUAGUAGUAGUAGUAGUAGUAGUAGUAGUAGUAGUAGUAGUAGUAGUAGUAGUAGUAGUAGUAGUAGUAGUAGUAGUAGUAGUAGUGUUAUCAACCUCGGCCAGAGAUCCUUUCUCGACUCCCUGCGAGAAAGCAAUCCCAGAGCCAUACUAUCCAGUUAUCACCUCAAGUAUCCAGUUCUAGUUGUAUCGAUCGGGAUACAACUCCAAGUGUCCGUUACCGUAGGACAGGCUAUCGAUAGAUGUUUUCCUCCCUGCAGGGGUGCACCAACUUACCCAUCACGCUUGAUUAACUCCGGUUGGACACACUUUUCCUAGGUCUUGCCCGGCCUCGGCCAAACAAUACGCCACAACCCGACCUAGGCUUAAUAGAGAGGUCAGAACGCCGGACUAAACCUAUGAACCCAGGGGUCAUGGGCCAUCGCCCCGGGAACUCCUGCAUGUUGCGAGGGCGGGCGGUGAGUAGACCUAGCUACCUCCUUAAAAAGGCAGGUGCAUACCAGUAACCCGGCGCGCGCCGCUCAGUCACUGACGUCUAUUAAGCUUCGGCUGAUGCAUACGACGCAGAACGCCCAUACUAUGCCCACGUGAUGGUUAGUGCUAUCAGGCCAGAGGCCCCUCGGAUCAAAUAUCCAAACCAUUAGUGUGUUGGUAGUGCAGUCACGAGCAGAGACUCACAAAAGAUGUGACCCCGUCGCCCCAUCUCGAGGUCUUGCGGCAAGGGCUAAUAAUGCCCGGCCACGCCUCGUAUUCAACUCUCGGGUACCCUCCAGGUCAACCCGUCCCCACAUCACUCGCGGGUACCCCUCAGGGUCGACCCGCCUUUCCAAGUAACAGUUGUAAAGUCCAAGUAUCCGUGUGUCCAAACAUCAAGGCGAAAACUCGAGGAAUCACCCUCGGUGAAUUCCACUCGAUGUAAUCAUGAAGUUGAACGUAAGAGGAACCACCCUCGAGGUUCACACUUGAGGGGUUGCACAAUAGAGUCGUAUCGGAAGUGGUUAAGGAGGAAAUCACCCUCGAUGACCACGACCGAAUAGCUACACUACAGAGAUCUCAUCAGGAAUGAUGUAUGAGGUUCCACCCUCGGCACUUGAUGGUAACUCUGUAGAGUCGAGCAACAAAAGGGGCGUGAUGUGAUGUGAGGCUUCGGGCUCUGGUCGUCGAUCACGUUGAUCGAGUCGUCGAUGAUGAAGCAGGGGCAACAAGGACCAAGUGGGGGUCACUGAUGGAUCACUAAACAACCUAUACUAAGCAGUUUAGGAUCAGCAGGUAAGGUACAAUGAGCAGGUUACAAAAGCAGGCUAUGCAUCAGAAUAGGAGCAAACAAUAACAGUAUCAAAAUCUAAUGCAAGCAUGAGAGAAUGGAAUGCGCGAUAUCGGGAUGAUCAAAGGGGGGGCUUUCCUGGAAGCUCUGCUGAAAAGGAAGAAGUGUCGUCGUCGACGUAGUCGAUCACAGGGGAAGCAUCAGCGUCAGUCCCAAAGUCUACCGAAGAGAAGAGGGGGAAGAAAUAGUAAAUACAGAACAAACAGAUGCAUGACAUGGCAAUAAGCAGAGCUAAGGGAGUUCUAACGUAGUACUACACGUUGCAGACGGAGAGGGAUAACAUCCGAAGAGGUUUUCCGGUGUUUGGCAUAUUCCGGACAAAGGAAAACAGGGGAAAAGUUCCAUCUUCAGCAUGCUAGGGGCAUGUGACAGAUGAACGGACCGCAUACUCGGAUUCAUUGGAUUUUUCUAAGCAACUUUCAUGUACAAAGUAUUUUCAUCCGAGUUACUGACUAUUUUAUAUUAAUUUUCAAACUUUAUAAUAUUUUCUGAAUUAUUUCAAUCCAAAAAUUAAAUAUCUAAUUACUUUUGUCACAUGGGGCUGUGCUAACCAGCGUGUAUUACGGGUGGGACCAUGGGUUGGGUUGGCCGGUCAAUAGAAUGUGUGGCCCACAUGUCAUUGCCACAUGCAUUACUAAACCAUCUAACUAAUUUAAUCAAGGGAGGUCCCACAUGCCAUUGACUACUAGCUAUACCUAAUUACUAAUCAGCCAAAAAUAAACUAAACUAAGUGGGCUAGCCUCAUCCAGAGAGCCAGCCGGCCAUGCACAAAGGAAAACGCCAGGGCCAUGCACGGCUUAAACACCACCCGCAGCAGCUAUGGCAGCGGCAUGUAGUAUUGCAGCGUUGUAGGCAGCAGUGGGCAGCGGUAGCAGCAGGUAGCAAGGGGCAGCAGCGCCGGCAGCAAGGAGCGGCAGCAGCACCGUAAGCAGAGCAAUGACAAGGAGAAGGCAGUGGCGGCAGGCGCAGAGGCGCGGCCAUGGGCGACUGGGCGCGCACGGGCAGCAGCCGGCAGCGGCAGCGGACGCGGGUGCGGGUCUAGGGCGCGCGGCUACGCAUAGGCGGGCGCGUCCAGAGGAUACAGGCGAGCGGGCGCAGGGCAAGGUCCGGCCAUGGCGACCACAACGUCACGACCGCGGCUGGGUUUCCAAUACAGCACGCAAACGAGCGGGUUACUCGGAGCAUCGGCUUCGUGAAGCCCUCCAGAGCACGGUAGCAGCAGCAGCUCGACGCGGGGUGGGUUAUAGCGGCAACGGCGAGCAUGGCGGCGGUCACUAGUGCAGAACCGGGCUUUAGCGCCGGUUCGUAAGGGCCUUUAGUGCCGGUUCUGCAACCGGCACUAAAGAGUGGAGACUAAAGCCCCCCCCUUUAGUACCGGUUCAUCACGAACCGGUGCUAAAGUGCCACCACGUGGCACGAGGCAGGCCCGGGUGCGUGCAGGACAUUAGUACCGGUUGGUAACACCAACCGGUACGAAAUGUUUGGGUGUGUUUUGGUAUUAUUUUUUAUUUUUCCUUUAAUUUUGUGUUUUCAAUUUAAUUUAGUGAUUAUUUUAGUUGUUAAAUCAUUAGGUGAAAGUACCGCAGAUUAGUUUCGACUGGAUGCAUGUGGAUCCUAGCUAAGUGAUCAAGUAUAUGCCAUAUCCAUAUUAUACUUGAUCACCUAUAAUUAAUUGAUCAAGUAUAAUAUGGAUAUGGCAUAUACUUGAUCACUUAGCUACGAUCCAUCCAGCUGAAACUAAUCUGCGGUUUCUUUUAUAAAUGAUAUAAUAACUCAUCAUCAUCAUCAUCAUCAUCAUCAUCAUAUUAAUACAAAAACUCUUGCAUCAUAUCAUCAACAACAGUAAAUUAGCUAGCUAAAAAUCAACAUAGUCGUCAUUACCACUGUUUAAUCAUCAUAGUCAUUACCGCUAUCUAAUCAGCACCAACACUAGCUUAAAGAAAAAACAUUCACUUGUACCAGAAGCAAAGAUAUCAUCCAGGUCAACAUGGUCAUCAUAUUAUAAGCGUUCAUAACACCACAAAAGCAAAUCAUCCUUUGAGGAUAAGUUCAGGACGAAGAACACGGACAUGAGAGGACAAAAGUACUAAGAGCAUGAACUAGCUAAAUCACUGCUGCUGCUCUCUCUCGGGUAAAAUAGCAUAGAACAUGUAUAGCUCUCCUGAUUCAUCAUACUAGAGCAUGCAGAUGAACCUGUCUCCUAAUCGUGGGCUGCGCUUCUCAUUGCUGCCCCCUAGUACUUCUCUGGGAUCGUUAACAUUUUGCUCCAAUCUUUCACUAUUAAGCACUCAUCGCUUUUAGAAAUCCUGAAUGCACUCAUGUGCAAUGUAGGAUAUCUUGGCCGUAAGCUAACCAUUGACAUGUGACCUUUAGUCUCGAUCCACUGAGGCACAACUAUCAUCGGGAGUCCCUGUUGAAGAACACCGUAUAGUAAUUAAUAUACUUAGCAAUGAAAGUUUAGCAAAAAAAAUAAUGUAUGCAAAAGAUGCACUGAGGACAAAUAGUAAAAAUCUUACCAUCUUUUGUAAAUAGAUGUGACCGUAGUUCAAUACGAUCACUAUUGGUUGCACGUUUUGAGUACUAACAUUUCUAAGUGCAGGAAGAAAAUCUGUCUUAACAGUAUGAAGAUCCUCAAGCCAUGAAACAUAAUGACUUAUCUCCUCGCAGUAUAGUUCAGCUUCGGGACAGUAGUAGGUCCUGUCUACCAAGCGCCGGACAUGUUUGCUUGAAUGGAAAUAAGCUGUCAAUAGAAAUUAGUUGUCAACCAUUUUUGAAUAAAUAAUAUCAAAGACAUAAAUAUGGUUGAGAAACUCACAUAAUGGUAGAACUGGAGGCGUCUGCACAUCGACCCAGAUGUCUCUAUUACCUUCAAUAUCAUCUUCCGGACGAAUAUCAAAGGUGAUAACCAUAUCAGGCUCAAAUGCAUAUGCCUUGCAUAGUGCUUGCCAAGUUUUGCAUUCAAAAUAGGUGUACGUGUCUGCAUUGUAUAAUUUGACGUUGAAAGUAUAACCAUGCUCGGUCUUCAGGUAAACUCUCUUUACCACCAUAGUUUCCAUAGCACUGAAACCUAUCUUAUCCAAGACAAAAAUUCUUGCAUGGCAGGGGAUGCGCUAGUAGAAUAGUGAAAAUUUAAAAACAGCAAAUAAUGUCAGAACAUGUUGGAAAUUGAUGACGUCGCUUUGAAUGAUGCAUACUGAACGCAAAAAUAGGCUGGAGUUCAAAUAAGUUUAAAAAACAUUGAAGUGCCCGUGUAACAGAUGAGUUCUCGUCCGAAACCCUGAUACUCCGAAAGAGAUUGUCUAGUUUGUACACGAGGUGCAUCGAGUUUUUGCCGUGACCCUCUCUACUCUUUUGCACAUGCUAUGCGGGUGAAAUGAUGAUACCAUGCCAAGUUCCAACAUUUUCAGAGUUCAUUUUGUAGUGAUUUUCAAUUUCACCGUCUUUUAGCUCUCUAAACAAAUCGGUAAAUGACUGAAAAACAGCAAAUGAUGUCAGAACGUGUUUACAUUGAUGAUGUCGCUUUGAAUGAUGCAUACUGAACAAAAAAUAGGCUGGAGUUCAAAUAAGUUUAAAAAACAUUGAAGUGCCCGUGUAACGGAUGAGUUCUCGUCCGAAACACUGAUACUCCGAAAGAGAUUGUCCAGUUUGUACACGAGGUGCGUCCAGUUUUCGCCGUGACCCUCUCUACUCUUUUGCACAUGCUAUGCGGGUGAAAUGAUGAUACCAUGCCAAGUUCCAACAUUUUCAGAGUUCAUUUUGUAGUGAUUUUCAAUUUCACCGUCAUUUAGCUCUCUAAACAAAUCCAUAAAUGACUGGAAAACAGCAAAUGAUGUGAGAACGUGCUGGAAAUUGAUGACGUCGCUUUGAAUGAUGCAUACUGAACGCAAAAAUAUGCUGGAGUUCAAAAAAGUUUGAAAAACAUUCAACUGCCCGUGUAACAGAUGAGUUCUCGUCCGAAACCCUGAUACUCCGAAAGAGAUUGUCCUGUUUGUACACAAGGUGCGUCCAGUUUUCGCCGUGACCCUCUCUACUCUUUUGCACAUGCUAUGCGGGUGAAAUGAUGAUACCAUGCCAAGUUCCAACAUUUUCAGAGUUCAUUUUGUAGUUAUUUUCGAUUUCACCGUCAUUUAGCUCUCUAAACAAAUCGGUAAAUGACUGGAAAACCGCAAAUGAUGUCAGAACGUGUUGGAAAUUGACGACGUCGCUUUGAAUGAUGCACAGUGAAGGCAAAAAUAGGCUGGUGUUCAAAAAAGUUUAAAAAACAUUGAAGUGCCCGUGUAACAGAUGAGUUCUCNNNNNNNNNNNNNNNNNNNNNNNNNNNNNNNNNNNNNNNNNNNNNNNNNNNNNNNNNNNNNNNNNNNNNNNNNNNNNNNNNNNNNNNNNNNNNNNNNNNNNNNNNNNNNNNNNNNNNNNNNNNNNNNNNNNNNNNNNNNNNNNNNNNNNNNNNNNNNNNNNNNNNNNNNNNNNNNNNNNNNNNNNNNNNNNNNNNNNNNNNNNNNNNNNNNNNNNNNNNNNNNNNNNNNNNNNNNNNNNNNNNNNNNNNNNNNNNNNNNNNNNNNNNNNNNNNNNNNNNNNNNNNNNNNNNNNNNNNNNNNNNNNNNNNNNNNNNNNNNNNNNNNNNNNNNNNNNNNNNNNNNNNNNNNNNNNNNNNNNNNNNNNNNNNNNNNNNNNNNNNNNNNNNNNNNNNNNNNNNNNNNNNNNNNNNNNNNNNNNNNNNNNNNNNNNNNNNNNNNNNNNNNNNNNNNNNNNNNNNNNNNNNNNNNNNNNNNNNNNNNNNNNNNNNNNNNNNNNNNNNNNNNNNNNNNNNNNNNNNNNNNNNNNNNNNNNNNNNNNNNNNNNNNNNNNNNNNNNNNNNNNNNNNNNNNNNNNNNNNNNNNNNNNNNNNNNNNNNNNNNNNNNUUAGAAAUUGAUGACGUCGCUUUGAAUGAUGCAUACUGAAUGCAAAAAUAGGCUAGAGUUCAAAUAAGUUUAAGAACAUUGAAGUGCCCGUGUAACAGAUGAGUUCUCGUCCGAAACCCUGAUACUCCAAAAGAGAUUGUCCAGUUUGUACAUGAGGUGCGUCCAGUUUUCGCCGUGACCCUCUCUACUCUUUCGCACAUGUUAUACGGGUGAAAUGAUGAUACCAUGCCAAGUUCCAACAUUUUCAGAGUUCAUUUUGUAGUGAUUUUCAAUUUCACCAUCAUUUAGCUCUCUAAACAAAUCGGUAAAUGACUGAAAGACAGCAAAUGAUGUCAGAACGUGUUGGAAAUUGAUGACGUCGCUUUGAAUGACGCAUACUGAACGCAAAAAUAGGCUGGAGUUCAAAUAAGUUUAAAAAACAUUGAUUAUCAUAAAAAAUACAUUGAUUAUCAUUGAUCUUUUUGUGUACAAUCUGAAUUGUCAAUAUGAGUCCUCAACGGUUUAGAAACUGGUGCAGACUCAUAUUGCGACCACAUAGAGUUCAAUAAAGACCAAGUGCUUAGGACUAAAAACAGCCUGCCACAACCUCUUUACUACCGGUUCGUGCCACGAACCGGUACUAAAGGUGCUGGCCGGGCCCCAUUCUCUUUAGUACCAGUUCGUGGCAUGAACCGGUACUAAAGGUUCGCCCCGAACUGGUACUAAAGAUCUCCUCCCGCCUAGCCGUUUGAACCGGCAAUAAUGGACACAUUAGUGCUGGCUCAAAUGCAAACCGGCACUAAUGUGUCUCACAUUUGACCCUUUUUCUACAAGUGGGUGCAGAGAUGCGGCCGGCGAAAACUACAACUACGGCAUCGAGAUAGCAUGAAAAGGAGAGGGGGAAGACGUGGAGCUCACCAAGGGAGCUCAAGGAGGCUCUUCGAGGAGUUUAGAAUCCGUAGAGGCGUCAAUUCCGGCGAUGGUGUCGCGGUGGCCGAAGGUGGAAAACGCUGUCGAUCCGGCGAUGCGGUGCCCCCGGGCUUGAUCUCGUGGACUAGGAAGACGAAGAAGACGAUGGCGGAGCUGCUGGACACCUUGGCGGGGCACGGGGACGACGGUGGCUUCGUGAUCGACGAGGGCGCGACGUCGACUACGCUUGGUGCGUAUGUGGGAGAUAGAAGCGGCGCGAGGAAGGGGGAGUGGGGUAGGGUUUUCGGGGGAGUGCGGGGCGAUGCUCUUAACCUCCACGGAGGGCCGCGGGAUGCCCAGCACGUGGUCGUUGGCCAUGGUGGAUGGCCUCCACGCCCUCUGCCUCCACUGUACCGGAGGUAGGAGGAGAGGUGGAGCUGGCUGCCCUUUCCCUUUUUUAUAUUAAAUGAUUUUCUGUUUUUGUUUUACAGAAUUUGUUUGCAACAUUUUGAGCUGCCAAUUGCUCUUUGUAAAAUGUGGAACUUGGCCAAAUAAAUACAUUACAAUAUUUACCAGUGCCACAAAAAGUUUGGGAGGAGUUUGAAUUGAUUUGGAUUUUCACAACUGGAAAAGCAUUUAAAAUGUUGAUUUGGAACUGCUUUAAUUUCUAGGGGAAAUUAAAUAUCUCAAAUGAUGUUGGAUCAUUCAUGACAGUUAGUUAGUGAAUAUUUGCAACCCGGCGAACAUUUUUGUUUUACUGCUUGGAGAAAUAAUUUAUUUGACGUCAUUUUAAAUUUGAAUUUGACUUUGAAUCUAUCGAGGAGCAGUUUGGCUUAGACAAACUUGAUGACAUGGCACCAUUAGUGGGAUAUUACUGUAGCAUGAUUCUCGGGGUGUUAUAGAGCUUGACCUUUACCCUUGACUGUCGCAUAACACCACAAAUAUUUAACAACUCGGUAUCCGCGAUACCACGGUGAUCCUCUCACGAUCACAUAAAAAUCAAUCAACUUCGGUAUCCAUGAUACCUCCGUGAUCAUCUCAUGAUCACAACCAAUCUCUUUCUCAUCCUCGAACCAAGGUUUUUAUUAAGCACAUUAUUAUUACUGUUGACCCAUAGUGUGACCGACUACGAACUGGGCCCUUAUCAGCGGGCGCGGCUAUCGAUAGACUUAACACACAUUCUGCAGAGGUUAGUACACUGUACCCACACCACAGCCCAUGGCCUCACGCUCCCAUUCGGGUGGCCCAACGGCAUUCCGACAAAACUGAUCUACUUCCCAUGACACUCUCCCGGCCACUCCGACCAACUCCCUUCUGGCCUAAGUCAUGGGUGGCCCCGAUGUCUACCAAAGACAUCCAACGGCCACCGUCGUGGCAAACCAAAUCAACGGUCCCAAAUGAGGACAAGGUAUACUAAUCGCAACAACGGGCACACAAGGCUUAUGUCCGCCUACCAGAUCAGGGUAGCGCGCGGCCAUAACCUUCCCUCGUUGGAGGCACCGGCGAGAGGCAUGACAAUAUACCCAGUUAGGACCUUCCCAUAAAAGGCAAAUGUGGUUGCACUAGUCAGUUUGAUUUGGUGGCACCAUGACUCAGCCAACAGUUGUUCAAGUUCAUUAUUAUCCAGUUAAACUUGAAUGCAAUAAGCUAAGCCAUAAAAAUAACAUGAUGCAACUAUAAUGCAUGAGCAUGAUAUCAACAUAAGCAUGGAGGUGCAACCCAAUCAUCGAGCAUAACAAUAAUGAAUUAUAUAUCCAAAUGAGCAUGGCAUACUGACGAGCAUGAAUAGCACGAGUAUAACACUACUCAUAGCAUAACAUGACCAAAAGCAUCAACAAUAAAUGCCAAGCAAGAACAUAUCAAUAAUACUACCAAGUAAGCAUGUACCCAACGAGAUGCAACGGAUCAUGCAUAACAACGGUACUAGAUAGCAGACCAUAAGCAUGCACCAGAACGAACAUCACUACUACCAGCAUGUACUACUGCUACCAAGCAUGACAUAUGAACAUGAUACUAGCAAGUAGCACAAGAUAACAAGAUGCAUCAUAAUAUAGCAUGAAGGUGAACAUGAAACCACGAGCAUAACCGAAACAAUGACAGUAGUAGCAAACAAGCAGACACAUAACGGGCAAACUUUUGUUAAAUAUUCAAGUAGAAAUGAUGGCUAUUGCAUGUCUAUCAUGCAAGUGGCUGUUGUGGCUUUCCCGGCGGUGACGGAGACUCUGGGAAGAAGUGUGGUGAAGCUGCAGAACGAAAUGCCGGACGGUUCUCCCUCGGAGGGGGCCGAUUAAAGGCAAGGGCAAAAUGGUCAUUUUCACCAUGGGACCACCUACUGAACAUGUCACCAAUGGAAAGAGCUCGACGAGAUGAAGAAGUGAGCGUUGGUUUCACCUCAAUCGGAUUCACGGGUGCGGAGUUAUGAGGUGAUGAAGAUCAGGGACUAAUCUGUCAAUAUUUUCAUCACCAACAAGUCCCUGGGAGGAAAAACAGAACGCGGCUUUUAGUGAAAUACGCUUUCGGAACAUGAACGCUUAGUUUAAACCGAAGAAGAACGAGAAUACGUUUUCACUAGCAGAAAACGCACUAUCCAUAGUACGCUUCCACUUAACGCACCUGGGCCCGCUGGGUGUCGCUGGCACGUGGGGUCUAGGCGCAGGGGGAGGGGCCACAGGCGCUCGUCUCCUUCCUCCCGCUCGCCCUGUUCCUAGGGUGAACAGAGGAGGAGCAGGGGAGGAAGCGGCCAAGGGGCAGGCCGGCUCCGGCGAUCCCCGGCCGAGACAAGGGCACCGGCGGGUGUGGGGCGAGGAGGGGAUUCCGUCCAGAGGACUAGCGGACGCCGGGGAGAGGUGGAGAGGCGGGGAGGGGCGGCGCCAGAGGAGGACAGGGGCGGCGGUGGUGGUGAUGGUCUCUGGCGAUGCGGGCACUCCGGCGAGGGGGCAAGGGGGUGGGGCGGCUGAGUGGGACGAGGGGGACUCGGUGGACAUGGAGGGGAGGCGAGAGGAAGCUUGAGGUGGCCGGAAUCAAGCCGAGGCCGAGACAGCCAUGGAGGAUGACGGCGAACAGAGGAGGAGAGGGUCUGCUCUGGUGGUUUAGGGGUGGCCAGAGGAGUGCGGGGAGCUGCGGAGGACUCGGGCACGCCUUAAAUAGUCAGCGGGGAGGUCUCUGUAGCGUCACGGGCGAGCUCACGCCAAGCUCUAAUGGAGGAGAUCAGCUCGUAGUGGCACGGGCAUGGAGUUUGCGACGCAUUUAUGGCCAAACAGGAGGGGGCCUGGGCACGGGGUGAUGAAGUCGAUCACGGGGAAGCUCCAGGACAUGGUUUGAGGUCGAGACGACGAGGGAGACGAUAGGAACAGUGGUCGGAACAAGCGAGAGCACGCAUUUAGCCAUGACGCAAACGUGAUCACCACGGGCACGGGUGCAAGAGGUGCGUUCUGGCCAGGCUGACCAUGCCUAGUGGAAUGACCUUAGUGCUCUGAGUAUAGAUUAAGAAAGAAUUCGGUCUACGGGCAAAGAAGAGAUUGACACCUAGCUCCAGAACAUUUCAACACCAUGGUGUUUGAUGCAUGCUGUGGUUCACAUGUGUGGAUAUAGAAUCGGAUCUUUGGCACAGCACGAUCAACCACUAAGAUGAUGUUGAUUACAAAAAAUCAGCUUAAUAGGAGAUGUUUAGAGGAUACUUGCUGUAGAAACCACCAUAAUGGCCAGAAUUAGAGAUGACGAAGUUGCACUCACAUGAAGAGGCAAGUUGAGCUGAAAUUGGGCAUGGCCCAAUUAUUUGAAUAUAUGAAGAUGCCCAAAAAAUUUCAUGCCAUUUGGACGAACCAAACUAGCACUUGCUUCACAUAGCAUCUCUGUGGACAGAAACUUGAAAAAAUUGCACAGGGCAAAUGGAUUGAUGAAAUGAGCCAAAAACACGGUGGAGGGAGUUGAUAUGGAGAGGCGAAUGUCCUGGUGAACUUUCACCUCAAAUGAAGCAAUAUAAAAUAUGGUUUCUUCACAAACUGAAAAUCUGACCAGAAACUAAGAUUUGGAGCUCUGCUCACAUAGGUAAGUUACAUGAGCUCAAAUUUUGUGGAGAGUCAUUAUUUGACCAUAUGAAGAACCUUGGAAAAUUUCAACACAUUUGGAUAUGCCUAGCUUGUACUUCCUUCACACACGCUUCCCUUAGACAGGAACUUUGAAAAAUUGCUCAGGAAUAUUUGCUAGGCAAAUUGAGUUGAAUUUUGGCAUGGGCCAAUUAUAUGGACAGGAAAAGAUGUCCAAAAAUUUUGGUGUCAAUCAAGCAAAGAUAAAUGACAGUUCCUUCUCAAACCACCACUUAGGGCAGAAUCAGAAAAGGAAUUUUUGUGAAUUAUCUUUGAUGAUGACAAGGAAGGAUUUUGACAUAUUUGAGGAAGAUAUGACCCAAAUAAUUUAUGAGAAUUAUUUGGGAAUUUUGGGAGUGAAAGAAAUAUAGGUUGCUUCACAACCUAGGGUUUAAAGGGUUAUUCCUUUAAUAGAAAAGGAAUAUUGGGAUUAGGUCAAGGAGGAAAAUGACAUGAUCUUGGGAUGAUGAUGAGGAUGACAAGCCACUAUAAAACCUAGGAAGACAUGAUCUUCCCAAGUUUCAGAACCACAUAGCCACGGAAGAGCAAAUCAAAUCAAGAAAUCCAAGAAAAUCAGGGAUAAAUAAAUCUUCUGACUUGAAGAAACCGUUGUUAAUCGGGUUUCUUUUUAUUCAUUCUCAUAUAAUGUUCCCACUGAAUUGCAUCUUACUGACUGCCUUGGUCUGGGGUGGUUUUCUUCACCGUAUCUCACAUUCUGACAGGACUUACCUCAUAUUUUCCUGUUCAUACCGACUCAAUUUUUUUCCUUCAUGUUUGUUGGCUUAGCUGGGGUCUGAAAGAUUAUCAUUACUAACAUACGUGUCCUUCUCGAUAUUGGUCCUUGUUGGAGAUGUUAUUCUCGUAUUGAGUACCGAGGAUAUUCCACGGAGUUGGGAACACACACUACAAAGAAAAUGCAAUUCCGUGAUGAUACAUGUUUGUCACAGUAUGUCACGUUUUCUGUCAUGCAUGUACAUCCAUGACGAUUUUAUGACAGAAUCAAGAUAGUCAUACAUGUGCCAUCGUAGAAGUGUUCCAUGACAUUACCAAAAUUAUCAUCAUGGAAGUGUCCAAUUCUAUGACGAUAAGUCAUGCGUCAUAGAAUUGCUUUCGUCAAGGGUAACCGACACGUGGCAUCCACCGUAAUGGGUCGCCGUUAAGCUAUCGGGUUCCGGUUUGGAUCCGAUAACCCGUUAACAGCCCGGACCAAUGGGGAUUUUCCACGUGUAAAAUUCUCAAUGGCCAGAGGAACCACGUGUCGCCUCACCGUUGGGACAGAUGUCAUCGACUCAUUAGACCGAAGGAGCCUAUGAUACGUCGACAUGUGGAACGGCCUUGCAGAGGCCCAUUCCGGUGAAAAGGCCGGCCCGUUUGACUUGGUUAAAAGGUAGCGGGCUGGCCCACAGAAAGCCUGUUAAUGGCAUGUUCGCAUAUAGCCCAUUUACAGCUCGCUAGGUUACGGCCCGUUAUAGCUUAUCCGAAUUAGGCCCAGUAGCGUCAUUUGGGCAGUCCAGUAUGAUUCCAGCCCGUUGUAACUUCUGACCCAUGUAUGGCCCAUUAUGUCUUUCUGCCCAUAUGAGGCCCUUUCUAACUCUUGGCCCAUUAACGACCCGUGGUGAACCUAGCCCAUAAUGAAAAGUGUAUCUCUUUAUACCCAUUAACGGCCCAUUAGUCCGUCAGCCGUUUCCAGCCCGUGUUAACAUUCGACCUUCUAAGGGCCCAUUUAUUCUUGGGCUCAUUUAAAAAAUUCGAUUACUUACGGUCCGUUACUGGCCUGUUCCUCUUGUGGGCCAUAUUCAGCCUGUGGUGACAGUCGGCCUGUUUGUAGCCCGUUAACACGUUGGGCUUUUUUCAUAGCAUCAUCAAUUACGCCCUAUUAACGACCAGUUAUGGUCGGGCCAUAAAACAGACGAUUUCCACUCUAGCCCAUUUACGACCCAUUUUGUGGUCCGUCAUUGGUCCAUGAAUAGUACUGCCCAUAUUUGGCGAAACGAUUAUAUGGACCGUAGAAGGCCCACAGAUGAGACGGCCCGUAGAAGGCCCAUGGAUCCUACGACCCGUCGAAGGCCCAUGGAUCCUACGGCUCGUGGAAGGCCCAUGGAUCGUACAGCCCGUGGAGGGCCAUGGUCACUACAGUAGGUAGCAGGACCAUGGUCACAACAGUCCGUGUGUUGCCAUGGUUAUUGUGGCCUAGUUUAUUGUGGCCACUAUUAAAACGCGGAAAAAGAACUACAGUGACUACAAGCAAACAACUAAGCAAGAUAAUAAGGAAAUAAAUAAGCAAGCAACUAACGCUAGGCUAUAACGGCUAUUACACAUAUUACAUCCACCAGGCAUUAAAGUUCGCCACCAGUGCAAAUAUAGGGAACAAAGCAGCAUAUUACAUACACUGGCUAUCUAAAUUGGCCACCAGUGCAAAUAAACGCGGCAACAAAACAAGUCCAUAACUGAAACAACUUCAGAAGAGCUCAAGAAACGUUAUCUUGGGUAUCCACCAUGCUAGCAACCAGCUUAGCAAUCUUAUUAGCUUUGUCCUGUUUGGCGCUAAAAUCCUCCAAACGCUUGUUGUUGCACCAGAAAGUAUGCAUCUGAAUGCUCCAGGGACUUCCGCAAUCCUUCUGUUUCUUGUCUUUCAGCUUGUAGUUGAGACUCAAGAAACCGAACUGAUUCAGCCAGUGAGUUUGAAUAGCUUGUGCAAGCGGUAGUGGCCAGUAACUCGAACACUAAACCAAGAAAGGACUUUGGGGUUGUCUCACUGUCUUCAAGAUAGUUUUCCUUAGCUGUUUUAUCAGCUUUGUUGGAGACCAACAAGGAUGUCACUAUCCCGAACCUUAUCUGCAUUACUUCCUUUACCAUUGCUUAAUAAGGCACUCUUCCCCAUUAUUCUGUCAGCAUUCUAAAAGAAGAAACAAGCAGACACAUAAUAGGUUUAGCAUGUACUAGUAUAUGAAACUCUUUUGUGGAACCAGUUCAUUAGUAAGGUGGACAUGAUUAAACUACCAAGUCUUCUAUUUGCCAAGUAGUACAUAAUAAAAGCAUCAAACAAACAUAUAUCUAUGUCCUAUGGUCACUGCAUUGUCUUGCCAAAUCAAAAUAGAGACACGGUUCAAAUCAUAUCAGUUCAAGACAAAGCAGCACUGAAAGAAUACAAAGCGUGGGAAACUACACGGCACAACAAGAUUUCAGAUGGGUACCACGGGUCUAUAUGUACAACAACACUAUUGGCUCUGUUGUGAUGCUAGUAAUGUGCACGAUAUGAGAAGUCAACUAUAUACACAAUUGAAAUUGAAAUCAACAGAGUUAUUUAUAAGAGCAAACCUGUGAAAGAAACAUGCGUAAACAUACCUGCUAUGCCAUUGGAGUUUCGAUUGGAUCCUUCAAUUUAAAAAUAAGUUUGUAUCAGUAAAUACAGUGAUACAAGAGCGAAGCAGUAUGCAUGAUAGCAAUGGAAUCUUAAAAGAGAAUAGUUGUUCUUCAGGUUUAAGCACUUGUAAUACAUGAACAGAGUAUAGUAAGACGCAAGAAUAUACUACUUAAAAUAGAAAAUGAGCUCAUAGACCUUACCACAUUCUUGGUUCGGGACCAUUACAGAACAAGGCGUUCCCAGUCAUCGUCCAGUAAAUGUGUGUUAGGAGAACGUAAGGGAAUUUGAUGAGUUUCUUUGCCAGUGAAGUAUGUUUUCUUCAGGUAAUUCUGAUACUUCCACCAAGCAUUCUUGAAGAUAGCAGAGGUAUUUGCACAGGUUACCUUAUCCUGAGUUUCCAAAUCGGUCCUUCUCUAUAGAGAAAAAUGGGAAAAUUUGUUGUAUUAUAGCCAUCAUGGAGGUAGAAUGUAUUGGACAAAGCAAAGUAAUUGUCAUGAAUAACAUUACUUACACUUAACUCCUAGACAAACACCUGCAACUGGCAUUUUCCUUCAUCUUAAGUAUAAUAUUUCCAUGAUGGGAAGAUACACACAUAGGAUUAACAACAUCAAAUGCGAUAGAUGCUAAACUACGAAUGGCUGGUUGUGCUUCCUCCACAGGAAUAGGUGUACUAACCGGUGGAGUUGGGGUUCACCGUGGUAGUACUGGCGCUUUGGGCACUGGAGCUGCCUUACUAACUGCUCUUGUUUGGGAGCUCUGUGGUGGAGAUGGUGCUGUGUCAACAGGAACUGGGUUACUAUAUGCUGGGGUUGGGGUUAGAUUGGGUGAAGCUGGUUCUCUGUCCAUCGCAGUAGGGGUACAAUCUGCGAGAGUCUGGGUUAUGUGUAGUAGGGCUGGUUCUCGUGCAUUUACAACCGGGGUGCUAUCUCCACCAAGAGGUAGCACUGUUUUAUUUGAAGAUCGUGUUUUUACUCUGCUAGAUACUGCCAUCACCCGCUGCAAUUCAAAUGGUUGAUAAACAUGAAACAUAGUUGAAUGUACAGACAUUAUAUGAGAGACAGAUGCAAUAGAUAGUGUGGAAAAAAGAGGGUAUGAAAUAGUUGGCAUGUAUAUUUUUUAACUAAAAAGGAUAGCAUGACAUAAUUUCACAUAUAUGAUGUCUAUCUAAACUGGAUAGCAUAGCAUAACAUAAUUCAAAGAUAUGAUGACUAAGUAAACAGGAUCGCAUGACAUAAUUCACAUACAUGUUAUCUAAGUAACCAGGAUCGCAUGAUUUAGUUCACAUAUGUGAUUUAUAUGCUAACCAGAGGGCAUUCGCAUAUAUGAUGUCUGAACUAAGAACAUGGUGUUGAAUAUUGUCUAUAUGAUGUCUAAACUAUGCAAUGCAGGACACCAUAUGCAUGAUAUGAGCAGUAUAACCAUGCCAAGUUAGAGCAUACACCUCGGUGGGGGAAUAGGACUGGUCAUCUAUCUCUGAAUCCAUCUCUGAGGAGCUAUCGGGGCCCAGCAAGAGAUCUGCUUCGACAGGUAGCACUGUUUGCUCUGAAGGCCUUGUUUUCACUCCUGAUUUUUCCAUCACCCACUCAAAUGGCUGUUUCACAGGAAGAGUAGUUUAAUGUACAAACAUUGUCGACAAAUGGAAAUGUAAUGAAGAAAAGGAUGGGCAAGAUAUCAUUCAAAUAUAUGAUGCCUGGUUAAACAGGAUGGCAUUACACAUUUCACAUAUAUUAUGGCUUGCUAAAAGACAUGAGACUGCAUAAUUCCCAUAUAUGAUAUAGAAACUAAGCAGGUGGCAUGACAGAACAUGUCUAAACUAAGCAGAUGACAUAUAUGAUGUCGAAAGUAGGCACUGCAAGGCAACAUAUGCAUGAUAUGACUAACAUCAUCAUGCCAAGUUAGAGCAAACACCUUGGGGGGGGGUUAAUAGGAGUGGUCAGCUGCGUCUGAAUCCACCUCAGAACAAAUAUCUUCCUCUGAAAUACAAUAUGGAGAGGGGAGGUUUGCCAUUGAACCCACCAUGGAGCGAUGUCUGCAUGACAUUGUAUUGCCGCCCAAAACUCUUCUCUUUUUCUCUACAUGUUCAGCAUGACUGUGUACAAUAUCUGACAUGCAUACGAAAAAAUUAUGGUGAGAUUAUGUAAGGAGAGCAUGCAGAAAUCUAGAGUGAUGGUAACAACCAGUGGAUGGAUCCAAAAAUAAUGAUAGCAGGCUGAUGAUUGCUUUAAUUUAAUAAAAAUACAUAUGAUGAUUGCUUUACUAUUUGUUUCCCACCCAAGAUGAACAAGAUAGGCAUACCCUAGGUGAACCAGAUAUUAGACAGAGAUACUACUCAGCUGCCUCGAUAUGUGCCCCACAACUAAUUUAGAACUCAAGUUUGAACAUUAAUUUGGACCUGACUUGGAGUCUAAGAGGUGAACAUGACGAUAAAGUAGCAGGUAAUAUUAAGCAAUGCAUAACAUAAGCAGAAACAAAAGAGUGCGACCUCUCUUGUGGCCCUGCGUACUCCUCAGGUUCAUUUACUGUGUCGAUGAUGGUGAUGCCAUUGUGGUGGGUGCCGGCGGCAGGGAAGGAGAUCUGAGGUGGCGAAAGACGGUCAGGAGUCGUGAUGUCUAAUUUGGUGGAUGCUUUUGUCGAUGGAGCAGUUCAGGUGAGGUGGACGACGUCACGGGAGGAGCAGGACAAACCACACAAAGUUUUCUUCGACACCUACCUAUAACUGAAGUAAGUCUGUAAGGGCUCCUUUGGCUUGCAUGAUUCUAAAAAUGCAAGGAUAGGAAAAACACCGGAAUAGGAUAGGAAUGCACAUGGGAAACAGAGCCUUUGUAAACACAGGAUUUCUGUCAACUUGGGUGUUUGGUUCAUAGGAAUUGGAAGAGCAGAGGAAUGCAAAGAAACAUGGCCAAAUUUAAGUGAAACCAUAUGAAAGUGUGUACAGUUAGAAUGUUAUUCUGCCACUAAUCCACUUGGUCUUGUUUUCAUGCAUAGGAUUUUGAAAAGUAGGUCCAGAUGGAUGUUUUGCUCCAUUGCUUUCAGCAAAAUGCAUGAAUAAUUGAAUAGUAGAGUGCCAUAGGAAAAUUUCCUAUUGCUAUGUUUUUCCGUUGAACCAAAAUAGCCCUAAUGGAUCGACAUGAAUGUAAAGUAAUAUGUGAUGCGACAAGUGUACAACCUCUUUGCUGUAGCCGUGUCGACCUCAGCAUCAUUGGGUUGGUUGCUGAAGAAGUUGAGGCAGAGGUGGCUGUCGGAGGUGUGGAGGAAGAUCUGAGGAAUCUGUAGACGGCGUCUAGGGCACUGCUCUGUUGUGAUGGAUGGUUCCAUUGUUGGAGCAGCUUCGGCGAGCCAUAAGACGUCAAGGCUGAAGCAGCACAAGACAGACAUCGUUAAUCUCAACUAGGAUUCUAAUAGCAUCUUCAAUAGAUGAUGUAAAACACAUUACCCAAAAGUGAUAGAUGUAAAAUUUACAUCACCAAAAACCACCUGACUACAACAGAUGAGGUAAAUAAAAUUUACUGUGAAAUCUGAAUGUUACUGUCGAAAGUGAACGCAAUGGUAGCAGAGAGGCACUUCACAUAUAGUUUAGGGAGGGCAUUUAGUUCAUCUUCAACCUGCACCCCCCUGAGCCGCUAGCCACCACCAGGUGAACCGCCGGCACCCGCCGCCCGCGGCGCUCCCGUGCCGCCUCGCCGCCCCGAAACCACUCCCCACCGCCCCGGCGAACUCUCUAGCCCCCCCCCCGCGCACCGAGCUUUUUCUCCGGCGGUCCCCACGCCACCGCCCCACCACAGCGCCCCACCGCCUGCGACCACCGCCCCCACCCUGAACCCUAAGAUAGAUAGUGGGGUACCUCUCNNNNNNNNNNNNNNNNNNNNNNNNNNNNNNNNNNNNNNNNNNNNNNNNNNNNNNNNNNNNNNNNNNNNNNNNNNNNNNNNNNNNNNNNNNNNNNNNNNNNNNNNNNNNNNNNNNNNNNNNNNNNNNNNNNNNNNNNNNNNNNNNNNNNNNNNNNNNNNNNNNNNNNNNNNNNNNNNNNNNNNNNNNNNNNNNNNNNNNNNNNNNNNNNNNNNNNNNNNNNNNNNNNNNNNNNNNNNNNNNNNNNNNNNNNNNNNNNNNNNNNNNNNNNNNNNNNNNNNNNNNNNNNNNNNNNNNNNNNNNNNNNNNNNNNNNNNNNNNNNNNNNNNNNNNNNNNNNNNNNNNNNNNNNNNNNNNNNNNNNNNNNNNNNNNNNNNNNNNNNGGUACCUCUCCGGCGAGCCCCCCUCCCUGCUGCGGGUGGUUCUUCCUUAACUCCGGCGAGCCCCCACCCCUUGAAAAUCAACUGACGCAAGAGUCGAUUUAGUCGACUGAAGUGUAGAUAAAUUGGAGCGGAGCAGCAGCACGAGAGAGGGGGGAGAGCGGUAGCAGCAGUGCGAGCGAGCAAGAGCCGGAGCAGAAGUAGCAGCAGCAGCGCGAGCGAGCAAGCGAGCGAGAGCCGGAGCAGCAGCAGCACGAGAGAGCGACAGCCAGAGCAGCAGCAGUCGUGCGAGCGAGCGAGCGAGAGCCCGAGCAGCAGCAGCUGAUCCGACUGGUAUGGCCGCCGCCACCGAUGGGGCCUCACACUAGGGGAGAGGCGCCGUGGAGAUGUCGCCUGUGGCGCCGGCUUCGAGGUAGCCGUGCCAUGGGUGUGCGGGAUGGAGCACGGUCGGUGCCGGGAGGUCGAGUUAAGGAGAAGGUGCAAUGCGAUGAGUAUACAACCUCUUUGGUGGCACCGAGUAGACCUCGGGUUCGUCCGAGUAGUCUGUGAGGAUGCUGCAAUUUCGGUGGAGCAGGUUAAGGCGGCGCUGUGGGGAUGGAGCAGCCACGAUAGAUGAGGCGAUCGUCGGAGCAGCUCCUUGGAGGUGGAUGUAGGAGAUAUGCCCUAGAGGCAAUAAUAAAUGAUAUUAUUUAUCUCCGAGUUCAUAAUUAUCUUUAUGUUCCAUGCUAUAACUGCAAUGAUUCUCGAGUCUGCAAUAUGGACGAGGCUCGGAGGAAGACUCAUAUGCACGUGUGGAAUAAUAAACGGUAAGAAGUAUUCCUAGUCUGGCCUCUAAGACUAGCUCAAGUGUUGCAUGAUGGUUCUGUUUUCCUGAUCAUGGGCAUGUCUAUGCCAGCAAUUUUGAGGGCACAACGUUAAGAGAACAUUUGUGUUGAAUCGACCCGGAUUGAUGUUAUGCUAAGAGAUUCAUUCGUCACAAGUUAAUGGUUUAUAACACAGAGAUAGUUAAUGUUUGCAUAAUUCCUUAGACCAUGAGAGUAUCGAGUUUCUUCAUGCUUGCUUCAUGAACUUUGGGGUUUGUUAAACGUCAUCCGUAACUGGAUGGCUAUUACGGCGGCUUACGGGUUCAUGGGAAAGUAUGUUAAGUAACUUGAUAGAUCAAGAUUGGGAUUUGCUCCUCCGACGAUGGAGAGAUAUACUCGGGCCCACUCGGUGUUACUGUGUCCAUCAUCGUCUGGCCAGACACUUUGUGAUUUGAUCACGGGGAUGCCGGAACACGAAACGAGAAAAGAGAACAAAAUCGGUAAUGAGGUAACUUGCAUAGUGGACAAAGUGUUGGCCCACGGGGAUGCAAUAAAUCUCACCUCAGGUGUUUUUGAUAUAUCGUGAAGCAACAGGAAUAGCUCACCUCAACUGGAGGUUCACUCGAAUAUUCAUUCGUGUGGGUAUAGGGGUCAAUAUGGGUGUCCACGGCUCUGAUGUUGAUCAUUGAUCGGAAGGGGUUCCAGGUCAUGUCUAUACUUCACCGAACCUAUAGGGUCACACGCUUAAGGGUCAUCUAUCUGCUGAAUACUAGACAGGGAGUCUGAGAGAAAAUCACCGAAAAAGUUUCGGACACCAAAAAGUUUCGGACAGCGGAAUCGUACCGCAGAGAGAGGUCACCGGAUGAGUUUCGGUGAAACCGAAAAAGUUGUUUCAGGGUAUGCCAUUAAGUCAAAGUGGUUUCGGCACAUGCCUAAUAAUUCUUGGAGGGUGCCAGAAUCAUUCUGGAAACUUUUUGGAAUUUUCAGAAAUAAAAACCGAAAAUGUUUCGGAGCUGCCGGUACCGCUUCGGCUGUUUUUCGCACAUGAAAUUCACUAAUCUGAAAUUGUUUCAGAACGAAUCCAAAAUCAUUUUAGUGGGUACAGGAAUUAUUCUAAGACCCACAGAAAUAUUUUCGGAUUUAGUGGACGCGAAAAAUUGUCUUCAUGAAUAGUGAAAAUGCAUUCUUGUUUGCUUUUCGCAGAUGAAAAUCACUAAACCGAAAUUGUUUCGGAACGCGUUGAAAAUUAUUUUAGUGGGUACUGGAAAUGUCACCUAGAGGGCCUUUUUGGUUGGCUUCUUGGAGAAGCCACCUUGAGGGCCUUUUUGGUAUUUCCCCCCUUGGCUUCUUGGAGAAGCCACCCUUGGGCUCGGCCUAUAAAUAGGGGUGGAGGGGGCUGCCUAAAGGAUCAUCCCUUCUCACAUACAAGUGUCAUGCAUGAUCUGGCUUCUUCUCUCCCUCCCACGAAAAGAGUUUCGUAGAGCCGUAAGGCUGUCUGGGUUCCGGCAGGAACUAGUUCUGGACGGCGAAGCCCUGCCGGAUAGAUGACACCGUAUGUGUGCAACUCCGUAGAGAGAUCGUAGUUUCGGUCUUAGUUCGUGAGUGCCUCCCGAAGGGCUAUUCGUGUGACCGUCCGAGUUUCGAAGGUCCUCCCGAAGGGCUGUCCGAGUGACCGUUUGAGUUUCGAAGCUCCUCCCGAAGGGCUGUCCGCGACACCGUCCGGGGGGGGGGCUGUUCGACCGCCUCCCGGAGGGCUGUCUAGGGAGCAGAUGAUGGUAUACAUCCUCGCGGUUCGGAGGUUGUAAAUCCUAGCUGCGGGGAUCUGCACCGCCGAUCGUCAUCGACUCUACUUCCCGCUGCGCUACGAGUCGGUAACGAAAAAGAUCAAACCAUGUAUGUAGUCUCCAUAGUGGUCCUGGGCUGGUGCGUAGGUCGGAAAUUUUUUGUUUUCUGCUGCAUUACCCAAGAGUGGCAUCAAGAGCCGUGCUAUGCGUAGAUGCAGGUUUCGAUCUAGAAUACAUGGAGAUGUAUGGGUAUUGCAUAAUAUAAUUAGGUAGUAGAUGAGAUCUAUUGCUGAAAAUUAUUUAUGCGGGUGACAGAUGAAAUCUGUUACCCGAGGUUCUUGUUGCUUCCCUAGAAUUUGCGUUUGCUCAAUCUCGAGACAGCAUGGUGGAAUUUGACAAAGUUCUGGCAAUCCGUGAUCCUGAUUGAUCAUGGAAGUGCUAUCAGUUCUUUGGGUUCUGCCGUAGUCAAAAGAAAGAUGAAAUUCGUAGAUGAAAGGGCAUUGCAGAUAUGAUCUGCACGGGGGUCAUGCGUAUGACGAAGUUUAGUAUGGGGCUCGAGAUUUAAUUAUCCUGUGUUUCAUACACCCCGAGAUGUUAAUCUAGCAACUUGAAUAAUCAUACUUGAUGAUAAAACGUUGGUAGCUGCGGUUUAAGUCAAAACCUUAGAAGCCACGUAAAAUAAAUUUUUGCAUAAACCGAUUAGAGGCGUCUAACUUGGUUUUGCAGGAUGUGCAUGUGAUGUGGUAUAGCAAUGCUCAUAUUCAAUUUGAUUAUGUAUGAGAUUACUAUAUGAUGUAAUUAACAUGACCUGCGUGUCAUGAUUCAACAUGAUGGUUGGAGCCAUAUGAUUGUCACUUUAAUGACCUGCGUGUCGACCUUAAGUAAUGCACUUAUUUUAUUAGCUAUAGAGAUAGAAAUAUUAUCUGGUGCAUCGACAAGGUGGUGGCAAUCUUCGUGAAGGUGAACACCGACGCGAAUGCCGAAGACGAAGAAAUGAAAUACUUCUCCGUCAGAAAGGGCUAUACCAUAUCAUGCUAUUAUGAAUUGCCUGAGAUGUUUAUCCCUUAUGAUGCACCCUUCUUGAUUGCGCGGUAGUCGCUUUUUAUUAGGGUGAUCUCUCACUUAAAAUAUCAAAGUAGUUAGUGUUCACCCAAGUGUAGCACCGUCUGAAAUUCGUAUCUUUUCAGGGUGCGCCAUGUACACAUGAGCACGAACGAAUCGAGAGGAAUGAGGCAAGUGAGGUCAGACCUCGCAGCAAGAUCACUUGGUUGUCUUUGACGUUCAGGCAAGAGAGUCCUGAGCUCGGAACACGCCCAUCGAAAGAUGAAUAAGAAUCACAUAGAGAUGUGAUCGGCAAGUUGGCCUACCGAUUGAAAUUCGUGUCAUCAGUGAUGAACCCGUCAAUGGCAUCGAAUAGAAAUAUGGAUCUUGAAUCACUCUAAAUCAAUUAUGAGAGAUAUUGAUUUGAGUGGGAGCGCACUGUUGAAUUAACAUGUUUAAUUCUCAUUGCAAUUAAUUAUGAACACUGUCUAAGUGUUUCUUGCAUAAUAGUUGUAGAAUAAUGGCUCGCAUUUCCACCUUCCCUAUUAAAAUUGAAUAGCUGUUAAAUAUCUGGUUAAAACUUUACGAUUGGUAACGUAAUAUGAGGAUUGUUCUCAAAAGUGCCGAGAAGUACUUUGUCCUAUCGCAUGCUUUCCGUAUCCUCCCGCUAAUGUUAUGGAUCAUGUGACUCUCGUCCUUCGAUCCAAAAGCUAGAAUUCUGUUACGGUCAAGUGGAAUAUGUUUGCUUCCAUGAAACCCAAAAUUCGAAAGUUGGGAUAGUUAUAUGAUAUUCAUGGAACUGAAAAUUAUUUUCAGAUACAAACAAAGCAAUGUUUGUUUGCAAGUAUUAGUAAAAGUGUUUACUAUGCAUUUGACUGUUGGGAAAGGGAUCCAGAAGAACGCCUGUCAUAUAAUGAAAGGUGAAUAAAACAACAACUUAAAGAGAAAGGAAGUGUCCAAAGGGUGUUAGUAUGACUUACAGGCCUAGGAAGUCUGGGGCUAAUGCCACUCUUAAGUUGGGUGCUUCUUCUGAGAGUAGGAGAAAUACUAAAAGUUAAACUGCUAGAAGUAUAAAGGCAAAAGGAAAGAAGACUGGAAUAUCCAGCUCAUGUAUGAAUGUCAUACAAGUUUUUGAUGUAUAGAAGACUGGUCAAAGAUAUAGUUCUUGCGAAUUAUGGUUAAACAUGUUAAUCACUAAUUCUUGGGUAUUGUGAGUUCAUCACAAAAAUGCCCGCUCGAUUGCAUUCUGUUGCAACUCGAUGUAAGAACUACUAUGGCCUGAAAGACUAGCUAGAAAUGAGGUUAAGGUAUACACAGGGAACAUAGUAAAUGUUACUAUACCUUCCAUCGGUGUAUUGCCGUCUGUAUUUAUUUUCAUAAUUCAUUUAGAGUUUUAAAAACUCUAUCCCAUUGCAUAAGGUAUCUUGCAAGAAGGUUGUUCAUAAGAGAAAUUUUUAUGUUUGAUGUUAUGAAUAACACAAGGGCCAUACUUUCAUUAUGAAUGAGAUGUAUGUUAUGAAUAUUGAUAAUAAUACAAUAUCUUUGGGUUUACUUUCAUAAUUCAUUUUAGAGUUUCAUACACUCUAGCCCAUUGCACAAUGUUUGUUGCAAAAGAGUUGUUCAUAAAAACAACAAUUGUUGUUAAGUAUUAUGAAUAACAUAAGGGCCAUACUUCCAUCAUCGAUGGGACGUAUGUUAUGAAUAUUGAGGGUAAUAUGAUACAUCCAUAACACUGACGCUAAAUGUCGCAAGACUAAAAGAAUACCACACAAGUGUGGCACUACAUUUGGUCACAUUGGAGAAACCCGCAUGGAAAAUUCCAUUAUGAUGGAUUUUGAAGUCUUUUUGAUUUUGAAUCAUCUGACACUUGCAACUUUCCUCCGAAAAGUGAAGUGACUAAAAUACCGUUCACAGGCCAUAAGGAACGAACAACAAACUUAUUAGUGAUCAUACAUUUGAUGUGUGUAGUCCGAUAAGUGUUGUUAGUGGUGGAUUUAUUUAUCUUCAGAAAUGACUCAAGUAGAUAUAUGGAUAUUUACUUGAUGAGACGUAAGUCUGGAUCUUUUGAAAUCAUUCGAAAGGUUCUCAAAAAUGAAGUAGAAGUUAUUGUAACAAGAAAAUUAUGUUUCUGCAAUUUGAUUGCACAAAGGAAUAUUUGAGUUACAUGUUUAGCGGAUGUCUGAUGAGUUGUGAAAGGGGUUUCAUAAACUUGCACCUCCCGGAACACCACUGCAAGUGGAAAGUCCAUGGAGAUGUAAUCAAACCAUUAAUGACAUGGUAAGGUCAAAGAUGACAUAAAUAAAUUUGCCAUUAUCCCUUUUAAAGUGAUGCUUUAGAGACUGCGGCUUUUACACUGAAAAGAGCUACAUCGGGUCUGUUGAAAUGAAGCCAUGGUAUGGUACGCCCAACCAUGUUAUAUCUUUUCUUAACAUUUGGAAUAUGGGGCUUGUGUAAAAGGUUACAAACCUAUUCCAAAUCAGACAAGUGCUACUAUGUAGGUUAUACCAAAAUGUUGGGUAUUCCUCCCUCACUAUACCGAGGCAAAUGGUUUUGCCGCGAAACGGUGUGCUUUUAAAGAGAAUGGUUCUUUAAAAAGGUGAGUGGGAGAAUAGUGCAACUCGACGAGAUAAACAGUAUCUACGUCAUCAGAUCAAAGGAAAGAGACCUUGGAAGUAAUUCCAGAGUUUCCUACUGCGACUGAUACGGAAGUCUCUACAAUAAAAUGUAUGAACUUCGGUCGAACUUGCAGCUGAACCACGUAGGCAAGGCUCGUGCAAACCUCUCAGGUGCGCAAACGAGAUAUUGUUGUUAGACAACAUUAUACCUACGAUACACAAGGAAGCGUUGAUGGGCCCUGACUCCGGAAUUGGCUAAAUGCCAAUACAACCCGAGUUAGUUUCCAUAUAAGUGAUUCAAGAUUAAAACCUUGAUACACCUUUCAGAAGACUUAGAGUCUAACGAAUAUUUAUGGAACUUAAAACUGAUACGGAUAAAAUGUUUUAUCCAUAAAGCUCGACUUGUUGAAAUAACAAGUUCAAGAGUUGACUACGAUGAGGCUGUUUUCAUCGUAGCGAUGCUUAAAGUUGGUUUGGGUUGAACUAGCAAUUAAUACAUAUUUCAAUCAUGAGAUAUGAAACAUGGAUGAUAAAAGGAUUUCCAUCUAAUGGAAAUGAAAGCUAGGACUUGUAUAUGAUACAGUCCAAAGUAAUUUGUCGAUCCAGAGGAUGCUAGUAGGUAUGCAAACUUCAGAGUUCCAUCAAUGGACAGAAGAGAGCAAAAUGGAGUUGGAAUCUUCGUGUUUUGAUGAAAUGGUCAAAGGGGUUUUGACUACAUCAAUGGGUAACGAAGAUGCUUGUAAUUCAAGAAAGUAAGUGGGAGCGUAAUAAUAUUUCUAAAAACAUUAUGUGCUUGGCACAUUGGUAAUUGGAAAUAAACUUCUUGACACAAAUUAGGACUUCAUUUGAAAAUAGUUUUUUGAUGAAGUGCUUAGGCUAAAUAGCCUCAAUAUUAGGCAUGAUGAUCUAUGGAGAUAGAUUUACCUAAUGGGGCUAAGCAAUGAAUACAUAUUGACAAGAUGCUAUAACCUUUUAGCACUUAAAACGCCAAGGAGUGAUUCUUGCCAAAGUCACAUGGAAAGAGUUUUUGCAAGACUCGGUAUCCCAAAACACUGAUGAGUAAAAUACAUGAUGCAGAUUCCACACACUUUUGUGUUUGGAUUAAUCAUGUAUUCCAUGGUAUGUAAAACAACCAGAUAUGUCCGAUACUCCCAAGGUGUUGCGAGUAUGGAUACCAAAGUGAUCAAAUUACUGAUCAUGGGACAACAGUGAAAGAUGUCACAGAGUACUAGAGUAAGUACUGAUGACAUGGUUUUCUCGCAAGCAGAGAUCAUGAAGAGUUCGUUGUAAAAUGUUACAUCGAUACAGUAUUCAUCUUUUCUCCAUGUGAUUUUCAAUUUAAAUUAAGGGUUUUGUGUAACACACAAUGUGGUGGCACAGUUAGUUGGAAUUCGUUCAAACUAGUUACUGUGGCGAAUUCUAUAACAAGGGCUAAGUAUGUUGACGCUUUAGAAGCGAGAAAGAAGAUGUUGAAUCAUAUAGUUCAUUCAUGAACUUAGUAUAGUUCCAAGAUGGCUUUUCACAAUGGGACACUAUUGCAGGUAGUUGCUCCAUAACUCAGUCUAAGGAAUCCAGGUUCGACCUGUGUUUCACAUACAUACAAAGCCAAGUCCACAAAAAAUAUGAAUUUUGUGAAAACGUGAAAACGCGAGGACAUGCAAAGAUACACACGGAACUGAAGUCGUCAGAUCCGUUGGACAUCAGGCUAUACCACAAGCGAAGCAUAUUUACACCGGUGUGCCACAGGUGUGAAGUGCAUUAGCAUAAGCUAGAUUAUUGACUCUAGUGCAAGUGGGAGUCUGUAGGAGAUAUGCCCUAGAGGCAAUAAUAAAUGAUAUUAUUUAUCUCCGAGUUCAUAAUUAUGUUUAUGUUCCAUGCUAUAACUGCAAUGAUUCUCGAGUCUGCAAUAUCCACGAGGCUCGGAGGAAGACUCAUAUGCACGUGUGGAAUAAUAAACGGUAAGAAGUAUUCCUAGUCUGGCCUCUAAGACUAGCUCAAGUGUUGCAUGAUGGUUCUGUUUUCCUGAUCAUGGGCAUGUCUAUGCUAGCAAUUUUGAGGGCACAAUGUUAAGAGAACAUUUGUGUUGAAUCGACCCGGAUUGAUGUUAUGCUAAGAGAUUCAUUCAUCACAAGUUAAUGGUUUAUAACACAGAGAUAGUUAAUGUUUGCAUAAUUCCUUAGACCAUGAGAGUAUUGAGUUUCUUCAUGCUUGCUUCAUGAACUUUGGGGUUUGUUAAACGUCAUCCGUAACUGGAUGGCUAUUACGGCGGCUUACGGGUUCAUGGGAAAGUAUGUUAAGUAACUUGAUAGCUCGAGAUUGGGAUUUGCUCCUCCGACGAUGGAGAGAUAUACUCAGGCCCACUCGGUGUUACAGUGUCCAUCAUCGUCUGGCCAGACACUUUGUGAUUUGAUCACGGGGAUGCCGGAACACGAAACGAGAAAAGAGAACAAAACCGGUAACGAGGUAACUUGCAUAGUGGGCAAAGUGUUGGCCCACGGGGAUGCAAUAAAUCUCACCUCAGGUGUUUUUGAUAUAUCGUGAAGCAACAGGAAUAGCUCACCUCAACUGGAGGUUCACUCGAAUAUUCAUUCGUGUGGGUAUAGGGGUCAAUAUGGGUGUCCACGGCUCCGAUGUUGAUCAUUGAUCGAAAGGGGUUCCAGGUCAUGUCUAUACUUCACCGAACCUAUAGGGUCACACGCUUAAGGGUCAUCUAUCUACUGAAUACUAGACAGGGAGUCUGAGAGAAAAUCACCGAAAAAGUUUCGGACACCAAAAAGUUUCGGACAACGGAAUCGUACCGCAGAGAGAGGUCACCGGAUGAGUUUCGGUGAAACCGAAAAAGUUGUUUUGGGGUAUGCCAUUAAGUCAAAAUGGUUUCGGCACAUGCCUGAUAAUUCUUGGAGGGUGCCAGAAUCAUUCUGGAAACUUUUUGGAAUUUUCAGAAAUAAAAACCGAAAAUGUUUCGGAGCUGCCGGUACCGCUUUGGCUGUUUUUCGCAGAUGAAAUUCACUAAUCUGAAAUUGUUUCAGAACGAAUCCAAAAUCAUUUUAGUGGGUACUGGAAUUAUUCUAAGAACCACAGAAAUAUUUUCGGAUUUAGUGAACGCGAAAAAUUGUCUUCAUGAAUAGUGAAAACGCAUUCUUGUUUGCUUUUCGCAGAUGAAAAUCACUAAACCGAAAUUGUUUCGGAACGCGUUGAAAAUUAUUUUAGUGGGUACUGGAAAUGUUCUGAGCCCACAUAAAUAUUUUCAUUUCGAACGGACGCUGAAAAAUGUCGUCAUGAAUAGUGAAAGUGCUUUUUGCUUGGCUUCUUGGAGAAGCCACCUUGAGGGCCAUUUUGGUAUUUCCCCCCUUGGCUUCUUGGAGAAGCCACCCUUGGGCUUGGCCUAUAAAUAGGGGUGGAGGGGGCUGCCUAAAGGAUCAUCCCUUCUCACAUACAAGUGCCAUGCAUGAUCUGGCUGCUUCUCUCCCUCCCACGAAAAGAGUUUCGUAGAGCCGUAAGGCUGUAUGGGUUCCGGCAGGAACUAGUUCUGGACGGCGAAGCCCUGCCGGAUAGAUGACACCGUAUUUGUGCAACUCUGUAGAGAGAUCGUAGUUUCGGUCUUAGUUCGUGAGUGCCUCCCGAAGGGCUGUCCGUGUGACCGUCCGAGUUUCGAAGGUCCUCCCGAAGGGCUGUCCGAGUGACCGUUCGAGUUUCGAAGGUCCUCCCGAAGGGCUGUCCGCGACACCAUCCGGGGGGGCUGUUCGACCGCUUCCUGGAGGGCUGUCUGGGGAGCAGAUGAUGGUAUACAUCCUCGCGGUUGGGAGGUUGUAAAUCCUAGCUGCGGGGAUCUGCACCGCCGAUCGUCAUCGACUCUACUUCCCGCUGCGCUACGAGUCGGUAAUGAAAAAGAUCAAACCAUGUAUGUAGUCUCCAUAGUGGUCCUGGGCUGGUGCGUAGGUCGGAAAUUUUUUGUUUUCUGCUGCGUUACCCAACAGUGGAGCACGGGACGCCUGAACCGACGGGAUGACGAGAUGGACAACGGAUCCUCGUCCGGGGAGGUGGAUGAGGGACGUCGAGCUGUUGCGGUGGACGACGUCGUCGGGGAAGAGGCUCCGGCUGGGCAGUGGUGAGGUGGCGGACGGAGGAGGGUGGGGUUUCGCGGCUGGAGCAGAGAGGUUAUGGCGUUCGAAUGGCGAAAAGGAGGCGAUGGGUGGGGGGAACCAUGACUUAGGAACGCGCUUGUCCAAAAUGUAGGGUGUGUAACAAAAGUACCCCCAUCGAUUUGAACUAGAGGCCCUUUCGGCUCAGGGUUAGAAGCGGGAUUUCGUGUGUCGGGAUUUGGCAGCUGGAGGGAGUUUUCGCGCGUGUUGUAAUUUUGGGAUAGCAAGGUGUGGGUUGUGAAGGCACGGGUUGUGGGAGCACGAUAUCUGAAUUUUCGGGAUAUAACAAGGCGCGGGUUGAAUUUUAGGGACAAGCCUAACGUGUAAUAUUGUACUUGUACGUACCAAAUCAAUUCGCACUUCCCUCAAUGAAAAAAUGAAAGAAAAACUAUUCACACCACAGAGAAGAGAGAUUCUUGUCCCGUUUUACUAUACAAAUGCUAUUCAAAGCUAUGAAUCCAUGUUAUGUCCAAAUAAUUUUUUUCGCUGGCUGUUUAAUGCAUGUAACCUGCUCAUACCAACAUUUUAGUGCAUUCCAAAUGUCUAUACUACCACUGCAAUUCGAACUAAAUUUGAAUAUGUUUCUCUAUUUGAAUAAGAAUCUACAAUCAUGAUUGUUGCCAACUUCAACCAUCAUUCGUGUAUUACCUUAACAACAGACCACAUGAUUACUCUAGAGAUAGAUAUGAACUAUGUGUACUAUAUGAACUCGAAUUCAAUUUUUUGAAUACACUUGAUGUUGACUCCAAAUAAUGGUACAUUUCAUGUGCUAACUAGAUAUUCAUAAUCUAAACCAUGUUCCAUACGUACACCUUGUUUAUCACACAAAGUAUAGUGCCCCGCCCCCCUAGAUUAUGACAAGUAUUUAGCCCUGAGCUGCAAAAGCCACACAUUAUCCCAAAUUAUAAUCAAUGUUCUACAUUUUGAUAUCUUCUUCAAGUAUCUGUAUCCACUUGUUUAUAAUGAAUUGUGAUCUCUGUUCGUCUUUUACACCUUCAUGGCCCUCUUCUCUUUGUAGCUAGCUAGUGCUAACUUUCUAUCGUGCAUGCACAUGCCAGCCCCCCUCUCACCCUCCCUCGGCGUCCCCUCCGUCACGCACAUUCGUUAUUUCUCUUUAGGUAGUUCACCCACGGUGUGUGUAGGCCGCCCGGCUCCUUCUUUUCGGCACACACCGGUCGAUAUACCUCUCUAGCCAAGUGUGCCUACCACAAACACACACUUCCCCUCUUCUCUUCGCACCAUCCAUGCCCCCUAUGUCCAAUACGGUUCCACGCAGGUGCACACUCCCGCCCCUCUUUUCAUCGAUCUCAUACUCGCACACUCCUCCCUCCUCGACAUAGUAGGCGUCUCGCACCACCUCCUAGCCUCACCCGUCUCCCCCUGUCCGUCUCUCUGGACCUUAUUUUCUUCUAACACAUGCAUGCGUGUAUACGUACCGAUCUCCCUACAUAUAGCUAGGUCGACAAUAAUUCUUUUUCCCCACGCACCGGUAGACUUACCUCACUAGUUACGUCUCUCCCUUUCUCGGACACAUGACGGUUGAUCUUCCUAUGUAGUUACGUUUUCUUACCACAACCAUAUCGUCCCCCUCAUCAUCCUUGCAUACCUCCCAACUCGUCUCUCACACGCACGUGCAUAGACGACAGGCAGACAUCCUCGGCCCUCUCUUAUUAAUAUUGCACUCGUACCCUCCGUUUGUCUAGCAGGCCUCUCCCACCAUUUGUGAGAAGCAACUCCACCACCAACCCUCUGACACUCUACCUUUGUCUCUCUCCCAACCUUAUUCCUCUGCUACACAUAUGCAUGGAUGCCGAUCGAUCUCCCUCAAUACAUAGCUCGGUCUCUCUCCUUCUCCACGCAUAUACUAGUCGAUCUACCUCUCUAUAGUUAGGUCUCUGCCCCCUCCCCCCCCCACACACCGAUAGUUGAAUGUUGUAGGUAGGUAUCCAUGCCAUAGAGAAAAACUGCACCUCUGCCCUCUCAAGUUCCAUUAGGCCAGCCGCCCUGUAUCUUUGACAUGGGAAAACACAAAUUUGAUGGCACUCUUUAUCGAUCGCGCAGCCACACACUUCAUCCCUGUUUUCGAUUCCAUCGAUAUCUCACGCCGAUUAUCCCUCCACUCUAUAUAUGAUAUAUCCAUGACUCUGUUUCACACACAUUGCAUAUGUUACGUUUUUUUGUUGGUUCCGGCAAAACCCUUAAGGUUCGAACUAUGGGGUGCGCACGAAGAUCUCUCUCCCCCAAGCUCACACACUCACCGCGAUCUGAAGGCCUAGCUCGCCGAACCCGAGGAACAAGAGACACAAGAGUUUAUACUGGUUCGGGUCACCGAUGUGGUGUAGUACCCUACUCCAGUGUGGUGUGGUGGAUUGCCUCGUGGGCUGAGGAUGAACAAGUACAAGGGAAGAACAGCCUCCUGAGGAGAGGUGUUCUAGAGCUCCGUGAGCUGGUGUGUGUGAGGAUGGAAUUGGAUCCGAUCCAAGAUGAGUUCUCCCUUUCUAUGGUGGUGGCUAGUCCUAUUUAUAGAGGCCCUGGUCCUCUUCCCGAAUGUUUAGGCGGGAAGGGAUCCCACAACGGCCAAUUUGAAGGGGGACAACUAGUACAAGCUAUCCUGACAAUAGGUGGUCUUCGCCUGCCAAAGGCUCUGGUGGUGACAACGUCAUGGGCUCCGCGGUGACCUUUGUCCUGCCGUCCUGAUGGUCUUGGUGUCAUUGCACCAAUAUGGAAACCUUUGCCCGAUGCCUCGGGACUCCUCGCCUGCGCCUGCUCCUUUAGCACCAAAAAGGAAACCAGUACUCUGCGCCUGCUGGCGCCUGCCUGGCCUUGGUCGUCAUGACUCACGUCACGGAAACCUCACGAGGUGCCCCCACCUUGUUCUCUCCGCUCCUCGCGAGCCAACCUAGUGAGGCUGCCCCGAGGAGGUCUCGUGUCGCCUGCCUCGCGAGGCUUGGCCCCUCGCGAGGGUCUUUAGUGCUUGCUAGUGAAGAUGAGCUGUACCAGGCCGUUGGUGGAGCCACGCCGUGGGCCGCACGCAGGCAAGUCUGGGGACCCCCGUUCCCAGGACGCCGACAGUAGCCCCCGGGCCCAAGGCGUGCUCGGACUUGGCUUCGAGGCGAAGCCAAGGGGCAAGUGCGGAGCACCGCGGGGCCCAACCACCUGUGGCCUUGAUUGAUGCGUGGCGACUGAUGGGACGUUGGCGUCUCCGCUUCCCCACGCUGCCUCGGCAACUGCCCGACUGACAAAAGGCUGGCGCGGGCUGCACUGCCUUCAUUGCUCCCCUUCGUCUUGCUCCAGAUCCCCUUUCUUGCUCCUUGUUUCCAAAGACUCCAGAUCCGCCCAAAUCCUCCUUCGAGCCUGCCGCCAAUGGCACCCAACAAAGCUCAGGCCGCUCCUCCGUCAUCCUGGUACGAGCCCGCGCGGAAAGCGCCGAGCGUCUCGGAGAAGAACCUUGCCGCCACGCUCCUGAUGACGGCGGAGGGCGAUGAGAAGAGGAAAACUGCGCUCCGGGCUGGCUCCAUCGAGCCGGAGGCCUCAGGCAGCACAUUCUAUCCCUUCUUCAUGAGCAGCAUUGUUGCGGGGUUGGUUCCCCCUUUCUUCGACUUCUUCUACUCCAUCCUCACCCAUUAUAAGCUUCACGCCCUCCAUCUUCAUCCCAACUCCGCCCUCCUUCUAUCGAUCUUCGCCUUUUAUUGUGAGGCAUACGUUGGGGUGAUGCCAUUCGCGUUGCUGCACCACUUCUUCUAUCUCCGGAUCAAGGACGGCCCCUGCUCGGGGUGCAGCCAACAAGACCAAUGCGAUUUCGAAGGCCGGGAAGAAGGCCGAGGGCUUCAGGAGCAAGUGGGUCCUGAUGGAUGCCAAGUGCUCUCACCCCCGGCUGGUGCUGCCGACGGAGAUGCCAACGUCUCAUGACGGGUGGCUCUGCGCGAAGCUCACCGACCCUCGGGCGGAGUUGGUGCUGGAGAGGAUGACCGCCGACCUGAAGCCUGAUGACCCAAGGGCGGCGAAGCUGUCGGGGGCCAUGAUCGUCAAGGAGUUCAUGGCGCAUCUCGUGGCUCCCCUCCAUGCGCGCUCGCGGCCCUUGUGGAAGCUCGGGGGCGAAGGAGACGACCUCCGGAUGACGAGGAGCUGGGCACGGCUCUCCGCUCCUUGGUUGGGGACGACCAAGGGUACCCGCCGGACACCUUCGUUCCCUUGUACUGCCGCCCGGAUGGGGCGAAGAAUGCAUCCGCCAUGCCUGUCUUCGAUGGGCGUGGUCUUGUGCCGUCUGCGCCCUCAGAUGCCCCGGUGAUGACGACUCCGGUGGUGGUGUCCUCUGGUGAUUCUGACGGGGAGGAGGAGCAGGACUCGGCGGCCACCCCGGAGGGGUCUGGGGAGACCUUCCCUCCGCGUAAGGCCGACCUCCUCCGCGCCUUGCCUGAGUACGACGACGCUGACGACCACCCAGUGAGGGAAGUCCUGCCCCCUGCUGGGGUCACCACGAGGUCCAGGGUCUCCCCCUUGAGGAAGCCGCCACCUGGCGUCCCGACGAAGAGCAGAUCGGCAUUGAUUUCUCGGGGUGAUGCAUCCGCCGUGUCGCCGCCCGGGGCCAUUGCGGCCUCAUCGACUCUUGGGGCUCAUGCGCCGGCGCCCAAGGCUGUGAGGACCCCAGGCUCCACGCUUCUGAAGAGGCGGCGGGACUACGCCGCCGUGUGAUAACCCACAAGUAUAGGGGAUCGCAACAGUUUUCGAGGGUAGAGUAUUCAACCCAAAUUUAUUGAUUCGACACAAGGGGAGCCAAAGAAUAUUCUCAAGUAUUAGCAGUGGAGUUGUCAAUUCAACCACACCUGGAUAUCUUAGUAUUUGCAGCAAAAUAUUUAGUAGCAAAGUAGUAUGGAAGUAACGUAACGAUAACAAAAGUAAUAUUUUUGGGUUUUGUAGUGAUUGUAAUAGUAGCAACGGAAAAGUAAAUAAGCGGAGAACAAUAUGUGAAAAGCUCGUAGGCAUUGGAUCGGUGAUGGAGAAUUAUGCCGGAUGCGAUUCAUCAUGUAACAAUCAUAACAUACGGUGACACAGAACUAGCUCCAAUUCAUCAAUGUAAUGUAGGCAUGUAUUCCGAAUAUAGUCAUACGUGCUUAUGGAAUAGAACUUGCAUGACAUCUUUUGUCCUACCCCCCCCCCCCCCGUGGCAGCAGGGUCCUAGCGGAAACUAAGUGAUAUUAAGGCCCCCUUUUAAUAGAGUACCANNNNNNNNNNNNNNNNNNNNNNNNNNNNNNNNNNNNNNNNNNNNNNNNNNNNNNNNNNNNNNNNNNNNNNNNNNNNNNNNNNNNNNNNNNNNNNNNNNNNNNNNNNNNNNNNNNNNNNNNNNNNNNNNNNNNNNNNNNNNNNNNNNNNNNNNNNNNNNNNNNNNNNNNNNNNNNNNNNNNNNNNNNNNNNNNNNNNNNNNNNNNNNNNNNNNNNNNNNNNNNNNNNNNNNNNNNNNNNNNNNNNNNNNNNNNNNNNNNNNNNNNNNNNNNNNNNNNNNNNNNNNNACCAGACCAAAGCAUUAACACAUAGUGAAUACAUGAACUCCUCAAACUACGGUCAUCACCGGGAGUGGUCCCGAUUAUUGUGACUUCGGGGUUGCCGGAUCAUAACACAUAGUAGGUGACUAUAGAUGUGCAAGAUAGGAUCAAGAACUCACAUAUAUUCAUGAAAAGAUAAUAGGUUCAGAUCUGAAAUCAUGGCACUCGGGCCCUAGUGACAAGCAUUAAGCAUAGCAAAGUCAUAGCAACAUCAAUCUCAGAACAUAGUGGAUACUAGGGAUCAAACCCUAACAAAACUAACUCGAUUACAUGAUAAAUCUCAUCCAACCCAUCACCGUCCAGCAAGCCUACGAUGGAAUUACUCACGCACGGCGGUGAGCAUCAUGAAAUUGGUGAUGGAGGAUGGUUGAUGAUGAUGACAGCGACGGAUUCCCCUCUCCGGAGCCCCGAACGGACUCCAGAUCAGCCCUCCCGAGAGAGUUUAGGGCUUGGUGGCGGCUCCGUAUCGUAAAACCUGAUGAAUCUUUCUCUCUGAUGUUUUUCUCCCCGAACACGAAUAUAUGGAGUUGGAGUUGAGGUCGGUCGAGCUCCAGGGGCCCACGAGGCAGGGGCGCGCCCAGGGGGCAGGCACGCCCACCACCCUCGUGGACAGGUGGUUGGCCCCCUGGCCUUGAUUCUUUCGCCAAUAUUUUUUAUAUUUUCCAAAAAUAAGUUCUGUGGAGUUUCAGGUCAUUCCGAGAACUUUUGUUUCUGCACAUAAAUAACACCAUGGCAAUUCUGCUGAAAACAACGUCAGUCCGGGUUAGUUCCAUUCAAAUCAUGCAAGUUAGAGUCCAAAACAAGGGUAAAAGUGUUUGGAAAAGUAGAUACGAUGGAGACGUAUCAAUUCCCCCAUGCUUAAACCUUUGCUUGUCCUCAAGCAAUUCAGUUGAUAAACUGAAAGUGAUAAAGAAAAACUUUUACAAACUCUGUUUGCUCUUGUUGUUGUAAAUAUGUAAAGCCAGCAUUCAAGUUUUCAGCAAAGAUCAUGACUAACCAUAUUCACAAUAACAUUAGGUCUCAUGUUUACUCAUAUCAAUGGCAUAAUCAACUAGCGAGCAAUAAUAAUAAAUCUCGGAUGACAACACUUUCUCAAAACAAUCAUAAUAUGAUAUAACAAGAAGGUAUCUCGCUAGCCCUUUCCGAGACCGCAAAACAUAAAUGCAAAGCACCUAUAAAGAUCAAGGACUGACUAGACAUUGUAAUUCAUGGUAAAAGAGAUCCAGUCAUGGUCAUACCCAAUAUAAAUUAAUAGUAAUGGAUGCAAAUGGCAGCGGUUCUCUCCAGCUGGUGCUUUUUAAUAAGAGGGUGAUGACUCAACAUAAAAGUAAAUAGAUAGGCCCUUCGCAGAGGGAAGCAGGGAUUUGUAGAGGUGCCAGAGCUCGAUUUUUGUAAUAGAGAUAAAUAAUAUUUUGAGCGGUAUAGUUUCAUUGUCAACAUAACAACCAAGAGAUGGCGAUAUCUUCCAUGCUACACACAUUAUCAGCGGUUCCCAAACAAAAGUAAAGUUUAUACUCCCCCUCCACCAACAAGCAUCAAUCCAUGGCUUGCUCGAAACAACGAGUGCCUCCAACUAACAACAGUCCCGGGGGAGUUUUGUUUGCAAUUAUUUUGAUUUAGUUUGCAUAAAGCAUGGGACUGGGCAUCCCGGUGACCAGCCAUUUUCUCGUGAGUGAGGAGCGGAGUCCACUCCUCUUGAGAAUAACCCGCCUAACAUGGAAGAUACGGACAGCCCUAGUUGAUACAUGAGCUAUUCGAGCAUACAAAACAGAAUUUCAUUUGAAGGUUUAGAGUUUGGCACAUACAAAUUUACUUGGAACGGCAGGUAGAUACCGCAUAUAGGAAGGUAUAGUGGACUCAUAUGGCAUAACUUUGGGGUUUAAGGGAUUGGAUGCACAAGCAGUAUUCCUUCUUAGUACAAGUGAAGGCUAGCAAAAGACUGGGAAGCGACCAACUAGAGAGCGACAACAGUCAUGAACAUGCAUUAAAAUUAAUAAACAUUGAGUACAAGCAUGAGUAGGAUAUAAUCCACCAUGAACAUAAAUAUCAUGAAGGCUAUGUUGAUUUGUUUCAACUACAUGUGUGAACAUGUGCUAAGUCGAGUCACUUGAAUCAUUCAAAGGAGGAUACCACCCCAUCAUACCACAUCACAACCAUUUUAAUAGCAUGUUGGCACGCAAGGUGAACCAUUAUAAACUCCUAGCUAAUUAAGCAUGGCAUAAGCAACUAUGAUCUCUAAUUGUCAUUGCAAAUAUGUUUAUUCAUAAUAAGCUGAAUCGGGAACGAUGAACUAAUCAUAUUUACAAAAACAAGAGAGGUCGAGUUCAUACCAGCUUCUCUCAUCUCAAUCAGUCCAUCAUAUAUCGUCAUAAUUGCCUUUCACUUGCACGACUGAAUGAUGUGAAUAAUAAUAGUGCACGUGCAUUGGACUAAGCUGGAAUCUGUGAGCAUUCAAUAAACAGGAGAAGACAAGGCAAUAUGGGCUCUUGGUUAAAUCAACAAUAAUGCAUAUAAGAGCCACUUCAACAUUUUAAUUAUCGUCUUCUCCUAUCGACCCCCAAAGAAAAGAAAAGAAAUAAAACUAUUUACACGGGAAAGCACCCAACAAGCAAAAGAAGAACAUGAAAUCUUUUUGGGUUUUAUUUUAAUUAUUACUACUACAGCAAGAAAGGUAAACUAACUAAAAGCUACAACUAAUUUUUUUGUUUUUCUUAAGGUUUAUUAAACACACAAGAAGAAAGCAAGAAAACAAAUAAACUAGCAUGGAUAUUACAGUGAAAAAGUAUGAGCACCGACGUCUAGCAAUGAGUUUGUGAAUAUGAAUGUAAUGUCGGUGAGAACUACGUACUCCCCCAUGCUUAGGCUUUUGGCCUAAGUUGGUUUAUUGCCACGGAUGGCCUGGCGGAUAUCCAAAGUUGUAGUUGGGGUCGUACUGAGAUGCAGCGGCUAUUGCAUCGUGGGCUGCAGCUUGGAGGCGGGCUGCCCUCGUCCUCCUUUCGUACUCAUUUGCCUCCUCCCUGGUUAUAAAGUGUCUCCCCUUUGCGUGAAAGUCAAAGAGAGUAGGGGCAGGGAGAACAAUAUUGACGGUGUGACGCCUGUCAAAGAUUAGUCGGUACUGGAGAGGUGGUUCAUUCCUCUCGACAACCUGAUGGUAAACCAUAGCAUUAAACUCUAGAUAAGUAGGAGGCAACUCAAUAUCAUCAUCGCGUAUGGUUACACCAAGAAAAUCAGCUAAGCGGGUUGCAUAAAUUCCUCCAAAGAAAUCUCCAUUAAAUCUAUUAUGAUGCGACCUACGUGCAACAAUGGCUCCCAAAUUAUAAGAUUUAUCUCCUAACACAGCACUCCUAAGAACACUGAGGUCAGGGACACACAUGUGACAUGCUUCGUCUUUACCAUUUAUGCACCUACCUAUAAAGAGAGCAAAAUAAUGUAUAGUAGGAAAAUGAAUGCUCCCUAUGGUAGCUUGUGCUAUAUCUCUAGAUUCCCCCACAGUUAUACUAGCAAGAAAUUCUCUAAAUUCAGAUUUGCGAGGUUCACUAGUACUACCCCAUUGUGGAAGUUUGCAAGCAGUGGUAAAAUCCUCUAAGUCCAUAGUAUAAGAAUUUUCAUAGAGAUCAAACAGGAUAGUUUGAGAAUUGCGUGAAGAUGAAUAUUCAAACCUCCUCACAAAUGAACUAGUGAGAUAGUGGUACUGGCGGCACUUUUAUGCCUCGAAGCUCACAAGAUCAGCGUUACGCAAAUACGCGUUAAAUUCUUCCUUAAUUCCCGCUCGAUCCAUAAAGCCUUCUGAAGGCCAUUCACAAGGCCGCACUGGAGCGUCCCUUGGUGGUUCAUCGUCAGCAUCACGCAUUGCAAGCCUGGGUCCUUGCUUCCUUGAAGAACCACCUUGGUACAUUUUCCUAAACAUAUUUCUUCCUCUCAAAAAUUUCUGAAAUGUUUAGUAACUUCAAAUAAAAGUGAACCAAGCUCAACAAAAUUGAUAGCAACUACUCCUACAAGUGCCUAGAGACUAUAUCAUGCAUUUGAACUACUUGGAACCAUAUAAAUUUGACAUGCAAGCUCAAGAACAUGGUCACCUAGGCAGCACAAAUUUGCAAUAAAUAAAGCACUAGAACAAAAACUAAUUGGACCAAUAAUGGAGGAGUCACAUACCAAGGAACAAUCCCCCAAAGCAGUUUUGUGAGAAGUGCUUUGAGCAAGGAGAUCGAAAAUCGUAGCAAAAUGAGCUAGAACUCGUGCUUGAGCUGGAUGGUGAUUUUUUUUGGGAGGAAGAAGGGGUGUGUGGGUGUAGGAAUAAGUGGAGGGGAGCCACCGUGGGCCCACGAGGCAGGGGGCGCGCCCUGUAGGGGUGGGCGCACUUUGGACCCUCGUGGCCAGGUGCUUGCUCCCCCUGCUGUGUUCUCAGUGCCAGAUAUUCUCAAAUAUUCCAAAAAAAUCAUAGUUCAAUUUCGGGGCAUUUGGAGAACAUUUAUUUUCAGGGUAUUUUUUAUUGCACGGAUAAUUCAGAAAACUGACAGAGAAAUACUAAUUUUACUUUAUUUCAACUAAAAAAACAGAAAGUAAAAGGAGGAUACAGAAGGUUGUGCUUUCUAACUUCAUCCAUAUCAUGCUCAUCAAAAGGAAUCCACUAACAAGGUUGAUCAUGUCUUGUUAACAAACUCAUUCCUAAUCGCAUGAAACCGGAGAAAUUUCGAAUAACACUAUGUUACCUCAACGGGGAUAUGCACAUACCCAAUAAUAUGAAUAUCAUAUUUCUUUUUGACAGUAGGUAGAGGAAAUUUAAAACCGCCAAUAAUAAUUGAUGGAAUUUUUCCAAUAGAGUUGAUACUAUGAACUUGAGGUUGUUUCCUCGGAAAGUGUACCGUAUGCUCAUUACCAUUAACAUGAAAAGUGACAUUGCCUUUGUUGCAAUCAAUAACAGCCCCUGCAGUAUUCAAAAAGGGUCUACCAAGGAUAAUCGACAUACUAUCGUCCUCGGGAAUAUCAAGAAUAACAAAGUUCGUUAAAAUAGUAACGUUUGCAACCACAACAGGCACAUAUUCACAAAUACCGACAGGUAUAGCAGUUGAUUUAUCGGCCAUUUGCAAAGAAAUUUCAGUAGGUGACAACUUAUUCAAAUCAAGUCUACGAUAUAAAGAGAGAGGCAUAACACUAACACCGGCUCCAAGAUCACAUAAAGCAGUUUUAACAUAGUUUCUUUUAAUGGAGCAUGGUAUAGUUGGUACUCCUGGAUCUCCUAACUUCUUAAGUACUCCACCCUUGAAAGUGUAAUUAGCAAGCAUGGUAGAAAUUUCAGCUUUCGGUAUCUUUCUUUUAUUAGUAACAAUUUCUUUCAUGUACUUAUCAUAAGGAUUCAUUUUGAGCAUAUCAGUUAAUUGCAUACGCAAAAAGAUAGGUCUAAUCAUUUCAGCAAAGCGCUCAAAAUCCUCAUCAUCCUUUCUCUUGGAUGGUUUGGGAGGAGAAGGCAUGGGUUUCUGAACCCAUGGUUCUCUUUCUUUACCAUGUUUCCUAGCAACAAAGUCUCUCUUAUCAUAACGUUGAUUCUUUGAUUGUGGGUUAUCAAGAUCAACAGCAGGUUCAAUUUCUACAUCAUUAUCAUUGCUAGGUUGAGCAUCAACAUGAACAUCAUCAUUAACAUUAUCACUAGUUUCAUGUUCAUUACCAGAUUGUGUUUCAGCAUCAGAAAUAGUAAUAUCAUUGGGAUUCUCAGGUGUGUCUACAAGAGGCUCACUAGAAGCAUGCAAAGUCCUAUCAUUUUUCUUUUUUCUACAAGAGGUUCACUAGAAUCUUGCUCAAUUCUCUUAGGGUGGCCUUCAGGAUACAAAGGUUCCUGAGUCAUCUUACCAGUUCUAGUAGCCACUCUAACAGCAUGGUCAUUAUUCUUACUAUCUAAUUCAUUGAGAAAAUCAUUUUGAGCUAUAUGUACUUGUUCUACUUGAGUGGUAACCACAGAAGCAUGUUUACUAAUGAGUUUAAGUUCACCUUUAACUCUAGACAUAUAAUCACUCAAGUGUUCAAGCAUAUCGGAAUUGUGUUUUAAUUGUCUACCAAAAUAAGCAUUAAAAUCUUGUUGCUUAACCAUAAAGUCAUCAAACACAUCUAAGCAUUGGCUAGCAAACUUAAUAGGAGGGAUUCAAAUUUAUCAUAUCUAUAGAGAGAAUUUACCUUUACUACCUGUGUCGGGUUAUCAAGACCAUGUGUUUCUUCAAUAGGUGAUGGCUUAAGAUCAUAUGUUUCUUCAACAGGCGGUAAAUUAAGACCAUAUAUUUCUUCAAUAGGAGGUAAAUUCUUAACAUCUUCAGCUUUAAUACCUUUUUCUUUCAUAGAUUUUGUUGCCUCUUGCAUAUCUUCAGGACUGAGAAAUAGAACACCCCUCUUCUUCGGAGUUGGUUUAGUAAUAGGCUCAGGAAUUGGCUCAAGAAGUGUCCAAUUAUUUUCAUUGGUCAACAUAUUAUUCAAUAGAAUUUCAGCAUCAUCCGGUGUUGUUUCCCUGAAAACAGAACCAGCACAACUAUCCAGGUAAUCUCUGGAAGCAUCAGUUAGUCCAUUAUAAAAGAUAUCAAGUAUUUCAUUUUUCUUAAGAGGAUGAUCAGGCAAAACAUUAAGUAUUAUUGGAGAAGCCUCCCCCAAGCUUGUGGGAGACUCUCUUCUUCAAUUUUCACAAAAUUAUAUACAUCCCUUAAGGCAGCUUGUUUCUUAUGAGCAGGGAAAUAUUUAGCAGAGAAGUAAUAAAUCAUAUCCUGGGGACUACGCACACAACCAGGAUCAAGAGAAUUAAACCAUAUCUUAACAUCACCCUUUAAUGAGAACGGAAAUAUUUUAAGGAUAUAAAAGUAGCGAGUUCUCUCAUCAUUAGUGAACGGGGUGGCUAUAUCAUUUAAUUUAGCAAGAUGUGCCACAACAGUUUUAGAUUCAUAACCAUAAAAAGGAUCAGAUUCAACCAAAGUAAUUAUAUCAGGAUCAAUAGAGAAUUCAUAAUCCUUAUCAAUAACAAAGAUAGGUGAAGUAGCAUAAGCAGGAUCAUAUUUCAUUCUAGCAUUCAGAGUUUUUUGUCUAAGCUUAGCUAAUAAUUUCUUAAGAUCACUUCUAUCAUUGCAAGCAAGAAAGUCUCUUUUAGUUUCUUCAUCCAUAACAUAGCCCUCAGGCACAACAGGCAAUUCAUAUUUAUUGGGAGAGCCUUCAUCAUCACUUUCAUCAAUAUUAUUAGUUUCAAUAAUUUCAUUCUCUCUAGCCCUAGCAAGUUGUUCAUCAAGAAAUUCAACAAGUGGCACAGUAGUAUCAAGCAUAGAAGUAGUUCCAUCAUAAGUAUCAUGCAUAGCAGAAGUGGCAUCAUCAAUAACAUGCGACAUAUCAGAAUUAAUAGCAGAAGCAGGUUUAGGUGUCGCAAGCUUACUCAAAACAGAAGGUGAAUCAAGUGCAGAGCUAGAUGGCAGUUCCUUACCUCCCCUCGUAGUUGAGGAAUAAAUUUUUGUCUCCUCGUCUUUCAAGUUCCUCAUAGUGACCAGCAGAUAUAAAUCCCAAGUGACUCAAAGAAUAGAGCUAUGCUCCCCGGCAACGGCGCCAGAAAAUAGUCUUGAUAACCCACAAGUAUAGGGGAUCGUAACAGUUUUCGAGGGUAGAGUAUUCAACCCAAAUUUAUUGAUUCGACACAAGGGGAGCUAAAGAAUAUUCUCAAGUAUUAGCAGUUGAGUUGCCAAUUCAACCACACCUGGAUAACUUAGUAUCCGCAGCAAAAUAUUUAGUAGGAAAGUAGUAUGGAAGUAACGGUAACGGUAGCAAAAGUAAUAUUUUUGGGUUUUGUAGUGAUUGUAACAGUAGCAACGGAAAAGUAAAUAAGCGGAGAACAAUAUGUGACGGUGAUGGAGAAUUAUGCCGGAUGCGGUUCAUCAUGUAACAGUCAUAACAGAGGCUGACACAGAACUAGCUCCAAUUCAUUAAUGUAAUGUAGGCAUGUAUUCCGAAUAUAGUCAUACGUGCUUAUGGAAAAGAACUUGCAUGACAUCUUUUGUCCUUCCCCCCCCCCCCCGGUGGCAGCGGGGUCCUAAUGGAAACUAAGGGAUAUUAAGGCCUCCUUUUAAUAGAAAACCGGACCAAAGCAUUAGCACUUAGUGAAUACAUGAACUCCGCAUACUACGGUAAUCACUGGAAAGAAUCCCAAUUAUUGUCACCUUGGGGUAUGCGGAUCAUAACUUGUAGUAGGUGUCUACAACUUGCAACAUCGGAUCAAGAACACAAAUAUAUACAUGAAAACAUAAAGGGUUCAGAUCUGAAUUCAUGGCACUCGGGCCCUAGUGACAAGCAUUAAGCAUAGCAAAGUCAUAGCAACAUCAAUCUCAGAACAUAGUGGAUACUAGGGAUCAAACCCUAACAAAACUAACUCGAUUACAUGAUAAAUCUCAUCCAACCCAUCACCGUCCAGCAAGCCUAUGAUGGAAUUACUCACGCACGGCGGUGAGCAUCAUGAAAUUGGUGAUGGAGGAUGGUUGAUGAUGACGACGGCGUCGAUUUCCCCUUUCCGGAGCCCCGAACGGACUCUAGAUCUGCCCUCCCGAUGAAGAACAGGAGGCGGCGGCUUUGUAUCAUAAAACGCCAUGAAUCCUUCUCUCUGAUUUUUCUCUCCCCGAAAGUGAAUAUAUGGAGUUGGAGUUGAGGUCGGUGGAGGUCCAGGGGACCCACAAGGCAGGGGGCUUGCCUUCCACCCUUGUGGACAGCAAGUGGGUCCCCCGCGGUUGAUUCUUUCACCAAUAUUUUUUAUUAAUUCCGAAAAUAUUCUCCGUGGAUUUUCAGGUCAAUUCGAGAACUUUUAUUUCUGCACAAAACUAACACCAAGGCAAUUCUACCGAAAAUAGCGUCAGUCCGGGUUAGUUCCAUUCAAAUCAUGCAAAUUAGAGUCCAAAACAAGGGCAAAAGAGUUUGGAAAAGUAGAUACGAUGGAGACAUAUCAACUCCCCCAAACUUAACCCAUUGCUUGUCCUCAAGCAAUUCAGUUGAUAAACUGAAAGUGAUAAACAAAAACUUUUACAAACUCUGUUUGAUCUUGUUGUUGCAAAUAUGUAUAGCAAGCAUUCGGGUUUUCAGCAAAGGUUAUGAACUAACUAUAUUCACAAUAACAUUUAGGUCUCACGUUUACUCAUAUCAAUGCCAUAAUCAACUACCGAGAAAUAAUAAUAAAUCUCGGAUGACAACACUUUUUAAAACAAUCAUGAUAUCAUAUAACAAGAUGGUAUCUCGCUAGCCCUUACUGAGACCGCAAAACAUAAAUGUAGAGCACCCCUGAAGAUCAAGGACUGACUAGACAUUGUAAUUCUUGGUAAAAGAGAUCCAGUCAAACUUAAUAUCAAUUAAUAACAAUGCAUACAAAUGACAAUGGUGUUCUCUAACUGGUGCUUCUUAUAAGAGGAUGAUGACUCAACAAUAAAAGUAAAUAGAUAGGCCCUUCGCAGAGGGAAGCAGGGAUUUGUAAAGGUGCCAGAGCUCGAGCUUUUUGAAACAGAGAUAAAUAAUAUUUUCAGCGGUAUUCUUUCAUUAUCAACAUAACAACCAAGAGAUCUCGGUAUCUUCCAUACUAAAUACAUUAUAGGUGGUUCCCAAACAGAAUGGUAAAGUUUUUACUCCCCCACCACCAACAAGAAAAUUCCAUGAAUGGUCCGAAACAACGGGUACCGUCCAACUAACAUCAAUCCUGGGGGAGUUUUGUUUGAAGUUAUAUUUUGAUUUGAUUUGAGCAUGGAACUGGGCACCCCAAUUACCAGCCAUUUUCUCGUGAAUGACGAGCGGAGUCCACACAUCGUGAGAAUAACCCACCUGGCAUGGAAGAUACUGACAGCCCCCAGUCGCUACAUGGGCGAUUCGGGCAUACAAAACAGAUAAUAAUUUGAAGGUUUAGAGUUUGGCACAUGCAAAUUUACUUGGAACGGCGGGUAAAUACCGCAUAUAGGUAGGUAUGGUGGACUCAUAUGGAACAACUUUGGGUUUAUGGAAGUGGAUGCACAAGCAGUAUUCCCGCUUAGUACAAGUGAAGGCUAGAAAACGACUGGGGAGCGACCAACUAGAGAGCAACAACAGUCAUAAACAUGCAUUGAGAUUAACCAACACCGAGUGCAAGCAUGAGUAGGAUAAAAAUCACCAUGAACAUAAAAAUCGUGGAGGCUAUCCUGAUUUUGUUUCAACUACAUGCGUGAACAUGUGCCAAGGCAAGCCACUCAAAUCAUUCAAAGGAGGAUACCAUCCUAUCAUACUACAUCACAACCAUUUUAAAAGCAUGUUGGCACGCAAGGUAAACCAUUAUAAACUCCUAGCUAAUUAAGCAUGGCAUGAGUAACUAUAAUCUCUAAUUGUUAUUGCAAACAUGUUUCAUUCAUAAUGGGCUGAAUCAGGAACGAUGAACUAAUCAUAUUUACAAAACAAGAUAGGUCGAGUUUAUACCAGCUUUUCCUCAUCUCAAUCAUUUCAUCAUAUACCGUCAUUAUUGCCUUUCACUUGCAUGACCGAACAAUGUGAAUAAUAAUAAUAGUGCACGUGCAUUGGACUAAGCUGGAAUCUGCAAACAUCUAUUCAAAGGAGAAGACAAGGUAAUAUGGGCUCUUUGUUAGAUCAACAAUAAUUCAUAGGAGAGCCACUCAUCAUUUUUGGAGUUUUUGUUUUGCUGAAGAAAGUAAAACAAGAACGAGAAAAACUAUUUACACGGGAAAGCUCCCAACAAGCAAAAGAAGAACGAGAAAUCUUUUUGGUUUUUCUUUAAUAGUACUACUACUACUACAUAAACAUGGAAAGGAAACUAAACAAAGCUACAACUAAUACUUUUGGUUUUUCUCAAAGUUUUUCCAACACACAAGAAGAAAGCGAGAAAAAGAAAAUAAACUAGCAUGGAUAAUACAAUGAAAAAGUAUGAACACCGACAACUAGAAUGAAUGCAUGAACAUGAAUGUAAUGUCGGUGAGAAAUACGUACUCCCCCAAGCUUUGGCGUUUGGCCUAAGUUGGUCUACGCCCAUGGAUUGAAGUGUCCCUCUCUAGUGUACUGAGGAGGGUCCUGGGGGUUCCACUGGUUAGCGAGCUCCUAUGGCUCCCACCGAUAAAUAGACUCCUGAUAUGGACCAGGUGAUGGCUCUGUCUCUGGAACUGGGGAUCGCGUCCGCUCCCAGUAUGCAUAAAUGUCCACGGGGAUCAUGGUGUACCUGCCUAAAUGAAUAUCGAACAAAGAAGGUGCAGGCAAGGUAAUAAUCUGACAAGUCUUCUCGCUAAAUACCAGGUUAUAGACGAGUCUCUUGUCCUUAUCAUCACUAAUAAAAUCAUGUGCUACCAUACUGUUAUAAUCUAAGUAUAUGGUGGGUUGCAGCUUCUCCUCUCUCUCGUCGUGCCUAAUGGGUAUCUCGAAGCGUCUAGCAAGACGGCAAGCAUAGAUACCUCCAAAGAUAGUACCCUUCAAACGGUUUAAACUCAACCGUUGAGCAACCAUAGCGCCCAAACUAAAAGUUCUAUCGCGAAGUAAAGUAUGGCGCAAAGUAGCGAGGUCAGGGGCACUAAGGCCUCCACUCUCUCCACGACCAAUUAAACAUCUCCCAGCAAAUAAUGAGUAAUAGCGUAAAACAAGAAAAUGUAAACUAGCCACUCUCACUUUCGACACCUUUCUCCCUUCCCCUACGGUAACUUCACCAAUAAAAUCUUCCACAUCUCUAGGACGUGGUUCAUCGACGCUGCCCUCAUAAGGUAAUUUUCAAACCUCACAACAGUCAUAAAGCAUCAUCUCCUUAUGCUCAUCAUAUAAAUAAAAAUCUACCAUGGGUGGUGAUUUCCUAGCAUGAAAGUGAAAAUUCUGCACGAAGGUAUUAGUGAGUAGGAGGUAUUGUUCACACUUAUCGUGAAGGAAGUCGGUGAUGCCUGCAUUACCAGAAAAAUAAUAGAAAUCCUCAUAAAUUCUGGCCGCCUCCAAGAAUGCAUCACUUGGCCAUUCACACGGUCGAACCUCUACGGUGCGAGGAAGGUUGUACUUGGGCUCCUUCUUCUCCUCAUUUUCAUUUUCCUUCGAACCCCAGCUCGAAGAGCCUCUCAACAAUCUCCUCAUUAUUUUCUCCCUCUGAAAAAUUGUGAAAUUUUUAGUGACUCAAAAAUAAAAGUGAACCAAACUCGACAAGAUUGAUAGCAACUACUCCUACAAGUGCCUAGAGGCUAAAUCAUGCAUCAAAACUACUUUCGACCAUAUCAAUUUGACAUGCAAGCUCAAGAACAAGGUCACCACAAUAGUAAAAAAAUUGCAAUAAAUAAAGCACUAGAACAAAAACUAAUUAGACCAUUGGAGGAGUCACAUACCAAAGAACAAUCCCCCAAAACAGUUUUGUAAAUGGAGCUUUGCACAAGGAGAUCAAAAAAGGCAGCAAGAUGAGCAAGAACACGGGCUUGAGCUACGGGAUGAUUUUUUCUGGAGGAAGACGAAGUGGAUGGGUGCUAGAAUAAGGGGGACCAACGUGGGACCCACAAGGCAGGGGCGCGCCUUCCACCCUUGUGGUCCACUGCUGCAGCCCCCUGGUGCCAGAAAUUCUAAAAUAUUCUAAAAAAAUCAUACUAAAUUUUCAGGGCAUUUGGAGAACUUUUAUUUUUGGGGCAUUUUUUAUUGCACAGAUAAUUUAGAAAAAAGACAGAUAAUACUAUUUUUGCUUUAUUUAUUUUAAAUAACAGAAAGUAAAAAGUAGGUACAGAAGGUUGUGCCUUAUAAAUUCAUCCAUCUCAUGCUCAUCAAAAGGAAUCUGUUAACAAGAUUGAUCAAGUCUUAUUAACAAAAUUCUUUCGAAUAUCAUGAAACCGGAGAAUUUUCGAAUAACACUAAGUUACCUCGACGGGGAUAUGCAUGUUGAUAAUCCACAAGUAUAGGGGAUCAAUUGUAGCUUCUUUCGAUAAGUAAGAGUGUCGAACCCAACGAGGAGCUAAAGGUAGAACAAAUAUUCCCUCAAGUUUUAUCGACUACCGAUACAACUCUACGCACGCUUGAUGUUCGCUUUACCUAGAACAAGUAUAAAACUAGACGUACUUUGUAGGUGUUUUUGGAUAGGUUUGCAAGAUAAUAAAGAGCGCAUAAAUAAAAAGUAGGGGCUGUUUAGAUAAAGAAGCAAUAAAGUUAGUAUAGCGAGUGUGGAAAAGUGGUGGUAGGAGUUGCGAAAUUGUCCCUAAGCAAUUGACUACUUUACUAGACCAAUAGCAAGUCUUAUGUGGGAGAGGCCACUGCUAGCAUGUCAUCCCUGACUUGGAAUUCUAUGCACUUAUGAUUGGAACUAUUAGAAAGCUUCCGCAACUACUAAAGUUCAUUAAGGUAAAACCCAACCAUAGCAUUAAGAUAUAUUGGUCCCCCUUCAAUCCCGUAUGCAUCAAUUUCUAUGCUAGGUUGAAGCUUCUGUCACUCUUGCCCUCCAAUACAUAGUCCUAUCAACAUACAACUAACCCUAUGGUGUGAUCCACGCGCGCGCUCAUAUGAUGGGUACCAAAGGACAGCAACAUAACCACAAGCAAAUUAAACCAAUCAUAGCAAUUCACCAAUUACCGAUAGGACAACGAAAAUCUACUCAGACAUCAUAGGAUGGCAACACAUCAUUGGAUAAUAAUAUGAAGCAUAAAGCACCAUGUUCAAGUAGAGGAUAUAGCGGGUUGCGGGAGAGUGGACCGCAGUAGAUAGAUGGGGAAAGGUGAUGAAGAUGAUGGAGGUGUUGGUGUAGAUCGCCGUAACACGAUGAUGGCCCCAGCGGCGUUCCGGCGCCACCGAGAGAGAGGGGGAGAGGGCCCCCCUUCUUCUUCUUCCUUGACCUUCUCCCUAGAUGGGAGAAGGGUUUCCCCUCUGGUCCUUGGCUUCCAUGGCAUGGGAGGGGCGAGAGCCCCUCCGAGAUUGGAUCUGUCUCUCUGUCUCGCUCUGUUUCUGCGUUCUGGAUUCUACCCUUUCACCGUUUCUUUUAUAACCGGAGAUCCGUAACUCCGAUUGGAUUGAAACCUUCGCCACGAUUUUUUUUCUUCUGAAAAUUAGCUUUCUUGCGGCAAAAGAAUAGCAGCAACCGCCUUACGGGGUGCCCACGAGGGUCAGGGGCGCGCCUGCCCCCCUGGUGCGCGCCCCCUGCCUCGUGGCCCCCUCGGGCACCGUCUCGCGUUGAUUCUUCGUACAGAUAUCAAAAAUAUUCCAAAAAUAUUCUCCGUCCGUUUUUAUCCCGUUUGGACUCUGUUUGAUAUGGGGUUUCUGCGAAACAUAAAACAUGCACCAAACAGGAAUUGGCACUGGGCACUGGAUCAAUAUGUUAGUCCCAAAAAUAGUAUAAAAAGUUGCCAAAAGUAUAUGAAAGUUUUAUAAUAUUGACAUGGAACAAUCAAAAAUUAUAGAUACGACGGAGAUGUAUCACAUCUCCCCAACAAUAGGAAUAUCAUAUUUCUUUUCGACAGUAGGGAGAGGGAAUUCAAAACCUCCAAUAGUAAUCGUUGAAACUUUUUCAAUAGAAUUGAUACUAUGAACUUGAGGUUGUUUCUUCGAAAAGUGUACCGUAUGCGCAUUGCCAUUAACAUGAAAAGUGACAUUGCCUUUGUUGCAAUCAAUAACAGCCCCUGCAGUAUUCAAAAAGGUCUACGAAGGAUGAUCGACAUACUGUCGUCCUUGGAAAUAUCAAGAAUAACAAAGUUCGUUAAGAUAGUAACAUCACUACAACAAGAACCCCCCUUCAGCAACGCAUAGAUACGUUGUCGUUUGUCCAUAUAAGCAUUGCUAAGGUCUACACCAACGGAUUCAUAUGUGUUGCCGUUGGUGGCGCUGCAAGGGUCUACAACAACGUAUAUAGAUCCGUUGGUAAUCUGGGAAAUAAUGUGUUGCAAGGCAACAACAGAUUCAUGCAACAUUUCUAUGCGUUGGUGCUUGCAAAAUAGAAUAGCCUCCAUAUAUAAUCAUUUUUUUGUGGUAUAUGUAAUCAUUUAUAACGUUGUUGUUCCUUGCACUGGUGCUUGCAAAAUAGUGUAACCUCCAUAUAUAAUCAUUUAUAACAAUAGGUAGUUCAAAUGGCAGUACAAGCUAGAACUUUACUAAAAUUCAAAAGAGUAUAAAUGAAAGUGAUAUAUUGAUUCGAUGGAACAAUCUGUUACAUUACAAUGCAAGUAUCAUCAAUCAGGAGUACAUCACUUUCUUAGAAAAUAUAAAAAAAAUGAAAAAUAAAACAUUCUAAACAUUAAGGGAUCUGUCUGGUUUCUCCUCCAGGUACAAGAAUCAUCAUACGUUCUCCAAGGUCCAAGUAAUCAUCUUGUAUUGAAAUUCUCAAACUACAAAGAAAAGUCAUAAUACCAUUUAGGCAUAAAUUCAAAAUGAAGUUUAAAAAUAUACAUACUAUGCAUUGUUCCUAAAAGGAUCCACAGAGAAAUUACCAAGUGNNNNNNNNNNNNNNNNNNNNNNNNNNNNNNNNNNNNNNNNNNNNNNNNNNNNNNNNNNNNNNNNNNNNNNNNNNNNNNNNNNNNNNNNNNNNNNNNNNNNNNNNNNNNNNNNNNNNNNNNNNNNNNNNNNNNNNNNNNNNNNNNNNNNNNNNNNNNNNNNNNNNNNNNNNNNNNNNNNNNNNNNNNNNNNNNNNNNNNNNNNNNNNNNNNNNNNNNNNNNNNNNNNNNNNNNNNNNNNNNNNNNNNNNNNNNNNNNNNNNNNNNNNNNNNNNNNNNNNNNNNNNNNNNNNNNNNNNNNNNNNNNNNNNNNNNNNNNNNNNNNNNNNNNNNNNNNNNNNNNNNNNNNNNNNNNNNNNNNNNNNNNNNNNNNNNNNNNNNNNNNNNNNNNNNNNNNNNNNNNNNCCUAAGCUUAUGUAUGUCUGAAAAAUAACUUAGUAAUACAUGUUAAAACACUAAUUAUGUUUGACCAAUCGGAUGUGCCUGUUCACUGUGAACAACCAGCAUCAUGUAUUCACUACUAACAAUUAUCCAAGAUUGUAUUCUAUCAGCAACGAGAUGAGUUGAUCAACCAACUAAAUGCUGAAUAGGUAAGCAAUAAAAUCGACUAUACAAAAUUGGAUAUUUCCGUUUUCCAAAAGUCUCAACACUAAAUAGUUUUGUGUCACCAUUACUCACAUACUGCUCAUGCUUGGUAUGAUGUAUUAGAGGAAAAGAACUCAAUGCCAAGAGCUAAAAAAUCAUUAACUAGUCAACAUCACACAGAACUUCGUAGAUGAGAACUACAAUGUCACAUUAUAAUUUCUAAAUUCAAGAAUAAGAUUCUUGGAACCAUUAGAAGAAACAACAUGAAAAAGAAACACAUCAUUAGAUUUGGGCUUCUAUAGGAAAAAGUAGUGGAGUUUUGUUUCUAGAGAAGGUAGGAUCCAAGGUGUUUACAGGGAAAUAAAAAUAAUUUAAUGUGGCACUAUUUAAUUCUUCAAGACCAGCCUAACUCUAAAGCUGAAUACAUAUUUAACAAAAUGCUCCAGGGGUGACCUAUGUAAUGGCCGAAGAAUCUAAAUAAAAGGAAACCUAUGUAAUGGAUGAACAAUUUUAUAUCAGUACUUAUCCAAUUUUAAGAAACACUACCCAUGUGCUUUUACUACCAACGUGGCAUAUAUCAUAUAAUGAAUAGAACUUGAUCUUUGGUCGCAACUCAGCUCCCUAAUCAUGUACUCCCUCCGUCCCAAAAUGUAAGAUCAUUCUUUACACUAUGAUAGUGUCAAAAAUGGUCUUACAUUUUGAGAUGGAGGAAGUACCAUUUGUCACGUCACCUAAUAACUGAAUAUCAAUACAUAUAUGAAUCUACAAAAUAUGGGCCUGAACGUAAGUUAAGACCGACAUAUAUAGGCACACUUAACUAACAGACUCGUUGGACCAGUUAGUGUAAAAAAUGAAGGAAAUGGAAUAAAUAAGGAUGCUACAUCAUGAGGAGAAGAUAAGGAGAUGAAAACCUUAGUGGCCUGAACCAGGGGAGGUUUAUCAAGUAAGCGAAUGGGUUGCCCCACUUUCUGCGAUUACAUCGUAAGCUGCACAUUUCCAUCUGCCCCUAAAGCUCCACACAAUUAAAGAAAGUUAAUCCCUCACACAAUCAACCCAAGGCAGGUUAAAUAUUUUAACACAAUCCUACCUAUUUGCGCAUCUAUUGUCAACAGUUCGAAACCUGACCUGUAGGAAAGUUUCAUAACAACAUCAUGGUUGCUGCAAGUGUCUAGACUUUAGAAACUGACAGACUGUUAGCUGACAUCUUGCAGGCACAAAAAUUGCAAGGAAAAAAAAUCACAUGAUGAGAUACUGGUGGAACAAAUAAUACCAAGAAUUGUAAGGAAAAGGGACCAUGGAAUCAAUAAGGAGCUAGAGGGUUCCAUGAUCAUUAUUGUACGCAUUCUACAUAUGGAAUAAUUUUUGCAAUGAAUAGUAUAAAAGAAAAGCUAAUCAAGAGAAAGAUUAGAGAAGAGAUAACGAGUAGUAGGUUCAAUUUGCAAGAAUUUUAAAACAUACGGAUCUUCCAUAUUUUUUAUUUGGGAAUGCAUGUCAUCUUCUAUCUACUGUAUAUAUACUGAGGAGCAGCAAAAUCAGCAGCGGUGACAGUAGCAAUCAGCGGCAGCAGCAAUGGCAACCAGCCGUAGAAGAAAACAAUCAGCGCCAGCGGCAACCGUCUUCUAUCUACUGUAUAGGUACUAAGGAGCAGCAAAAUCAGCAGCGACUAUAAUAGCAAUCAGCGGCAGUAACAAGCCAACAAUGGCAACUAGCAGCGAUAGCAAACAAUCAGCGGCAGCGGCAACCAUCUUCUAUCUACAGCAAAAUCAGCAGCAGUAAUGAACAAUCAGUGUCACCAAGGGCUAUACUUUCCAUCACCACGCACGCACCACAUAGACACAUGAAAACGAGUCAAGCACGCACGCAGCUACAGGCAAACGCACGAACGGCCACGAGAGCAAGACCACGCCGGUCGCAGGGCGCCAAAUAAAGCCAAAAGAAGCAUCUUCGCCGCUGAAGGCUUUGUGAGCCGCAAGAAGCCAAGAACCACACGCACAUGCGGGAUCCAAUUGACAGUUGAGGAACAUGACCGGAGCUACACCCCAUGCUCCUCUGACCUCGGGCUCAUCCCAACUGCCGGCCAGCACCGAGUUACCACCAGUCCACCACAGAGAGACAUCCACCACAGAGAGAUGGGAGCAGAAACCUACACCACAACUUGUUUGAGAGAUCCAUGGCCGAGCCGGAAGCAGUGACGCGGAAUAGUGCCCUCCAAAACAGAGGCGAGCGUGUUGCACCGGCGAUCCUUGUUGACCAGGGUUACUGCAGGGACGCGUGCAGUGGCGUGGAGGACUUCGCCACGGCGGAAUAUAGGAGGAGAGCACUGGGGGAGUCUGUCCUAUGAGCGACGAUGCGGGACAGUGAUGGAUCUAGGCAGAAUUGAAGGUGGCGGCGGCUCGUCAUGGAAGUCGGGUGAGACAGAGGGGAAUCUGGGGAGAGAGAUGGCGGACGAUGUAUACGGGAGGUGUGGGUACAAGGAGGUUUGAUACUACUCUACUUUUUAGGGACGAGGAGGUUAGCUCUAAGCGUGGAAGGGUUAGGGACGAGGAGGUUAGCUCUAAGUGUGGGAGGUGGGAUAAACAACAGAUCUUAUAAUAUCUUUGGUACACAUGCGUUGGUAUAGGGGAUUUUUGUUGUAGUGCGUUUGCAACCACAACAGGCACAUCCUCACAAACAUCGAUGGGUAUAGCAGUUGAUUUAUUAGCCAUUUGCAAAGAGAUAUCAGUAGGUGUCAACUUAUUCAAUUCAAGUCUACGAUAUAAAGAGAAAGGCAUAACACUAACACCGGCUCCAAGAUCACAUAAAGCAGUUUUAACAUAGUUUCUUUAGUGGAGCAUGGUAUAGUUGGUAUUCCUGGAUCUCCAAGUUUCUUUGGUAUUCCACCCUUAAAAGUAUAAUUAGCAAGCAUGGUGAAAAUUUCAGUCUCUGGUAUCUUUCUUUUAUUUGUAUCAAUAUCUUUCAUAUACUUAGCAUCAGGAGACAUUUUCAGAAUAUCAGUCAAACGCAUACGCAAAAAGACAGGUCUAAGCAUUUCACAAAAGCGCUCAAAAUUCUCAUCAUCUUUUUUCUUGAAAUGGCUGAGGAGGAAAGGGCAUGGUUUUCUGAACCCAAGGUUCUCUUUCUUUACCAUUCUUCCUAGCAACAAAGUCUCUCUUAUCAUAACGUUGGUUCUUUGAUGGUGGGUUAUCAAGAUCAACAACAGGUUCAAUCUCUACAUGAUUAUCAUUACUAGGUUGAGCAUCAACAUGAACAUCAUCAUUAACAUUAUCACUAGGUUCAUGUUCAUCACCAGAUUGUGUAACUCAGCAUCAGAAAUAGAUAUAUCAUUUGGAUUCUCAGGUGUAUCUAUAACAGGUUCACUAGAAGCAUGCACUUGGGCUAAUAUUACUAGGACUAGGUGCAUCAGUAUUAAUUUUCUGAGAAUCUUGCUCAACUCUCUUAGGAUGGCCCUCGGGAUACAAAGGUUCCUGGGUCAUUUUACCACCUCUAGUAAUAACACUAACAGCAUUAUCAUUGUUCUUACUAUUCAACUCAUUGAGCAAAUCAUCUUGUGCCUUAAGCACUUGUUCUACUUGAGUUUUAACCAUGGAAGCAUGCUUACUAAUAAUCUUAAGAUCACUGACAGUUCUACUCAUAUAAUCACCCAAGCAGUCAAGCAUAUAAGCAUUAAGUUUCAAUUGUCUACUAACAUAAGCAUUGAAAUUUUCUUGUUUAACAGUAAAAUUAUUAAGGGUUUUUUACAUUUGUGCCCCUGGUUCCUUAGCUCUACUCAUUCAUCCCCGCGCUCUUUACUUUUGCUCAAUUUUCCCCACUCCCUUGCCAGAAACCCUCAUAACUGGUCACAACGGACGUUGUCGUCGGGUCAAAGGCUUGACAGUUAACUCUGGCUAGUGGGGCCACGCUGGACUGUGUCGUCUGUUGGACCUGACAAGUGGGGCCGCGUUGGGUGGUGUCGUUGUUCGACCGUUGGGCCGUGGUUUCAUUGGGCCGUCCCUUGCAUUAAACGUAUGUGCGCGCCGCCAGGACAGAAGCCUGCUAUGCAUGCACCCAGCAAAGCCUGCCUGCAUGCGUCGAUCGAGCCUGCAUGCGCCGAUGCCACGAUGCCGCGAUGCGCCGACCGAGCCUGCAUGCGCCGAUGUGUCCGCCACGAUGCACUGACCGAGCAGCUUUCUUGCACGCCAGCCGCCACGGAUGCAACGAUGGCCACUGCCGCUGGUUCCUCUCUUCUAGCUAGGUGGCUACAUAUUUGUGGCUUGUGUAAAAAAAGAGCCACUCCCUUGCUUAGCUCUACUCAUUCAUCUCUACUAACAAAGUUUGUUUGCAUGCACUAGGUGGUUUCUAACAAGGGAACCAUACUAACAAGCCGAGCUCUCUAAGAAAACAAUCAACAAAUAUGUAGUCCCAAUAUGUAGAUAUGGCCAACAAGCCCAUAGCACGAUCACAUAGUUCAAACUAGGAAGAACUUAAUAAUAGAAUAGGUAGAAAAUUUAAUAAAGAACUUAAGAAAAGGGCCAACAAGCCCAUAGAAACUCCAACAUAGUUCAAUUACAACUUAACAUAACAUAGAAUAAAAAAAGAUAGAGGGUUUAGAACCCUAGCCGCCGCCUUCUCCACCUCGCUCCUCCCUCGGGCGCCCUUUUCACUGCUCCUCCGGGGAGUUGUCGAUGGGGUACGGAAGAGUGUGCAUGCGCGUCGCGGUGGGGAAGAUGUUGGUGUACUCCGUGAACCUGUUGGGGGUGGUUAAAACAAUGAACUCGGAGCCACACCAAAACACCCGGCCGAGGAGGUAGAAGGCGUCGAAUGUGUUGGUGAAGUGGGCAAGGAGAGAAACCACCACCCGGUUUUUGAUGACCUCCUUGAUGCGAAACAUCGUUGGAGAUCCCCGCGGGAGGUGGUGGUAGUCGGACGCCAGCAAGAACUCGGUGAAGUUCCUUGCGGUCCACAGCCUUGAUAUCGCCCACACACGUAGUGUGCGAUCAACGUACACGCCGGUAGGGUAGAGCCUCUCCGGCACGGUGGGUGGGAAGCGGUAGGUUGGUCCGGUGUACUGCAUGGCUGAGGGAUGUGUAGAAGAAGGAGAAGGGGUUGAAGAGCAAGAAGGGCAGAUGGAUGAGGGAUGGCAGAGGCAAAGGGUGGGAGAUGACAGAGGCAGAGGGUGGCUUAAAUAGCCGUAGUGCUACAUGUUAUUUGGCCGUGGCAAUAGCAGGGUAAAAUGUGAAGUAGCCCGUUUUCAAACCCACCGCAGCAUCGGGAGUGUACACGCGUGGGAAACGGUGGUUUGAAAAGAAGAAGAAAAAGAGGCUAAUUGCACGCGUGGGAAUCCGUGGUCAUAUAUAUUAUAUGAACAAAAAGAGACAAUUUUUGAAGGCUUGUGGCCAUUUUGCAUGAUAAAAAUAAAUUUGACCCUUAUAAAUUUGGUCAUUUUGCAUGAUAAACAAUGAUAAAGGGCUUGUGGCCAUUAUACAAAUGCAAAAUGACCCAUUUUUGAAUAGUUUGUGGCCAUUUUGCAUGAUAAAAAUAAAUUUAGCCCUUAUAAAUUUGGUCAUUUUGCAUUUGUAUAGAACAAAAGGAACUAAAUUUUCUACGCAAUGUCAAUUGUUGUGUAAUUUAAAACGAUGCAAAAAAACAGAGCCAACACGUUCACAAAAAACAGAGCCAACACGUUCACAAAAAGAACGACGCAAUUCGACGGCCCAAUCAGAGCUUGGUUUCCUUUUGGGUCCAAUUACAAUAUUUUUUUGCGGUGUCAAUGGUGGGCAAGCAGUCGAGCACAACCAACAGGAUCGCCUCUCGUAGAUCGCCCCAAGAUCGAACGAUGCAGAGCCGUCCUUGUGAUCCAACGGCCCGGAGCCUGCAUGCAGCCUGCCCACCAAAUUCUUUCUAGAAUACCACAUCUGAGGGUUGUUGCUUGGCUCCAGGGUAUGAUCGGACGGCUGACGUUUGGAGCUAGGGUUAGGCGAAACCCCGUGGGGUUUAGAGGGGUUUUGAGCUGGUCAACAGGGUUACGAAAGCUUUGACUGAGCAAUAAUUUAAAAAAACGAAAAAUAUGAAACCUUUGCCAUUCGUCGUUUUAUAGGACAUACCAACGAGGAAAAAAUACUGAACUUGGUCUGUGGUCAUUUUCAUGAAAAACCCCUAGCUGGCACGAUUGAGGUCAAGUAAGCGCCAUUAAUUUAAAAAAAUCAAAAAAAAAAUUAAACCUGCGCACAAUUGUCUUAUGUUACAUGUUACCAACCAAAAAUCAUAAACUUGGUCUAUGGUCAUUUUCGUGAGAAAACAUUCCAACAUAUGAGCUAUCACCUACAAGAUUUCAUAGAGUACAAGGAGAUGAGGUAGGGUUACCUUCUGUUUUUUAAAAAAUUUAAAAAAUCACCAAAGCUUUAUUUCAAAGUGAAUAAGAAGGAUCUGAACUUAGUUUUCCAUAUUCAUAUUUUAAACGUGUUUUUAAUAGUUUUUAUAUUAAAGCAUAUUUUUCAAAAGAAAAUGUAAAAAUAUGAAGAUUAAUUCAAAAAAUAGUGAGACUUCGAAUCUACACUAUAUAGAUUGAAUAGGUGUUAAUAAAAAACAUUUGGCUCAUUUGGAGUAGGUCCAAAAAACUUGAUUACAAAUGGGUUGUUUACCCUAGCUUGGGAGCUCAUUUGGAGCACAUUUUCUCAAAUUCAAAUUUCUUUGACCUCGUCUAAAUAACCUCAAAUUUUGCACACAUGAUCUCCUACACAAACAUAGAUAGUUUGCCAAGGUUUUUUUUUUGCAUUUUCUUGAAUUUAUACUGUCCUGUCAAAUGUCAGUUCAAAACAUCAGAUAAUGAAACAUGCUGGUGGGAAAAAGCAUGCAUUUGAUUUGAUUAAAAAACACGAGACCAAUAACAUGCGUGAUCAGUGAAGCAACACUAAAACAUGUGUGAUCAGUGAAGCAACACUAAAGUGAUCAGUGAAGCAACACUGAAGUGAUCAGUGAAGCAACACUGAAACAACAGGUCUGAUCAGUGAAGCAACACUGAAACAACAUGUGUGAUCAUUGCAGCACCUAAACUCAUUGUUCACAACAUCUAAACAGAACUAACCAUACACCACAGGCAAAUAUAAGGACAGACAAAUAUAGAUAGAAUAAUACAUUGCUAGCAUCACCAUAGAUUCUGUUCACACCAUAAACAGCCACAUUCAGUUUACAAAAAGUAAUUGGACCCAAAGUAACCCAAAAGAUAAAGAUUCAGUUCAUCACAGCAUCACAUCAUCACAUCAGCCUGGAGUCAGGGCCUUCGCGAGCGCAGCAUGCCGCCCCCUGAUCAUGUAGACCUCCCCACGGAUCGAAACAUCCUCUGCAUGACACAGAAGGUGAUCGAAGCGGCCAUCCUUUGGCUUUGGCUUGGUGGUGCAGUAGGGGCAGUGCCUCUUCUUGAUCUUGCGGUUGUAGAAGGAAGCAACUCCCUGGUCCUUGAUCUUCUCCACCUCCUUGGUUGUGAAGGACGCGAUGUUGCCCUUGUACACAUUAUCUCCAGAAUCAUACUGCACACAUGAAUGAAUUGCAUUAAUACAUUAUAGAUUCAUAUACACCAUGUCAAAGGAACUAAAUGAACAAGGGAUAGGCUUACCUCAUAUUCUUCGUCAUCACUAAACUCUGGAUCAUACGGGUCAUAGUCGGCCAGCUUCCUCUCCCCCCCAACCAUCAUCCUCCUGAAUAUACAAUUACAUCCAUCACUAGUAGCCAAUUGAAAAUUUAGAUAUGCACACAUGACACAUUGAUCAUAGGGCUAAUAUACUCCCAAUACGACAUUCAAAACCCCAACCUGAGUAGCAUUCAAAAACAAAUCUAAUAUAACUACAUAUGACAUUCAAAACCCCAAUAUGACAUUCAAAUAACACAUUGAUCAUUGGUCAUGCACACACAUUGAACAACAGAGCUAAUAUAACUACAUAUUGUGGACAGAUUUAUAUAAUAAUGAAUCAAAUAACUUCUCAAUCAAUGGAUUCCAUUUGGGCAUAUGACAUUCAAAACCCCAAUAUGAGUAGCAUGCAAACACAAAUCUAAUAGGGCCCCAAUCUAAUAAGCAUACAUGUCUGUAGCAUUAAAAACCCCAAUCUGUGAGCAUUAAAAACAAAUCUAAUAAGCAUACAUCUGUGUAGCAUUGAAGCACUUCUAAUAAACAGAUCUAUCUAGCAUUUUUGCAACGAAUUUAUCCAACAAACCCUAGUACAAAAACCCCCAUCCCCCCAAUACAGAAAACGCUGGCCCAUCCGUCAAACCAACUACUCUAACCAUCUGAAUCCACAAUCUAACUAAUCCAACUAACUCUACAAGCUAAUAUCCUAAAGCAAAGCAAGUGCAAAUACCUCCUGCUGCUCUCCAGGUUGCGCAUCGGUGGUAUGGGGAUGGACUCGCUGCUCGACGCUGUCACCUUCUGCAGCGCUGAAGCAGAGCCCGCCACCUCCUUAUCCACAUCCGCAGCGAUUGCAAGUUUCCCCGCACCACCGUGGAUGCCGCCGACAUCCGUGGUCACCGCGUCCUGCAGCUCGACCACAUCUCCGGCCGCUACGCCGUCGCCGCCAUGAGCUUCGGCCAUCUCCGGGCAGAUGGAGGUGAUGAAGGUGAGAAAGAGGAUGCGGUGGGGGAGAGCGAGACGGUGCGUUGGAGGCAGUUGAGGAGAGCGACACGACGCCGGUGGGGGAGAAAAAGACGAUGCGGCAACGAGUGGAUUUGGGCGAAAACCCUGGGGGGGAAUGGUAGGGGCGAUGCGCCGCGAGGUGGUUCCCCCUCAUUUAUAUGAUGGGACGUUUCGGGCAUGUCCCAUGGACACGUGCUACCCCACGACCGCGGUCAGUUGCAUGCGCCCACGUAUACGAAUACCUAUACAGUCAGCAUACGAAACAACUAUACGGGUAACGGUCAAAGGUGUACUCGGCCCUAUGCGGCCCCACUCGCCAGAGUUAACGGUCAAAGGCAUUGACCCGGCGGCAAUGUCCCUUGUAACCUGUUCUGAGGGUUUCGAGCAAGGGAGUGGGGAAAAGUGAGCAAAAGUUAACAUAGUGGGGAUGAAUGAGUAGAGCUAAGGAACCACGGGCCGAGAAAUAGAAACCCAAUUAUUAAACUCAUCCAAGCAUUGACUAGCAGACUUAUUAUGAGGAAUAUCACCUUCAUCAAAUCUAUAGAAAGAAUUUACCUCUACUACCUGUGUUGGGUUAUCAAGACCAUGUAUUUCUUCAAUAGGCGGUAAAUUCUUAACAUCUUCAGUUUUAAUACCUCUUUCUUUCAUAGAUUUGUUUGCCUCUUGCAUAUCUUCAGGACCGAGAAAUAGAAUACCUCUUUUCUUUAGAAUUUGCUUAGGAAGUCGUUCGGGAAGUGUCCAAUCAUUAUCAUUACUCAAUAUAUUAUUCAAUAGCAAUUCAGCCUCCUCAAUAGUUCAUUCCCUGAAAACACAACCAGCACAACUAUCUAGGUGGUCCCUAGAAGCAUUGGUUAGUCCAUUAUAAAAGAUAUCAAGUAUUUCGUUUUUCUUAAGAGCAUGAUCAGGCAAAGCAUUAAGCAAUUGGAGAAGCCUCCCCCAAGCUUGUGGGAGACUCUCUUCUUUAAUUUGCACAAAGUUAAAUAUUUCCUGUAAGGCACUUGUUUCUUAUGAGCAGGAAAGUAUUUUGCAGAGAAGUAGUAAAUCAUAUCAUGGGGACUACGCACACAAACAGGAGUAAGAGAAUUAAACCAUAUCUUAGCAUCGCCCUUUAAUGAGAAAGGAAACAACUUAAGAAUAUAGUAAUAGCGAAUUUGUUUCUCAUGAGCAAAUAGGGUGGCUAUAUCAUUCAAUUUAGUAAGAUGUGCCACAACUGUUUCAGAUUCAUAACCAUGGAAAGGAUCAGAUUCAAUGAAAGUAAUUAAAUCAGGAUCGACAGAGAAUUCAUAAUCCUUAUCAGUAACAAAGAUAGGUGAAUUAGCAAACUUAGGAUCAUAUUGCAUUCUAGCAUUCAAAGAAUUUUCUCUCCACUUGCAUAAUAAUUCCUUAAGAUCAUCUCUAUCCUUACAAGCAAGAAAGUCCCUAGCUACCUCUCCAUCUAUAACAUAACCCUCAGGCAUAACAGGAAGUUCAUAUCUAGGAGAGCUAGGUCUAACAGGUGUUUCAAAGUUUUUAGUUUCAAUAAUUUCAUCAGUUUCAGAAAUAUCAUCAUCUUCAGCAUAAUCAAUAGUUCUAACCCUAGCAAGAUGUUCAUCAAGUAAUUCACCAAGUGGCAUGAUUUUAUCAUGCAAAGUAGUAGCAUCAUAAGCAUCAUUCAUAGCAGAAGUAGCAUCAUCAAUAACACGCCACAUAUCAAAAUCAAUAACAGGUGUAGGUGUCGCAAGCUUACUCAAAACAGAAUGUGAAUCAAGUGCAGAGCUAGAUGGCAGAUCCUUACCUCCCCUCGUAGUAGAGGGAUAGAUCCGGUUCUAGUAUCUUUCAAAUUUUUCAUAGUGAUCAAUAGAUAUAAAUCCCAAGUGAUUCAGAGAAUAGAGCUAUGCUCCCCGACAACAGCGCCAGAAAAAGGUCUUGAUAACCCACAAGUAUAGGGGAUCGCAACAUUUUUCGAGGGUAGAGUAUUCAACCCAAAUUUAUUGAUUCGACACGAGGGGAGCCAAAGAAUAUUCUCAAGUAUUAGCAGCUGAGUUGUCAAUUCAACCACACCUGAAAGAAUUAAUAUCUGCAGCAAAGUAUUUAGUAGCAAAGUAAUAUGGCAGUAACGGUGACGGUGGCAAAAGUAACAGUAGCAGUUUUGUAGCACUUGUAACUGUGGCAACGGAAAAGUAACUGAGCAAAGAUCAAUAUGUGAAAAGCUCGCACGCAAUGGAUCAAUGAUGGAUAAUUAUGUUGGAUGGCAUUCAUCACGCAACAGUUAUAACCUAGGGUGACUGAUAUGUCUCUGUCGUAUAUAUAAUUUUUUUUGUUCCAUGCCAAUAUUCUACAACCUUUACAUACUUUUGGGAACUUUUUACACUAUUUUUUGGGACUAACAUAUUGAUCCAGUGCCCAGUUCCAGUUUGUUGCAUGUUUUUUAUUUCACAGAAAAUCCAUAUCAAACAGAGUCCAAAUGGGAUAAAAACUAAUGGAGAUUUUUUUGGAAUAUUUAUGAUUUUUGGGAAGAAGAAUCAACGCGAUACGAUGCCCGAGGGGGCCACGAGGCAGGGGGCGUGCCCUGGGCCCUCGUGGCCACCCCGUAAGGCGGUUGGUGCCCUUCUUUCGCCGUAAGAAAGCUAAUAUCUGGAUAGAGAUCGUGUCCAAAUUUCAACCCCAACGGAGUUAAGGAUCUCCGGGAAUAUAAGAAACGGUGAAAGGGCACAAUCAGGGAGCGCAGAAACAGAGAGAGACAGAGAGACAGAUCCAAUCUUGGAGGGGCUCUCGCCCCUCCCAAGCCAUGGAGACCAUGGACCAGAGGGGAAACCCUUCUCCCAUCUAGGGAGAAUGUCAAGGAAGAAGAAGAAGAAGGAGGGGGGCUCUCUCCCCCUCGCUUCCGGUGGCACCGGAGUGCCGCCGAGGCCAUCAUCGUCACCGCAAUCUACACCAACAACUUCACCGCCGUCAUCACCAACUCUUCACCCCUCUAUGCAGCGGUGUAACCCCUCUUUUACCCGCUGUAAUCUCUACUUAAACAUGUUGCUCAACACUAUAUAAUAUUUCCCAAUGAUGCAUGGCUAUCCUAUGAUGUUUGAGUAGAUCCGUUUUGUCCUAUGGGUUAAUUGAUGAUCGUGAUUGGUUUUGAGUUGCAUGUUUUAUUAUUGGUGUUGUCCUAUGGUGCUCUCCAUGUCGCACAAGCAUGAGGGAUCCCCGCUGUAGGGUUUGCAAUAUGUUCAUGGUUUUCUUAUUGUCUGUGUUGCGUGAGUGACUGAAAAACAAACACGGAUAAGUGGGUCAUGGCAUAUGGGAAUAAAUAGGACUUGAUACUUUAGUGCUAUGGUUGGGUUUUACCUUAAUGAUCUUUAGUAUUUGUGGAUGCUUACUAGAGUUCCAAUCAUAAGUGCAUAUGAUCCAAGAAGAGAAAGUAUGUUAGCUUAUGCCUCUCCCUCAAAUAAAAUUGCAAUAGUGAUUACCGGUCUAGUUAUCGAUUGCCUAGGGACAAAUAACUUUCUCGUGACAAAAAGCUCUCUACUAAAACUAAUUUAGUUGUGUCUUUAUCUAAACAGCCCCUACUUUUUAUUUACGCGCUCUUUAUUAUCUUGCAAACCUAUCCAAAAACACCUACAAAGUACUUCUAGUUUCAUACUUGUUCUAGGUAAAGCGAACGUUAAGCAUGCGUAGAGUUGUAUCGGUGGUCGAUAGAACUUGAGGGAAUAUUUGUUCUACCUUUAGCUCCUCAUUGGGUUCGACACUCUUACUUAUCGAAAGAGGCUACAAUUGAUCCCCUAUACUUGUGGGUUAUCAAGACCUUUUUCUGGCACCGUUGCCGAGGAGUUAUAGCAUGGGGUGAUUAUUCUCGUGUGUGCUUGUUUGCUUUAUCACUAAGUAAUUUUUAUUUGUUGUUCUAAGUUGUUCUCUAUCUUUAGUUAUGGAUAUGGAACACGAAAUACCAAAAAAAAUAGGUUUACUUGCUACUCAUGGAGAUGGGGAACCUCCUAAAACCCUCGAUGCUCAUUAUGUGAAAGAUAUUAUGUACUACUUUGAUAAUCCUGAGAAAACCCCAUUCAAUUAUGUUAUGGGAGAUACAUUGGAUCAACGUGAAUAAUUUAGGGAUUAUCGCUUGACUCAAAAAGAGAAACUAUUAUGGGAUCAAAUUUAUAUGUUGUAUUGGUAUGCUAGGCAACUAUGCUUGAGAUAUGAUUAUACUUGUUGCUCUAGGAUGAAGGCUCCACACCUUCCCUUUUCAUGAAAAUUUAUUGAUAAUGAAACCUUAGCUUCUUAUUCUAAUGGUAUAUAUGAUUACUAUGAUGUGGAACGAAUAGAAGAAUUCGUUGCUUCUAUGGGUGCUUAUAAAAUUGAAUCUUUGUUUAAAGAGUGAAAAUCUUGAUGAUUCAGUUUAUAGACCUGAAAAUUUAGCUAUCCUUAAAUAUUGCUAUGAGAAUUAUGAAUUCAAUUCCGAUAUUGAUGAUUUUAUUGAGAGAGUCUCCGUUGUCCAAGAAGAGACUAAUAUUUUGCAGGAGUCUAUGGAAGAAGAAAUUAAUGACACUGUGAGCUCAUUGGAUGAAAAAGAUGAUGAGGAGAGCGAAGAACAAAAGGAGGAGGAGCUGAUUAGCUACCCGUGCCCACCUUCUAAUGAGAGUAACUCUUCAACUCAUACAUUGUUUAAUUUCUCUUCGUGCUUACCUCCUUUUGUUAUGAUCCCGUUGAUUCUUUUGAAAUAUCCCUUUUUGAUGAUGCUUGCUAUGCUUGUGGCCAAGAUGCCAAUAUGAAUUAUGCUUAUGGAGAUGAACUUGCUAUAGUUCCUUAUGUUAAACAUGAAAUUGUUGCUAUUGCACCACGCAUUAUAGUCCUAUUAUCUUUUUGAAUUCUCCCGACUACACUAUUUCGGAGAAGUUUGCCCUUAUUAAGGAUUAUAUUGAUGGGUUGCGUUUUACUACUACACAUGAUGAUUUUGAUGAAUAUAAUAUCCAUGUGCUUGCUGCUCCUACUUGCAAUUAUUAUGAGAGAGGAACUAUAUCUCCACCUCUCUAUGUUUCCAACAUGAUAAAAUUGCAAGAAAUUGUUUAUACUAUGCAUUGGCCUUUACUUUGUGUGCAUGAAUUGUUCUUUUAUGACAUGCCGAUGCAUAGGAAGAGAGUUAGACUUCGUCAUUACAUGAUAUAUGUUACUUUGUGCUCACUACUAAAUUACAAAUCAUUGUUAAUUAAAAUUGGCUUUGAUAUACCUUGGGAUCCGGGUGGAUCCAUUAGUUGAGCACUAUAUGCCUAGCUUAAUGGCUUUAAAGAAAACGCUGCCAGGGAGACAACCCGGAAGUUUUAGAGAGUCAUUUAGUUCUGUUGAGCGCUUUUAUAUAGUUUAAAAAAAUAAAAAAAAAUAAAGAGGGGAACUUAAAACUUUUUCAAAAAGAAAAGCGAAAGUGAAAAAGACGAGCAUUGUUAAAGUGGGAGCUAGCCUUGAACUUUGUUCAUGCUCACGGAAACUUUGUGAAUCUUGAUUACAGAAAUUUUUCAACAAAAAUAAUUAUCCCCUUGUACAAUUCCAUUGUAUAAUAAAAAUAAUGUGCCAAGGUUUGCCUUUAGGAUGUUUACAAUGCUUGUUGAUUUGUGCGGUGCAGGAUAGAAACUUUGGCUGUAGUGCACGAUUUUACAUUUUUUACUGGAACGUCAAACGGUUCUGAAACUUUUUGCACUGUCUUCCUUUACAAAUGUUUUAUUUUUCCUAAUUUUUCCAGAAUUUUUGGAGUACCAGAAGUAUGGUGAAUGUUCAGAUUACUACAGACUUUCCUGUUUAAGACAGAUUCUGUUUUUGAUGCAUAGUUUGCUUGUUUUGAUGAAACUGUCGAUUCCUAUCAGUGGAUUAAGCCAUGGAAAAGUUAUAUUACAGUAGCUAUAGUGAAAAAACAAAAUAUUAAUUGGUUUGCAAUAGUACUUAGAGUAGUGAUUUGCUUUAUUAUACUAACGGAUCUCACCAAGUUUUCUGUUGAGUUUUGUGUGGAUGAAGUGUUCGAAGAUCGAGGAGGUCUCGAUGUGAGGAGAAGGAGGAGAGGCAAGAGCUCAAGCUUGGGGAUGCCCAAGGCACCCCAAGUAAAUAUACAAGGAGACUCAAGCGUCUAAGCUUGGGGAUGCCCCGAAAGGCAUCCCAUCUUUCUUCAACAAGUAUCGGUAUGUUUUCGGAUUUGUUUCGUUCAGGCGAUAUUUGCAAAUCUUGGAGCGUCUUUUGCAUUUAGUUUUCACUUUUUCUUUUAUGCACCAUGCUGGUAUGAGAUAGUCUAUGGUUGAUUUAUAGAAUGCUCAUUGAACUUCACUUAAAUCUUUUGAGUAUGGCUUUAUAGAAUGCUUCAGGUGCUUCACUUAUAUCAUUUGAAGUUUGGAUUGCUUGUUUCUCUUCACAUAGAAACCGCCAUUUGUAGAAUGCUCUUUUGCUUCACUUAUAUUUGUUAGAGUGUGGGCAUAUCUUUUGUAGAAAGAAUUAAACUCUCUUUCUUCACUUAUAUCUAUUUAGAGAGAUGACAGGAAUUGGUCAUUCAUAUGGUUAGUCAUUAAAUCCUAUAUAAAACUUGUAGAUCACUGAAUAUAAUAUGUUUGAUUCCUUGCAAUAGUUUUGAUAUAUAAAGAUGUGUUGAUAUUAGAGUCAUGCUAGUGGGUACUUGUGGAUUGUAGAAAUACUUGUGUUGAAGUUUGUGAUUCACGUAGCAUGCACGUAUGGUGAACCGUUAUGUAACGAAGUCGGAGCAUGAGGUAUUUAUUGAUUGUCUUCCUUAUGAGUGGCGGUCGGGGACGAGCGAUGGUCUUUUCCUACCAAUCUAUCCCCCUAGGAGCAUGCGCGUAGUACUUUGUUUCAAUGACUAAUAGAUUUUUGCAAUAAGUAUGUGAGUUCUUUAUGACUAAUGUUGAGUCCAUGGAUUAUACGCACUCUCACCCUUCCAUCAUUGCUAGCCUCUUCGGUACCGUGCAUUGCACUUUCUCACCCUGGGAGUUGGUGCAAACUUCGCCGGUGCAUCCAAACCCCGUGAUACGAUACGCUCUAUCACACAUAAGCCUCCUUAUAUCUCCCUCAAAACAGCCACCAUACCUACCUAUCAUGGCAUUUCCAUAGCCAUUCCGAGAUAUAUUGCCAUGCAACUUCCAUCAUCAUCAUAUACAUGACUUGAGGAUUCAUUGUCAUAUGCUUUGCAUGAUCGUAAGACAGCUAGCAUGAUAUUUUCAUGGCUUGUCUGUUUUUUUAUAUCUUUGCUAUGCUAGAUCAUUACACAUCCCGGUACACCGUCGGAGGCAUUCAUAUAGAGUCAUAUCUUUGUUCUAGUAUCGAGUUGUAAUAUCGAGUUGUAAGUAAAUAAAAGUGUGAUGAUCAUUAUUAUUAGAACAUUGUCCCAUGUGAGGUUAUCAAAAUAAAAGUGGCCAAAGAAGCCCCAAAAAAAUAGAGAGGCCAAAGAAGCCUACAAAAAAAAAGAAAAAAAAGAAGAAGAAAAUAAAAAAAUGAGAGAAAAGAGAGAAGGGACAAUGAUACUAUCCUUUUACCACACUUGUGCUUCAGAGUAGCACCAUGUUCUUCAUAUAGAGAGUCUCUUGAGUUAUCACUUUCAUAUACUAGUGGGAAUUUUCACUAUAGAACUUGGCUUGUAUAUUCCGAUGAUGGGCUUCCUCAAAUGAGCGAGGUCUUCAUGAGCAAGCAAGUUGGAUGUUUUCAGUUUGAGCUUUCAUAUACUUAUAGCUCUAGUGCAUCCGUUGCAUGGCAAUCCCUACUCCUCACAUUAACAUCAAUUGAUGGGCAUCUCCAUAGCCCAUUGAUUAGCCGUGUCGGUGUGGGACUUUCUUCCUUUUUGUCUUCUCCACACAACCUCCACCAUCGUAUUCUGUUCCACCUAUAGUGCUAUAUCCAUGGCUCAUGCUCAUGUAUUGUCUAAAAGUUGAAAAGGUUUGACAACGUCAAAAGUAUGAACAAUUGCUUGGCUUGUCAUCGGGGUUGUGCAUGAUUUGAAUACUUUGUGUGGUGAAGAUGGAGCAUAGCUAGACCAUACGAUUUUGUAGGGAUAACUUUCUUUGGCCAUGUUAUUUUGAAAAGACAUGAUUUCUUUAUUAGUAUGCUUGAAGUAUUAUUGUCUUAAUGUCAAAUGAUAGACUAUUGCUUUGAAUCACUCGUGUCUUAAUAUUCAUGCCAUGAUUAGAUUACAUGAUCAAGAUUAUGCUAGGUAGCAUUCCACAUCAAAUAUUAUCUUUUUUAUCAUUUACCUACUCGAGGACGAGCAGGAAUUAAGCUUGGGGAUGCUGAUACGUCUUCGUCGUAUCUAUAUUUUUUUAUUGUUCCAUGCCAAUAUUAUACAACCUUUACUUACUUUUGGCAACUUUUUAUACUAUUUUUUGGGACUAACACAUUGAUCCAGUGCCCAGUGCCAGUUCCUGUUUGUUGCAUGUUUUUUGUUUCGCAGAAAAUCCAUAUCAAACAGAGUCCAAACGGGAUAAAAACUGACAGAGCUUUUUUUGGAAUAUUUAUGAUUUUUGGGAAGAAGAAUCAACGCGAGACGAUGCCCGAGGGGGCCACGAGGCAGGGGGCACGCCCCAGGGGAUCAGGCGCGCCCGGGGCCCUCGUGGCCACCCCAUAAGGUGGUUGGUGCCCUUAUUUCGCCGCAAGAAAGCUAAUAUCCGGAUAGAGAUCGCGUCCAAAUUUCAACCCAAUCGGAGUUAUGGAUCUCCGGGAAUAUAAGAAACGGUGAAAGGGCACAAUCAGGGAGCGCAGAAACAGAGAGAGACAGAUCCAAUCUCGGAGGGGCUCUCGCCCCUCCCACGCCAUGGAGACCAUGGACCAGAGGGGAAACCCUUCUCUCAUCUAGGGAGAAGGUCAAGGAAGAAUAAGAAGGAGGGGGGCUCUCUCCCCCUCGCUUCCGGUGGCACCGGAGUGCCGCCAGGGCCAUCAUCGUCACCGCAAUCUACACCAACAACUUCACCGCCGUCAUCACCAACUCUUCCCCCCUCUAUGCAGCGGUGUAACCCCUCUUUUACCCGCUGUAAUCUCUACUUAAACAUGGUGCUCAAUGCUAUAUAUUAUUUCCCAAUGAUGGAUGGCUAUCCUAUGGUGUUUGAGUAGAUCCGUUUUGUCCUAUGGGUUAAUUGAUGAUCGUGAUUGGUCUGAGUUGCAUGUUUUAUUAUUGGUGCUGUCCUAUGGUGAUCUCCGUGUCGCGCAAGCGUGAGGGCUCCCCGCUGUACGGUUUGCAAUAUGUUCAUGGUUUGCUUAUUGUCUGCGUUGCGUGAGUGACUGAAACACAAACACGGAUAAGUGGGUCAUGGCGUAUGGGAAUAAAGAGGACUUGAUACUUUAAUGCUAUGGUUGGGUUUUACCUUAAUGAUCUUUAGUAUUUGUGGAUGCUUACUAGAGUUCCAAUCAUAAGUGCAUAUGAUCCAAGAAGAGAAAGUAUGUUAGCUUAUGCCUCUCCCUCAAAUAAAAUUGCGAUAGUGAUUACCGGUCUAGUUAUCGAUUGCCUAGGGACAAAUAACUUUCUCGUGACAAAAAGCUCUCUACUAAAACUAAUGUAGUUGUGUCUUUAUCUAAAUAGCCCCUACUUUUUAUUUACGCGCUCUUUAUUAUCUUGCAAACCUAUCCAAAACACCUACAAAGUACUUCUAGUUUCAUACUUGUUCUAGGUAAAGCGAACGUUGAGCGUGCGUAGAGUUGUAUCGGUGGUCGAUAGAACUUGAGGGAAUAUUUGUUCUACCUUUAGCUCCUCAUUGGGUUCGACACUCUUACUUAUCUAAAGAGGCUACAAUUGAUCCCCUAUACUUGUGGGUUAUCAGUGACACAGAACUAGCUCCAAUUCAUCAAUAUAAUGUAGGCAUGUAUUCCGAAGAUAGUCAUCCGUGCUUAUGGAAAAGAACUUGCAUGACAUCUUUUGUCCUACCCUCCCGUGGCAGCGGGGUCCUAAUGGAAACUAAGGGAUAUUAAGGCCUCCUUUUAAUAGAGAACCGGACCAAAGCAUUAGUACUUACUGAAUACAUGAACUCCUCAAACUACGGUAAUCACCGGAAAGAAUCCCAAUUAUUGUCACCUUGGGGUAUGCGGAUCAUAAGUCGUAAUAGGUGUCUACAACUUGCAAGAUCGGAUCAAGAACACAAAUAUAUUCAUGAAAACAUAAAGGGUUCAGAUCUGAAUUCAUGGCACUCGGGCCCUAGUGACAAGCAUUAAGCAUAGCAAAGUCAUAGCAACAUCAAUCUCAGAACAUAGUGGAUACUAGGGAUCAAACCCUAACGAAACUAACUCGAUUACAUGAUUAAUCUCAUCCAACACAUCACCGUCCAGCAAGCCUAUGAUGGAAUUACUCACACACGAUGGUGAGCAUCAUUAAAUUGGUGAUGGAGGAUGGUUGAUGAUGACGACGACGUCGAUUUCCCCUCUCUAGAGCCCCGGACGGACUCCAGAUCUGCCCUCCCGAUGAAGAACAGGAGGCGGCGGCAGCUCCGUAUCGUAAAACGCGAUGAAUCCUUCCCUCUGAUUUUUUUUCUUCCCGAAAGUGAAUAUAUAGAGUUGGAGUUGAGGUUGGUGGAGGUCCAGGGGACCCACAAGGCAUGGGGCGUGCCCUCCACCCUUGUGGACGACAGGUGGGUCCCCAUCGGUUGAUUCUUUCACCAAUAUUUUUUAUUAAUUCCAAAAAUAUUACCUGUGGAUUUUCAGGUCAUUCCGAGAACUUUUAUUUCUGCACAAAAAUAACACCAAGGCAAUUCUGCUGAAAACAGCGUCUGUCCGGGUUAGUUCCAUUUAAAUCAUGCAAAUUAGAGUCCAAAACAAGGGCAAAAGAGUUUGGAAAAGUAGAUACGAUCGAGACGUAUCAAACGGCUGCCGCGACACCACGUUAGCAGCUGGCUAUACGUGUACUGGAGAGAAGAGUCUGGACGCCCGGCUGAGCCAUCGGUGGCCUGCACCGAUUGCAGGGCAUCCCGCUAAGCUGCCUCGUCCUAAGCCCCUAGUGCAUCACGUGGUUGCACAACCCCAACCGACUCCUCCUGAGCCGUGGGUCAAGGUACCUCCUGCAGCGCCAACAGUGCAGCAGCACUUGGCUGCAUGCCCAGGGUCGACUCCUCCUGAGUUAAAGUCUGGGUGGCCACCAACCGAGUUGUUCCCUGCUGUCGCUCUGGAGACUCGCGCGAAGGUCCCAUCGUGCCACUGGUGGCCUGCACUGACGGACGAGUAGUGGACAGUGAUGCAACCGUCUGUGUUGGUGACGACGGCUGCGACACUAUCGGAGUCCGCGGAGAGGUAGGCGACGAUGAGUCCUGCCGAAGCAUCCGUGGAGCCGCCUCAACACAACCACGUAACGUGGAGUUAUCUCAAAGUUUCGCGGCAAGCUCGAUGCCUCUUGGUGUUUGCGGCGAGGGGUUGAAAGGUGUCACCGCCAUAAUCAUAGAGCUACCUCUCGGAGCACCACGAGAGACCACAUUUGUGUGAGUAACAUUUGUAGGAAUAACACUAGAUGGCGGUUGGUUGGAUGGGUUCCCGAAGUGAUCGAAGGUGUCCAUGGCAUCAUUCUUCUCCUGCGCACUGUCAUUAUUGUCCGCAUGAUCGCCUUGCGUCUCCAAAUGAACGGUACAAAAUCUGGAUCCGGAACAUAACUUGCCGGCUCCCUCCUGAACCUGAAUGCAUAGCCCUUGAGCUUAACCAGUACAUCUGUAGCAAGAAAAGGCCCAGCAUCGUCCUUAUCCUUCUCCAAAAUUAGAGUAUUCAUCAUAUCCACCAGAAUACGGACCACCCCACGUCGUCGCAGACUAAAGAGGUCGACAUCCAGGGUCUUGCCCAUCAAGGUGCCAACAACCCAUAGACCCGAAAAAUGACGCACGGUAUGGGGAACUCCGUCAACAUGGAGCCAAAUCUGCUGAAGCUCGAGAUUAUGUGCGAUGUCCUGUGACUUCCAUGCGGAUACGGUCAUUUGAGCGUUAACUGACGGCACGUUCAUCUGAAUACCAUCCACCCUGUCCAAGUCCUGAAAAGACGGGCAAAUGACUAGAUAGGCAUCUAACCCAUGCUGAAUAGCUUCCCAUUUUCAUUGAGUAUGCACCGGGCAUCUCCUGGCAAUCCGAGUCUCAACCAUGCUACUAGGUACCAUCAGACCACUAACCUGCACAUGAGCGAUCGGUGUCUGGGUCGGCGCCAAGUGUUCUUUAACCACACUAUCUGGCAGCUGGGCGAAGUAAGUCUCCUCCGCCCCCACUCCCGAAACAAAAGCCAUGGGCUUCGGGAGUUUAAGAACCGGGCAACGCAACGUUGGAUGGGCUAUCUUGUCACAGAUAUAACAAUAAUGUUGCACCAUGCAAUCCUUCGCUGAAUGCGUAUCAACUGCACACUUCCAACAACGAACCCCUUUCUUAGUCUUGGUCUUUGAUAUAGUAGGAUCCACCUGCACAUCGGUCAUGCAAUCUACAGACGGUGGGGCAGCUAUCCCCUGUGGUACCUGUGGAUGUGGCUGCAACCCGAACUGAUGGUAAUGCCCCUGUUGAUAUGCCUACAUGUGCUGUUGUGGUAUCGGUUGAGGCGGAAGUUGCUGUUCGCCUGGAACGUGGUGAGGCGGAAAAUGGUAACCCUGCUAAAUAGCACCACCGGUAAACUGUUGUUGUUGCGNNNNNNNNNNNNNNNNNNNNNNNNNNNNNNNNNNNNNNNNNNNNNNNNNNNNNNNNNNNNNNNNNNNNNNNNNNNNNNNNNNNNNNNNNNNNNNNNNNNNNNNNNNNNNNNNNNNNNNNNNNNNNNNNNNNNNNNNNNNNNNNNNNNNNNNNNNNNNNNNNNNNNNNNNNNNNNNNNNNNNNNNNNNNNNNNNNNNNNNNNNNNNNNNNNNNNNNNNNNNNNNNNNNNNNGGAAUUGCGGGGAGCGGUCACCCCCGGAGGUGGUGGAGCCCCAUACAUAGGAACCGACCCUCCGGCGCCGGCCGAACCGUAGGGUGAGUUGUACUGCCCAGGGUGACCAUAAGCAGAGGGCUGACUUCCACCAUGGAUGUAGGGAGGCGCCAGCCCACGCUGCUGCUGAUUGGGGGGAGGGCCGGUGAACCCCUGUGUCGGAGCCUAAGGGCGAGCUGAAGAGGCAGUUGCCCCCGCAACCAAAGGGCCAUGGGGAAUCGGCCCUCCUGCACCCCGUGUCGAAGGAGGAGGCGCGCCCGCCAUGGGACGCAGCGGCGCCUCCGCGACUUCGGCAUAGGAUCGAGCGGCCCCAGUGACGGCAGGUUGAUCAUGAGGCAGAGGCAGCGAGUGGGAGGCGACCUUUGCGACCGAUGUUGGUGCGAUGGAUGUUGGGAGCCCUUCCCAUAGAACCCUCAUGCGAAGUCUGAGGUAGGCCCAAGAAAAAACUUGGCCCAAUUCCCUUUGCAUGGGCCCGGGAUCCGAGGCCACUCGCGUUUGAAGUGGCUGAGAUCUCGUCUCCAGAACAUCUACACCUGCAUCCAUCGAUCCCGUGCGUAUUGACAUCGCCGGUGAGGCAACCGGACCGGAGGAAGCAGGUAUCAUGUUGGCUCUUUCCAGGAAUUGGCCGAAGAUCGGCGCCGGCGUCCUCCUGCGCCGCGGCAAGGGACCACGCCAAGACCCCAUCCGCGGCGGUCUAGCCAGCGCGAGCCCCGUCGGCAACGACGAAGUAACACUCCGGCCGGCCGGCACCGAUGCCAUCGAUCCAGUGGGUAACGUGUCCCUAGCCUGAUCCAGGCCUUCCGCUAUCAUGGACUGUUGUGACUUGCAACCCGGAUCACGGAGCUCCGAUGAAGGCCCCGACGGUGAUGGCGUCCGUCUCUCCCAGAAACGGGAUGCAGGCGAGGGAUAUCCCGCGUCUUUCCAGAACUCUUGGACCAAUUUCGCCUCCGUCUUCCUACUACGUCGAACCACCGGAUUCCAUUCAGAGUCGUCGUCGCCCUCCCAAAAAUGCCAUCGCCAUCUAAACGCCCACUGUCGCCAGCUCUGCCUCCUCAUCAGAGACCUCGAGGUCAGGAUCCAGGCAUGAGUACCUAGAUCCGUUCGACCCCGCCACCCAAGUACGCGCAGGCCGCUUCUCAGUUCUCUCACGUGUGCUUGGAAGAGCACACGAUCGAUCGAGCGAGCGCUACCAUUCAAAGGAGGCACACCGUACACGCUUAGCCGUUCGGUUGACCGUGUCUCGCUUUCAUGGAAUUACCGCGAAAUGAAUCCUUGGGCCGGAUCGAUCGGGUGCGUACGUACGCGUCGUUUGUUUGACCGUCCGUCUACAUACACAUACACCUACUACUACUGCGUCCAGCGAAGGCACGUGACGUAGUGGUACGUAGGCAACGCCCGGCCCAGCUGGCUUGCUGAUGGCCGGGAGUGAAAUGUCAAAGCAAACGGAGCAUGCAUGCCUGCAUGGUGCGUUCAUGGUAUUAUACUACUACUACUACUAGUAUCGGGCGAUGAUUUGAUUAACAAACUGGCCAGAGAUAUACAUGAUGAUGUCCACAGUCAAUGUUAAUGAGAUAAUGGGGCAUGCAUGGCGUCCAUAUUUCUUAAGUCGGGUUCGGUUCUCAACCUGACUUGGUGCAUCAUAUACUGAUAGACCUACGCGUGGACAGAUGACCCCUCCCUGGUGCCCAAGGAGAAGCUCAUCCUGGUCGAGGAGCCGGAUGAGGCGAUGGAGGUGGAGCUUGCGGACGGCCUGGUCCUGCCGGCGGACGCGUUAGUGCCACUGGAGAAGGCCAUGCUGGAGUACAAGGUCAUGGUACACUUGGUGCACACGGAGAAUACUGUGCAAAGCUCAGGCCCAUCCUCGGGCGAUGAAGGCGACGACGAUGAUGACUUCGAUCAUCCCAUGGCUGAUCCGGACGGGCCAGGCGGAGCACGCCACACCAGGCGCCGUUUCUCGUACACGAGGGGAGUGCAGGACGGCGGCAACCGGCGACAAAGGCCGUUGGCAAGAAGGGGAGAUGCGUCAGGGCACAGGAGGAUUGCCGUCGACCUGCCCGUGUCGGUGACACCGUGGACGUCGCCGGCGGUUGAGGCGCUCACGACGAGGACAGCUGAGAAGACAGCAGUGCUCGCAGCUGCCGCCGGCGUGGAGGACGGCGGAUCGUUCCCUGUCGCCGGCGUACGAGAGUGUGAACGGGCUGAUACGCGGAUGGCGGCACCGGAACGCGUACAGCCCCGGGACGUGGCUGAUGUGGUAAGGGCAGAGGCCCCGCACAUGGUGGCCCUGGAUCACGUGCCGCCCCAGGGUGUGGCUGAGAUAGAAAGGACGGAAGACCCGCUUCUGAUCACCAGCUCACCUUUGAUCAGAGCGGAUGGGGAGCCGCUUGCUCGGAUAGGAGAGGAGCCCAACUGGCAUACUCAUGCCUAUUUUUGCUACAGGCAGGGCCGGACCGACAAGGAUACAGACUGGUGACAGUUUUGUGGUAGGAGAUAAGGACAAGGACGGAAACGAUCAGGCAGCGACCGAAGCAAGGCUGCUACUCACGCCUGACCAAUGCUCAGAAGCAAUCACUUGCUGAUGACACCGGAUAGAGAUGGGACGUUUCAAAAUUCAAAUCAUACGAGGACUCCUCUCAAUUCCCUCCAUUGUGGGGAUAGCAGCUGGUCCAAGCGGAACACAGCUAGCGUGGCAGGCGGCAGGGGCAACGCGCUGGACACUUUCCUGGUUUCUCUCUCGGGAUCGGAAUCCACAGCCGAUCAGGGAUUGGAGACAAGGUCGAUAGACUGCUCCAUUGCUCAGCUACGGGCGCAGUACAGGAAGAGAAUAACGCCAGUCCUCUCGCGACCCAGCGUGGUCAGAAACAAGCGGCGAAGGAGGACCCCACCCUCAACUGUUCGGCGCAGCCUCAGGAUCAAUGGGCGCUUAACAAGUGUGCAUUGACAGAAAUUACACUCUGGUGGACAGAUGCUUCACUUGCGGUGUGCAUUCCAACAGGGCACUGAAUUGAUGGCAAUGUGCAUAUGGAUUCAGCCCUGAAAUUGCUGAUGAAAUCUGCAUGGUCAACCAUAAUAGCCAGCACUUUAUGAUCAACACUAACUCUGAUGAUGUGUUGCACAUCAUCAUCAGAUUUAAUUCUAACCAAACCAUCUGCAAUUGAUUUGUCAGGCAAGCACCAGUAAAGUAUGUGCUCACCCACUGGAUAUCCCAACCAAGUUAGAUGCUCUUCAAUGAAAGAAUAUGAGAAUGUGGUAGCAUCAACAUAAUCAAGAACUUCCACUGAAGGGUUCCAGUACUUCAAAUUACUGAUUGGGCCACAGAAAAUCCCACCAUGCUCAAGCUCAAGUGUAAAGAAAGAAGUGUCCACCCUUUGUCCAUUUGCUGAAUCACACACUGCAUCAAAUAUGUGUAAUUUGUAAGCAAUGCACAAUGAUGAAUACACUUAACAGUAAAAUUAAGUUAGCUGAGAAGUUCAGUUAACUGAGAAGUUCAGUUAACUGAGAAGUUCAGUUAACUACAGUGAACUGAAAACAUUGUGAAUAACUACAGUGCACUGACAAAAUUCAGAUAACUACAGUUAACUGACAACAUUCAGAUAACUACAGUUAACUGAAAAAAUCAGUCAAAUGUCCUAAAAUCAAUACUUGUGCUAAGUGAAGUUGGUGCCAUUGAACACAACCAACUGGUGGCAUCACUAACACCUGAAACAUGAGCAUGACCAUUGCAAUACUAAGCAUUAACACUUGAAACAUGAACAACUAAAUUUGUUGGCAAUGAACACAAUCAAGCAUUGUCAGAAUUGCUUUCGGUGCACAUGAAUAGAGGACCGACCCACAACUCCAGUCUAACAAGCUAACAUAUGAACGAAAAAGAAGACCCACUUGUCAGGCCAAACCCACGACUUUGCCACCCUAAACCCUAACCUAAUCUACUCGGCCAAAACCCACUAGGCAAAACCCUAGCUUUACUGCCGUCAGACAAACCCAACAGCAUUCAACAAGCACACCACCGUGAGACACACCGAAGUGGCGUGGCUGAUGCGGACGACGACGACACAACGCGACGAUGAAACAGAGCACGGGUGGAACACGGCAGGAGGCGGAAGAGGGGACAGGAGCUCACCAUAGUCCAGUGGGAUGACGCCGAGCGGCCAGAUGAGAUGAGCGGAAGGGGGUGGCUCCAUCCCGCCGGCGAACUCCAGCAACGACGGCGCGAUGAUGAGCGUCAUCACCAAAUCGCCACCACACUGUCUCCCCCGACAGGACAGCGGGAGAGGUCGAACGGAUCUGGUGCAACUCCUGUGGCAUUUAAUUUAGGUGGGUUUAGUGCGGGUUGAAUCGAGUGAACGCCAGGGGCCUUUGUGGAAAAUUGCCACAGCUGACCGGUCCACCCUCUGGACUGCCACAUGUCACGCUGUGAAUGGCCACUAGUAGAAAACAGGGCUUAGGUCACAGGGCAGUUUUCACAUUAGCCCCGGUUCAGUCACGAACCGGGACUAAUGUGAGCAUUGGUCCCGGUUCGUGAGCCCAGGGGGCCGGCCGGGGCCUCGUGGGCAUUGGUCCCGGUUCGUAUGGACCCUUUGGUCCCGGUUGGUGGUACAAACCGGGACCAAUGGGCCACGCUCCUGGCCCACCACCCUUUAGUCCCGGUUCAUACCACAAACCGGGACUAAAGGGCUGGUCCUAGUUGCGGCCAGUGUUUAGUCCCACCUCGCCAACCGAAGGGCGCUCACACCAGUUUAUAAGCCCGUCCCUCUAUGCCUUGUUGAGCUUCUCUUAAAGUGAAAAUAGAUGCCCUUAUACAGGAAAUUUGACCUAAAUUCAUAGUAAAUUUCAUAGAAAUUUAUUAUGAAUUUAGGUUGAAUUUUCUCUAUAAGUGCAUCUAUGUUCAUUUUUUUAUAUUUAUAAAAUAAAUAAAACUAAAUAAACGUUAAUAAAAUAAAAUAAAAUAAACUAUAGUAACUACAAUAAAUAAACCUUAAUAAAUUAAGUAAAAAUAGCAGCAGUAAAAUAAAUAAAAAUAGCAGCAGUAAAAUAAAUAAAAAUAAAAUAAUUAAAGUAAAAUACAUAAGUAAUUAGAAAUAAAAUAAAUAAGUUUUUUGUUGUAAGUAGAAACAAAACCUUUUCAGAGUUCAUUUGAAAUGCUUUUCAAUUUUAGGGUCUUAUAGCUCAAAAUAAUUAGUAAAUGCAUGAAAAAUAACAAAUGAAGUCAGAAAGGAUUGAAAAAUGAUGAUGUGGCUUUGAAUGGUGCAUUUUGAACACANNNNNNNNNNNNNNNNNNNNNNNNNNNNNNNNNNNNNNNNNNNNNNNNNNNNNNNNNNNNNNNNNNNNNNNNNNNNNNNNNNNNNNNNNNNNNNNNNNNNNNNNNNNNNNNNNNNNNNNNNNNNNNNNNNNNNNNNNNNUAAGUUUUAAAAAAUGAAAUCCCUUUGUAACAGACGAGUUUCCGGAUGAAAUCCUGAUACUUUGAAAGAGAUUGUCCGUUUUGUACACGAAGUGCAUCCAGUUUUUGCCGUAACCCUCUGAACUUUCUUGCACAUGCUAUGUGGAUGAAAUGAUGACAUCAUGCCAACUUUCAACCUUUUGAGAGUUCAUUUGAAAUGCUUUUCAAUUUUAGGGUCUUAUAGCUCAAAAUAAUUAGUAAUGCAUGAAAAAUAACAAAUGAAGUCAGAAAGGAUUGAAAACUGAUGAUGUGGCUUUGAAUGGUGCAUUUUCAACACACAAAAAGUCAGGAGUUCAAAUAAGUUUUGAAAAAUGAAAUCCCUUUGUAACAGACGAGUUUCUGGAUGAAAUUUAAACUAUUCAAAUUUGGAAACUAAUGGAGUAACAGAAAGUUUAUAAUUAUUCUGAGCUAAAAGCAAAAAGAAUAAAAAAAUAAAGCAAAAAUCAAAAUAAAAUAAAUAAUUCAAAAAACAAAAAAAUACUAGAAAAAAUAAAAAAUGCCGCCUAAUGGGCCACACGGCCUGCAUACGACUAGAAACCCAUCUGCACAUGGGCCAGGAUGCAGGCCCGCAGGCCCAAUAGGCCCAACAUGGCAGUGACAAAGGUAGGCAUGUAAUGCCUGCAUAUUAGAGAGGAGCUCAGCACCUGAGCUGCAACGCGGCUUAUAAACAUGUGUUGAGCUCUCUCAGCUAGCGAGGUGGGACUAAACUUCCCACCGCACCGCGCCAGCACAUUUGUCCCGGUUGGUGGCUCCAACCGGAACAAAUGCUCCCCUUUGGUCCCGGUUGGUGCCACCAACCGGGACCAAAGCCCUCUGCUUCCCGCCCUUUGCGCUGGUGAAAAGAGGCCUUUGGUCCCGGUUGGUGCCACCAACCGGGACUAAAGGGUGGGUAUUGGUUCCGGUUUGUGCGUUGAACCGAGACCAAAGCCUUUGCUAUAUAAGCAGCACUUAGGAAAUUUUCAGAUUUCCAUCGCCAGUUUCCCCCCGCCCGACGACGCCGCGAGCUCGAUCUACGCCGCCGUCGCCGNNNNNNNNNNNNNNNNNNNNNNNNNNNNNNNNNNNNNNNNNNNNNNNNNNNNNNNNNNNNNNNNNNNNNNNNNNNNNNNNNNNNNNNNNNNNNNNNNNNNNNNNNNNNNNNNNNNNNNNNNNNNNNNNNNNNNNNNNNNNNNNNNNNNNNNNNNNNNNNNNNNNNNNNNNNNNNNNNNNNNNNNNNNNNNNNNNNNNNNNNNNNNNNNNNNNNNNNNNNNNNNNNNNNNNNNNNNNNNNNNNNNNNNNNNNNNNNNNNNNNNNNNNNNNNNNNNNNNNNNNNNNNNNNNNNNNNNNNNNNNNNNNNNNNNNNNNNNNNNNNNNNNNNNNNNNNNNNNNNNNNNNNNNNNNNNNNNNNNNNNNNNNNNNNNNNNNNNNNNNNNNNNNNNNNNNNNNNNNNNNNNNNNNNNNNNNNNNNNNNNNNNNNNNNNNNNNNNNNNNNNNNNNNNNNNNNNNNNNNNNNNNNNNNNNNNNNNNNNNNNNNNNNNNNNNNNNNNNNNNNNNNNNNNNNNNNNNNNNNNNNNNNNNNNNNNNNNNNNNNNNNNNNNNNNNNNNNNNNNNNNNNNNNNNNNNNNNNNNNNNNNNNNNNNNNNNNNNNNNNNNNNNNNNNNNNNNNNNNNNNNNNNNNNNNNNNNNNNNNNNNNNNNNNNNNNAAAUUUUACUAUAUAUAGAAGUAGUUUAUUUUUAGUAAGAACUACUUUAUUUUAUUUAUUUAUAGUAAGUGCUUAGUAGUUGAACUAGUUGAUUAAUUAAUAAAACUACUUUAUUUUAUUUAUAGUAAGUGCUUAAUUAGUAGUUGAACUAGUUGAUUUAACAAAACUAGUUUAUUUUACUAUAGAAGUAGUUUAUUUUUAGCAAGGAAAUUAAUAGAACUAGUUUGUUUUUUUAGUUAAAGUAAUUAUUCCCGCAUCGACGUCGACGAUGCCUAUCCCGCAUCCUCGUCGUCGAAUCGGCGGAGGAGGCCGGCUUGAUCAGAGGGGCCAUGUCCGGGACUGGGCUCCGCCGGCUGGUUUUGGGAGGUGCUACCUUCCGGUGGGCGUAGGUUGGUGAGGAACCAGCCCGUCGUUGACCCGAUCCUUGUUUGGUGGCGCUCGCGUGGGCCAGUGACGGUGCCGAGGCUUCCGAACACCACGGAGGUGGUACGUCACCGUGUCAGCGAGGAGGACCAGCAUGUCCGUCGCUACAUGGUUGCGUUGGAGGGCAGGUUCGACAAUACCUGGCAGGUUCUUCAGGGAUCUCACUGGAGCUAUGAUCCUGUGAUGGUUCCGUCCCUUUGGGUGUCCACCGCCCGCGCCGAUACCCGUCGGGCGCUACUGUUCUAGCUGUACUAGCGAUGCUAUAUGUAUGAUAGUAUUCGAGGUGUAUUAGUGAUAAUAUUCGAUGAUGUACGGACGCAUGGAGAUGAUGUAGUUUUGCUUAUAAUUGAAUGCAUCCUAAUUUGAAUACUACUUUAUUUUGUGAUUUGAUUUUGCUUAUUGAAUGCUCAAAGUGGAAAACUACUCCGAUCCUACUUUGAAUGCUAAAAUUGGAGAGCACUAUGAUUAGUUGAUAGCUUAUAGGGUUUUUGUUUUCGCAGAAAUCUAGGAGCCCCCGGCCCCUCCAUCAUCCACGCCGUCGUCCCCGUCACCGCCCCCUCCGACAUCGAGGUGAGACCAGCCAAAUCCUCUUUUAGAAAGAUAAUUAAACGAUAUUUCGGGUUGACUGUAAGUCUGUCGAGUCUCCACCAUAUAUGAGAGGACGAAGAAUCCCGACUGUUGUCGUGGGGGUAGCUUCUCCUUCGUUCCCGUGUGCUAGACAAUUUGGUGUAAUGCACUCGAGAACGAAAGGAGGAGCUACCAUCACCGACGGUCGCAAAUGUCAGAGAGGAAUCAGUGAGGGAGAGUUCCACCAUAUAUAUAUAAGAGGACAAAGAAUCCCGACUGUUGUCGUGGGGGUCGCUUCUCCUUUGUUCCCGUGUGCUAGCUAGACAUUUUGGUGUAAUGCACACGGGGACAAAGGGAGGAGCGACCAUCACCAACGGUCGAAUGUAUACACCACGUGAGCUGAGAGUUUUCAAGAAAAGACUCGACAAACCGAUAGUCAACCCGUGAUGAAUAAUAAUGAUCUAACUUAGGUUUUUUAGUACAUAUAUUUUAAUUGUAGAUGUUUAAUAUUUGAAUUAUGAACAUAGGAAAUGUCGUACUCGGACGACGAAAGUCUCCCGGGGGAGUGCGACUGGUGCCUCCAAUUCUACCUCUAUGUGAGUUUCUCAAACAUAGUUAUUAGCUAAUUUAUAUUGUUCAUUUCAAAAUAGUUGACAGCUUAUUUUCAUUGACAGCUUAUUUUGAUUGUUCAAACAAUGUGCGGAACAUGGUAGACAGAACCUACUACACCGAUGGCUCUGAGUUAACUUAUAAGGAGAAAACUCAUCUGGUCGGAUUUUGUACUGAUAUUGAGAAUUACAAUAUCUACAAUCAAACUCCUCAACAUUAUGGUCAAUACGUGCCACUAGUGCACGUGUUGAACUACGGUAACUACUAUGGAGAUACCCUGGUAAGAUUUCUUACUAUUACGACAUCCGUGCAUAUUUUGCAUAGUUCUAAAACUAGUACAUUAUCAUUGCUAACUAUGAAGUUAUUACUAUGUUUUUCAAAAGAUAAUCCCAGAGGAUUGUGUGCCUCAUUUGAUGUAUCAGAAUGGUAGGCUUGAUGUUUUGAAUAUACAACCAGGUCAUCCUACGAAUCUCAACUGUCCAUACCGGAUUUCUAAAAGAAGUGGAGACAUGCAAAUCAAAGAAUGAAAAAAAUGUAUGGACAGUCGCAAGGAGGUUCUUGGAAGCAAAAGGAAGCGAGGCGCAAGAAUUGGAGACAGGAUGAUCUCCAUUAUCCAUAAUGGAGAGUCAGAGUCUAUAUUGUUUUAUGCUAUUUUACCUUAAAGAGGGUAUUUCGGUCCUACCUAAUACUGAUGAUCAUGUGCUAAGAACAAUUAAGUAGGGUUGGUUCGAUGACUGUGAGAAUGAUGAUCGUAUGACUUGUUAUUAAUAACGAGUAGAAGUUGUAUGAUGAUGAUUAGUAGGACUUGUUAUUGUAUAUGAUGAUGCAUGAUGCGCGCAUGAAGAGUUAUUAUAUAUCAGCGGGUGAAAUGAACAUGGAUUGGAUUGAAGUGAAGGCAACAUGCAUGUGGUGCGUGUCGAAAGUAGUACAAUCCAAACUUGAUCAAGUCCGGAUUAGUAUUACUUCCGACAUGCACCACAUGUUGCCUUCACUUCAAUCUAAGCCAUGUUUAGGCAUAGCAGUACGUAGCGUUGGUAAACCAAGCACGGAGAUAUAAGAGAGGACACUUCUCUCUAAUAGCUACCUAAUAACAACCUAAAUUAACNNNNNNNNNNNNNNNNNNNNNNNNNNNNNNNNNNNNNNNNNNNNNNNNNNNNNNNNNNNNNNNNNNNNNNNNNNNNNNNNNNNNNNNNNNNNNNNNNNNNNNNNNNNNNNNNNNNNNNNNNNNNNNNNNNNNNNNNNNNNNNNNNNNNNNNNNNNNNNNNNNNNNNNNNNNNNNNNNNNNNNNNNNNNNNNNNNNNNNNNNNNNNNNNNNNNNNNNNNNNNNNNNNNNNNNNNNNNNNNNNNNNNNNNNNNNNNNNNNNNNNNNNNNNNNNNNNNNNNNNNNNNNNNNNNNNNNNNNNNNNNNNNNNNNNNNNNNNNNNNNNNNNNNNAGCUCCUGCCAGGUGCUGACGCAUGGAUGCCUAUUGGUCCCGGUUGGUGGCACCAACCGGGACCAAAGGCCCUCCUGCCUGGGCUCCACGCACCGGCCACGUGGACGGACUUUAGUCCCGGUUCGUGUAAGACCGGGACUAAAGGGCUAGGGCAUUAGUAACGACCCUUUAGUCUCGGUUCCAGAACCGGGACUAAAGGCCCUUAUGAACCGGGGUAAAAGCCCCUUUUCCUACUAGUGGGCUGUGGACCAAAACAUCACAUAGGGUGUCAAGUUUGUGGAGUCCUCAAUCACAUUUUACAAGUUUUGGACUAAAACAUCACAUUCGGUGCAAGUUUGUGGAUCUGGGGUGCUAUUACCUCUAACAAGUGGUGCCUCAAUCAAGACGCAACAGCGCACUCUCAUGAUGCAGCUUGGCAUUGCCCGGGAAGGCGAGAUGAUUGGCGAUGAGGCCAUGCAGGCCUACCUGCAACUAUUCUCAAGACCAUUACAACAGUCACACAUAGCUGCUAUCGUGGGCCUAUUUGGUUGGCAGGCGGACGUGCUACCACUAGGAAGGGCGACGGAGGACGUAGCACUCUAGGGCUAUAAGCUCAGGGUUGUACGCUGGUAGGCCUUCCAUAUGGCUGAUCCAAGCAAGGUGAUUGUGGUGUGGAAUGUGCGCGGGGUGAACAACCCGGCAAAACGAAAUGCAAUAAAUAACAUAAUUUCGAGCUCGGGCGCGUGUGUGGUGUGUUUACAGGAGACUAAGGUUCAGGACAUGAACCCGGCGGUGCUGUGGCAAUGCCUCAGACCAGAUUUCGAUGUGUUUUUCUGUGUUCCGGCGAUCGGUACGUGUGGGGGUGUUUUAUUGGCGGCCAAGUCUGCAUGCCUGCAGUUCACAAACCCUCACACGACGGCAAACACGGUCACGGCAUGGGUUCAGUUCCCGGACGCAACUGGAUGGUGGAUAACGGGGGUCUACGGACCCCAGGAGGACAACGAAAAGGUGGCUUUCAUCCAUGAGCUCAAAGAUGUCAGAGAUUUACAUGCAGGCACCUGGAUGAUCGCUGGAGAUUUCAAUUUAAUUGCCGAUCCUUCGGACAAAAGUAACGAUAGAAUCAACCGACGAAUGAUGGGCAGAUUUAGGAGAUGCAUCAAUGACUUGGACAUGUCUGAACUAUACCUCAAUGGCCGUAGAUACACAUGGUCAAACGAGCGUAUGGAGGCAACGCUUGAGAAGUUGGAUAGAGUUUUGGUCUCAGUGGAGUGGGAGGAGCUGCAUCCAUCGGCAUUCCUUUCGGCGCUCACCACAAAUGUUUCAGAUCAUUGCCCACUCCACUUGGUCCUAGAGGCGAACUUAAUGCGAGGAAGACGGUUCCAUUUUGAGGCAUUCUGGACGAAGAUUGACAGUUUCCAUGACGUGGUCAGACAAGCUUGGGAUAGCCAGCCAUAUAUCCAAAACCCUUACAAGAGGUUGGCGGCAAAGUUGAAGUCAACAGCUAAACGACUAGCCAGCUGGAGUAACAAAUACGUGGGGAGUGUCAAACAACAAAUCCGCAUUGCGAACGAGGUCAUUCUACGACUGGAUGUCGCCAUGGAGAGUCGAACAUUAACGCAAGCUGAGAUUAGUUUGCGGAGGUUACUCAAGCACAAGCUGCUGGGUCUAGCAUCGCUGGAGCGGACAAUCGCUAGACAAAGGUCUCGGAUACUCUACCUAAAAGAAGGUGAUGCAUGCACGCAAUUCUUCCAUGCGAAUGCAAGUCACAGGAGACGGAAAAACUUCAUCACAAAGCUCAAAGUGGAUGGCAUAAUCACUACAGAUCAUGAGACCAUGGCAGAAGCGGUGGAUGCUUUCUUCUCCAACUUGCUUGGGGACUCAUAUGACCGGGAAUUCACGCUCAAUCUUGAAGAGCUGGGGCUACCUAGUAAGGAUAUGUCUCAUCUUGACAUCGCAUUCACUGAGGAGGAGGUGCGGGGCUGCUGUGCGGGCACAAGAGCUUGACAAGGCGCCGGGACCUGAUGGCUUUCCGGCACGUUUCUAUCUGGCCUGUUGGCCGAUCAUAAAGGAAGACGUCAUGGCAGCGUUUCACUCGUUUGGAAGAAUGGAUUUCCAUGGUCUCACUUCCAUAAACCAAGCAUUCAUAACGCUGUUGCCCAAGACACCGGCUGCACUGGAAAUACGUGAGUUUAGGCCAAUCAGUUUGAUACAUAGCUUCCCAAAGCUAGUCGCCAAGGUGUUGGCCACAAGGGUGGUUGCUGACAUGCCGGAUCUGGUCGGAGCUCACCAAGGCGCAUUCAUAAAAGGGAGAUGGCUGCAUGACAACUACAUGAUGGUGCAAGGUCUGGCUAGGAAGCUGCAUGCAACAAAGAAAGAGGCGGUGAUGCUCAAGCUCGACAUUACAAAGGAAUUUGACACGGUGCACUAGGCCUUUCUAUUGGAAGUUCUCCAUCACAUGGGGUUCGGUACCAAGUGGACGGCAUGGAUCUCUGGGCUACUUGCGUCAUCCUCCACAAGAGUUCUUCUCAAUGGCAUUCCGGGUGAGAUCAUUUAUAACUGGCAAGGGUUGCGUCAAGGGGAUCCGGUCUCCCCCCCUAUUGUUUGUCCUAGUUAUGGAGAGCCUACAACACCUCAUACACCGAGCUUCAGAGACCGGUCUUCUAACACCUCUUGCACCCACCGGCUACUGCUACCUCUUGAGCACUGUGUUGGUUUUCUCUUGAAGAGGAAAGGGUGAUGCAGCAAAGUAGCGUAAGUAUUUCCCUCAGUUUUUGAGAACCAAGGUAUCAAUCCAGUAGGAGGCUACGCGCGAGUCCCUCAUACCUACACAAAACAAAUAAAUCCUCGCAACCAACGCGAUAAGGGGUUGUCAAUCCCUUCACGGUCACUUACGAGAGUGAGAUCUGAUAGAUAUGAUAGGAUAAUAUUUUUGGUAUUUUUGUGAUAAAGAUGAAAAGUAAAAUAAAAGCAAAGUAAAAAAGCAAAGGAAAUAACUAAGUGUUGGAAGAUUAAUAUGAUGAAGAUAGACCCGGGGGCCAUAGGUUUCACUAGUGGCUUCUCUCAAGAGCAUAGGUAUUUUACGGUGGGUGAACGAAUUACUGUUGAGCAAUUGACAGAAUUGAGCAUAGUUAUGAGAAUAUCUAGGUAUGAUCAUGUAUAUAGGCAUCACGUCCGAGACAAGUAGACCGACUCCUGCCUGCAUCUACUACUAUUACUCCACUCAUCGACCGCUAUCCAGCAUGCAUCUAGAGUAUUAAGUUCAUGGAAGCAGAGUAACGCCUUAAGCAAGAUGACAUGAUGUAGAGGGAUAAAUUCAUGCAAUAUGAUAAAAAACCCAUCUUGUUAUCCUCGAUGGCAACAAUACAAUACGUGCCUUGCUGCCCCUACUGUCACUGGGAAAGGACACCGCAAGAUUGAACCCAAAGCUAAGCACUUCUCCCAUUGCAAGAAAGAUCAAUCUAGUAGGCCAAACCAAACUGAUAAUUCGAAGAGACUUGCAAAGAUUACCAAUCAUACAUAAAAGAAUUCAGAGAAGAUUCAAAUAUUGUUGAUAGAUAAACUUGAUCAUAAACCCACAAUUCAUCGGUCUCAACAAACACACCGCAAAAAGAAGAUUACAUCGAAUAGAUCUCCACGAGAGAGGGUGAGAACAUUGUAUUGAGAUCCAAAAAGAGAGAAGAAGCCAUCUAGCUACUAACUAUGGACCCGAAGGUCUGAGGUAAACUACUCACACUUCAUCGGAGAGGCUAUGGUGUUGAUGUAGAAGCCCUCCGUGAUGGAUGCCCCCUCCGGCGGAGCUCCGGAACAGGCCCCAAGAUGGGAUCUCGUGGGUACAGAAGGUUGCGGUGGUGGAAUUAGGUUUUUGGCUCCGUAUCUGAUCAUUUUGGGGUACGUAGGUAUAUAUAGGAGGAAGAAGUACGUCGGUGGAGCAACAGGGGGCCCACGAGGGUGGAGGGCGCGCCCUGGGGGGUAGGCGCGCCCCCUACCUCGUGGCCUCCUGGAAGCUUCUCUUACGUAGGGUCCAAGUCUCCUGGAUCAUGUUCGUUCCAAAAAUCACGCUCCCGAAGGUUUCAUUCCGUUUGGACUCCGUUUGAUAUUCUUUUUCUGCGAAACUCUGAAAUAGGCAAAAAACAGCAAUUCUAGGUUGGGCCUCUGGUUAAUAGGUUAGUCCCAAAAAUAAUAUAAAAGUGGAUAAUAAAGCCCAAUAUUGUCCAAAACAGUAGAUAAUAUAGCAUGGAGCAAUCAAAAAUUAUAGAUACGUUGGAGACGUAUCAGCUACCAGCAGCGCACCUCCAUCUACGCUGACGAUGUGAUCACGUUCAUCAAGCCGGACUUGCAAAGUCUUAGGGCGUGUGCAGCGCUGCUGUUUGAUUUUGGUGUCGCAACGGGCCUGCGCACCAAUCUGUUCAAAUGCUCCACCCACCCAAUAAGGUGUUCCGAGGAAUAGUGCCAGCUAAUUGCAAAUGAAAUGGAGUGCCAGGUUUUGGACUGGCCCUGUCGGUACCUCGGGCUUCCGCUUGCAUUGCGGAAAUUUCAGCAGCCCAAUUGCAGUACAUGAUUGACAAGAUGGCGGACUGGCUUCCUGCCUGGCAAGCCAAGCUGAUUUAUCGAGCCGGGCGAUUAGAGCUGCUGCGAACUACUCUUUCAUCCAUACCAAUGCAUGCGAUGAUGGCGCUCGACUUACCUAUCAAAACCAUCGCAGCCGCUAAUAAAAUCUGUCGGGGAUUCUUGUGGAAGGGUAGGCAUGAUGUUCAUGGCAGGCAUUGCAUCGUCGCUUGGGACCAAGUUUGUGCGCCAAAAGAGUUAGGUGGAUUGGGCAUGCCAAACUUGCGUCUGCUAAACACAGCGCUUAGAGCCAGGUGGCCGUGGUUGCAAAGGACAGAGCCAAACCGGCCAUGGGGUGCUCUUAACUUGCAAGUACCCGAAGAAUCUAUGAGCAUCUACAAAGCAGCCACAAGAUGCACGCUUGGGGACGGGAACACGGCGCGGUUCUGGACGGACUGGUGGCUCCGGGACGGUCGCAUUGAGGGUACCAUGCCACACCUAUAUGCCAUGGUCAAGAAGCCGGGACGGAGAAAGACGGUCAGUCAAGCGAUCACGGACGGAUGGUGGCAAGAUGUCUCACCGGAUAUGAGCACGCAAGCACUACUUGAGUUCAUCACUUUGGUAGACAUGACUCAGAACAUCGAGCUGGUGCAAGGUGUGGAAGACACAAUCACAUGGACAUGGGAGAGCACGGGCAGUUUCUCUGUACGGUCGGCAUACCGCGCACAUUUUGCGGGAAGAAUAGAGAAGGCCGGAGCCUACCAAGUCUGGAAAUCGUGGGCACCGCCGGCGUGCAAGUUCUUCAUGUGGCUGGCAACGCGGAAUCGGUGCUGGACUGCGGAUCGGUUGCAGCGCCGACAGAUGCCACACUCAUCGGCAUGCCCUCUUUGUGAUCAAGCUCCGGAGACUUUAGAUCACCUAUUGCUUAGCUGUGUCUUCGCCGGGCAAGUGUGGACCAAGAUCACAAGCACAUGGGGGAGACCGGACUGGAUGCCAACAUUGGAUGCAAGCCUUGUGAAAUGGUGGACAGAUCUACACCCGCAAAACCACAUGAGGAAGGAGACGUGGACUGUUAUUACUCUCGUGCUAUGGCAGUUGUGGAAACACCGGAAUGACAUAGUGUUCAAUGGAGCCCUGCCAUCGGUUGAGGAAGUGCUUGUGAAGAUCGAGCUGGAGGCACAAGAUUGGAGAGCCGCCGGACUUCUUCGAGAACGGGGUUCCGUCAUUUGUAUGGUAGAUAGGGAGGACAUGGGUGAGUAAUCCGCAUGUGGAUUUAAGGCUUUUAUAGCCGUGGAGGGGGUUGUAAAAGGGUUUGUAAAACGGUUGGCCUUUCUUGGCCUCUUCUAUCUAUCUUCUCGAUGCGUCAAUCUUGAAGCAUCCCUUGAAAAUAUACUGAUAGACAGUCCUCAUGUGCGGCUCUCGGAGGAUUUGUUUUAUCUUCAUGUGCAUGAUGACCGAUGAGAUCACUACUACUAGUAUUAACUGUUUUGGUCAUUGGUCAAUUGGAGGGUGAGUAGGAAACCAAAAUACUCCAUGCAUGAUGAUGGUCUGACUCUUCCACCCCAACCCAGUUGAAUAAUAAAGGGACACACAAGCUGCAUGAGUGGCCUCCCAUGCUCGACUCAACUUGAAAUGUCAGCCUGGAGAACACCAACACUCAUGCAUGCACAUACAGAUAUGAGAUAUGGUCCAUUAUUUUCUCGGGACAGUUAAGGCAGCAAUCAACGAACAGUGCGUACAGCGCCUGGACUUUCUUCCUUCUUCUCCUCUGCACCCAACAACUUGUCCAUUCAUUCAUUCAUCCAUUCAUGGGUCAGCCAGUCUAUAAAGUCUGAGAUCGAUGGCGGCACGUGGAGUACAUAACUAGCCCACCCUCCACGCUGUACCAAAUUAAGGUGAGUACAACUACAAAAGCUACUGUAGUUGCUGCACCAUAUUUGCAAGGGCAGAGCAGCUGGCCGCACCGAUGAUGAGGAAUUCAGACCAAAAGCAAAGUGAGCACUAAUGGUUCCACGGUUUCGUUCACCCCAUGGCCGCAUCGCAUCUCUGUGUAUCUGUGUGUGACAGAGAGGUAGUACUGCCUGCGACCUGCCUGCAGUGGUUAUACUGGUUAAGCACAAGAAAGUCAUGAGAUGCAGAGCGUCCAACAAAGAGAAUUCCCUUCAGACAAUCGCCACACAGUUCUUCUCAUAACUUGCGCGUUCGUUCAACCAACCGCCGAUCUGCCGACUAAAAAACGCCCUCCAUGCAGGCAUGCAUGCACCUGUGUCCUGUCCUGUGAUGUCCGCAAAUUGACAGGACCUGCAUUGUGCAUGUGGAUGGACAAAGAGAAGAGCAGAGCAGGUCGAUCGGGCCCGGAAAAGCGCGACGGAGUCUUAAAAAACAAGCCCCACGCGGGCAAUCAAUGGUUCGCCGCGACUGAAUGCAGGGGUUGGCUCCCGGUUGAAUUUUUUAUGCCCAAGACGUGGAAGUGGAUUCAAUUCAGUGAUGAGCGGACGGACGUCCUCGUCUCACCCGCCUUGCGGUUCAAGGACAUGCACGUCUAUCAACCCAAUCCAUUUGUCCAUUGCCACUGGAUCCAUCCGUCCAUUGUUGGUCUAUCUGCUGCUGCUGCCUGAUUGUGUCUUAAGAAUUGGGUGCAGCUGCUCUCAGUAAAUGCGCGCGAGCUAGCCUUCAAUGGCCGUCACUGUCGACCGACCGAUCUUCUUUUUCUUUCUUCGUCAAUGGCGCAAUUGAAUUGAAAGAAAGGAAAGGACAGGAGAAGCUGUAGCCUGGAGCUGGAGGAGCGGUAAGUGUAUUUGAUGGGUGUGAUCAUGGAUGUAGAUACGGUUGCACGUAGCUGUUCCCGGCCGGGUGAAUACGCGUACGCAUCAUUGGUUAUCCUGCAGCUUCGCAUUACUUGCACCCGUCACCAUCGCAUUUACUUGCGUUUCUAUUUUUAAAUCAAAUGCAUGUACUCAGAAACGGUGGUAUUUUUAUUAGAAAGCAACGCAAUUUUUUAAAACAAAACUUUGGGAACUUUAUUUUAAAUAAAAAAACGGUUACAUCGUCCACCGGUAAGACCUUGUCCUAUCUCUACAUUAACUGCUUUCAACUCGGGGUAGAUUUGAUUUGCAUAUACGAUUAGGGCAUCUUCAAUGGUUGUAAGAUAGUUGUUGGUAAACUUUGCCACAUGAUUUUUGAUGAUGUGUCAUACAAUAAAUGAGGAAAGAGAGAAAGAUUAUAUGUACAUGAACCAACACCUCUUACACAAGGUUCAAUGUAGAAUGAGAGUGCACCUUAUUUAUUGCCUCACAUCUUAUUGGGCAAACUGGAUACAACCCAUUGGAGUUGUUGUAUGUUAAGAUGUUGGUUGAUGACAUGUCAUAUUUUACCAACAAGCUAACAUACAAACUGUUGGGGAUGCCCUUAGAGAGUUAGGGAGGGAUUGGACACACCGGUGUGUGGGAUUGGAUUAGGGGCAACACUGACGAAGAACACUCAAAUCCAUCGAUUUUUUUAUUACAUCGAGAUUGGGGAUUGGGGUACAAACUAGCCGCGGCGACCUUGGAGUUGCGUUGAGCAGCAGGGGGCGUAGCCAUCUUCUUUUCUGCCACCACCGCAGCACCUGUAGUUUCGUCCUCAUCGUCUUUGUCAAGAAUGAUGUGUCUUGCAUGGUCGCCUGCCGCUAGCUCCCUGGCCACCCUCUGCACCACGUCAUUGUCAUCCUUCGGCAACACAAAUGUCCUAGUCCAGUACACCACGACACACUGGUCUUGAGGCGCCUUGUACUCCCUGCACUUGGCCCAUCUUGCCCUCUGUCCAGCCUCCCGGAGUCCGCCUGAUUCAUGGCCCAGUGCAGGAAGUCCACUAACAUUGCGCCCCUGGCUAGGUUAGGAAUCAAUGUCUUCAACUAGUCCGGUGUUGCCUUCUUAACACUAGUAGAAAACAUGACAUCAGUCCUGGUUCCAGUGGGCCUUUAGUCCCAGUUCUGCAACCGGGACAAAACGAUCGGGACUAAUGCCCACCACUUUUACUCCCGGUUGGUCUAUGAACCGGGACUAAAGGAGCUCUUGUGGCCGUUGUGGGGCGCCUAGGCAGGAGGACCUUUCGUCCCGGUUGGUAACACUGACCGGGACUAAAAGGCAGCCACGCAUCAGCAGCAGCCAGGCGCUGGGGUUUUUGUUUUCUUUUUUGAAAGGAGGGGUUUUGGAGGGUUUAUGGGUUUUCAUAUUGUGUUUCCCCCUUUUAUUUUUCUGUUUACCAUUCAAUUCUUUUACAUUUAGGGUUUCAUUUUUAUUUAAUGUUUUCCAUUCAACUCGACGCUAGCUACUACAUAUAGCAAUGAAGGAACCAUUACACAAGAUCGUCAUGAACAUAUAUAGAGAGAAGUGACAUCUCUUUCUCCGUGCUUGGUCGAACAACAAGUUUUCGUAUAUCUAUCUGUUGGGGAUAUAAUUAUUUAGUUAACCUGCCCAAGAGGGGCCGGGUUAUAUUCAUGGCGACUCAUAAAGACAAAGCCUAGGAAGGAAUUGAAGAUGGUGGUUCAUGAGGAUAACUUAUGAAGGGCCCAAGGCCCAAAGGCGGCUUAAGGCCAGUAGGUGUAAACCGCCAUAUGUGUAUAACUUGUACAAUAAGGCAAUUGUAGUUAAGUCACCAGGCCGGACACGUUUAUGAGCCGGUCGGGACUCUGUAAACCACCGGGCGUCAACCUGAGUAUAUAAAGGGACGACCCGGCGAUGAGUUAAGGGCAAGAAAGAAGAGAUCGAAAGCUAGGUCAAGCGUAUUCGCUCCCUGGUAAUCGAGACAUAAGUAAUUCCACCUCAACUGGAUUAGGCCUUUACCUUCACCGCAAGGGGCCGAACCAGUAUAAACUCCCUGUGUCCUUUGUCCCGUUUUAACCCCUUUAAGCUAAUCUCGUUGUGAUGGAUCCACGACUAAGUCCUUGCAUUAGGACAUCUGCCGUGACAAUCCCAUGACAGUUGGCACCCACCGUGGGGCUCUCGCACGAUGGUUUCAAGUUCUUAGAGGGCAACUUUGAAGGGAUUGUCGGUGUACAAAAGUAGGGGCACUCCUUUGUACCCCUUUACUUGUGCACGGGCAGUCGGAGCCACGCGCCACGGCCGCACUUAGCAGGGCAAGGGAGGGAAGCCGGAGAGAAGCCGAAGCCCGAGACAAACAAGGCAACGUCAAGACCAAAGAUACCAAAGAGCGAGAGGGCGAGGUGGACUCCCCCGGCAAGGCCCUUGCCGGGGCAACUUGCCCGAUGCUAACAGAGCGAGCCACCCUUGAGCCCACGGGUUCCAACUCAACCAACCACAUUGGAACUAGGGCUCGGGAGGCACCUCCGUGGUAGCCUGCAAACCUUUGUCAAGACCAUAGAGAUAUGAGAGCAGAUGAGAACCAGAAGACGGCGACCCUCAGCGGGAUCCUUGCCGAGGAGAUCCACAAUACCCCCGGCAAGCACCUUGCCGGGGACAACUGCAACGCCAUGGCAAGACCCUUGCCGGGCCCCCGGCAAGGCCCUUGCCGAGGGCGUCCGUGGGGCCAAAGCCAGGUCCGCGUCGACCAAGACUCCACCGCUGUUCCCGACCAGCUACUAGCUCAACCAGCCGGGCAGGCACCUGCGUGGCGACAGGCGGCCUCUACGCCAACUCAGCAAGCACCUGCGUGGUGGCAUGCAACUCUUCGUGAAGACCCUACCACCGUGCCACCUCAGCUGCCUGCUUGCCUACAUGGCGCCGCAUGCACCGCUGGCCUAGGCGCGUGUCGAAGCAAGGCGAGGCGGCGACGGACGGGACGGGCCUCGUUCCCGUCCCCAACAAAGCUAAGGGACACCUAAGCUACGCAUUAAAUGUGCCUUGUCCUGUAACACGGGCGAUAAUCUCGCAGCACUGUAGGCCUUUCCACCUCCUGUGUGCCACUGUGGCAGCCCCUUUCGACUAUAAAAGGAGGCCCUUGGCAUACUGGAGAGGGAUUCGGCUCUUUUGAACUAUGCGAAGGAAAUAUGCCCUAGAGGCAAUAAUAAAGUUAUUAUUUAUUUCCUUAUAUCAUGAUAAAUGUUUAUUAUUCAUGCUAGAAUUGUAUUAACGGAAACUUGAUACAUGUGUGAAUAUAUAGACAAACAGAGUGUCACUAGUAUGCCUCUACUUGACUAGCUCGUUGAUCAAAGAUGGUUAUGUUUCCUAGCCAUAGACAUGAGUUGUCAUUUGAUUAACGGGAUCACAUCAUUAGGAGAAUUAUGUGAUUGACUUGACCCAUUCCGUUAGCUUAGCACUUGAUCGUUAGUAUUCUGCUAUUGCUUUUUUCAUGACUUAUACAUGUUCCUAUGACUAUGAGAUUAUACAACUCCCGUUUACCGGAGGAACACUUUGUGUGCUACCAAACGUCACAACGUACCUGGGUGAUUAUAAAGGUGCUCUACAGGUGUCUCCGAAGGUACUUGUUGGGUUGGCGUAUUUCGAGAUUAGGAUUUGUCACUUCGAUUGUCGGAGAGGUAUCUCUGGGCCCACUCGGUAAUGCACAUCACUAUAAGCCUUGCAAGCAUUGCAACUAAUGAGCUAGUUGCGGGAUGAUGUAUUACGGAACGAGUAAAGAGACUUGCCGGUAAUGAGAUUGAACUAGGUAUUGAGAUACCGACGAUCGAAUUUCAGGCAAGUAACAUACCGAUGACAAAGGGAACAACGUAUGUUGUUAUGCGGUUUGACCGAUAAAGAUCUUCGUAGAAUAUGUGGGAGCCAAUAUGAGCAUCCCGGUUCCGCUAUUGGUUAUUGGCCGGAGACGUGUCUCGGUCAUGUCUACAUAGUUUUCGAACCCGUAGGGUCCGCACGCUUAAAGUUAAAUGACGGUUAUAUUAUGAGUUUAUGUGUUUUUAUGUACCGAAGGAGUUCGGAGUCCCGGAUGAGAUCAGGGACAUGACGAGGAGUCUCGAAAUGGUCGAGACGUAAAGAUCGAUAUAUUGGACGACUAUAUUCGGACUUCGGAAAGGUUCCGAGUGAUUCGGGUAUUUAUCGGAGUACCGGAGAGUUACGGGAAUUCGGGGGGAGAAGUAUUGGGCCUUAUUGGGCCAUACGGGAAUAGAGGAGAGAGGCCAAAAGGAAGGAGGCGCGCACCCCCCUCUGGUCCGAAUUGGACAAGGGGCGCAGCCCCCUUUUCCUUCUCCCUCUCCCCCUCUUUCCUUCUCUCCUACUCCAACAAGGAAAGGAGGAGUCCUACUCCCGGUGGGAGUAGGACUCCCCCCUUGGCGCGCCCUCCUCCUUGGCCGGCCGCCUCCCCCCUUGCUCCUUUAUAUACGGGGGCAGGGGGCACCCCAUAGACACAACAAUAGAUCAUUGAUCUCUUAGCCGUGUGCGGUGCCCCCCUCCACCAUAUUACACCUCGAUAAUAUCGUAGCGGUGCUUAGGCGAAGCCCUGCGUCGGUAGAACAUCAUCAUCGUCACCACGCCGUCGUGCUGACGAAACUCUCCCUCAACACUCGGCUGGAUCGGAGUUCGAGGGACGUCAUCGAGCUGAACAUGUGCUAAACUCGGAGGUGUCGUGCGUUCGGUACUUGAUCGGUCGGAUCGUGAAGACGUACGACUACAUCAACCGGGUUGUGUUAACGCUUUCGCUUUCGGUCUACGAGGGUACGUGGACAACAGUCUCCCCUCUCGUUGCUAUGCAUCACCAUGAUCUUGCGUGUGCGUAGGAAUUUUUUUGAAAUUACUACGUUCCCCAACAGUGGCAUCAGAGUCUGGUUUUAUGCGUAGAUGUCAUAUGCACGAGUAGAACACAAGUGAGUUGUGGGCGAUAUAAGUCAUACUGCUUACCAGCAUGUCAUACUUUGGUUCGGCGGUAUUUUUGGAUGAAGCGGCCUGGACCGACAUUACGCGUACGCUUACGCGAGACUGGUUCUUCCGACGUGCUUUGCACAGAAAUGGCUGGCGGGUGUCAGUUUCUCCAACUUUAGUUGAACCGAGUGUGGCUACGCCCGGUCCUUGCGAAGGUUAAAACAACACCAACUUGACAAACUAUCGUUGUGGUUUUGAUGCGUAGGUAAGAACGGUUCUUGCUAAGCCCAGUAGCAGCCACGUAAAACUUGCAACAACAAAGUAGAGGACGUCUAACUUGUUUUUGCAGGGCAUGUUGUGAUGUGAUAUGGUCAAGACAUGAUGCUAAAUUUUAUUGUAUGAGAUGAUCAUGUUUUGUAACCGAGUUAUUGGCAACUGGAAGGAACCAUAUGGUUAUCGCUUUAUUGUAUGCAAUGCAAUCGCCAUGUAAUUGCUUUAUUUUAUCACUAAGCGGUAGCGAUAGUCGUAGAAGCAAUAGUUGGCGAGACGACAAACGAUGCUACGAUGGAGAUCAAUGGUGUCGCACCGGUGACGAUGGGGAUCAUGACGGUGCUUCGGAGAUGGAGAUCACAAGCACAAGAUGAUGAUGGCCAUAUCAUAUCACUUAUAUUGAUUGCAUGUGAUGUUUAUGUUUUAUGCAUCUUAUCUUGCUUUGAUUGACGGUAGCAUUAUAAGAUGAUCUCUCACUAAAUUUCAAGAUAAAAGUGUUCUCCCUGAGUAUGCACCGUUGCCAAAGUUCGUCGUGCCCAGACACCACGUGAUGAUCGGGUGUGAUAAGCUCUACGUCCAUCUACAACGGGUGCAAGCCAGUUUUGCACACGCAGAAUACUCAGGUUAAACUUGACGAGCCUAGCAUAUGCAGAUAUGGCCUCGGAACACUGAGACCGAAAGGUCGAGCGUGAAUCAUAUAGUAGAUAUGAUCAACAUAGUGAUGUUCACCGUUGAAACUACUCCAUCUCACGUGAUGAUCGGACAUGGUUUAGUUGAUAUGAAUCACGUGAUCACUUAGAGGAUUAGAGGGAUGUCUAUCUAAGUGGGAGUUCUUAAGUAAUAUGAUUAAUUGAACUUAAAUUUAUCAUGAACUUAGUCCUGAUAGUAUUUUGCAAAUUAUGUUGUAGAUCAAUAGCUCGCGUUGUUGCUUCCCUGUGUUUAUUUUUGAUAUGUUCCUAGAGAAAAAUUAUGUUGAAAGAUGUUAGUAGCAAAGAUGCGGACUGGAUCCGUGAUCUGAGGAUUAUCCUCAUUGCUGCACAGAAGAAUUAUGUCCUUGAUGCACCGCUAGGUGACAGACCUAUUGCAGGAGUAGAUGCAGACGUUAUGAACGUUUGGCUAGCUCAAUAUGAUGACUACUUGAUAGUUUAGUGCACCAUGCUUAACGGCUUAGAAUCGGGACAUCAAAGACGUUUUGAAUGUCAUGGACCAUACGAGAUGUUCCAGGAGUUGAAGUUAAUAUUUCAAGCAAAUACCCGAGUUGAGAGAUAUGAAGUCUCCAACAAGUUCUAUAGCUAAAAGAUGGAGGAGAAUAGCUCAAGCAGUGAGCAUGUGCUCAGAUUGUCUGGGUACUACAAUCGCUUGAAUCAAGUGGGAGUUAAUCUUCCAGAUAAAAUAGUGAUUGACAGAAUUCUCUAGUCACCAUCACCAAGUUAGUAGAACUUCGUGAUGAACUAUAGUAUGCAAGGGAUGACGAAAGUAAUUCCGGAGCUCUUCGUGAUGCUGAAAUCGACGAAGGUAGAAAUCAAGAAAAACAUCAAGUGUUGAUGGUUGACGAGGCCACUAGUUUCAAGAAAAGGGCAAAGGGAAGAAGGGGAACUUCAAGAAGAACGGCAAGAAAGUUGCUGCUCAAGUGAAGAAGCCUAAGUCUGGUCCUAAGCCUGAGACUAAGUGCUUCUACUGCAAAGGGACUGUUCACUGGAAGCGGAACUACCCCAAGUAUUUGGUGGAUAAGAAGGAUGGCAAAGUAAACAAAGGUAUAUUGGAUAUACAUGUUAUUGAUGUGUACUUUAAUAGUGUUUAUAGCAACCCCUCGGCAUUUGAUACUGGUUCAGUUGCUAAGAGUAUUAACUCGAAACGGGAGUUGCAGAAUAAACAGAGACUAGUAAAAGGCGAGGUGACGAUGUGUGUUGGAAGUAGUUCCAAGAUUGAUAUGAUCAUCAUCGCACACUCCCUAUACUUUCGGGAUUAGUGUUGAAACUAAAUAAGUGUUAUUUGGUGUUUGCGUUGAGCAUGAAUAUGAUUUGAUCAUGUUUGUUGCAAUACGGUUAUUCAAUUAAAUUAGAGAAUAAUUGUUGUUCUGUUUACAUGAAUAAAACCUUCUAUGGUCAUACACCCAAUAAAAUGGUUUGUUGGAUCUCGAUCGUAGUGAUACACAUAAUCAUAAUAAUGAAGCCAAAAGAUGCAAAGUUAAUAAUGAUAGUGCAACUUAUUUGUGGCACUGCCGGUUAGGUCAUAUUGGUGUAAAGCGCAUGAAGAAACUCCAUACUGAUGGGAUUUUGGAAUCACUUGAUUAUGAAUCACUUGAUGCUUGCGAACCGUGCCUCAUGGGCAAGAUGACUAAAACGCCGUUCUCCGGAACUAUGGAGAGAGCAACAGAUUUGUUGGAAAUCAUAUAUACAGAUGUAUGUGGUCCGAUGAAUAUUGAGGCUCGUAGCAGGUAUCAUUAUUUUCUGACCUUCACAGAUGAUUUGAGCAGAUAUGGGUAUAUCUACUUAAUGAAACAGAAGUCUGAAACAUUUGAAAAGUUCAUAUAAUUUCAGAGUGAAGUGGAAAAUCAUCGUAACAAGAAAAUAAAGUUUCUACGAUCUGAUCGUGGAGAAGAGUAUUUGAGUUACGAGUUUGGCCUUCAGUUAAAACAAUGUGAAAUAGUUUCACUACUCAUGCCACCUGGAACACCACAGUGUAAUGGUGUGUCCGAACAUCGUAACUGUACUUUAUUAGAUAUGGUGCGAUAUAUGAUGUCUCUUACCGAUCUACCACUAUCGUUUUGGGGUUAUGCAUUAGAGACAGUUGCAUUCACGUUAAAUAGGGUACCAUCUAAAUCCAUUGAGACGACAUCUUAUGAACUGUGGUUUGGCAAGAAACCAAAGUUGUCGUUUCUUAAAGUUUGGGGUUGCGAUGCUUAUGUGAAAAAGUUUCAUCCUGAUAAGCUCAAACCCAAAAUUGGAGAAAUGUGUCUUCAUAGGAUACCCAAAGGAGACAGUUGGGUACACCUUCUAUCACAGAUCCGAAGGCAAGACAUUCGUUGCUAAGAAUGGAUCCUUUCUAGGGAAGGAGUUUCUCUCGAAAGAAGUGACUGGGAGGAAAGUAGAACUUGAUGAGGUAACUGUACCUGCUCCCUUAUUGGAAAGUAGUUCAUCACAGAAACCAGUUCCUGUGACUCCUACACCAAUUAGUGAGGAAGCUAAUGAUGAUGAUCAUGUAACUUCAGAUCAAGUUACUACCGAACCCCGUAGGUCAACCAGAGUGAGAUCCACACCAGAGUGGUACGGUAAUCCUAUUCUGGAGGUCAUGUUACUUGACCAUGACGAACCUACGAACUAUGAGGAAGCGAUGAUGAGCCCAGAUUCCGCGAAAUGGUUUGAGGCCAUGAAAUCUGAGAUGGGAUCCAUGUAUGAGAACAAAGUAUGGACUUUGAUUGACUUGCCCAAAUGAUCGGCGAGCCAUUGAGAUUAAAUGGAUCUUCAAGAGGAAGACGGACGCUGAUAGUAGUGCUACUAUCUACAAAGCUAGAAUUGUCGCAAACGGUUUUCGACAAAUUCAAGGUGUUGACUACGAUGAGAGUUUCUUACUCGUAUCUAUGCUUAAGUCUGUCCGAAUCAUGUUAGCAAUUGCCGCAUUUUAUGAAAUCUGGCAAAUGGAUAAACAAAACUGCAUUCCUUAAUGGAUUUAUUAAAGAAGAGUUGUAUAUGAUGCAACCAGAAGGUUUUGUCGAUCCUAAAGGUGUUAACAAAAUGUGCAAGCUCCAGCGAUCCAUCUAUGGACUGGUGCAAGCAUCUCGGAGUUGGAAUAUAUGCUUUGAUGAGUUGCUCAAAGCAUAUAGUUUUAUACAGACUUGCGGUGAAGCCUGUAUUUACAAGAAAGUGAGUGGGAGCACUACAACAUUUCUGAUAAGUAUAUGUGAAUGACAUAUUGUUGAUCGGAAAUAAUGUAGAAUUAUUCUGCAAAGCAUAAAGGAGUGUUUGAAAGGGGUUUUUCAAAGAAAGACCUCGGUGAAGCUGCUUACAUAUUGAGCAUCAAGAUCUAUAGAGAUAGAUCAAGACGCUUGAUAAGUUUUUUCAAUGAGUACAUACCUUAACAAGAUUUUGAAGUGGUUCAAAAUGGAACAGUCAAAGAAAGAGUUUCUUGCCUGUGUUACAAGGUGUGAAAUUGAGUAAGACUCAAAGCCCGACCACGGCAGAAGAUAGAAAAAGAAUGAAAGUCAUUCCCUAUGCCUCGGCCAUAGGUUCUAUAAAGUAUGCCAUGCUGUGUACCAGAUCUAUUGUAUACCCUACACUGAUUUUGGCAAGGGAGUACAAUAGUGAUCUAGGAGUAGAUCACUGGACAGCGGUCAAAAUUAUCCUUAGUGGAAUAAGGAUAUGUUUCUCGAUUAUGGAAGUGACAAAAGGUUCGUCGUAAAGGGUUUCGUCGAUGCAAGUUUCUGACACUAAUCUAGAUGACUCUAAGUCUCGGUCUAGAUACAUAUUGAAAGUGGGAGCAAUUAGCUAGAGUAGCUCCGUGCAGAGCAUUGUAGACAUGGAAAUUUGCAAAAUACUUACGGAUCUGAAUGUGACAGACCCGUUGACUAAAAAUAUCUCACAAGCAAACAUGAUCACACCUUAGUACUCUUUGGGUGUUAAUCACAUAGUGAUGUGAACUAGAUUAUUGACUCUAGUAAACCCUUUGGGUGUUGGUCACAUGACGAUGUGAACUAUGGGUGUUAAUCACAUGGUGAUGUGAACUAUUGAUGUUAAAUCACAUGGCGAUGUGAACUAGAUUAUUGACUCUAGUGCAAGUGGGAGACUGAAGGAAAUAUGCCCUAGAGGCAAUAAUAAAGUUAUUAUUUAUUUCCUUAUAUCAUGAUAAAUGUUUAUUAUUCAUGCUAGAAUUGUAUUAACCGGAAACUUGAUACAUGUGUGAAUACAUAGACAAACAGAGUGUCACUAGUAUGCCUCUACUUGACUACCUCGUUGAUCAAAGAUGGUUAUGUUUCCUAGCCAUAGACAUGAGUUGUCAUUUGAUUAACGGGAUCACAUCGUUAGGAGAAUUAUGUGAUUGACUUGACCCAUUCCGUUAGCUUAGCACUUGAUCGUUUAGUAUUCUGCUAUUGCUUUCUUCAUGACUUAUACAUGUUCCUAUGACUAUGAGAUUAUGCAACUCCCGUUUACCGGAGGAACACUUUGUGUGCUACCAAACGUCACAACAUAACUGGAUGAUUCUAAAGGUGCUCUAUAGGUGUCUCCGAAGGUACUUGUUGGGUUGGCGUAUUUCGAGAUUAGGAUUUGUCACUUCGAUUGUCGGAGAGGUAUCUCUGGGCCCACUCGAUAAUGCACAUCACUAUAAGCCUUGCAAGCAUUGCAACUAAUGAGCUAGUUGCGGGAUGAUGUAUUACGGAACGAGUAAAGAGACUUGCCGGUAACGAGAUUGAACUAGGUAUUGAGAUACCGACGAUCGAAUUUCAGGCAAGUAACAUACCGAUGACAAAGGGAACAACGUAUGUUGUUAUGCGGUUUGACCGACAAAGAUCUUCGUAGAAUAUGUGGGAGCCAAUAUGAGCAUCCAGGUUCCGCUAUUGGUUAUUGACCGGAGACGUGUCUCGGUCAUGUCUACAUAGUGUUUGAACCCGUAGGGUCCGCACGCUUAAAGUUAGAUGACGGUUAUAUUAUGAGUUUAUGUGUUUUGAUGUACCGAAGGAGUUCGGAGUACCGGAUGAGAUCAGGGACAUGACGAGGAGUCCCGAAAUGGUCGAGACGUAAAGAUCGAUGUAUUGGACGACUAUAUUCGAACUUCGGAAAGGUUCCGAUUGAUUCGGGUAUUUAUCGGAGUACCGGAGAGUUACGGGAAUUCGCCGGGGAGAAGUAUUGGGCCUUAUUGGGCCAUACGGGAAUAGAGGAGAGAGGCCAAAAGGAAGGAGGUGUGCACCCCCCCCCUCUGGUCCGAAUUGGACAAGGGGUGCAGCCCCUUUUCCUUCUCCCUCUCCCCCUCUUUCCUUCUCUCCUACUCCAACAAGGAAAGGAGGAGUCCUACUCCCGGUGGGAGUAGGUCUCCCCCCUUGGCGCGCCCUCCUCCUUGGCCGGCCGCCUUCCCCCUUGCUCCUUUAUAUACGGGGGGCAGGGGGGCACCCCAUAGACACAACAAUAGAUCAUUGAUCUCUUAGCCGUGUGCGGUGCCCCCCUCCACCAUAUUACACCUCGAUAAUAUCGUAGCGGUGCUUAGGCGAAGCCGUGCGUCGGUAGAACAUCAUCAUCGUCACCACGCCGUCGUGCUGACGAAACUCUCCCUCAACUGUCGGCUGGAUCGGAGUUUGAGGGACGUCAUCGAGCUGAACGUGUGCUGAACUCGGAGGUGCCGUGCGUUCGGUACUUGAUCGGUCGGAUCGUGAAGACGUACGACUACAUCAACCGCGUUGUGUUAACGCUUCCGCUUUCGGUCUACGAGGGUACGUGGACAACACUCUCCCCUCUUGUUGCUAUGCAUCACCAUGAUCUUGCGUGUGCGUAGGAAUUUUUUUGAAAUUACUACGUUCCCCAACACUAUGCAGCCCCCAUAGCUAGUUCGAGAGCGCAAGAACACUCAAUACAUCCACCAAAGCAUGACUAGGGUUUUACGCAUCCUCGCGGCCUGAACCUGGGUGAACGAUCCUUGUGCUGACUGUUAAUCCUGCUCUUCUCACAACCCCGUGCCCUGGCAACCGUAGUAGGGAUUCUUAUGAUCCCAUAGGUGUCGAGCCCCCGGGCCUGGGCCACACAUAAGCGCGACACGUUGUUGGGCCAGGCCCAAAACGGUGCGCGGGCAGGAGGGGCGGAUUUUUACCGCAGUAACUGUUCCGUCCGUUGUGCUUCCCCACGACCCGCGUUGAACGCGCGACGAGGAGGGGCAUGCGUGACGUGGGGAUCAUGCGCGAUGCGUUUCCCGCAUGCAUGCGUCACAUCGUGGUAAAGAGGUGUCUCGCGCCUUCCCCAUAAAAGAGGGAGGCGUGUAGGCGCGGCUCAUUUACUGGAUGGACUCGGGUCGCGGUCUUCAAGGCGCCCACGCCCCAUGAUCACGGGGCGGGGAACGGUCACCUCACCCAUCCUUUCGAUCCUGCUCGCUCGCCACGCGUCCUUCAUGCAAGUGGCGGGCAGUGGAGGCGGGAAACCGGGCCGUCGCUGAUUGGGGCGGCGGGUCGGUCUUGAUUCCCUGCGCCUCUAACGGCUGGAUUGGCUGAGUGGGGCGGCCGAGCCCCGACCUCGCCCCUUUAUAAGGAGGGGAGGGAGGGCGUCGUCCCACAUUCCUUCAGCACCCAUCCUCCUUCACCUGUGUUUCUUUCUGCCACCUGCCAUGGCGAGAGGAGGUGCUGGGCCUUCGACGGUGGCGGAUAGGGUCGCUGCUCGUCAGCGCGUCCCUCCUUCCCACGAGCCCACAGCGGCGGAGCCAGCCGCAAGAGGAAGGGGGAGGGGGCAUGGCCGAGGUCGCCGCGGCGGUCAGGGGAGAGGGGGACGAGGUGGCGCGGUAGCCGCGCCUCCACCAGCGGUGCCUCCCGCGAUGGAGGGUCAUGUCGGGGACCGGCCCCGCGAGUUCUUCAUCCGUCUGCGCCGGCCACCGCGUCGUCGUCUCCCCACCCCCUUCGCUCAGGAGAUGAAGCUCGAUCCGCCCCAGACCCUCAGAUUGCACAUGAGGGGCUGCGGGACCGGCGGCACGCGGGUUGAUACGUCUCCAACGUAUCUAUAAUUUUUGAUUGCUCCAUGCUAUAUUAUCUUCUGUUUUGGACAUUAUUGGGCUUUAUUAUUCACUUUUAUAUUAUUUUUGGGACUAACCUAUUAACCGGAGGCCCAGCCCAGAAUUGCUGUUUUUUGCCUAUUUUAGAGUUUCGCAGAAAAAGAAUAUCAAACGGAGUCCAAACGGAAUGAAACCUUCAGGAAUGUGAUUUUCGGAAAGAACAUGAUCCAGGAGACUUGGACCCUACGUCAAGAAACAAAAGAGGAAGCCACGAGGUAGGGGGGCGCGCCUACCCCCCUAGGGCGCACCCUCCACCCUCGUGCCCCCCUGUUGCUCCACCGACGUACUUCUUCCUCCUAUAUAUACCUACAUACCCACAAACGAUCAGAUACGGAGCCAAAAACCUAAUUCCACUGCCGCAACCUUUUGUACCCACGAGAUCCCAUCUUGGGGCCUGUUCCGGAGCUCGGCCGGAGGGGGCAUCCAUCACGGAGGGCUCUACAUCAACACCAUAGCCUCUCCGAUGAAGUGUGAGUAGUUUACCUCAGACCUUCGGGUCCAUAGUUAUUAGCUAGAUGGCUUCUUCUCUCUUUUUGGAUCUCAAUACAAUGUUCUCCCCCAAUCUCAUGGAGAUCUAUUCGAUGUAAUCUUCUUUUGCGGUGUGUUUGUUGAGACCGAUGAAUUGGGGGUUUAUGAUCAAGUUUAUCUAUGAACAAUAUUUGAAUCUUCUGAAUUCUUUUAUGUAUGAUUGGUUAUUUUUGCAAGUCUCUUCGAAUUAUCAGUUUGGUUUGGCCUACUAGAUUGAUCUUUCUUGCAAUGGGAGAAGUGCUUAGCUUUGGGUUCAAUCUUGCGGUGUCCUUUCCCAGUGACAGUAGGGGCAGCAAGGCACGUAUUGUAUUGUUGCCAUCGAGGAUAACAAGAUGGGGUUUUUAUCAUAUUGCAUGAAUUUAUCCCUCUACAUCAUGUCAUCUUGCUUAAGGCGUUACUCUGCUUCCAUGAACUUAAUACUCUAGAUGCAUGCUGGAUAGCGGUCGAUGAGUGGAGUAAUAGUAGUAGAUGCAGGCAAGAGUCGGUCUACUUGUCUCGGACGUGAUGCCUAUAUACAUGAUCAUACCUAGAUAUUCUCAUAACUAUGCUCAAUUCUGUCAAUUGCUCAAUAGUAAUUUGUUCACCCACCGUAAAAUACUUAUGCUCUUGAGAGAAGCCACUAGUGAAACCUAUGGCCCCCGGGUCUAUCUUCAUCAUAUUAAUCCUCCAACACUUAGUUAUUUCCUUUGCUUUCAAUUUACUUUGCAUCUUUAUCAUAAAAAUACCAAAAAUAUUAUCCUAUCAUAUCUAUCAGAUCUCACUCUCGUAAGUGACCGUGUAGGGAUUGACAACCCCUUAUCGCGUUGGUUGCGAGGAUUUAUUUGUUUUGUGUAGGUGCGAGGGACUCGCGCGUAGCCUCCUACUGGAUUGAUACCUUGGUUCUCAAAAACUAAGGCAAAUACUUACGCUACUUUGCUGCAUCACCCUUUCCUCUUCAAGGGAAAACCAACGCAGUGCUCAACAGGUAGCAAGAAGGAUUUCUGGCGCCGUUGCCGGGGAGAUUCGCGCCAAGUCAAGUCAAGAUUUGAUUUCCCGUCAACGAGCCAUUUGUGGCGCCGUUGCCGGGGAAGUCUACGCAAAAGUCAACAUACCAAGUACCCAUCAUAAACCCUGAUCUCCCGCAUUACAUUAUUUGCCAUUUGACUCUCGUUUUCCUCUCCCCCACUUCACCCUUUCCGUUUUAUUCGCCCUCUCUUUUCCGUUUGCCUCUUUUUGCCCGUCUCUUGUUUGCUCGUGUGUUGGAUUGCUUGCUUGUCACGAUGGCUCAAGAUAAUACCAAAUUAUGCGACUUUACCAAUACCAACAAUAAUGAUUUCCUUAGCACUCCAAUUGCUCCUCUUACCGAUACUAAAUCUUGUGAAAUCAAUGCUGCUUUGUUGAAUCUUGUCAUGAAAGAUCAAUUCGCCGGCCUUCCUAGUGAAGAUGCCGCUACUCAUCUAAAUAGCUUCGUUGAUUUGUGUGAUAUGCAAAAGAAGAAAGAUGUUGAUAAUGAUAUUGUUAAACUGAAGCUAUUUCCUUUUUCACUUAGAGAUCGUGCUAAAGCUUGGUUUUCGUCUUUGCCUAAAAAUAGUAAUGAUUCUUGGAAUAAGUGCAAAGAUGCUUUUAUCUCUAAGUAUUUUCCUCCCGCUAAGAUUAUCUCUCUUAGAAAUGAUAUUAUGAAUUUUAAGCAACUUGAUCAUGAACAUGUUGCACAAGCUUGGGAGAGGAUGAAAUUGAUGAUACGUAAUUGCCCUACUCAUGGUUUGAAUUUCUGGAUGAUUAUACAAUUUUUUUAUGCUGGAUUGAAUUUUGCUUCUAGAAAUCUUUUAGAUUCGGCCGCGGGAGCCACUUUUAUGGGAAUCACUUUAGGAGAAGCUACUAAACUCCUAGAUAAUAAUAUGGUUAAUUAUUCUCAAUGGCACACUGAAAGAUCUACUAAUAAAAAAGUGCAUGCGAUAGAAGAAAUUAAUGUUUUGAGUGGAAAGAUGGAUGAACUUGUGAAAUUAUUUGCUACUAAGAGUGUUUCUUCUGAUCCCAAUGAUAUGCCUUUGUCUACUUUGAUUGAGAAUAAUAAUGAAUAUAUGGAUGUGAAUUUCGUUGGUAGGAAUAAUUUUGGUAACAACGCGUAUAGAGGAAACUUUAACCCUAGGCCUUAUCCUAGUAAUUCCUCUAAUAAUUAUGGUAAUUCCUACAACAAUUCUUAUGGAAAUUUUAAUAAGAUGCCCUCUGACUUUGAGACUAGUGUUAAAGAGUUUAUGAAUUCGCAAAAGAAUUUCAAUGCUUUGCUUGAAGAAAAAUUGCUUAAAGUUGAUGAAUUGGCUAGGAAUGUUGAUAGAAUUUUUCUUGAUGUUGAUUCUUUGAAACUUAGAUCUAUUUCUCCUAAGCAUGAUAUCAAUGAGUCUCUCAAAGCCAUGAGAAUUUCCAUUGCUGAGUGCAAAGAAAGAACCGCUAGGAUGCGUGCUAAGAAAGAUUGUUUUAUAAAAGAGUGUUCUUCAAAUUUCUAUGAAAAUAAAGAUGAAGAUCUAAAAGUUAUUGAUGUGUCCCCUAUUAAAUCUUUGUUUUGCAAUAUGAAUCUUGAUAAUGAUGGGACUGAAUAUGGACCACCUUUACCUAGAAGGCGUUCCAAAAAUUCAGAGUUUUUAGAUCUUGAUGCUAAAAUUGAUAAAAGUGGGAUUGAAGAAAUCAAAACCCUAGAUAUUAAUAAACCCACUAUUUGGAUUUCAAGGAAUUUAAUUAUGAUAAUUGCUCUUUGAUAGAUUGUAUUUCCUUGUUGCAAUCCGUGCUAAAUUCUCCUCAUGCUUAUACUCAAAAUAAAGCUUUUACCAAACAUAUCGUUGAUGCCUUGAUGCGAUCUUAUGAAGAAAAACUUGAGCUGGAAGUAUCUAUCCCUAGAAAACUUUAGAAUGAGUGGGAACCUACUAUUAAAAUUAAGAUUAAAGAUCAUGAAUGCUAUGCUUUGUGUGAUUUGAGUGCUAGUGUUUCCACGAUUCCAAAAACUUUGUGCGAUUUGCUAGGUUUCCGUGAUUUUGAUGAUUGCUCUUUAAACUUGCACCUUGCGGAUUCCACUAUUAAGAAACCUAUGGGAAGAAUUAAUGAUGUUCUUAUUGUUGCAAAUAGGAACUAUGUGCCCGUAGAUUUUAUCGUUCUUGACAUAGAUUGCAAUCCUUCAUGUCCUAUUAUUCUUGGUAGACCUUUCCUUAGAACGAUUGGUGCAAUUAUUGAUAUGAAGGAAGGGAAUAUUAGAUUCCAAUUUCCAUUAAAGAAAGGCAUGGAACACUUCCCUAGGAAGAAAAUAAAAUUACCAUAUGAAUCUAUCAUGAGAGCCACUUAUGGAUUGCCUACCAAAGAUGGCAAUACCUAGAUCUAUCCUUGCUUUUAUGCCUAGCUAGGGCCGUUAAACGAUAGCGCUUGUUGGGAGGCAACCCAAUUUUAUUUUUAGUUUUUUGCAUUUUUCUUCUGUUUAGGAAUAAAUAUUUGUCCUAGCCUCUGGUUAGAUGUUUUUUUAUGUUUUAAUUAGUGUUUGUGCCAAGUUAAACCUAUAGGAUCUUCUUGGAUGAUAGUUAUUUGAUCUUGCAGAAAAUUCCAGAAACUUUCUGUUCACGAAACCAAUUGUUAAAAAUCACCAGAACGUGAUAAAAUAUUGAUUCCAAUUGCUUCUGAUCAAUAAACAAAUUUCCUAGGUCGUCCUAUCUUGGCUGAUUUUUUGGAGUUCCAGAAGUUUGCGUUAGUUACAGAUUACUACAGACUGUUCUGUUUUUGACAGAUUCUGUUUUUCGUUUGUUGUUUGCUUAUUUUGAUGAAUCUAUGGCUAGUAAAAGAGUUUAUAAACCAUAGAGAAUUUGGAAUAAAGUAGGUUUAACACCAAUAUAAAUAAAGAAUUAGUUCAUUACAGUACCUUGAAGUGGUCUUUUGUUUUCUUUCGCUAACGGAGCUCACGAGAUUUUCUGCUAAGUUUUCAAGUUUUGGGUGAAAGAUUUGAUGGAUUAUGGAACAAGGAGUGGCAAGAGCCUAAGCUUGGGGAUGCCCAUGGGACCCCCAAGAUAAUCUAAGGACACCAAAAAGCCAAAGCUUGGGGAUGCCCCGGAAGGCAUCCCCUCUUUCGUCUACUUCCAUCGGUAACUUUACUUGGAGCUAUAUUUUUAUUCACCACAUGAUAUGUGUUUUGCUUGGAGCGUCUUAUAUGAUUUGAGUCUUUGCUUUUUAGUUUACCAUAAUCAUCCUUGCUGUACGCACCUUUUGACAGAUACACACAUGAUUCAGAAAUUAUUAGAAUACUCUAUGUGCUUCACUUAUAUCUUUUGAGUUAUAUAGUUUUUGCUCUAGUACUUCACUUAUAUCUUUUAGAGCAUAGUGGUGGAUUUGUUUUAUAGAAACUAUUGAUCUCUCAUGCUUCACUUCGAUUAUUUUGAGUCUUAAAUAGCAUGGUAAUUUGCAUAAAUAAUCCUAAUAUGCUAGUUAUUCAAGAAUAGUAAAAAUUCUUAUGAGUGUGUUGAAUACUAUGAGAAGUUUGAUGCUUGAUAAUUGUUUUGAGAUAUGAAGAUGGUGAUAUUAGAGUCAUGAUAGUUGAGUAGUUGUGAAUUGGAGAAAUACUUGUGUUGAAGUUUGUGAUUCCCGUAGCAUGCACGUAUGGUGAACCGUUAUGUGAUGAAGUCGAAGCAUGAUUUAUUUAUUGAUUGUCUUCCUUAUGAGUGGCGGUCGGGGACGAGUGAUGGUCUUUUCCUACCAAUCUAUCCCCCUAGGAGCAUGCGCGUAAUAAUUUGCUUUGAUAACUUGUAGAUUUUUGCAAUAAGUAUAUGAGUUCUUUAUGACUAAUGUUGAGUCCAUGGAUUAUACGCACUUUUCCUCCUUCCUCCAUUGCUAGCCUCUCUAAUACCGCGCACUUUUCGCCGGUAUCAUACACCCACCAUAUACCUUCCUCAAAAUAGCCACCAUACCUACCUAUGAUGGCAUUUCCAUAGCCAUUCCGAGAUAUAUUGCCAUGCAACUUACCACCGUUCCGUUUAUUAUGACACGCUCCAUCAUUGUCAUAUUGCUUUGCAUGAUCAUGUAGUUGACAUUGUAUUUGUGGCAAAGCCACCGUUCAUAAUUCUUUCAUACAUGUAACUCUUGAUUCACUGCAUAUCUCGGUACACCGCCGGAGGCAUUCAUAUAGAGUCAUAUUUUGUUCUAAGUAUCGAGUUGUCAUUGUUGAGUUGUAAGAAAAUAAAAGUGUGAUGAUGAUCAUUUUUAGAGCAUUGUCCCAAGUGAGGAAAGGAUGAUGGAGACUAUGAUUCCCCCACAAGUGGGAUGAGACUCCGGACGAAAAAAAGAGGCCAUAAAAAAAGAAGAAGAAAAGGCCCAAAUAAAAAAAAUGAGAGAAAAAGAGAGAAGGGACAAUGUUUCUAUCCUUUUACCACACUUGUGCUUCAAAGUAGCUCCAUGAUCUUCAUGAUAGAGAGCCUCCUAUGAUAUCACUUCCAUAUACUAGUGGGAAUUUUUCAUUAUAGAACUUGGCUUGUAUAUUCCAAUGAUGGGCUUCCUCAAAAUGCCCUAGGUCUUCAUGAGCAAGCGAGUUGGAUGCACACCCACUUAGUUUCUUUUGUUGAGCUUUCAUAUACUUAUAGCUCUAGUGCAUCCGUUGCAUGGCAAUCCCUACUCACUCACAUUGAUAUCUAUUGAUGGGCAUCUCCAUAGCCCGUUGAUACGCCUAGUUGAUGUGAGACUAUCUUGUCCUUUUUGUCUUCUCCACAACCACCAUUCUAUUCCACAUAUAGUGCUAUGUCCAUGGCUCACCCUCAUGUAUUGCGUGAAGAUUGAAAAAGCUUGAGAAUGUCAAAAGUAUGAAACAAUUGCUUGGCUUGUCAUCGGGGUUGUGCAUGAUUUAAAUAUUUUGUGUGGUGAAGAUAGAGCAUAGCCAGACUAUAUGAUUUUGUAGGGAUAACUUUCUUUGGCCAUGUUAUUUUGAGAAGACAUAAUUGCUUAGUCAAUAUGAACUUUUGUCUUGAAUCUUUCGGAUAUGAAUAUUCAUACCACAAUUAAGAAGAAUUACAUUGAAAUUAUGCCAAGUAGCACUCCGCAUCAAAAAUUCUGUUUUUAUCAUUUACCUACUCGAGGACGAGCAGGAAUUAAGCUUGGGGAUGCUUGAUACGUCUCCAACGUAUCUAUAAUUUUUGAUUGCUCCAUGCUAUAUUAUCUUCUGUUUUGGACAUUAUUGGGCUUUAUUAUUCACUUUUAUAUUAUUUUUGGGACUAACCUAUUAACCGGAGGCCCAGCCCAGAAUUGCUGUUUUUUUGCCUAUUUUAGAGUUUCGCAGAAAAAGAAUAUCAAACGGAGUCCAAACGGAAUGAAACCUUCGGGAACGUGAUUUUCAGAACAAACAUGAUCCAGGAGACUUGGACCCUACGUCAAGAAACAAAAGAGGAAGCCACGAGGUAGGAUGGCAUGCCUACCCCCCUAGGGCGCGCCCUCCACCCUCGUGGGCCCCAUGUUGCUCCACCGACGUAGUUCUUCCUCCUAUAUAUACCUACGUACCCCCAAACGAUGAGAUACGGAGCCAAAAACCUGAUUCCACCGCCGCAACCUUCUCUACCCAUGAGAUCCCAUCUUGGGGCUUGUUCCGGAGCUCCGCCGGAGGGGGCAUCCAUCACGGAGGGCUUCUACAUCAACACCAUAGCCUCUCCGAUGAAGUGUGAGUAGUUUACCUCAGACCUUCGGGUCCAUAGUUAUUAGCUAGAUGGCUUCUUCUCUCUUUUUGGAUCUGAAUACAAUGUUCCCCCCUCUCUCGUGGAGACCUAUUCAAUGUAAUCUUCUUUUGCGGUGUGUUUGUUGAGACCGAUGACUUGUGGGUUUAUGAUCAAGUUUAUCUAUGAACAAUAUUUGAAUCUUCUCUGAAUUCUUUUAUGUAUGAUUGGUUAUCUUUGCAAGUCUCUUCGAAUUAUCAGUUUGGUUUGGCCUAAUAGAUUGACAUUUCUUGCAAUGGGAGAAGUGCUUAGCUUCGGGUUCAAUCUUGCGGUGUCCCUUCCCAGUGACAGUAGGGGCAGCAAGGCACGUAUUGUAUUAUUGCCAUCGAGGAUAACAAGAUGGUUUUUUUUAUCAUAUUGCAUGAAUUUAUCCCUCUACAUCAUGUCAUCUUGCUUAAGGCAUUACUCUGUUCUUAUGAACUUAAUACUCUAGAUGCAUGCUGGAUAGCGGUCGAUGUGUGGAGUAAUAGUAGUAGAUGCAGGCAGGAGUCGGUCUACUUGUCUCGGACGUGAUGCCUAUAUACAUGAUCAUACCUAGAUAUUCUCAUAACUAUGCUCAAUUCUGUCAAUUGCUCAAUUGUAAUUUGUUCACCCACCGUAAAAUACUUAUGUUCUUGAGAGAAGCCACUAGUGAAACCUAUGGCCCCCGGGUCUAUCUUCAUCAUAUCAAUCCUCCAACACUUAGUUAUUUCCUUUGCUUUUAUUUUACUUUGCAUCUUUAUCAUAAAAAUACCAAAAAUAUUAUCCUAUCAUAUCUAUCAGAUCUCACUCUCGUAAGUGACCGUGUAGGGAUUGACAACCCCUUAUCGCGUUGGUUGCGAGGAUUUAUUUGUUUUGUGUAGGUGUGAGGGACUCGCGCGUAGCCUCCUACUGGAUUGAUACCUUGGUUCUCAAAAACUGAGGGAAAUACUUACGCUACUUUGCUGCAUCACCCUUUCCUCUUCAAGGGAAAACCAACGCAGUGCUCAACAGGUAGCACGGGUCGACGUCGACUUCCCCGCUUCUCAUGUUAUGUAUCUCCGUCGCGGAUGGAAGACGUUUGCCCGCAUCCAUAGCAUGAUGGUGGGGCUCGUCCUCUACUUCAAGUUAAUGGAGGGCGGCUUGCUCUCCGUCAAGGUCUUCGGAGACCUUGGAACUCGCCUGAAGUGCUGUGUGGAGAGCUCCUCCGAUGAUGAAGAUUUCUCCUCGGGCGGGAGUGAUGAGGAGGACCGCGACAACGACGACGAGGGAGUCGGGCGGCAGGAUGCCGACCCCGACCCCGACUUCGACUGAUCGCGUCGCCCGUCCCUCGGCCUCACGCCCUGCCGCGGGCCUUUCUCGUCAAGCUCUUCAUCGGCGCGUUCCCAUCGCCUCCUUGGGCGACUGGCGUAGGAGGGCCGGAGAAGGCGAAGAAGGCGAGCGGCGUGCGUCAACUCAGAGUACGCGGGCACCGACGCCUUCGUCGCGUAUUGUCGGGCCGUUGCCUCAUCUUCCAGCCCCACCGCCGGCAUCGGGAUGCUCUCUUGGCGCCUUCUACUUCUCACACCUCGCCUAGGCGCUCCUUCGCCCUCCUGCUGUCUUGUUUCACCUCCUAAGGAGAGGGACAAGAAAGGGAUUACGGGCACCUUAUCUCUUUUUAGUUUGUAAGCCUGCGGGCACUUGUUAGAUUUAAGACUUGUAAUCCCCUUGCUCAUGUUUUUUAUUUCGUACGAACUGUACCUGUAUGGGACGUUUUUAAUUAAAAAGGGUGUUUGUCGGGUUCUUUGUGCGUGAGCGAGGCCCAUGCCAAGGACGAAUCCUUGUUAUUUUUAAGAUAAACAUUGUUGCCCGGCAAUAGGCCUUGCCGUUUCCCCACUCCAGUCGACCAUUCCCACGCUCUUGGUGGAGGCAGGGGCGAAGUAGAGUUAGGCCCCUCUUUCAUCUCCUCGCCACCGCGACUAUUACCAAAUUCCGACCCAGGAGGUAGCUCUUGGAUACAGGAAAGGGGGAGCACGGUGGUUUUAAGAACAUAAACGAGGUUUCACAUGUCCCAGUUCCAUACGGAAGUGCAUAACAGGGGAUGAAAGACUUAUCUGAAUUCGCAGCCCCCGGCAACCUUGGCUUGCCGUGGUUGGAUCCUUGUGUCUUCAGCCCCCGGCAAUCCUGGCUUGCUGGGGCCGGAGCGCCGGUCCAUCCUCUUCCUCCCAAGCGGCUCAGGAGAUAUGUACAGGUGCCCUGCGAACCAAAGAGGACAGAAAGACGCAUACUCGACCUCUGGGCUAGGGGUUAGUCGCCUCUAAGCACUAUCAACCCUAACCGAGGAGGAGACUUAACCUAGCAUGCAUGCUAUAACUUAGGGUGCCAGCGCUUCGUUUAUUUAUGCUCAGGGUCUGCGCCUGGCUUUGUACAGAGGGUUACAUGCCUUGCCGGCAAAGCUUGUACAAAAUUUGGCUUGCCGGGAGGCCCGACAAGCCGCGCCUUAUGGGUAAAACUUGCGAAGAUGCUCGACGUUCCAGGAGCUGCUCACUAGGACAGAAUCUUCGGUCUCCAGGCGGACUGCGCCGGGCUGGUGACUCGUAUUACCCGAUAAGGGCCUUCCCACUUCGGCGUCAACUUUUUGGAAUUCUUGGCCGACUGAACGCGCCGAAGAACAAGGUCGCCUUCCUCAAAGCUUCGGGCAUGGACCUUGCGGCUAUGGUAACGGCGCAAGGCCUGCUGGUAGCAUGCUGCUCUCACAGCCGCCCGAAGACGAUCUUCCUCAAGGAGCAUUGUGUCAUCUUGCCGCAACUUCUCUUGCUCAAGCUCAUCAUAAGCGAGCACUCGAGGUGACCCAUAUAUGAGUUCCGUGGGGAGAACUGCUUCUGCCCCAUAUACUAGGGCAAAGUGUGUCUGGCCGGUGGCUCGAUUUGGCGUCGUCCUGAUCGACCAAAGAACCGCCGGCAACUCAUCAAUCCAGCACCUUCCGCUCUUGUGUAGCUUGUCAAAGGUCUUCGUUCUCAGGCCUCGCAACACUUCUACAUUUGCCCUCUCCGCUUGGCCGUUGCUCGGGGGUGUGCCACGGAAGCAAAACAGACCUUGCUGCCGAGGUCUUGAAUGUAUUGCAUGAAGGUGUGGCUUGUGAACUGCGUGCCGUUAUCGGUGAUGACUCUGUUCGGCACACCAAAACGGCAGACUAGUCCCUUGAAGAACUUGACGGCUGACUCUGCUGUCACCUUCCUCACUGGUUCCACCUCCGGCCACUUUGUGAACUUGUCGAUUGCAACGUACAAGUACUCAAAGCCCCCGAUAGCAUGGGGGAAGGGGCCCAGUAUGUCGAGCCCCCAGACCGAAAAUGGCCAGGAGAGAGGGAUUGUUUGAAGGGCUUGAGCUGGUUGAUGAAGCUUCUUUGAAUGGAACUGACACACUUCACACUUGGUUACUAGUGCCGUUGCAUCCUGGAGGGCGGUGGGCCAGAAGAAGCCUUGCCGGAAUGCCUUGCCGGCAAGGGCCCUUGACCCUAUGUGGGAGCCACAUAUGCCUCCAUGUAUCUCUGCCAACAGCUCCAGUCCUUCCUCCCGGGGGAUGCACUUCAAUUUCACACCGUUCGGUCUUCUUCUGUACAAGACGUCAUCGACGAACUGGUACAAGGCAGACCGACGGGCUACUUUGUCCGCUUCUUCGUGCUCCUCGGGAAGUUCCCCUGUCUGGAGGAAAUGGACGGUAUGCUGUGCCCAUGCUGGAGCCUGGGGCUCGACGGCAAGGACCAAAGGCAUCUCUUCUGCCAUGGAGGCAGCCGUCUCUACGGCUAGGGCUUGGCGCCCUGCCGGAGCCAGCCGUCCCUCGGCAGGCUCAGGAUCCGCGGCAACACCCUUGUCGGCAGCCCCUGGGGGCUCAGCGGGAAAGUACUUGCCGGGGCCUGACAUCCUUCGCUUGUUCUGCUCUAUUGAUGGCUCGACGGAUGGUUGAGUUAACCGAAGCAAAAAGGUACCUGGUUCCACAGGUAGCUUGAAUGCAGCGCGCUUUGACAGGUAGUCAGCGAUGUCGUUCUCCGCUCGGGGAACGUGCUCUGCUUGUAUACCGUCGAAGCGCUCCUCCAGUUUCCUCACCUCAUCUACGUAAGCCUCCAUCAACGCACUAUGAUAAUCCUUGUUAACUUGUCUGAGGACAAGCUGCGAAUCACCCCUGACGAUGAGCUUUUUCACCCUGAGGCCCGCCGUGAUCCUGAGACCGGCAAGCAGCCCCUCGUAUUCAGCAGUGUUGUUUGUGGACAUCUCCCUGGGAAAGUGCAUCUGGAUCACAUACUUGUGGUGCUCUCCGGUGGGUGCGACAAGCAGCACACUGGCACCGGCGCCUUGCAGCGAGGAAGCCCCAUCAAAGUACAUGAUCCAGUCGCGGCUUGCAUCCUUGCCGGGGAGAGCGGUCUCCUGAAUUUCUUCGUCGGAAAUUGAGGUCCAUUCUACAAUGAACUCCGCCAAGACUCUGCUCUGGAUUGUCGAGGUACUUUCAAACUUUAACCCAAAGCUCGACAACUCCAAGGCCCAUUCCACAAUCCUUCCGGUCGCAUCUGGGUUGUGCAGUAUCCGUUGCAACGGGAGGCGGGUGACGACAGUGAUCUCGUGGGCUUGGAAGUAAUGACGCAACUUCCUCGAGGCCAUAAGGAGGCCGAAGAGCAAUUUUUGCACACCGGAGUACCUCGACCUAGUCCCCUGCAAGAGGGAGCUGACAAAGUAAACCGGGUGCUGCAUCAUCUUCUUCUUCUGCACCACUUCACUUGACUGUGCGGGCACCGCCUCGAUGGCGUCAGACUCUGCCGGGGGCCUUGCCUUGCCGGCACCAGGCCCUGCCGGGGGAAUCUCUGGCUUGCCGUCUGCCGGUCCUGCCGUCGCCACUGCCUCCUCGUCAACCUCCCUCUGUGCCACCAGUGCGGCGCUGACCACUUGAUUCGUUGCCGCUAGAUACAGCAGCAACGGCUCUUGUGGUUUAGGCGCAACCAGUAUUGGCGUGGAGGAAAGGUAUUUUUUCAGAUCCUGCAACGCCGCCUCGGCUUCUGGGGUCCACUCCAUUGGGCCUAUCUUCUCCAAGAUUUUGAAAAAGGGGAGGGCGCGCUCGGCGGACUUGGAGAUGAAUCGGCUCAUGGCGGCAACGCAGCCAGAGAGCCGACGCACGUCCUUGAUCCGCUUGGGCACCUCAAUUUGUUCAAUAGCCUUGAUUUUGUCUGGGUUUGCCUCGAUCCCGUGCAGCGACACAAAGAACCCGAGAACCUUGCCGGACGGAACGCCGAAGACACACUUCUCAGGGUUCAGCUUGAGGUUGAUCUUGCGCAGGUUGGCAAACGUCUCUUCCAGGUCUUGUACAAGAGUUGCCCCGUCCUUGAUUUUGACCACUAUGUCAUCCAUGUAUGCUUCCAUAUUUCUAUGGAGCUGGGGUCCAAAACCAAUUUGGACCGCUCUUGCAAAUGUCGAGCCAGCACUCUUCAACCCGAAAGGCAUCCGUAAAAAGCAAUGCGUACUACAUGGGGUGAUGAACGCUGUCUUCUCUUCAUCUUCUCUUGUCAUGAAGAUCUGGUGGUAGCCUGAGUAGGAGUCGAGGAAUGACAACAGAUCACACCCGGCCGUGGAGUCAACAAUCUGGUCGAUGCGCGGCAACGGGAAGGGGUCCUUGGGACAAGUCUUAUUGAUAUAUGUGUAGUCGAUACACAGCCUCCACUUCCCAUUUGCCUUGCACACCACCACCGGAUUGUCCAACCACGUCGGAUGGAGCACUCCUCUCACCAAACAUUCCGCUUCCAACUUCCUGAUCUCCUCUGUGAUGAACUCCUGCCUUUCCAGAGCCUGCUUCCUGACCUUCUGCUUCAUGGGCCGCGCAUGACGACAGACAGCUAGGUGGUGCUCAAUCACCUGCCUGGGAACACCGGGGAUGUCAGAUGCUUGCCAUGCAAACACGGGCCCUGCAGGAAGGUGACGAGCGUGCCUUCCUAUUUGCUGUCGAGGGUGGAGCUUAUGGUGAAAGCCCCUCCCGUGCCAUCCUCCCUAACGGACACCUUCUUGGUCUGCGGUGGCUCAACUCUGGAUUUCUUGCUCUUGCUGGUGGAGCUCUAUGGCACGUCCUCGACGGUAGCACAACACUCCGAAGAGGUGCGCUUGCCGGAGUGGGUGCGAGAGGUCUUGCCGGGCUUCUUCUUCCUUCCCGGGGCUUCAGCGGUAGGAGCAAGUGCCUUGGCGGCAGCUGCUGCAACUGCUUCCCGGUAGAGUUCGUCGGCGCAAAUCAGCACAUCCUUUUUGUCGGAGGGGACGGAGAUGAUGGUCAAUGGCCCGGGCAUCUUCAGCAUGUUGUAGGCAUAGUGCGACGGCGCCAUGAACUUGGCCAGUGCCGGGCGGCCGAGGAUCCCGUUGUAGGGCAAGGGGAUCUCCGCCACAUCGAAGACGAUUCUCUCCGUCCUGUAGUUCAACUCUCCUCCAAACGUCACGGGCAGUGUGACCUUCCCCUUCGGCUGGCUCCUCCCCGGAUUGACCCCUUGAAACGUGCCCAUUUCCUCGAGGUCUCCAUCAGUUAUUUGCAGCCUUUUGAUCAGGACUGGCGAGAUCAAGUUCAGGCCGGCCUUGCCGUCGACCAACAUCUUGUUCACCUUGAGGUUGUGUAUCGUUGGCGAGACCAACAACGGCAAACACCCAACCGCGGUUGUGCGGUCAGGGUGGUCCUCGGCGUCAAAGAUGAGGGGCGUGCUGGACCACUUCAGCGGCUUAUGAGUGUCGAACGAUGGCUCUGUUGCUGUAAUCUCACGCGCCCAUUGCUUGAGCUGGUGCUGAGAAGUAUGCAGCGAGGCGCCACCAUCGACGCACAUGGCCUGAGUAGCCUUUUGGAACCCUUGCUCGCCGGACUCGUCGUCCUCGUCACGAUCAUCGUCUUCUUGCUUCUUGUCACGGCCCCGGGCGGGCCUCUCUUGCUGGUUGUCCUUGCCGUGGCGGCCUACUUGGCCGCCACGCUUCUUGCCGGAUCCCUCGGCACCGUCCUGAUCCUUCUCCUUGUCCCGCUUCUCAUACUCGGCCUUUUGCUUCUCAGCAAGCAGCUCGACUUGCCGGCAGUUCUGGAGGUAGUGGCCCUUGGUGCGGUGGAUCUUGCAGUACUGCUUGUCGGAGCCCCCUGGCUUGUCGGCAGCCGCCAAGGCCCGGCAAGCGGCGCACCCAGUGAUUUCUUUGCCGGGGUCGUCUGCCUUGGCCUUCUUGGCGGCACCGGUGCUGUCGGAUCCCUCGACGGUAAGCACGGCCUUGCCCUUGCAUUUCCUGUUGCGACGCCGACCCUUCUUCCUCGGGGUGGCAGUGUCUUCAUCUGUAGAGUCGGUUUCCGCCCCGGCGUCUUCGCCGGGGUACUUCCUUCCCUCUUCAGCCCGGGCGCACCUAUCGGCCAGAACAUAGAGUUCGGCCACAUCCUUAACCUUGGUCAUCACCAGCUCUUCGCGCAUCUUGCGGUUGCGCACAUUCUGAUGGAACCCGCUGAUCAUGGCGGUGGGAUGAACGUCGGGGAUGUUGUACUGCACCCGGCUGAAUCUCUGGAUGUACUUGCGCAGGUUUUCCCCUUCCUUCUGGGAAAUGAUAUGCAAAUCACUAGCCUGGCCAUGAGCUUGGUGGCCUCCAGUGAAGGCGCCAACAAACUCGUGGCACAAAUCCGACCAAGAAGAAAUGAAGUCCGCCGGCAAGUGCAUCAACCAAGACAUGACAUUGGGCUUCAGUGCCAACGGGAAGUAAUUGGCAAGCACCUUGUCGUCGUGAGCUCCGGCAGCCUGCAUCGUGAUGGUGUAGAUGCUGAGGAUCUCUGACGGAUGGGUCUUGCCAGUGUACUUCUCGCCGACGUCGGGCUUGAACGUGCGGUGGGACGGCCACUGGAACUGCCGCAGCUCACGGGUAAAGACUGGCAGCCCACCUUGUAAGGUAGGCCUCCGGAGCCCCCCGGUGUUGGGUGGUCCAUAGCGGGUCCCGCCCGCUUGUCCGACUGGUGGCGUGUAUCACGCCAGCGCUCGAUAGUGGUUCGAGCAUCUUCCUGGGCUCGUUCUCGAAGAACUUGGCGUUGGUCGCGGUGGGUCCGUGGGUCGGACGAUGCUAUGGAAAUAAUAUCACAAGCAUCAUCGCGACGGACCAACACCCGCGGUGGCUGGCGCGGAGGAGGAGCGUGCACCGUGGCCGCAGCACCCCCGGCCCCUCCACUGCUGGCAUGCGGUGGUUCGAUGGAGCACCAGCCCGAAGGCCCCGCCGGUCGCGGAUCGUCUUUAUUGGCGACGGCGACGAGGCUCCGGAUGGUGGCUCUCCACUCGUCGAGCUUCUCCGUAGCAGGAGGGAAGUCGAGGAGCAGCUGCGCGCGCGCCAAAGCUUCUGCUGGCAUGGGUGGUGGUGACAGUUGCGUGGACCGCGGAGCGCUUCGACUUCUAACUACGUUAGGAGGAGCUCUACCACGGCCCAACGGCUGUGUGCCAUUUUCGCCAGCACUUCGGCGAGCAUGCUGGACUCCUUCGUCCCGCGGACGAUGCACAUGGCUCUUCCCACGGCAUUGUCCGGGGUCUCCAGCGUGGUGGUGCUGCUCGUCGCGCGCACCCUGGGAAGAGCGCGCUGUGGGCGCCGGCGUGGGCGUCAUGGAGGUUGCUGCGCCGCCCGUGGGUGGCACAACGACACUCUUGGAGGACCCCGCACCGCCUGCGGGGGCCCCUGUCCAUCUUUGGAUUUGGUGGCGUGCGAACCGUCGCCUGGCGCACGAACGACGCCGCUCGCCAGGCUCUGACUGCCAGAGCGAUGCUGGUGCUUGCGGACUGCGGCCUGGGUCCUGUCCGUGACCGGCCCGCUGUUCGCCCACACUGGCACGGGCCGUUCGGCUCCCGACGAGCCAAUUGCUGCGAUCGUCUUCUUCUUUGGAGCCAUGGCGACGAAGAACUGCUAGGCUAAUUACUAGACCAGAUUCUCACAAUUGCGCCAAAGAUGUCGGUGGGAAACGACACCUAUGGGAUCACAAGAAUCCCUACUACGGUUGCCGGGGCGCGGGGUUGUGAGAAGAGCAGGAUUAAUAGUCAGCACAAGGAUCGUUUACGCAGGUUCGGGCCGCAAGGAUGCGUAAAACCCUAGUCCUGCUUUGGUGGAUGUAUUGAAUGUUCCUGAGCUCUCGAACUAGCUAUGGGGGCUGCGUAGUUCAAAAGAGCCGAAUCCCUCUCCAGUAUGCCAAGGGCCUCCUUUUAUAGUCGAAAGGGGCUGCCACAGUGGCACACAGGAGGUGGAAAGGCCUACAGUGCUGCGAGCUUAUCGCCCGUGUUACAGGACAAGGCACAUUUAAUGCGUAGCUUAGGUGUCCCUUAGCUUUAUUGGGGACGGGAACGAGGCCCGUCCCGUCCGUCGCCGCCUCGCCUUGCUUCGACACGCGCCCAUGCCAGUGGUGCAUGCGGUGCCAUGCAGGCAGGCAGGCAGCUGAGGUGGCGCGGUGGUAGGGUCUUCACGAAGAUCUGCAUGCCACCACGCAGGUGCUUGCUGAGUUGGCGUAGAGGCUGCCCGUCGCCACGCAGGUGCCUGCCCAGCUGGUUGAGCUAGCAGCUGCUUGGGAACGGCGGUGGAGUCUUGGAAGACGCGGGCCUGGCUGUGGCCCCGCGGACGCCCUCGGCAAGGGCCUUGCCCGGGGCUCAGCAAGGGUCUUGCCGUGGCGUCGCAGACGUGCCCGGCAAGGCGCUUGCCGAGGGUCUUGUGGAUCUCCUCGGCAAGGAUCCCGCCGAGGGUCGCCGUCUUCUGGUUCCCAUCUGAUCUCAUAUCUCUAUGGUCUUGACAGAGAUUUGCAUGCUACCACGGAGGUGCCUCCCGAGCCCUAGUUCCAAUGUGGUUGGUUGAGUUGGAACCCGUGGGCUCAAGGGUGGGUCGCUCUGUUAGCAUCGGGCAAGUUGCCCCGGCAAGGGCCUUGCCGGGGGAGUCCACCUCGCCCUCUCGCUCUUUGGUAUCUUUGGUCUUGGCGUUGCCUUGUUUGUCUCGGGCUUCGGCUUCUCUCCGGCUUCCCUCCCUUGCCCUGCUAAGUGCGGCCGUGGCGCAUGGCUCAGACUGCCCGUGCACAAGUAAAGGGGUACAAAGGAGUGCCCCUACUUUUGUACACCGACAGGGAUCAAGGGAUACGCCGUGGGCCGGAUGACUAAGAGUCGUCGCGGCAAGCUCUACGUCGACGACGCAGGCUGGGGCCCCGAGGCCGGCUCAAUUGAGUACAGGUACCGGGUCCCCUUUGGCGGAAUUCACGUCUUCAUCGGCAAGAUCGGCGAGCCGGGCCCAGAGCUGGACAUCUGCACCGAAAUCGUCGAGACGGCUCAGCGUGCAAGACCCGCCCGAGUUCAGCCUGCCAUGAAUCGUGCCUUCGUGGGAUUCAUCCAUGGAGCAGAAUCUGUGGAUAGAUCAGUAUCUGGUGAUGAGACGGUCGUCUACUCUGAUGGCGAGUCAUCCACCAGUGAGACCGGAUCAUUGUAUCAACUGCAAGAUGGCCGGCUUGGGGGUUGUUCCGAUGGCGACAGUAUUCCAGACCCCUGUGAUCCGCCGAACAGGGUUGCGAUCUUCAUGGCCGGUACGCAGCCCGUGCAGCACUCGUCGACUGCAGCAGAGAUGAUUUCCGGGUCAGCAGCGGCAACGGCUGCCGGGGCAGGAGGCCCUGUGCGCCUGCCGGUUCUGGUCUUAACUGACUUGCUGGAUAAGCUACAACAUUCUUAACAGCUGUGGUUAACCCGGCGGAUCAGGAUCAACAUAAUGCGGCGGUCGCAAAAGUGCGUGAUGAGAUAGCACAAGCCAAGGAGGAGCUGAACGCAGAAAACACUAGGAUGGCCGAGGAGCGGGCUGCUUUGGAUGCACAGGCACAGCGGAUUCAGUCAGAGUCCUUCCGGCUCAUGCUGGAUCAGAACGCUUCAAAUGAAGUCAUGAAGAGGAGGCAUCAGACUCGCCUGCCUCCGGUUUACGAGGGGAGAAAUCUCUUUAACACGCCCGGAGCAGGGACCAGUAACCAACCAGUUAUAAACCGGGUUGAAACGCCUGGGACGGGAGCGCCGGCUCAGCCGCGCACAACGGAGCCGCCUCGUCAGGACAAUAUCCCACCGCAGCACGUGCCGACGCCACCGGGUCAUUAUUCGAACCCCUUGGAUAACAUGAUCGCUGCAGCAUCACAAUUGGCAGCCUUCCCAGUUGAAGGCGAGUCUCCAAAGGCGGUUGAAACGCGAAGGGCUAGAGAGCUAGUUCAGACAGCAUUGAUGCAGCAGCAGGCUUAUUCUUACAGUCGUGACAUGAUUCAUUCAACCCCUCGCCCAAGUUGAAGUUAUAGCAGGCAUAUCAAGGAACCAACCGUGUCAAGCAGUGGGCGGAACCGCAACCCGCCCCGUGGACAUAACCCGGCAGGUGGUGGGGGGAAUGCCCAGAACGUGGUGGAUCAAGGAAGAGCGCGCCGGGAGGCCGAGCUGGCGGCUCAAUAUGCGUCUCGCCAGCAUUCCCCGGUUCGUUCGACAACUUCGGUGGAGACAGGUAUGACUUUCAGGACUUUGGGUGUGCCGUGUUUGGCACCGGCUCUGCUUAACGUACGUUUACCCAAUGAUUUUACGAUUCCCUGUAAGGUGCCCAACUACACUGCCGACUUACCCCCUGAAACAUGGGUCGAGAGUUAUGAGAUGGCAAUGGAACUGCUGCAUGUUGACGAUGCUGCAUGUGCGAAGUACUUCACCAUGAUGUUGGAAGGGACAGCUCGUACUUGGUUGAAAGGGUUGCCCGCCAACUCCAUUGGGCCAUGGGCCGAGUUAAAAGCCCGGUUUAUCCAGAAUUUUAAAGAUACGUGCAAGCAGCCCAUGUCAAUUGUGGAUUUAGCUUCCUGUGUCCAAGAAGAAGGUGAGUCGACAACCCAUUGGGUGCGCCGGGUCUCAACAAUCCUGCACUCGUCGGAUCGCAUCAAUGCCGAUUCAGCAGUCUUAAUGUUGGAGAACAAUUGUCAUUUCACGCCCCUAAAGCAGAAAUUAGGACGGCUCAAAUGUCACUGCAACGACAUGGGGACACUCAUGGCGGCUCUGGUUAAGUACGCUGACUCUGAUGGUACCAUGGACCCCGAGUCUGAUGAUGAAAAGCCAGGAAAGGGAAAGAAGAGCAGCAGCACCAGAGGGCAGCAGCAUAACCCGGCGAAUCAGGGAGGUAGCGGUAAGCGCAAACCUGAUAAUAGUUUGGAAUUUGUGGCUAACACCAAUGCACAGAAUAAUGGUCAGCGUCGUAAGGGUAAACCGCCCCCACAGACUGGAGGAUCGGGCUUUAAUCUUGAGCAGAUGCUAAAUCAACCCUGCUCGAGGCACGGGACGCGAGAAAGACCGUUCGGCCACCUCUGGAAGGAUUGCUUCAUUAUGAAGGAGUACAAAAAUUCCAAUAUUUUUCAAUACAACCUUACAGAGAUUGUUUUAUGAGCUACCCGUUAUAAAGGAUCCUAAAUCUAAAAAGUUAGCUACCCUUAUUCUUAUGAAUGAAUUUGACUACAUAGUACGGGAAGCUAGGGAAAUUUUUGAUUUUUAUGGUAUGAACCGUGAAAAACCGGUGAUAAAUGAGAUCCUUUAUAAUCACGAUUACAUGUUGAGACAUUUGCUUGGAAAUAAACAAUUUUUUAUGAGAAUCUUAAAAAGGAAAUCCCCAUUUUAGAUAUAAUCCAACAAGUUUUUAAUGAUGUUAAUCGACAAUAUUCUUGGAUUGUUGCCGGAAAUCAAAUAGGAUACGUAGAUGGGCAACUUGACAAUGCUAAAAUUUCUAUGGAUAAUGUGUUUCAACUUAUUUCUGCAAAACCUCCUGACAAGAACACAUCUAUGGAAAAUGAGAAGAAAGAUGAUAACACUUGAAUCUAUGCAUUAUGCCUAGAUAGGGGCAUAAAACGAUAGCGCUUGUUAGGAGGCAACCCAAUCAAUAAAAUUUCUUUUUUCUUUUUCUUUAUGUUUUUCAGUGUUUGCACAAUUAUGCUACUGUUAUGAUUGUGUUUUUUAUGUUUUAAUUAGUGUUUGUGCCAAGUAAAGCCUUUGGGAUCAUGUUGGGAGAUAGUUGAUUUGAUCUUGUUGAAAAACAGAAACUUUUGUGUCCAGUAGCACAAUUUUGUAAAAUCACAUAAGCGACGAAUUUUUUUGAAUUUUCUACACAAGAUUAAUAUACAAAUUUCCUACUUUUUCCUAAUUUUUCAGAAUUUUUGGAGUUACAUAAGUAUGGUUAGAGUACAUAUUACUACAGACUUUUAUGUUUUUGACAUAUUCUAUUCUCGUUGCAUUGUGUGCUUAUUUUGAUGAAUCUAUGGAUUGUAUCCGGGGGUAUAGGCGAUGCUAAAGUUGGAAUACAGUAGAUAUAAUGCAAUUAUAAAAUAUGAAUGGGUUUGCAACAGUACUUAGAGUGGUGAUUUGCUUUAUUAUACUAACGGAUCUCACAAAGGUUUUGUUAAGUUUUGUGUGAUUGAACUUUUCAUGUUUUGGGUGAGAUCACGAUGGAUGAAGGAAUAAGGAGUGAAAAGAGUCUAAGCUUGGGGAUGCCCCAUGGCACCCCAAGUUAAUACUCAAGGAGAACCAAGCAACUAAGCUUGGGGAUGCCCUGGAAGGCAUCCCCUCUUUCUUCUAACGACCAUCGGUAUUUUACAUGGAGCUAUAUUUUUAUUCGUCACAUAUCACGAGUUUUGCUUGGAGCGUCUUGUAUUAUAUGAGUCUUUUCUUGUUUUGCUCUUUAGUUUGCCACAAGUAUCCUUGCUGGACACACCUAUUUGAGAGGGCCAAAAUUAUGCUAUGAUUUGUUAGAAUUGCUCUUUAUGCUUCACUUCAAAAUUUUGAGCUAUGGAAUUGCUCUAGUGCUUCACUUAUAUCUUUUUGAGCAUGAUGUGCUUUAAUAAUUUUUGAAGAAAUGCUCUCAUGCUUCACUUAGAUUAAUUUGAGAGUUGGUAAAAUUUUGAAGAAAUUCUCCCAUGCUUCACUUAUAUUAUUUUGAGAGACGAAAAAAUUAUACUCAUGUUCUUCACCUAAAUUUCUUUGAGCUAUUCAAAAGCAAUUGCAAUAUAUGAAACUAGUCCCAAAGUGAUAGAUAUUCAAGAGGGAUAUAAUAAAAACUUUCAUCAAGAUCAUUGGACAAAAUAAACUUGAUUCUUUGUAAUAGUUUUGAGAUAUGAUGAUAGUGAUAUGUGAGUCAUGUUGGUGAGUAAUUAUCCUUUAGUAAGAGUAUUGGUGUUAAGGUUUGUGAUUCCCUAUGCAAGCACGAAAGUAAAUAGUUAUGCGAUGAAAUUACAUCCUACUUGUGGUGCAUUAUUCGGUGUUAGUUAUGCUUAAGACUACUGCAGGAUGCUACUAACGCGACACUACGAUCAGAGUCCCUUUGACGAAACUGUGUGCGAUGCCAUAAUCGCAAACGGUGGUGUCAAAAAGGUGCAAAACGUUUGCGAUGACGGAGCCAUCAAACACGGUUCAUAUUUUAGUUGCGUGUGCGAUGCAUGGCAUACGGUUCAGUUCAAUUAACUGUUUGCGAUGAGGAGGAACAAAAGAAACGGGCAGCCAGAUGGAGGUGUGUGCGAUAUACAGCAUACGGUUCACUCAGAUGAACUGUUUGUGAUUAGGCAACACAAAAGAAACUGUCAGCCAGAUGAAGGUGUCUGCGAUAUACGGCAUGCGGUUCACUCGGAUGAACUGUUUGCGUUGAGACAUGAGAACAGAAACGGUUCAACUUAACAACAUGUGUGUGAUACGCGGCAAACAGGUAUGUAAUUAGAAAUGUGUGUGAAGACCGGUAAUAACACAGACGGUUGAUGCUAAUAAGACAUGUGUGUUGUGUGAUGGGAUUGCAUACAGAACAACAACAUAUAUAUAUAUAUAUACACACACACUUAUAAGGACAUGCAUUCGUAUUUUAUUAGUUAAAUCCUACUUAUAAACCAAGACGGGGGUAUAAUAGGUAAUUAAAUCGCAAACAUUUUUUUAUUAACUGUAUGUGUACGUGUCCUCUCGUCCUCCUCUCGCACGUCUUGUCACCCCGCUGCCGCAGACGGCUUACAGCGCAAGCUUGCCCAGUGCCCGGGGGCGUUCUUUUGGCCAAAUGGUGGCGCCAAUGAAUCGUCGGUGAGCCCGUUCCCACGCAACCUCGCAGGUUCCCGCGCAAGCUUCCCGCCCAACUCGGUGAAAUCCCCCAAAAUCCCAAUGCUUCCCGGCCUGCUAUAAAAACCCUCACGGCCAGCGAGUCCUGCGUCGCAUUUUCCCCUCCCUUCGUGUAGCUUAUCUCGUCUGCUUCUCCCACAAUCGCCAAUGGCAUCGGUCCGUCAUCAUCGCUUAGCCACUCUGCCAUCAUCAGAGGACAGCUCCAGCUGGGAGGCUACACCGCGGCGGCGGCACAGUCCCCGGCGUAGUGUAGUUCGCGUGGCGUCCCUGUUGGGUGUGCGUGGAACACCCACCACACGCUCCGGCGCUGCUACCCGUCGGCAGCUGUUGUCGGCCGCUGUUGCCGCCACACCACCGUUGAAAGCCAGGGCCAUCUCCGCUCUACCGCCGCGGCCCGAAGGCGGGAGGUGGCCGUCGUUGCCGCCACCCCACUGCCGGCCACCGUGGCCAUCACCCGCUCCGCCACCGCGGCCCGAAGGCGAGAGGUGGUGGUCGUGGCCGCCACCCCAUCAUCAGCCGUCGUGGCCGUCAGCCCACAGUCGACCGCCGGGAUCAUCACCCGCUCCGCCAUCGCCGCCCGAAGGAGGGAGGCAGAGGUGGAGGCCCGCACGUGCGUCAGCGACCUUGUGGGCUACAUAGAGUUCCUGUGGGAGGAGGAGGAGCGCCUCGUCGAGCAUGCAAAGAGCCUUACCACAGCCGUGGCCGCAGCACACGCCGACGCAUAGGCGAGGAAUCAGGAGAUCUAUGAGCAGUCCGACCACUUCGAGAGGGAUCGUCUGAAACGGCAGUGGGCGUUCGAGCUGGCGAGCAUCGCUGAACGUGCAGCAGCGGCAGGCACCAUAUUGCAUUUGUCCAGCUCGUCGGUAGACUCCUCCUCCUCCUCUGCCUCUUACUGAGCGCGCUCGGCAGAGGAGAGGCUGCCGGAGGUAGCACAAAGCCCCUCCGUGGUAGUAGUAGUAGUAGUACUAGUAGUAGUAUUUAGGGCCUAUUUUGUUCAGUUCAUCUGACUAUAGAUGUGUGGUCGAACUGUACAACGUACUUAAAAUUAGCUAGUAUAUAUAGUUGAACUAGCUAUUUCAGUACGUGGUUGGCAACAAUUGGGGAGAAGUUUGGUCGGUUCAGCUGUCGAGUUGAACUGUUUGUAUAAAUUACGAAUGACUACUUAAUCUAUGAAUGAAAUCUAUGCUUAAUUACUGAAUUUUAGUUGCAAAAAUUACAUAGUGCUAAUGAUUUCUAGCUGCAUAUUUUGACAAAUCACAAUGUUACAAGGAUUGACAAAUGGCAACGUUACUAGAUCAACAAAUGUAAAUCUUUCCAGUUUGACAAAUGGCAACAUACCCAAUAUGACACAUGCAAAUCUUACCAAAUUGUUUGUACGUGGUUGCACACGGGUCAUCCAGAACAACCAUUUGCGUUGAAGGGAUGCACAAAUCCUGCGCUGCUCUCACUUUGCAUACGGGUGUUCUAUCUAAAUCGUUUGCGAUCAAGAGCUGCAGAAAUUCUACUCGGCACAUUUUCUCUUGGCUUCCUGGGGAAGCUGUCGGUUUGCAUACGGGUGUUCUAACUAAAACAUUUGCGAUGAGUGUUUUAUAUCUAAAAAGCGAAUUAAACAACGGCUUGGGCUCCAUUAAUGGAGAGGACGCGAGCAAGGCGGGCGGCCAUGGAAAUCAAAGGGCUCGCUUCCCAAUGAGCCUACGUAGCGUACAGCUCGCACGCUUCCCGGUGAGCCUGCGCACUCGAGGACAGCUUGCACGCCUCUCGAUCAGCCUGCGCACCGGACGGUGCUCGCACGCCUCCCGUUCAGGCAAGGUCAAGUAGCUGUCCGCACGGCACCUCCUACAGCCAUUAAAACCAAGGCACGUGGCGUCACGUGAAUGGUUAACAGAAUUUUGGAUUUACUACAAUUUAAAAACCAGACAUCUCAAUGUUUUGCCGGCAAUCAACGGUGCCCUGGUGUUUGAAAUUCAUGCCCAUUUCUUGCAUGGGACCUAAGCAUGCACCGAUGGACACAUAUUUGAUUUUUCAACCAAUUUAUAUGCACGGGAGCAUGUACAUGUAGUUCAAAUUUGAAUUAUGCACAUAAAUGCAUUGAAAACUCAGUUAAUGCAUAAAAAUGUCCAAACGAAUCCCUAAAAAUCACAAAAAUUCACACAAAAAUCCUGUUGUUCUAUAUUGCACGAGAAAAAAAUUUGAAAGCAAUGAGAGGCAAUGGAUAUCGUUUCGUCCCCGAAGUUGGGACGUUCCCUACCAAAAACCAUCAUGCUUGUUGUGAGAAGCUCUGGUUUGUGAGAAGCAUAUACCCAAACCUGCCCCAAAUGAGACAAAAUUUGUACCACGGCAUGUUGAUGCAGCUCCAUGAUAGCAUGCCAAGUUUCAUGAAUUUCAGACGAGUUUUGGAUUUACUAGAAUUUAAAAACCAGGCAUCUCAAUGUUUUGCCGGCAAUCAACGUUGCGCUGGUGUUCGAAAUUCAUUCCCAUUUCUUGCAUGGGACCUAAGCAUGCACCCAAGGACACAGAUUUGAUUUUUCAACCAAUUUAUAUGCACUGGAGCUUGUGCAUGUAGUUCAAAUUUGAAUUAUGCACAUAAAUGCAUUGAAAACUCAGUUAAUGCAUAAAAAUAUCCAAACGAACCCCGAAAAAUCACAAAAAUUCACACAACACUCCUGUUGUUCUAUGUUGACACGAGAGAAAAAGUUGAAAGCAAUAAGAGGCAAUGGAUAUCGUUUCGUCCUCAAAGGUGGGACGUUCCCUACCGAAAACCGUCAUGCUUGUUGUGAGAAGCUACGGUUUGUGAGAAGCAUAUAUCCAAACCAGCCCCAAAUGGGACAAAAUUUGUACCACGACAUGUUGAUGCCGCUCCAUGAUAGCAUGCCAAUUUUCAUGAAUUUCAGACGAGUUUUGGAUUUACUAGAAUUUAAAAACCAGGCAUCUCAAUGUUUUGCCGGCAAUCAACGGUGCGCUGGUGUUCGAAAUUCAUUCCCAUUUCUUGCAUGGGACCUAAGCAUGCACCCAAGGACACAUAUUUGAUUUUUCAACCAAUUUAUAUGCUGGAGCAUGUGCAUGUAGUUCAAAUUUGAAUUAUGCACAUAAAUGCAUUGAAAACUCAGUUAAUGCAUAAAAAUGUCCAAACGAACCCCGAAAAAUCACAAAAAUUCACACAACACUCCUAUUGUUCUACGUUGACACGAGAAAAAAAAUUGAAAGCAAUAAGAGGAAAUGGAUAUAGUUUCGUCCCCAAAGGUGGGACGUUCCCUACCGAAAACCGCCAUGCUAGUCGUGAGAAGCUACGGUUUGUGAGAAGCAUAUAUCCAAACCUGCCCCAAAUGGGACAAAAUUUGUACCACGACAUGUUGAUGCCGCUCCAUGAUAGCAUGCCAAUUUUCAUGAAUUUCAGACGAGUUUUGGAUUUACUAGAAUUUAAAAACCAGGCAUCUCAAUGUUUUGCCGGCAAUCAACGUUGCGCUGGUGUUCGAAAUUCAUUCCCAUUUCUUGCAUGGGACCUAAGCAUGCACCCAAGGACACAGAUUUGAUUUUUCAACCAAUUUAUAUGCACUGGAGCUUGUGCAUGUAGUUCAAAUUUGAAUUAUGCACAUAAAUGCAUUGAAAACUCAGUUAAUGCAUAAAAAUGUCCAAACGAACCCCGAAAAAUCACAAAAAUUCACACAACACUCCUGUUGUUCUAUGUUGACACGAGAGAAAAAGUUGAAAGCAAUAAGAGGCAAUGGAUAUCGUUUCGUCCUCAAAGGUGGGACGUUCCCUACCGAAAACCGUCAUGCUUGUUGUGAGAAGCUACGGUUUGUGAGAAGCAUAUAUCCAAACCAGCCCCAAAUGGGACAAAAUUUGUACCACGACAUGUUGAUGCCGCUCCAUGAUAGCAUGCCAAGUUUAAUGAAUUUCAGACGAGUUUUGGAUUUACUAGAAUUUAAAAACCAGGCAUCUCAAUGUUUUGUCGGCAAUCAACGGUGCGCUGGUGUUCGAAAUUCAUUCCCAUUUCUUGCAUGGGACCUAAGCAUGCACCCAAGGACACAGAUUUGAGUUUUCAACCAAUUUAUAUGCACUGGAGCAUGUGCAUGUAGUUCAAAUUUGAAUUAUGCACAUAAAUGCAUUGAAAACUCAGUUAAUGCAUAAAAAUGUCCAAACGAACCCCGAAAAAUCACAAAAAUUCACACAACAUUCCUGUUGUUCUAUGUUGACACGAGAAAAAAAAUUGAAAGCAAUAAGAGGCACUGGAUAUCGUUUCGGCCCCAAAGGUGGGACGUUCCCUACCGAAAACCGUCAUGCUUGUUGUGAGAAGCUACAGUUUGUGAGAAGCAUAUAUCCAAACCUGCCCCAAAUGGGACAAAAUUUGUACCACGACAUGUUGAUGCCGCUCCAUGAUAGCAUGCCAAUUUUCAUGAAUUUCAGACGAGUUUUGGAUUUACUAGAAUUUAAAAACCAGGCAUCUCAAUGUUUUGCCGGCAAUCAACGGUGCGCUGGUGUUCGAAAUUCAUUCCCAUAUCUUGCAUGGGAUCUAAGCAUGCACCAAAGGACACAGAUUUGAUUUUUCAACCAAUUUAUAUGCACUGGAGCUUGUGCAUGUAGUUCAAAUUUGAAUUAUGCACAUAAAUGCAUUGAAAACUCAGUUAAUGCAUAAAAAUGUCCAAACGAACCCCGAAAAAUCACAAAAAAUCACACAACACUCCUGUUGUUCUAUGUUGACACGAGAAAAAAAAUUGAAAGCAAUAAGAGGCAAUGGAUAUCGUUUCGUCCCCAAAGGUGGGACGUUCCCUACCGAAAACCGUCAUGCUUGUUGUGAGAAGCUACGGUUUGUGAGAAGCAUAUAUCCAAACCUGCCCCAAAUGGGACAAAAUUUGUACCACGACAUGUUGAUGCCGCUCCAUGAUAGCAUGCCAAUUUUCAUGAAUUUCAGACGAGUUUUGGAUUUACUAGAAUUUAAAAACCAGGCAUCUCAAUGUUUUGCCGGCAAUCAACGGUGCGCUGGUGUUCGAAAUUCAUUCCCAUUUCUUGCAUGGGAUCUAAGCAUGCACCCAAGGACACAGAUUUGAUUUUCAACCAAUUUAUAUGCACUGGAGCUUGUGCAUGUAGUUCAAAUUUGAAUUAUGCACAUAAAUGCAUUGAAAACUCAGUUAAUGCAUAAAAAUGUCCAAACGAACCCCGAAAAAUCACAAAAAAUCACACAACACUCCUGUUGUUCUAUGUUGACACGAGAAAAAAAAUUGAAAGCAAUAAGAGGCAAUGGAUAUCGUUUCGUCGUGGGACGUUCCCUACCGAAAACCGUCAUGCUUGUCGUGAGAAGCUACGGUUUGUGAGAAGCAUAUAUCCAAACCUGCCCCAAAUGGGACAAAAUUUGUACCACGACAUGUUGAUGCCGCUCCAUGAUAGCAUGCCAAUUUUCAUGAAUUUCAGACGAGUUUUGGAUUUACUAGAAUUUAAAAACCAGGCAUCUCAAUGUUUUGCCGGCAAUCAACGGUGCGCUGGUGUUCGAAAUUCAUUCCCAUUUCUUGCAUGGGAUCUAAGCAUGCACCCAAGGACACAGAUUUGAUUUUCAACCAAUUUAUAUGCACUGGAGCUUGUGCAUGUAGUUCAAAUUUGAAUUAUGCACAUAAAUGCAUUGAAAACUCAGUUAAUGCAUAAAAAUGUCCAAACGAACCCCGAAAAAUCACAAAAAAUCACACAACACUCCUGUUGUUCUAUGUUGACACGAGAAAAAAAUUGAAAGCAAUAAGAGGCAAUGGAUAUCGUUUCGUCGUGGGACGUUCCCUACCGAAAACCGUCAUGCUUGUCGUGAGAAGCUACGGUUUGUGAGAAGCAUAUAUCCAAACCUGCCCCAAAUGGGACAAAAUUUGUACCACGACAUGUUGAUGCCGCUCCAUGAUAGCAUGCCAAUUUUCAUGAAUUUCAGACGAGUUUUGGAUUUACUAGAAUUUAAAAACCAGGCAUCUCAAUGUUUUGCCGGCAAUCAACGUUGCGCUGGUGUUCGAAAUUCAUUCCCAUUUCUUGCAUGGGACCUAAGCAUGCACCCAAGGACACAGAUUUGAUUUUUCAACCAAUUUAUAUGCACUGGAGCUUGUGCAUGUAGUUCAAAUUUGAAUUAUGCACAUAAAUGCAUUGAAAACUCAGUUAAUGCAUAAAAAUGUCCAAACGAACCCCGAAAAAUCACAAAAAUUCACACAACACUCCUGUUGUUCUAUGUUGACACGAGAGAAAAAGUUGAAAGCAAUAAGAGGCAAUGGAUAUCGUUUCGUCCUCAAAGGUGGGACGUUCCCUACCGAAAACCGUCAUGCUUGUUGUGAGAAGCUACGGUUUGUGAGAAGCAUAUAUCCAAACCAGCCCCAAAUGGGACAAAAUUUGUACCACGACAUGUUGAUGCCGCUCCAUGAUAGCAUGCCAAUUUUCAUGAAUUUCAGACGAGUUUUGGAUUUACUAGAAUUUAAAAACCAGGCAUCUCAAUGUUUUGCCGGCAAUCAACGGUGCGCUGGUGUUCGAAAUUCAUUCCCAUUUCUUGCAUGGGAUCUAAGCAUGCACCCAAGGACACAGAUUUGAUUUUUCAACCAAUUUAUAUGCACUGGAGCUUGUGCAUGUAGUUCAAAUUUGAAUUAUGCACAUAAAUGCAUUGAAAACUCAGUUAAUGCAUAAAAAUGUCCAAACGAACCCCGAAAAAUCACAAAAAUUCACACAACACUCCUGUUGUUCUAUGUUGACACGAGAGAAAAAGUUGAAAGCAAUAAGAGGCAAUGGAUAUCGUUUCGUCGUGGGACGUUCCCUACCGAAAACCGUCAUGCUUGUCGUGAGAAGCUACGGUUUGUGAGAAGCAUAUAUCCAAACCUGCCCCAAAUGGGACAAAAUUUGUACCACGACAUGUUGAUGCCGCUCCAUGAUAGCAUGCCAAUUUUCAUGAAUUUCAGACGAGUUUUGGAUUUACUAGAAUUUAAAAACCAGGCAUCUCAAUGUUUUGCCGGCAAUCAACGUUGCGCUGGUGUUCGAAAUUCAUUCCCAUUUCUUGCAUGGGACCUAAGCAUGCACCCAAGGACACAGAUUUGAUUUUUCAACCAAUUUAUAUGCACUGGAGCUUGUGCAUGUAGUUCAAAUUUGAAUUAUGCACAUAAAUGCAUUGAAAACUCAGUUAAUGCAUAAAAAUGUCCAAACGAACCCCGAAAAAUCACAAAAAUUCACACAACACUCCUGUUGUUCUAUGUUGACACGAGAGAAAAAGUUGAAAGCAAUAAGAGGCAAUGGAUAUCGUUUCGUCCUCAAAGGUGGGACGUUCCCUACCGAAAACCGUCAUGCUUGUUGUGAGAAGCUACGGUUUGUGAGAAGCAUAUAUCCAAACCAGCCCCAAAUGGGACAAAAUUUGUACCACGACAUGUUGAUGCCGCUCCAUGAUAGCAUGCCAAUUUUCAUGAAUUUCAGACGAGUUUUGGAUUUACUAGAAUUUAAAAACCAGGCAUCUCAAUGUUUUGCCGGCAAUCAACGGUGCGCUGGUGUUCGAAAUUCAUUCCCAUUUCUUGCAUGGGAUCUAAGCAUGCACCCAAGGACACAGAUUUGAUUUUUCAACCAAUUUAUAUGCACUGGAGCUUGUGCAUGUAGUUCAAAUUUGAAUUAUGCACAUAAAUGCAUUGAAAACUCAGUUAAUGCAUAAAAAUGUCCAAACGAACCCCGAAAAAUCACAAAAAUUCACACAACACUCCUGUUGUUCUAUGUUGACACGAGAAAAAAAAUUGAAAGCAAUAAGAGGCAAUGGAUAUCGUUUCGUCCCCAAAGGUGGGACGUUCCCUACCAAAAACCGUCAUGCUUGUUGUGAGAAGCUACGGUUUGUGAGAAGCAUAUAUCCAAACCUGCCCCAAAUGGGACAAAAUUUGUACCACGACAUGUUGAUGCCGCUCCAUGAUAGCAUGCCAAUUUUCAUGAAUUUCAGACGAGUUUUGGAUUUACUAGAAUUUAAAAACCAGGCAUCUCAAUGUUUUGCCGGCAAUCAACGUUGCGCUGGUGUUCGAAAUUCAUUCCCAUUUCUUGCAUGGGACCUAAGCAUGCACCCAAGGACACAGAUUUGAUUUUUCAACCAAUUUAUAUGCACUGGAGCUUGUGCAUGUAGUUCAAAUUUGAAUUAUGCACAUAAAUGCAUUGAAAAGUCAGUUAAUGCAUAAAAAUGUCCAAACGAACCCCGAAAAAUCACAAAAAUUCUCAGAACACUCAUAUUGUUCUAUGUUGACAUGAGAAAAAAAUCGGAAGCAAUAAGAGGCAAUGGAUAUCGUUUCGUCCCCAAAGGUGGGACGUUCCCUACCGAAAACCAUCAUGCUUGUUGUGAGAAGCUCCGGUUUGUGAGAAGCAUACACCCAAACCUGCCCCAAAUGGGACAAAAUUUGUACCACGGCAUGUUGAUGCUGCUCCAUGAUAGCAUGCCAAGUUUCACGAAUUUCAGACGAGUUUGGAUUUACUAGAAUUUGAAACCAGGCAUCUCAAUGUUUUGCCGGCAAUCAACGGUGCCCUGUUGUUCGAAAUUCAUUCCCAUUUCUUGCAUGGGACCUGAGCAUGCACCCAAGGACACAGAUUUGAUUUUUCAACCAAUUUAUAUGCACUGGAGCAUAUGCGUGUAGUUCAAAUUUGAAUUAUGCACAUUAAUGCAUUGAAAACUCAGUUAAUGCAUAAAAAUGUCCAAACGAACCCCGAAAAAUCACAAAAAUUCACACAACACUCCUGUUGUUCUAUGUUGACACGAGAAAAAAUUUGAAAGCAAUAAGAGGCAACGGAUAUCGUUUCGUCCCCAAAGGUGGCACGUUCCCUACCGAAACCAUCACGCUUGUUGUGAGAAGCUCUGGUUUGUGAGAAGCUUAUACCCAAACCUGCACCAAAUGGGAAAAAAUACCACGGCAUGUUGAUGCCGCUACAUGAUAGCAUGCCAAGUUUCAUGAAUUUCAGACGAGUUUUGGAUUUACUAGAAUUUGAAAACCAGGUACCUCAAUGUUUGCGGCCGAGUGACGGUGGCAGGGUGUUUGAAAUUCAUUCCCAUUUCUUGUAUGGGACCUAAGCAUGCAACCAAGGACACAUAUUUGAUUUUUCAAUAAGUUUAUAUGCACUGGAGCAUGUGCAUGUAGUUCAAAUUUGAAUUAUGCGCAUAAAACACCUGGAAAACCUAGUUAAUGUAUAAAAAUGUACAAACGAACCCUGGAUAAUUCCAAUUUUUUUUAACGACACACCUAUAGUUGCAUGUUCACUUCAGAUAAAAGUUCUAACAAUUCAAACACCAUCCUUUGUAGCUGUGACCCCAUUACGUAAUUCAAAUGAUCAAGACGAUAAAUCAAGUAGAUCGCACACAGUUUAUUAUCACCAACCGUGUGAGAUGCAGCACAAAAUAUCUUGGAGCACCGUCGGUGUAUUGUACGCCCAUGCCUUACGAGCGAAGGUGCGUCGGCUACAGUCCACAGCCGGCGUGUCAAGCACACUAGCUCACUCCCCAAAUAUCAUUUCACUGUUCAUUCGUCGCCGGUGAAAGAUGGGGACGUGGACCCACGUCGUGAGGGCAACUUCGGUGGCCCACUCGGGCGAGAUCGCGGCCGCAGCCGCCAGGCGCGUGCUAACAAGCUUCGUGAGGGCGACCGCAAUCUGUGUCUGGGCGGCCAAGGCAGCCCAAACGGCCGAUGUUGCUUCUCAGGCGGCGGUAGCAGCAUCUGCCUCGGGGAUAGCAACUGGCGAGAGCGGCACAGCAGCUGUCCGUUCUGCAGCGGUGGCUUUAGCCCUGCUGGAGGCCGCCCACUACCAUGUCGAGGCCGUCCACGCCCAGCUCGCGGAGGUCACCGCACAAAUCAAACGAAGCUUCUCCGACAACGGUCAGCAACCCAUGGUCGAAGAGCUGGCAAUCGCCGAGAGAGUUUGACCAGUCGUCCGUUCCUGCGCGGCAUACCUUGCCACGACGGAGCCCGCCAGAGCCCAGAUGGCGUCCGCCCACGCCCAGCUCGUGGCGGCCUUUUCCAAAGAUAUGGCGGAUGUGGAUGGCGAGAUGCUUGCCGAGUAUGGUGCAAUUGAUGCCAUGGAGCCCCUUCCCCAGGAGACCGUCGGGCGCGAGCUGGACAUGGAGGCGGCGGCGGAGAUCGACGAGCACUAGCCGUAGUAGUACUCUCUGUUUUGUUUAAUUAAGAGCGCCGGUCUUUAAUUUGUUAGAGUAAUGUUUAGGUCAGCUAGCUCUGUUUUAUUGCUGAACUUGCUCGAUUAAGAAGUUAGUCUCCUUUGUGUACUCAAAUUAUGCAAUGACGUGGAUGACCACUGUAACCAGGGAAAUUCGAACCAAAAUUUUUGACGUUCAAACUCAACACACACGGGUUAAGCUAUCUGAAUCGUUUGUGAUGUUCACAUAUCGUACACAGUUCUGAAUAAGGGACCGUGUUUGAUGACACUUUGCGCGCCAGUUUUUUGGCAGAAGCGAUUCCAAAUUUUCGCAUUCCGCGGAAAUAUCUACCUCCCCGCCCCCUCCCCCUUACCAAAAGCCACAUUUCCCCUCUUUUCGCCUUCCUUUCCAAGUUGAAACCUUCACUCCUUUCUUGCAGCGUCGCCGCCUCCUCACCGGCGACCCUCCUUCACGUUCCUCGGCCUCGCCUAUCCAGGCAGGUAAUCCACACCCGACCCCCAUCCUCCUCCUCCUUCCACAUCCCACAUGCCCCUACCACCGGCGCGAGCGCGACACCUUCCACCCAAAUCACCGACCCCUCCACCAAAUAAGCGCCGGCCUAAGCCAUGGUGCACGUAGUAUAGCCAGGACCUCAAGGAGCAUUUGGCAACGGAGAAGCAAAUCGCGGCCGCACACGCGGAUCAGGUCGCGAUGGCUGCCAUUCGUGCCGACCACCAGAUCUUGAAGGAGCACCUUGCCAUUUGCUAGCUACGCCGGUUAAGCAUGCUAGGUUUACCCGUUGCGUGUGCUGCUCCUGCCUUUCCUUCACAAAUUCUAGUGAAUUGUGCUAUCUAAUUUCACCAUGCAAUCUGCUGCUCUAGUGUAUAUGUUCUAUAUGUCGUGCAGUGUGGUGCUCACUUAUUAACUGUUUUGUUAAUUAGUUGUCGUCUUCAGUUAACUGUUUGGUUCAAUUCUGCAAAUGUGAUGUUCAAUUCUUCAGGCUGUAAUUUUGUAUUGUCUUCCAUGUGAGAAGUAAAUCGAAUUUAUCUUUACAAAAUUGUGGGUGCAUUCUGUUAUUGUAUACCAUGUGAGGAAUAAAUUGAAUUUGGCUAUAGUAAAUACAUGAGAAACAAAUACAAUUGCUACAAUUGGCUGUAGUUAACUGUUUGGUUAACUGUCUGAUCUUCUAUUAGCAGUAUGUUAUAUUGUGCAAUGUGGUGCUCAGUUAAUGUUUGGUUCAUUUGUUGUGGUGUUUAGUUAACUGCUUGGUUCAAUGUUAUAUUGUGCAAUGCGGUGCUCAGUAAUGUUUGGUUCAUUUGUUAUGGUGUUUAGUUAACUACUUGGUUCAAUUCUGCAAUGCGAUGUCCAAUUGUCGUGGGUAGAAUUUUGUAUUGUUGUGCAUGUGAGGAAUAAAUUGAAUUUGGCUGCACUUAAUACAUGAGAAACAUAUACAAGUGCUAUAUUUCCUAGUUCUUCAUCAUGCUUGGUUUGGAUAAAUGGGUUUUCCCUGUGGCUUAAAUUAAUCUGAUGAAUAUGCGAACCCUUACUUAACAUGAUGACUAACUACCUUAUAUGUGUUUCAGGGAAACAAUGGGAAGCACUGAGGUUUACAAUCGAGGUUAGCGCAUGCAUGGUCUGUUGUCUAAUAGAACAUUAUUGUGCAAUUGCAGGAACCAUUCUAAUAUUUAGGUUUUUAACAAUUUGGUCUUGCACAUGUAGGUCCUGCUAUCAGAGGUUUUGACCCACUGUUCGACCCUUUCUGCAUAUGGGGAAAUGAGUUGUCCAUGAAUAUCAGUCAAGUCAAAAAACUCAGAAAGAUUGUUAGGAUAAAGAAAUUAGCGACAAAAAGCAACAAGAUCUUUGUCUGCACAAUGAAGAAUAUAUCAGUUCACUACAGGAUGGUACUUACUAUUAUACCUUGCCUUUUUAAUUCCUUUGCCCCAUUUUCAAUAUAGAGAAGAUAUUUAUGCACAUCCUUGUUUUCAGGCCUUUCCAAAGCAGUUCACUGAUGAUUACCUCUCAAACCACUGUAUGGUCAGGAGGCGAGGAAGGUAUCCAUACAACACCCACGGUUCAAUAUUGAAGUGUUCCUGAAGAGGACGAAGGAUGGACGGUCAAUCAUCCACAGGCACUGGCCUAAAGUUACAAAGACCUUCAACAUCAAUGAAGGCUCAAUAUUCGCCUUCUGCUUCAGCAGUUUUCCAGAUGAGAUACAUCUGUCUAUGUACCGUCUAUGAUGCUAAUUUCGAAAGGUUAUAGAUGUUGCAUGUGAAACUUGGUCCUGGUGUAGUUGUGUAAUGGGGUAGCUGAGUGCUGAAUCUAUAUGAUGUUGUACUCUGAUGUAUUUCAAUUAUGAAAAUGAAAUAUAUUGUGUGCUUAAUAUGAACUGUCAAUUAGAUUAAUAAAUGGAUUAUGAAUAAUCGGAUAAUUAUCCUGCUAGUGGCGAAUAAGCCUGCUAAUUGGUUUUGCUAUUGCAAACGGUUGUUGAAAAAAUACCGUGGGCGAUGACCUUAGGCAACACACACAGUUUCUAGGAAUAAACCGUGUUGGAUCAAUGAACAAUCACACACGACUUUCUCUUGAAAACUGUUUGCGUUAGGCCACCUUGCGCAAACGUUUACCACAUGAAAACUGUGUGUGAUGGACAACCUUUGCCACACAAUUUCUUCCACGGACCGUGUGUGAUAUAUUCAAUAACGCAAGCGAUUUAACGGGAAAAAUUGUGUGCGAUGUACCUGUGAACGGAAACGUUUUCCUUCGAGCGACUGUGUGGGAUGUACAUACGAACGAAAACGUUUAGCGGGGACUGACUGUGUGGGAUGUACUUGCGACCGGAAAUAAUUUCGCCGUAUAAUUGUAUUUUUUUUAGCUCUACUGUAUGUAUUUCCGUAUUUGAGCGCUCGUCGGUCGCACACGACCUCAUUUCGCCGAAUGUGUGUGCCAGGAGGGCAUAUCCCCCAUGGUUUUUGGGUCGUGUGGGAAGGACCCCCCCUAUCGCCCACACUCACUUGGCGACGGUUCCAAUUGCUGUCGCGGAAAGGGGUUAAAAACCAUUUGUUUAGGAGCUCACUGUACUAGUGUAAUGCUCGCUUAUGUGAUUUUUUGUUUUUUGGUUGGCUGCUUCUCCAUCAAUUUGCUAACCUCCACUUGUACUAAGUAGAAAUACUACUUGUGCAUCCAAAAUCUUUAAACCCAGUUUUGCCAUAUGAGUCCACCAUACCUACCUAUAUGCGGUAUUUCCAUGCCGUAAUAAGCAAAUUUAUAUGUGCCAUCUCUAAUUUUCAAAAUGAAUUUCAUGUUUGUGUGCUCGUACCGCUCAUGAAGCGGCAGGGGGUGGCCAAUAUUUUCCAUGCUAGAUGUGUUAUUCUCAAGAUGAGUGUUUAUCCACUAGUCAUUGCACGAGAGUAUGGCGGUAAUAGGGAUGCCCAGUCCCGAAAUGAAAAAGAAAUUUACUUUAUGUUGUCAAGUAAUAAAAUCCUUGUAAAGUGUUGGUAUGGAAGGCACCUGUGGAUAUGGCUAGCCAUGGAUUGUGAAAGAAUGGUGGAAAAAGGAACAAACUUUAUUUUCUUUUGGGAACCGCCUAUGAUAGAUCUAGCAUGGAAAGUGUUGGGAAUUACUCGGUCGCUUUCGUUGACGGGAAAAGUAUGCCUCUCAAAAGAAUUUUUCUCUCAAUUUAAGCUUUGAGCUGUGGCACCUCUACAAAGCCCUACUUCCCUCUGCGAAGGGCCUAUAUAUUUACUCUAUAAAAUUUUUAUUUUUAUUUGAGUCUCCAUCUUCUCUUAUAAAGAACCAACUAAGGUGCACUAUGAUGGUACUUGAGCAUUGGAUGUAGCUAAUAUGCGAGUGUGUCUCAUGAAUGGAUCAAUGAUUGGCAUGAUGGGCUAGGGAUAACUUUCUUUAGUGUUGAUAUUUUGAAAGACAUGGUUGCUUGUUGAUAUGCUUGAGUAUUGAAAUCUUCGUGUCAAAACUAGACUAUUGCUUUGAACCAUAUAUCCAUGCUAUAAAAGAAAAUAAUAUGUGAUGAACAUGUUAGGCAGCAUUCCACAUCAAAAAUUCUGUUUUUAUCAUUUACCUACUCGAGGACGAGUAGGAAUUAAACUUGGGGAUGCUGAUACGUCUUCAACGUAUCUACAAUUUUUGCUUAUUCCAUGCUAUUAUAUUAUCAUUAUUGGAUGCUUUACAAUCAUUUUAUAGCAACUUUAUAUCAUUUUAUGGGACUAACCUAUUGGCAUAGUGCCAAGUGUCAGUUGGUGUUUUUUGCUUGUUUUUUACUUCGCAGAAUAUCAGUACCAAAUGGAGUCCAAACACAGCGAAACUUUUUGGAGAUUUUUUCUGGACCGGAAGACACCCUGUGGGCCAAAGAAAUACCGGAGGGGAGGAUCGAGGUGGGCAUAACCCACCAGGGCGCACCAGGAGGCCCAGGCGUGCCCAGGGGAGUUGUGCCCCCCUCGGUGACCUCCCGCACCGCCUCUUCACCCUAUAAAUUUCCAAAUAUUACAGAAAUCCUAGGGGGGUCGACGAAACACAAUUCCAGCUGCCGCAAGUUCCAGAACCACGAGAUCCAAUCUAGACACCAUCAUAGAGGGGUUCAUUAUCCUCAUUGGUGCAUCUCCGAUGAUGCGUGAGUAGUUCAUCAUAGACCUACGGGUCCCUAGGCAGCCGCCAGAUGGCAUCCUCUCUCUCUCUCUCUCUCUCUCUCUCUCUCUUGAUUCUCAAUACAAUGGUCUCUUGGAGAUCUAUUUGAUGUAACUCUUUUUUGCGGUGUGUUUGUUGGGAUUCGAUGAACAUUGAGUUUAUGAUCAGAUCUAUAUCUAUGAAUAUUAUUUGACUCUUCUUUUGAUCUCUUAUAUGCAUGAUUAUUUAUAGCAUCGUAUUUCUUCUUCAAAUCUUUGAUUUAGUUAAGCCAACUAGAUCAAUUUUUCUUGCCAUGGGAAGAUGUGCUUUGUGAUGGGUUCGAUCUUGCGGUGUUCUUUCCCAGUGACAGAAGGGGUAGCAAGACACGCAUGUAUCGUUGCUACUAAGGAUAACAAGAUGAGGGCUAUUCCUAAAUGAAUAGAUCUCGUCUACAUCAUGUGUUCUUAUUGCAUUACUCCGUUUCUCCGUGAACUUAAUACACUAAAUGCAUGCUGGAUAACGGUCGAUGUGUGUACUAAUAGUAGUAGAUGCAGGCAGGAGUCGGUCUACUAAUCUUGGACGUGAUGCCUAUAUAUUGAUCGUUGCCUUGGAUAUAGUCAUAAUUAUUCGAUCUUAUAUCAAUUGCCCAACAGUAAUUUGUUUACCCACCGUAUGCUAUUUUCUCGAGAGAAACCACUAGUGAAAUCUACGGGCCCUGGGUCAAUUCUCUAUCAUAUUUGCUUUGAGAUCUAUUUUUUCGCUUUUAUUUUCAUAUCUAUUAUCCCAAAAACCCAAAAAUACCUUGUUGCACUUUUGUUAACUUCAUUUCACGUUUUGUCGAGAUCUAUUUAUCCAAUCUACACAAAUUUUAUCCCGUCAACUUGACAAUUUUUAGCGCCGUUACCCGUAGAGGGAUUGACAACCCCUCAUAAGCGUCCGGUUGCAAGCAUUUGUUCUUUGUGUGUAGGUACCGUUUAUAUAGUGUUGCUUGGUUCUCCUACUGGAUUGAUACAUUGGUUACAUAACUGAGGGAAAUACCUACCAUAGUUGUGCUGCAUCAUCCCUUCCUCUUUGGGAAAUACAGACGUAGUUCAAGCGACAUCAGUCUUGUCUAUGCGGCGCAUUGUGGGGCUGGUGAGGGUUGUUGGUUCCCUGCCGGCUUACCUCUGGCGGCACAAGUCUUCAUGGCAAGGCUCGGCGUGGUCCCCGCCAGCUACGAGAUCGGGGCGACGCGGCUUUCCGUGAAAAUCACGCCUACUGCGGUCAUGCUGGAUGAUGGUAGUGUCUCUGACGCCGUGACCUUCUCGAGGCAUCGUCGUUGCAAGUUGCGUCAACAUGAUCGGGAUGUUCUGAGGGAAACCCUAGAUCUGAGUCUCUUGGAUCGGACAAUGACGGCACCUUGUACGUAUUGUUCUCCCUCAUGGGGGCAUCGUUUUGGAGCAGGAGCUGACUGGAGGGGACAAGAGAGGGGUGGUGUUAAAAUUAUCGCAAGGCCGACGACGGGACAUGGCAGCAUGGUGCAGCGGAGUGUCACCGACGGGCGCGUGUGGUUGGACGUGUUCAGGCUGGUGCCGCUGUCUGGCAUCGUGGUGACGUCGACGAUAGAUGGGACUGGCAAGAUCUAUGCAUUGAUCCCUCCUGAAGAUGGGACGGCGGCGGAUCCUAGAGUGUGCGCAUGGGGUGUGCAUUUUGGGAUGCGUAGACUGGUUAGUACUCUCAACUUGUCAGGCGGGUGGCUUCUUGAAGCCAUUGGAUUAGAUGGUGUCCAUUGAUGCGGUCAAGGCGCAUUUUUAUACUCGUACGUGUAGCAACUUUGUUCAUCUUAAAUGUGGCUUUGGGUUGAUCUUUGUAUUCUUUUUGUUAAACUCUGAUGAAUAAAAUAAUAAAGAUGGUUGCAUGCAUCAUUUUAUUAAACUUUGUCAUCCUUGUUGAAAAAAAAAGAAAAAAAAAGCAGCCAGCUCUAAUCGUAUGUUUCUUUAGUCUUCUGUAAAUCUUAAGAUGGAGACAUUAGUCGUUUCAAGGAGUAGAUUUAGAUAGAGGAAAAAUCAUAGGCUACUUAGAUUAACAAAACUAUGCUGAAAUUAGAUGCAAUUACAAUGUUCUCCGAAAAGAAGGAGCACAUAGUGUGUGUCCUUGCUUGGGUGCCUCGUCAUCCGGCGUGGCAUAGUGGCGGCUCUAGGCACAAUUUCAGGUGUCAUUUGACAUCACAAAAUUGUGUAAACCACUCUCGAAUUUUUAUAUAUACAUGAAAUGGUUCAUACACUAGGAAUUUAAAUUGAUUGACAUCACAGGAUCGUACGGGGGUAGCACCGCCACUUGUACAUGCCGUGUCACAAAUGGCGCAAAUCAGAUUUGCCCGUGACUUGUUUGCAUGGUUGGAGACGGACACUCAACUUCGAUAGGGGAAAAUAAUACGUACUAUCUCUGUGUCAAAAUAUAAGACAUUUUUUCCCUCAAAAAAAUAUAAGACAUUUUUAUAGAAAAAAAACCUUGCAAAAAAGUGUAUAGACUAAACUGGCCUAAAAAAAUCUUAUGUUUUGAUACUUGUCAGACGUGCACUUGGAAGAGCAGGAGAUCGAUCGAGAGCACUACCAUUCAAAGGAAAGGAGGUACACCGUACACGUUUAGUCGUUCGGCGACAGACGGUCAAUCCUUCGGCCCGAUCGGUCGGGCACGUACGCGUCGUUUGUUUGACCGUCGGUCUAUAUACGCGUACAAGAUACACCUACUUCAGCGUCCAGCAAAGCCAGGUGACGUACUAGGCAACGGCCGGCCCAGCGGGAUCAAGGCAGGAGUGAAAUGUCAAGGCAGAGGUGCAGCAUGAAUGCCUGCAUGGCGCGUUGGCGAUGAUUUGAUAACAAACUGACCGAGACGCUAGCAGCAAAAAGUAGGAUGCACGAUGAUGUCGACAGUAAAUGUUAAUGGAAUAAUGGGGCAUGGCGUUCAUAUUUCUCAAGUCGGAUUCGGUUCACAAACCGACUGGAGCAUCAUAGUCCUCAUGUGCGGCUCAUCAGAUAAAGAAAAGGAAAAUGUAUCCCGUGUGCAUGACGAUUCAUGAGAUCACUAAACUAACUGUUAUGUUAGAGCAUCUACGGCCUGACCCCUCGUAUCCCCCUAUACGUUCACCGCUCACACAAAUAAGUCCUAAGCAAACCCCUCAAACCGAUCCUAUAUGUCUAGGUUGUCCGUCACACCCAUACCUAGCCGAUAUUUGGCGCGGAUAUGGGGAGGUCCAGACACGCCUGGACGCGUCUGUCACGUCGGACUGACGGUCGGGAUCGACGUGAAAACAUGCAGAAACCCACCAGUCCAAGGUGAGCUCACCGGUUCGCAUUCAUGUCACUCAGCGCACUACUCGAGGGCCAGACUCGGCUAUUUAAGUCGGACGGUGAGUCUCAACCCUAGCCUUCCCCAUUUCCUCCCUCUUCCUUCCACCGACGCCGCCACCGUGACCUCGUCGCGCCCUAUUCCGCUCCGACCUCGCCGUCCGUCGGUAGCCAUGGUCCGCCAUAGGAUUACCUACUACAAGAUGUUGACCCUGCAAUCCCGGGCGAAGAUUCACGGAUGGCGCUGGUUGAGUUCGAGGUCGUCCAAGUGGUGGAGGCGGUGGAGCUGCAUGCCAUUCUCGAGUCCAUCUAGUCCAAGGCGGAGGAGGGUGGUGAAUCGCCACUUUCUCUAGGAGGUGGAACUAGAGCGUGAGCAGCUCUUCGAAGACGAGGAGGACGCACCGGAGUUUCGCCCCGCCGCCAAUGACCAUGAGGUCGAUGGCUCCAGCAAGGGCAUCAUUGACAUUUUCGAUGACGGUUAGAUUGUUUCCUUAUUUUUAGCUAUGUACAUGGAUAAAUUUUGCGUUGCAUGUAGUAGUAUGAAUAUGAGGAUCAAGAAAUGAGUACUAUAAUUGAAAUGUCUAAGAAAUGAAGGGUGGCCGAUCACUAUCGGCAGACGUAUAGGGGUCUGGAUUUGUGAAGUCCGGUUGUAGAUGCUCUUAGCCCUGGUCAAUGGCAGGGUGAGUAGGAAAACAAAAUGGCUCUAUGCAUGAUCAUGAUAGACUGACUCUUCCGGCCCAGACGAGUUGAGGAAAUAGAGGAACACAAGUUGCAUGAGUGGCCUCCCAUGCUCAGCUCAACUUGAAAUGUCAGCGUGGAGAACACGAGCACUCAUGCAUGUAUCCAUACACUACACGCACACAUGGUCCAUUAUUUUCUCGGGAUAGUUAGGGCGCAAUCAAUGAACAGUGCGUUACAACGCCUGGACUUUCUUCUUCUCUUCUCUCUGCACCCAAUAUGGUGCAGCGGCUGCAGUAGCUUUUGUACUUACUCCAAGCACAAGAAAGUCAUGAGCUGCACAGUUGCCCAACAAGUGAUGAAUUCUCUGCAGACAAUCACCACACAAUUCUUGUCAACCGCCGAUCUGUCGACGAAACCCUCUCGAAGCUAGCCACCAUGCAUGCACGUGUGUCUCGCCGCAAAUUGACAAGGUGUGCACUGUGCAUGGCUAUAAGAGAGGAGCAGGUCGAGCGGGCAGGGGGAAAAGCUUGAUGAAGUCUUCAAGAGCAAGCCCCGCGCAAUCAAUGGUUCGCCGUCAAUCAAUGCAGGGUUGGUUCCCGGUUGACAUUUAAGCUCAAGACGUGGAAGUGGAUUCAAUUCGGCGAGGUGACGUAGUACUCCACGACCAUUUGCAGUUGAAGGAUUGGAGCAUCGAACAAAAAGACAUUGCACGUUUAUCUACUUGUCCAAUGCGACUGGUCCAUCGUUGGUCUAUCUGCUGCCCCGUGUAGUACCUAGUAGCGUGUGUCAGACUGGCCAUAGUGGGAGUAACUUCAAGAAUAACAUAAGUGCCAACUUAACAAAAAAAAUUAUGUGACAUUGAGUUAAUGAGGCGAGAGGCAAAUUGAGUAACUUAGCUAGUUACCGCAACAUCACAUAUCUCAAUACAAUAUGAGUCUGUAACAUACUCCCGCUGUCCCAUAAUGUAAGACGUUUUUCGACACUACACUAAUAUCAAAAAAGUCAUACUCCCUCCGUUUUUAUUUACUCCGCAUAUUAGUUUUGGUCAAAGUCAAGCUUUACAAACUUAGACAAAGUUUAUAGCCAUUAGGUUCGUUGUUAUAUGUACUUCCACACCAUAGAGAUUUGUUAUGCUAAAUAUUUAUAUUAUUUUCUAUAAAUUUGGUCAAACUUUACAAAGUUUGACUUUAGUCAACUCUAAUAUGCGAAGUAAAUAAAAACGGAGGGAGUACAUUACAGGACGGAGGGAGUAAUAAAUAAUGGUUUGUAUGACACUAUAGUUACUCCCUCUUUCCAUAUAUAUAGGACCUGAUACAUUUUUUUAGGUUGCCGUUGACUAUUGAUAAGAUUAAUAAUAUAUGCGAUGUAUCACUAGAAGCUCCUUCCACGUACAAAUUUGAUGGUGUACUUUAUGUAUCUUGCAUGUCUAUUGCUCUAACAUGUGGUCAAAGUUAGCCUCGAAAAACGCAUUAGACCCUAUAUACAUGGAAGGAGAUAGUAUGUUAUUAUCCACUAUAAAGAUAGUAACAUAGCAUGGGAUAAUGUGUAUGUUACUUUUGAAAUUAGUCUUCACUAUGGCUAGUCUCAUCUUGCUGGGUGCAACUGCUCCCAAUGAAUGCGCGCGUGCCUUCAAUGGCCAUGCCUAUCGAUCUUUUAUACUUUCUCUGUAAUAAAGAAAUAUAAAAGCAUUUAGAUUAUAUUAGUAUUUAAAUGCUCUGAUGUUUUUUUUUACAAAGGAAGUACUAUUUUCUUCCUUCAUGGAAGAAUGAAGAAAGAAGAAAGGACGGGAGAAGAUGUGGCCUGGAGGAGCAUUGAGUUUGAUAAACGUGAUCAUGGAUGUACAUACAGUUGCACGUAGCUGUUUCGGGGCGAAUACGCGUACGCAUCAUUGCUUAUCCUGCAGGUACGCAUUUACUUACACCCGUCGCCAUCCCAUUAACUGUUUUUCCAUAUAUAUUUUUAGAUAUAUACUCCUUUAUAAGGAAACUUCUGUAUCUAGCAGAAAACAACGUAUUUCUACAAUUUUUUUAAUUUGUUUCUUUUUUUUUAAUUUGUUUCUUUAAUCUUGAGAAAGAAAAAACUUGUAUUUCGACGAAACAGUAGAUGAUUAUUUUUUUGCAUUAAACUUAUCAUUGUACUUACGCGCAAAAGAAACUUAUCAUUUUCUUUGACAAGUUUUUUUCUUUUGCAUGAAGAUACAAGUUUUUUUUUGUGUGCGAAGAACUUACCUAUAUCGACCCAUCGAUCCCUCAUAAAAAAACGACAUGAAACAGAAACCACUAACUCCUAGAUCUUGACAGGCCCAUUUCCCCAGCGCAACGCAGCUCAACCUUCCCAGCCCAACCCAACCUAUGUAUGCUACCCUCUCCUCCGGCACUAGAGGCGCUGCCGCUGACUCCCCUCCUCCCAUCCUCACUCGAGCACACUCCGCCGCCGACGACCCCGAGNNNNNNNNNNNNNNNNNNNNNNNNNNNNNNNNNNNNNNNNNNNNNNNNNNNNNNNNNNNNNNNNNNNNNNNNNNNNNNNNNNNNNNNNNNNNNNNNNNNNNNNNNNNNNNNNNNNNNNNNNNNNNNNNNNNNNNNNNNNNNNNNNNNNNNNNNNNNNNNNNNNNNNNNNNNNNNNNNNNNNNNNNNNNNNNNNNNNNNNNNNNNNNNNNNNNNNNNNNNNNNNNNNNNNNNNNNNNNNNNNNNNNNNNNNNNNNNNNNNNNNNNNNNNNNNNNNNNNNNNNNNNNNNNNNNNNNNNNNNNNNNNNNNNNNNNNNNNNNNNNNNNNNNNNNNNNNNNNNNNNNNNNNNNNNNNNNNNNNNNNNNNNNNNNNNNNNCUGUUGCCGAGCGUAUUUGAUUUGAGCUCGAAUUUUGGUGCAGCCACACAGAGAAUCUAAUCCACAAAGGUAGCCACUUCAUCCUGCAAAAUAGGAUUUGAUGCUUGAAUAGAGACAAGCACAUGCUAAUACGAAGGUGCAAGCCUACUAUAGAAUUCCACAUACGUGAAUUCAUAACCGCAAUAUUGACCACCCGAGUUUGUGUGCCACCCUUGAUGACAGGGUAAAAUCCGUCUAAGAUCACCAUAAAGCACAACCACUGCAAUCGAGGAUAAAAUCACCGGUUGGGCUCCCUAGUGUAGGAGUUUGCGGUAUGCAUCAAAUUUUCCUCAACAAGAAAUCAAGGUAUAAUUUCCGUGGAGGUAUUGGUACCCUGCAAUAGUUGAAUGUUGUGCAACACAAAUAAAACUUCACUUGUUUCCCUAAUAGUUCUAACAGGGGUAUCAACCUUGCUAGUCUUGCUAGUUACAAGGCUAAUAAAAGAUAAUAUGUGAUAAAUAUUAUUGGUAUUUUCGGAAUAAAACAAAACUGAAAAUAAAACAAAGUGUAAAAGUUGUUAGAAGGUGAUUCUUAUGCUCAAAAUUGGACCGGGGUUCAUAGGGUCAACUCUCCAAAGCAUAAAAACGCGAUGAAGUAAUUCAAAUACUAUUAAACCAAGAUCCUCUGUGCAUCCAGUAGCUAAAUAACCCGUCCAUAGAUCGAGACCCUCUCUGCACCAUCUGAACAUUAAGUGUAAAUACAACUAAUUGCAUUUAGCAACAUGGCAUAAUGUUAUGAAUAGGGAACUAUUAAUCCUCUAGUAAACCUUAACCCUCAGUGACAACAAUCCAGUACAAUCAUUUUGCACAUUCUAUCACUGCAGUAGAUUACUUGCAAGAUUAAACCCAACUAAUGCACAUCACUUCUACUAUUCAUUACCGAUCUAAACUGGCUAAGAGUAGACAAGCAAUCGGAAAGAAAUAUGCAUCUAUAUAUCAAACAUAUGGCAUACACAAAUCUAAACAUAAAGAUAUAAUUCAUCGCAUGAUCAACAUCACCGCUAUGAAUACAUCAGAUAAACCAUAACUGGUAAUCUGUAAAUGCAUAAAGUACAAUUGUGGCCUUUUCAAAGUAAGAGUAUCUAUCGAUCCCACAGAGGAGCACAUAAAAUGAUCUUUGCUUCUUGUAGAGGUUUACAUGGUGUGAAUCAGUCUAGUCAAACCCGCACACUAUUAUUGCCAGACCAAGGCGAAGAAUUUGCGCCCAAAUACUCAAAUGUAGGGUUGUUAAAGAAGACAAUGCCCACGAUGUUACACAAAUGAACAAAAAAAACACAUAAUCCAUGAAAACAGGUAGAAACCAAUACUCGCAUGCUAUUGGCAUCGACGACACAAAAGGCCACCUGCCAGUGGGAGACGAAAAUUCUCUCCCCUACACCUACGGUUCCAAAGCGGUGGAGAGGAUAGCAGCGAUGACAUAUGAAGGGUGGUGUCUAGGGUUGAGGACAUAAGAGCAACUCUAGUAGAUCCCUUGGCCUAAAAGUUCAAAGGUACAGUUAUCGCAUUUUCUUAAUUUUUAGGGAAUUAAAUGUUUCUUCUUGAAGAUCCUCUAAACUUAAUACCUCAAAAGAAUUAAAAUAAAAAAAUGUACACAAACUCAUUCGAAACACACAUUAAAACUAGUUCAUCGCAUAAUUCAAUGUAUGUACCACGUUAACAUCAUACAUAGCAUAAUUGAACAGCUCAGCGCUUACUAUAUUAACACUACAUUGACAUCAAACUUGGUCAAGCAUUAAGAUAAAACAUAUUAAAAAAUACAUUCUAGUUAACUCAGCUCGUCGUCACCUAAAGUAAGAACAUCAUCAGUGCAGUGAUUUCCAUAAAAAGAAUUGUUACUGUUGAUCCAGUGAGUAUGAACUAAAUGAUUACAACAACUCGAAGUGCAAGGUAAAGUUUCUUUCUUUGAGCUUGCUUCUCCACGAUUUGGGCUUGCAUCUUGUUGAUUUGGACUUGCUUCUCGUGUGCGUCUAUCAACGCACCAUCUACUUCUCUCUCAGUAAUCGACAAUAGUAGGUUAUCAUUUGGUUUACAUAAAACUUGACAAGACCAACCCAUAUAUACGUGUUGCAAACAAAUCCUCUCUGCGUGUGUGUAAUGUAGUGAGCAACGGGAUUCAUAUACCAAAUUACAAACAUAAAAGGAUUUGUGUUAUACAUAUACUCCCUCCGUCCCAUAAUAUAAGAGUGUUUUUUACACUAGUGUAGUGUAGUGUCAAAAACGCUCUUAUAUUAUGGGACGGAGGGAGUACAUCGCUUUUGUGACCUCCACAAGCUAAAAAGUCUUGAUUUAGAUUCCUAGGUGUGUGAAGUUUCUUAAACAACAAGGCGCAAAGAAGCACCGGGGGCAGGCCGGAUUUGGGGCGGCGGCGUCGCCGGUGCAAUGGCGGACCUGAUGGAGGUGCAGAUGCAACAAAUGACUCACCGGAGUAGGUACGCAAGGUCGGGGACCUCAUGGCCAAGCCGAGGUGGAUCUCCACCACGGCGGCGGUGAAGAAGAACAUUGUAGCGUUGUCAGCCGGCGGGGCUCCUUCCGCUUCGCCAACCAAUUGAUGACUUGAAUAACUUUUCCAAAAAGAAAAAAUCCAUCUGUCUUUCAUCUUUUGGCCUUACGAAUUAUGAUCAUAAUUUUCUGAACAUGUAACUGCUUCUGAUGAUAUAUUCUAAGAAGUAACAAACUAAUGACUGGACAAAACUUUUCCAUAAAGGAAAAAAUUCCAAUUGUCUAUCAUCUUUUCGCGUUCACUCGGUCUCAUCGGCGUCAGCAUUCAGGUCAAUCCUAGGCUUCUUCCCGCUGCUGUGGGCAGCGGGCUUAC